rnacentral:lncRNA from 1 species
AUUAGUAAACCUACGGUGCUGGUAAGGUCGGGACCGUGGUCGUCCGUCUCCGCUUUGCCGGCCGAUAAGAUCACUGAGAUUGACCAGCCAGCUGGGUAGGUUUGGCUAUUCCUUUCUAUUGAAAAGGAGUCAGCUGUCUGCGCGAGUCACCUUCCUUAGGCUCCGAGUCACCUUCUUCUAAGCUCCGCUGGACGACACGGCAUUUUCGUUCUAUAGGCCGGCCGUACUUGUGAUGGUUCCCCAGGAUCCAAUAAAUCCACUUAGGUCUACGUUGCCGCGAUAUUGUUCUAUGGAAGCGGGUGGGCUGCUUUUUAGAAGUUCGGCCCGGUUUUUCAUUAAAAAAAUCAAAAAGGGGGGGAGGGAUUGACCUUUCUAACGCAUAUUCUGUCGUACCGGCAUGGCCCCACUGAUUUGUUUUCGAUCGGAGCAUCAAGCAGCGCAACCCGGUUCUACUUGACUAAGCCCCGUGCUCGUCCAAGGAGGGAGUUUGCUUUACCCAACUCCCCUUUUUGAUAACAAGGCAAAAACCUCCGACCCGACAUUCAUGAGUUUCGAAUGAAGAAUGAAGAGUGCCCUGCCCCUCUUUUUUUUUCCCUAAAUCUUGGAUUUGGAAGUUGGUAAAGACCCACCCCUUGUUUAAGUCAGAAUGAGUCCCCGAGACAUUGGCUUCCGCCAACAGUGAACUAUUAAGGAUCGCAUCCCGCGCAUAUUCUACAUUAUAGCCUGCAACUAAUUCAGCUUCCGCUUCUGGGAGAUCAGACGGAGCUCGAUUAGUUUCUGCUAGACGAGGAAUAAGGAACAUAACCAAUACGGGGAACAAGGGAAUACCGGACCAUAUCUGCUUUUGCGCCAUGACAAUCUCACUCGAAUUACAGGGACCUACACAUAUUAGUAUAGUAUACCGGGGUCCCCGGCCAGAACCACACGUGCAAGUUUCCCUGCAUGUGGCUCGUCCGUGCUUUUAUCCGAGGCGCUGCCUGCGACUCUGCAUGGGAGAAGAGGGCUGAACUGCAAACUUUCGUGUUCAGAGCAUUGCAUUGUCUAAGGGAGUAGGGUGAGUAAGCUGCGCCUACCAAGCUAAGCUUUCGUCGAAAAGGCGUCACUGCUUCCUUUUCGGCGCCCGCCCUUUAUUUAGAUGUUGGGGCAAGGCAAGCCCAAGGAAAGUCUAGGUUGGCGCUCCAUCUCGGCCGGCAUCCUGCUCUCGAGAGGGUGUGGUCCUUGAGCGAACUAGUCAUGUGCUGUGUUGCCCCAACGCAUGGGCAUUUGGUGAGGAGCUACGGUCCGGUGGUUGACAAGCCACUGAUCGGAGGCGACUGGACUGGAGUGCUUUCAUCAAAUGAUGCAUGUGGGCUGAGCCAUUCCCAUCCCAAGUGGUGGCCCGAUUCGGCCUGGCCUGGUCGCAAAGAGAUUCUAAAUCUCGAAUAUGCGCACCGAGAAUAGAUAUCUAUGUUAGCUAGCGGGGGCGGGCUUUCCCCUGGUAGUCCUGCUGCGUCCUCUGACAGUCCGUCUCGUCUCAUCUUUCUUUGGCUAUACUUGUAGCCAGCCAUAUUAGCUCCACAUUCCACCCUUUUGGAUUUCUGACGAAAAAGGCAGUCAUCAGUCGCCGCCUUUCCUAUUUAGCUUUGCUUGCUGCCUAUUAUGAGAAUAGGUCCCGGUUCAAGCGGCCCGCCUUUCAUCAUCAUCUAUACCAGCUGCCACGCACGAUCCCAUAGGAACGAUUUCAUCGCCCUAAGAAGCAGAACGCGCCAUCACCUACAGCCCUUUCCUCUGCCGGGGACUUCCACGAAAUGAAAACGGGCGGCAUCAUCGUAUGCUCGACAUUAGUUGCCCUGGUGUAUAUCCCGGAGUACUCCUAUGGCCGAUCUGUCACCCAUACAUGAAGGCCUUGGCCCCGUCCCGUGUGGAGAAUGCCCCCCUUACGUCACGGCUUGGUCUGUUAUUUUAUUUUGUCAGAGUGGAUUCGGACCGCCACUUCUCUGAAAGCAUGGUUCUUGCCUCCCUCUCUCCUCCCUCCUUGGAGCUCGUCCAUUCGUUGGGUGAUCCCUUGCUCUCACGUUCGAGUGUUUGCUCGUCGUUUAGGCCGGUGACUUACAUUUUUGCUCAUUGCAGUCGCCUCCGGGGUUCUUCGCACCUGGGUAGUACCAGGACCCUUGUGCCCCGGACUGCACUGCCCGCCCUAUGACCCAAAACUCAAAAUGAGCCUUGCGAUGAGACGCGGACAUUCCUCAUGCUGCGGUUCCCUCCGGUCCGUUCCCGGGUUGGGUUAGGGGAAGAUCCGAGCGAUUGCCUUCGCGGAUCCAAACGUGCUCACAAGGCGCACAAUAAGAAUAAGACCAAUAGAGACUUCAUAAGGGACCAUUUGAGCUGCAGAUCGUAAUGCUCCUAGAAAGGCAUAUUUCGAAUAUAGAGGACGUUCCCAACAAUCCACGAGAAUAUCAUACCCAACUAUGAACCGUACGAGCACAUCCUCUGUCACCCCCACCGCGCUUACGACUCUAUACCCCAACCCAACUUGCUCUGGCCCUGGGUCCUCCCGCAUCUCUUCCUCGGUAAGCGGACCGUGGAAGCUGGGGAGUAUCCGCUUGGGACUGAAAGAAAACAGCAUAUCUUUUCCCUCCUGACCCCUAUAAAAAUCUAGUGGAAGUCCGGUCGCGUCGGAGACAUCUUUAUCUGAUUUUGAGGCUUCGUCGUCCGGCUCCUCCAAAAUUAUGUUAGGAUCGGCUGGCUCAUCCUCAUCAUCCGAAAAGAAAACAGAGACAAAACAGAUUUGUUUCAAUGACAUAUCUAAUCAGACUGAAAUUGAUGUCGAAGACACGAUCAUUCACAUCAAUUGAAGCAGGCAGGAAGGGCGCGGAAGCUACCGUUUAACGAAUGCAAUGCAAGCAAGGUAGCUUGCUUACUCUCCAUCUAGCGUGCGUUGGCGGCAAGGAAAGAGGCAUUGGAAAGACUAGACCAUACACAUUAAUUAGUACAAGAAAGAGGCAUUCGGGAAGCGACUAGUCGCUUCUGGCGAAGCAUAACAAAGGCCGACUACUACAUAGAGACAACUACUACCAGUCAUGAGCGAUAGUGAAGCCGUCAGAGGAAGAAGCUGUCGCUUGACGGACGAAGCCGAGCCGAUACGAUAGGCGGGCGAAGUGAGCGAGACCAAGACGGGCCAGACGUGGAGUGGCAAAGGGGGCCUACUAUACGUAUACGUGAUUAGUAAGCGGUUCAAGACAUCGAACGAAAAAUCAAGUGAACUAAUGAACAGUGUGAUUGAUCAGACAAGUACCAAGGAGCAAGAAAACGUAUGCGCUUUAGCAAGGGAUGAGCGCGAAAUCCGUUGCUUGUUCUUUCGGUAGCCUUCCUUCAUUUCCGAAUUUGCUUGCGAGCAGUCCUUGCAUUAGUAUGAGUUCGUUGACCGCGUAAGGGCGAUCCAUCUUGAUGACGAAUUCCACGAUAACGAGAAAUAGAAAUUAAUCGUUCGAUGUCUGCUCGUUCUCCCCUCUUCAAUUCCCAAUGAACAACAUGAUCUUGAGCUAUCAUUUGUUCAAUUUGGUCGAUCUGAUACUUAGUUAACUCAUUCAUCUUGAUGUUCCCACUGAUACCUAAUCGAUAACGAAGCUGAAUGGCUUUUUUCGGUCCAAUUCCAUCCAUUUUUGUUGAGGCAAUUCUGACUUGUUCAUCGGGAAGUGAUCUAGCUCCUGAGAUAUAUGACAUUCUUUAUCCUUAUCUUUUCCUGGUCUUCUCGGCUGGAAUCUACAAUCUACACCUCUCCAAACACACAAUCUCGAUUUCUCUUCAGCUAUGUCGAAGAGAUUUAUUUAUUUGCCGCGCUGUCAAACCUUCCAAUUCCAAUUUCCAAUUCCAAAAUCCCACCCCCAAAGACAAGCGGCGAUGAUCCGUACAUCGAACGCCUGUUUUGAGAAGAGGGCAUUGCUAGGAUGGUUUGAUCGAGGGUCACGACCUGACUAGACCCACACAUCCUAGCAACGUGGACUAUCCUACUGAGCUAAUGAAAGAAAAAUGACACGAAGAUCGACAUGAGCUAGACAUGGAUGUAUCAAGCCUUUCCUUAUGUUCUCUCAUACAAUGAACCUCGCAUAGGAAGGGAUUACUUAACCACGUAACUAUACCCACUCGGGAUAGGUGUGAACGCAUUCACACAAUCCGGGAUGAAUAAAAGGAAUAUCUCUAGCAAGGGAAUGUGCUUUCGAACUCAAUCGAAUUCACAACACUUUUUGUUUUUUAACAAGUGUUACAAUACGAUGCUUUUCGUGGAUUGGAUUGGUUUUAGCAAGGAUAGGAUUUCUGAUCGGAUAGGAAACUGAGGAAGCAGGAGCUCGUCCCUAAUAGCGCUAAUAAUUCGUAUUUCAUUUAUCGUAGGUUCGCUAAUGCGUAGGAUGCGUAGGAGCCGAUGUCCUUUCUAUGGAGCCUAGCAUUGGUAGUGGUACUUCCGCUAGAUACGAGAAAUCCUCUCUUCUAUUACUUCACAAGUAGUGGAUAGGUCCCGCCUUAGACUGCCCCCUUUCUUUCGGGGAAGUACUUAUUUACGUAGCCUUUCAUGCCCAUGCCAUUGCUUUGCCUUCGCUUUUCUUCCUCUGGGCAUCAAAGGAGGGCGUAGACCAAUAUUUAAUUCUAAAAAGCUCUUCGUCGCUCGUCCUUAGGAAACGGACUCGCUUCGCUAGCUCUAGGUGAAUUUGCAAAACAGGGAAGAAGGGUAUUUUAUUUCGAAAGUCAACCGUUCCCGUAACCAGAACCGAACAAGGAAGCAGGGCGUAGACCCGUUACUUCUUACUAUGGUGGAGGGGAUGCCAUUAUUCCAAUGCGUAUUGACUACGUCGUAGGAACAGCGAUAGCGAUUGCGUGGGAACACCUUUCGCUCGAGGAGAGGAAUGCGGACAACCGGCGAAUAGUUUUCAGAUGAAGGUACAGAUCCCCUCUUCUCCCAAAGCUUUGGACCCUCGAUCGCAGCAAUGAACUCAGCGUCCCACUUAACUUACUUUUGGUACUUUUGAAUCUUGUCCCAUCCCAUAGCUUCACAAGUGAAUCUACCUAUGGAUCCAUAAAGUUGAUCAUUACUUUUCAAAUUCUUAUUCCAUGUGUCCGCCAUAGCGCUUAUCUAUCUCCUGGUCUGAUUCAUCUUUGGAAUGUAACCGGACAUAUUACAAGGCGAAAAAACAGUGAUUUCAUCGAUUCCGGAUUGCCCAGUGUCUCCCUUUCCCUCUUUCCUUUCACUUUCCUUGCAUAACGAAAGCAUGAUUUACCCGAGCCGAGUAUCUUGUUAGAGUAGUAGAUUCCGCGCUCGAGAUGAUGUGUGUGACCGGGCAGGAGAUUCUUUUACUCCAAAGCCGUUGCGCAGGUUUGUGUGUGACAACUAUGUCGAUCAGUUUUUAAAGACGCCCAGAAACUAUGUCUACAGAUUCCGACAGAGAGUACAAGUGGUGCCAUCGGAGGAAGCUGACAACCUCAGAACAAGAAUGGAAAAAGGAUUGAUUGCUCGACGAAGUAGUACCAACAGGAUAUAUUAAUCACUAGGUUACGGUAAUAUGUGCUUGUCUCCGAAAAGAAGGAUACAAGGAUAGAUUAGCAAAGCAGUCACUCCCAACGGUAGAUGAAAACGAUACCGACACAUCUACUAAAUCAUCUUAACAACCUUGAAGAUACGGGAUUAUAUAAUAAACUCAUUUAGUUGAUAGAUCAUUAUUGGAUUCUUUUUAUUGUGACCAAGAUCCAUGAAAUAGCUCUCUUUAUACUACGUUAUAACUAGCGGAUACUUCCCAUUCUUAUGUCUUCUUUCCUUAUUACGACUCCUGUGCUUAGAUAAAAUACGACGUUUGAGUUUGGACAUAGCCAAUUGCUACUUACGGUGCUAGGCCUUUCCAAGCAAUGGAAGGCAGACUUGAAUGCCAAUCAGACAUGGCCAGAAGCUUAGAUAAUAUCACUAGUUUCUCUUGUUUAUCACUUAAUAAAUAGUCUUAUUUGUCCCAGGGAGCGAGGAGAGAAGAUGACAGGUUGAGCAGAGAAAGGUGGGUGAUUGUCCCAACGUAGUAGUAUUUUUGUUUUGUUUUCAGCUGAUCUAUAUAAAAAUAAUAGAAUAAAUAAAGGCAAAGGAUUUGGUUCAGUCGUCAAGUACAGAUUUCCUUUACCCAGAGUUGGGAACUCUGAAUAGUUGUUUGAAUACCAACUGCCUUCCUUGCGCUUCAAUUCCUCUUAUCCAAUCCAACUUCCCCUGGGAGCCAAGUAGAAAAGCAAGUCCUCUAGUUAUGGAUGCAGUACUCACCUCACUAAACUUAGGAAGAACUAAUUCAAGUAGAAUUAAAAAUAGCAAGUGGAUGAAAAAGGGAUCGAGCCUAGCUCGAAAACAGCUGCUCCUUCCCUCUUUCUUGCUUGCUUUACUCGGUAUUCAGUGAAAGAUUAGGCUUGGUAAUUACAGUUACCAAUGGUAAGGAUUGGCACGUGAACUUUCCUUUUUAUCGAGCUCGAAAAAGCAAUGGGUGGGUUGGCUGUGAAAGGAGAGUAGAGUUUUUUAGUUUAGUAAGAAAAGUACUGGGUGAGGCUCCUCACAUCCAUAACAUAUUAUCUGUACUCUUUUUCAAGCAUGCCUCUUUUUAAUGACUCUCUUUUUCAACUUAAUUGUGGCAUUUCAUUCUGUUAUCGACUAAUGGUUGACACUGGAGAAGCAUUGAAGGCUCCUUCCAUAGAUUCCAAAGCCCUGUUUGCUAUUAUCAGAAUAUUCUGACUCCCUUGUUGUCUUAUUGAUCUGACCAACCGCAAUAACAACAUUGCCAUUCGGGGUUACGCGAGUCGGAGUAUUAAAUAAAUGGAAUAUUCCAGCAGGAGCAACCGAACCAUCUUCUCGUUGUCCUUCCAUUCUUCUGACCAAGAAAAUAGCUCUUGGUCAUAAGAAUCCAGCCGGAGUUCGAAAUCGGAGAUAAGAAUUGAAUCGAUUUCAGGCACUUCCCUCAAGCCGAAACCGGAACAGGAAACUUGUAACUUCUAGCCGAGAAGGAUAAGAGAGGUUUGUCUUGCUUUGUCUUAUAGUGAUUGUGUGCCAGGGGUCAGCGAAGAGACGGGACGCUAUUGUCCCGGACUACUUGGACUAGUCUACUAGGACUCGGGGGAAGAGACUUGUUUGUGAUAGGACGAGAGAUCAAGUACAGUGUUCGGUUCAAACUAGGCAACCUCUUCGUUAUAAGACCGAGAAUAGUAUAUGCCCCGUCUCACCACUAGCUAGGGCCACCAGCAUUAGGAAACUAAGGAAGAGUCGUAUGGCUAAGGAAUUCAGGGCUGAUAGAGCUCUUGGGAAGAAGUCAGUAUCCAGCUUUCUUUCAUUGAUAUCACAAUAACAAGCGAGGAAAGGACAGUCUUUCAAGAGAAGAUAGGUCUUUUUUUCAUUAAGGAAUUGCGGCGAGUAUUGCUUGUUUCCCAGAUCCGGUAUCAGGACCUGUCGAUAGAUGGGAUGGACCCACCCGUUUGACUCUUAUGAAUUGAUAGUUAGAUACUAUUGCUAAAGGAAAGUAAAGAUAGUGGUUUGUGUUGCAAAAAGCUAGUUCAAGGUCAGGCUCCGUCAAACAGAGUCGUCAAGAACGAAAAGCUGAAAGAAUGAUGUGUCAAACAGUGAUUGCGCACAGAGGUUAGUUAAGUAUAGGAACUAUUGUCCCUAACGAGAAGUAUGCUGCUGUCCCAAUAAAAGGAUAGUUGGACGGUAUCGAUUGAGGGAAUAGGGAUAGGUGGUUAAACGCGAUGCUGCACCUAACUAUAUAGAACGGUGAUCCAUGAAGAGAAGUCGGCCAGCUAUUAAGUCAGAGAAGUCAUCAACCUACUACUAGUGUCAGUUCUGUUAAGAGAAGUCAUCAACCUAUUACUAGUGUCAGUUCUCUUCUUCCUCUCUACCAAUUGAAAGUAAGUAUUGAUUUCGCCUAAUAGGGACAAAGCAAAGUAGGGUGGUCAAGUACAGUAUGCCUGGAGUUCGUAGUGCCCACUAGAUAUCAUUGGCAAGUUAUAGAAGUCUUUCUCUCUUCUGAGAUAUCAUUGGUCAGUGCAGCGAGGGGCAACCAUCAUUUCUAUUGCUCUGUAAAGAAAAGAUAGGACAAGGGUCUUGCUCCACCCAAUGGAGAUAAAGCACGGGGAUCCGUUAAGGGCGUAUUGAAUCGAUAAGAAGCACUUGAAUUCUAGUGGGCCCGGCUACCCAACACUAGCCCCGGAUCAUUUAUGUAUUAUCAAUUGAUAGUAGGGGCAGGCAGGGGAAACUCUUUAUAUCAGUUAAGUAAACUACUGAUUGUAUUGUGGGCUGGGAUCACCUUUGCGAGUCGAAGUAAUUUCCGGAAAGACACAGAGGAGCUCUCAUGUGUGGACCAGCAGUAGCCCUGUCCUAUCCUCUUUGUUGGAAGAUGAGUACACAUCGGGUAAUCCGCCCACGAGAGCCCAAUCACAAGAGGCUCAUACAGAAAGCAAUCAGCCCAUAGCCCAAUAUCGAGACCACAGCCUAUUAUUCAAACCACAAAGGAUCCGUCUUUCAUCGUCCAAUCUUCUCGGUCGAACAUAUUGACAUCAAUACUCCUUUCCAUGGCCAUUCACGGCCCGCGAAGAUCAACCACUCGUGCCCGAGAUCACUAUCCAAUCAAAAACCAGACUUCCAAGAUCCAUCUCACUCAGACCCUUUUGAAUGUAGCGGAUAACAACGGAGUGGGGCUAUCGAAUUGAUAUGUAUUCGAAUCUUAGGAGCUGGUAAUCACUGAUAUGCUCAUAUUGGUGACGUUAUUGUUGCUGUAAUCAAAGAAGCAGUGCCCAAAAUGCCUCUAGAAAGAUCAGACAGAAGUAAGACGAGCUGUAAUUGUACGUACAUGUAAAGAACUCAAACGUGACAACGGUAUGAUAAUACGAUAUGAUGACGGUUGUCAUUGAUCAAGAAGGAAAUCCAAAAGGAACUCGAGUUUUUGGUGCGAUCGCUCGGGAAUUGAGACUUAUGAAUUUCACUAAAAGAGUCUCAUGAGCUCCUGAGGUAUUAAAAAUACUAGUAGUAGAGACUAUGAUAUAGUAGGGUAUCAGAAUAUAGAUCAAUUAGUAGAUUGUGUCUGACGCAUAUACAUGAAAAAAAAGAAUAAUUAGAUAAUAAUAAGAAUAAGAAUUCUAAUCUUAAUAAAAGGAAGGGUUCGAAUAGCAUCUACUAAUAUUACCGAAAACUUUGUGAAAAUACUUCUACGAGAAGGUUUUAUUGAAAACGUUCGAAAACCAUAGGGAAAGUAACAAAUCUUUCUUGGCACGUGCCCCUGCUCCUGGUCUUCGAACUAGUCAUUAAUGGUCGGCAACAUAGGUACCCUUUUUCGGUAUGCGUUGCGAACACUUACAUUUUUAGCGUCUCAUCUUCUCUGGAGAAGCUCAAAUCGAACGGAUAGAGCAGAUGGUCCAACUACAGAACUUCUUCUUUUUCAUUACUUCCAUGGUCGUGCCCCGUGGCACGGCAGCACCCGUACUAUUGAAAUGGUUCGUCAGUAGAGAUGUUCCCACUGGUGCCUCUUCUUCCAAUGGUACUAUAAUUCCUAUUCCUAUCCCUUUAUUCCCUUUUUUGGUCUAUCUACAUUUAAGGAAAUUCAUACGCUCCAUGGACAGAGCUAAAAGUGGAGUGUUGGUCAAAGCAAGCCGCCCUAUUCUAUUACCAGACAAAAUGGAGAGAAGCUCAUCCGCUAGAAAUGCUUUAUUUCGUUUCGUUCCCGUUCUUCAUUUCCUUAUUAUCGAAUCCAUGGGGGACUUGUCAUAUUUAGAAUCUUUCUGCGGUCUGCUCUGUUUACAAUUCUUUCGUACUCUCUUCUCUUUACCACGCGAUAGGUCAGCGAAGCGUGAGCGGGCGCUCCGAAGUAAAGGCCAAACACUUCGGCCUAAGGGGAAUGAGCAACAAAAUGACAAGAUGAGGUGCCCCGGGCACCCCCAUAUAGAAAGAAGGGUCGAAGGUUUUGGGCCUGUAGCUUUCCCCGCCCCCCCUCGUCGAGUGGUGCUUGUUUGGGGGGUGUGCCACCAGAAAGCGGGCUUGAAGCUCUCGCCUUACCAACGAGCCGACUGCUGAUGGCUGUUGGUCACGACUACUACAAAAAAGUGAAGAUGAAUCUUUCUAUUUCACAUGGAGGAGUGUGCAUCUUUAUGUUGGGUGUUCUUCUGUCGUGCGACCCGAUGGCUUAUGUGCGACCUGUGGCCCACGCCUCCUAUUCUAUUUGUUCAGGGCGGGCGGCGUGAACUCUGAUUCGAUCCGGGUAUUCAAUCCCGCCGCUGAGAUGCUCAGUUGACUCCUUAACCUUGAUAGGAAGAUGGCUUAUUCCAAAAUUCGUGCAUAAGGGUAAGGAACUUCGGAUGAAUUAAUGCGAAUGGGUGUAAGCCUCGCUGCUCGGAAACACCCAGUGCUGACCACACUGAGAGACACGAAAGCGCAGGUAAUGCCAGUUGGCGAAGUGGCGUUAAGCAUCCCUAGCGGUACGCAAAGAGAGGUCGUGAUGAUAUCAUCUACGUCCGUACCGCUCCUCGUGGAGUAGAUCCCGCAUCCAACCAACCCUUUUUUGACCAGGGAACGGGAGAAUUCCCACUACCGCUGGCAGGCCAGCCGGGCCGUGAGCGCGGUGGGAACGGGCUUCCCAAAAAGCGAGCCCCGGCCCGGGUCAGCAUAGAAUGGGGGGGACGGCCCUAAUGUUGUGUUGGCCGGGUUGCGGGCGGAUAAAAGCGGACGUGGGAACUCGGGUCGGGGCACAGCGUAACUAAGAGAGCCAUUCCAUUUAGGGCGAGACAGAAUGGGCGGGCACAAGCGGUCUGGUGUCCGGGCCGAUUGGUCAGACGACGACUACUGCACAUAUUAUAUUAGCCGCCUAUCCCGGAAUGGACUGGGAUGGAAUAGAAAGAACGCGAAGCAGCAAGCAAGGGAUGAGCGCUUUGUUGCUAAAGCGGAUACGUUUUCUUGCUGGGUUCGGUUUGUUUUUGGGGGGUGGGGCAAUAAGCUUGCUUCUUCACAAGCUUAUCCCCGCCCCCUUUCCUGUCCGUCCCGACCGGCAGCAGUUGGGUCUCCCCAUCUCUCCUCAACUUCCCCGGUCUUCGGCCCGAGCUGUAUGAGGCAGAAACUCGUCCCACGUACGGUUCGGAGGCCGAGCCCCACCCCUGCAAUAAUGGUGCGGCUUAGGUCAACUAAUACGAAUAAGAUACAGUUCACUCAACGAUUGCCUUUGGGUCCCGAACUCCAUAUGGGGAAGGAACGUUGUUGUUUGCGAGGUCUCGAUCAUUUACAUGGACCCACUUCUCAUUCCAUUUGUGGGAAUUUGAUGAUUUAUAAACCGUCCCCAACGAGCGAAAGGUUCAUGUUUGAACAUGAUGAAUCACUUCGUGCCGACCUGUUGCCCAUAAACUUUCCUGUCUCAUAUGAGAAUGGAAAACUGGAAGAUUUUCUGCAUCGGUGGAUGAAGAAUCACGAACAUAAGAAUUUCUGGUUUAGCAUGUUCCCAGAAAGAAGAUACUUUUUUUCCAUUCGAGAAACGAGGAGCACGACUGAAGUGGCUAUACAUACAAAUCCAUUUACGGAUCUAUAUGCUCCGAUUGGAACUGGAAGUUCCAGAACUGGCGGCUGGUAUACCACCAUAAUGAAAUUGCCUUUUAUUUUUAGUAUUCGGAUAGGAUUUCUGUUGGCUUCAUCGGGAGGCUCGCGUAGUUUGUUACGUCAACUCCAAAAGGAUAAGUUGCAUUGGAAUCGAGAAAGUUUCGUUCAUAAUUGCAUAAAAGGAGUAAAAAUAGUGGCUGCGGCGCGUCGAGGGUCAACCUUGAUAUCGAAUAACCUUUCGAGCCUUCCCCAAUGGAUCUCUAUCCUCCUUUGAAACCAAUAGAAGUUCACUGACCAUCCCUGUCAAACAUAACCCAAGGUAGGAUCGAGAGGAGAAGAAUAGGACUCUUGCUAGUAUCAUAACCUCUCGAUGGGAGAAUGAAACCAUUAGAUUAGUGGAAAGAAGAAAGAAUGGGAAGAAAGCAGCCAUGGGCAAGCUUUAAUUAAUAGAAAUAAGUAGGAGUUACAGCCUUUAAAUUCGAGUGAAACGAGCCUUUGACGUAGUCACAAAUUCGACUGCCCUUUCACUAUUAUUAUUAUUUCGAGUAAUAGCGGAAGGAGUGCCAAAGCCCAUUUUAGUAGAAAGCUGCUGCCCUUUUAUAGUAAUGCGGAGUGACAUAAUCAAUCGAAUUCGACUGGUUGGUUCCCCUUAUUAGUCAAUUGCUUUUGACGUAUCAGGUGGGAAUGGGAGAGCCUCUUUUCUUUCCGCAAUGGAAUCGGCUUAAGCUCGACCUUUUCUUUCAUUUCCUAUCAUAGGGAUAUAAAAAGAAAUCCAAUUGCGUUUUUCUUAGUUUAGAAUAUCAAAAGACAUCCCACAACCCGGUCUUAGGUUCAGAGUCGCUUUGUGGGAACUUCAAGAGAGAGAAGAGAGAUCAUAGCUUAAUAUCAAAGGUCAGGUAUACCUGCCUACAUUCGGCAUACACAUUCACUAGUUCCAUGCGGAACCUUUCUCUAGAUGGAAUCCUGAUUCGACUUUCAAAUGCAAGAGCAAGAAUGCCGUGAGGGAGCCCUAUCUAAAAAAUGCAAGGCCAGAUCCCACUUUCUUUAAUCGAGCGGGCAAGGGAUCGCAAACAUCUUUUCUUUUCAGAGAAAAGGUUUUCAAAAGAUAUCCCGAAGGGGUCUUAGGUAAGGUAAGGAGUGACAGCUCUAUUCAAUAAGCUGGCUCUUUAAGGGAAGAUAGGGCAUCUCCUAAAAUGUGGAAGUUUGGUGCUUUAGAGAUAGGGCCGGCACGCUUUGCUGGAAAGCAAUAAGUCAACAAAACAAGGUAGGUCUACCCCCUAAUAAAGGUUUCGCUCGACGACCCUGUAUCCAUUCUCGAUUAAAGCACGGAGAGUUAGGUUUAUUAUCUCCAGUUUGAUGCUAUCUUCUCCACGACUUGGUUCUUAUGGAUCUCCUCCAGGUCCUAGGCAUCUUGUCUCUAGCUCUGCUCUCUAUCGGUAGUCAAAUCAGUACUUUGUCUUUGCCUGUCUCUGUCCAUUCCUUCAACACUGAUGGACUCGGAGUGGCAUAACCCCUUUAAUAAGAAGCAUAAGACCUAAAGCGAGGAGAUAGAAUCGAAAGAAUGAUAGCAAGUUCUUUGAAAGUGGGAAGAAAGCCAAGGAUACGGUGGUGUGUAGGGUCUUUCAAAUCAAUCAGGAAAGCAUGAGCUGAGAAGGAACACGGCUUUCCGCGCCUUGACAAGUGGAUCUACCAAGAAUAGCUUUUUCAGCCGUUACUUAUUAUAUAAUAGCUCGAUCCGCUCACGCAUGUGAUUGAUUUCUCCCCUCUCUUUCGAAAAUCUUCCAUUCGAACAGGAAGAUUCCCUUCUCGCUGUGUAUCCAGAACCUGAGGAUGAUGAGGAUCUAUAAAGGUUCUUUGAUCGAGCUCUCGCUUCGGCUUCUUUUGUUGCCGAAGACCAGGACCCGUCUUAUUUGCUGAAAACCUGUCUGUUUUGUUUAGGGACUCUUUCCUUUCAAUGGACAUACUUGCCUGGAACUGAUUCUACCUUGAGAGCGCUUCCCUCUUUUCUGAUUCCUUCCCUUUGACCACCGAAAAUACAACUUCUAAUAGCCAUUUCUAUUUUUUAGAUGUUUCAAACAAGUGAUUUUACACUUUUAUCCUUCCUGUCUUUCCCCGAUAGAGGAGUUUGACCCUUCCACUUCUGCCUUUGCCCUUUGUACUUCUUCCCGCAAUUGAGAUCCCUAUUAAGGAAGAAUAUCUCGCUCGUGCUUUUUUUGCGAGGAAAUCGCUCUACUUUUUCCAGCGAUGAGUGAUUGAGUAAGGUCUAAUUCAAUCUGUGUUAUGACCUACCUUUUUUGAUUGAAGUAAACGAGAGCUUUACUUCUUAUUUUCAAACCCUAAGGUUUGAGCUCGUCCUCGGGUCGGAUUCGGAUCCUUUUCUCUCUUUUGAAAUUCCAUAGAUAUAGAUGUCUCGACUGCCGAAUCCGAAUCCUUAGAACAACUCGAUUCCGUUGAUUCACUGUCCAUUUGUCCUUCAACCGGAUUAAUGGUCAACGACUUUGACAGCCUUUCCUUCACACAAGGUUUUUAAUCCAUCUCCCCCGCUUAGGGCAGUAAGGGGAAGUAGCGAUAUUCCGAUUCCUUCGUGGGGAAUCAACGAAGGCAGCCGCUCCAGCAGCUUUAGUACUUAAGUUAACGCCCCAGCCCAUAUCCCGCGAUGAGAAGGUAGAUGCGGUAAGCCAACUCCUAUCCUUCUUGCGGAAAGGGCAUUCAAUGCCAUCUUCAUUCCCUUCCUUGCUUCGAGGAGCAGGUCGAAUAGUCAAAGAAGGGGAUGGCUAAUUCCAGGAAUAGAGUAGCAUUCUCAAGCACUACCCUCCGUUUUUUUUCAGUCCAUAUAAAACAGUCAAUCUACCAGCAGCAGAGGCUGCAGAUACAUGUCCACCACCUGUUUAUCUACUACCAUAAGCGGGAGCAGUUGCAGGUAAAGAGUGUUGUGAGGGCUUUCAUUUGCGCGUUAAGGGCAGUUUCUGUUAUAGCACUAGAAAUCUGUGCCGUUAGUCUCAGCUAGAACAGAGGUUUAGCAUCGACUAAAUUCCGUAUUCCGUACGUUAGGAAGGCGAUCUGAACUUUCAUCAUAGCCUUGAACCGAAGAGAGCAAUGCGAACAGUUCAGGAGGUCGCAAAUCAAACCCUUAGUUCAGUGCCGGGUUUCAUAAGUACUAUCGGUCAAUCAUAUCAUUUUCUAGACGGAAUGGGGUGUAGGCACGUUUAUUGGAGCAGUUGGGAAGAACACCGGCCAAUUUUGGCAAUCGUUAGAAAAAGGAGCUUGGUCAGCCAUGUUCCCUACGUACCCUCUCGUUAUUCCCAUGAUUUUCCGUUGUACCUAUUCUAUUCUCCGCAACCGUCGGUUCAGAUCUAUCUCGGGUAUGGUCACUGCACUCCAAUCGUAGUAUCUCCAAUCUCUGCCUUGGUUGGUGCACCUAUGGUUCUUUUUGUUAUUGAUGCCAAGAAAGAGAAAUAAAGGAAGAAUAUCUUCAUUGCCUCUAGUUGCGAAGGUAGCAAAGCUACAGAUUUGAGUGAAAUGGUUGGUGGUAAUGAUGUGUGGUAAGGUCGCUGCUAAUGAAUGGUGGGUGCGUGGAGAAUGCUAUGGAUUCGAGCUCUAUUUUCCUCUCGGUACUUAGAUUUUUUUCUUAUCUCUCAUUCCUGUUUCCUUUGUUCUGCCGACUACAUUGAUUGGAUACCGUUGGGCUUGCCUACGCACUAAGUAUACCGAUUAUCCAUUGAAUUGCCUUUGGUUGUCCCACCCAUUUUGGAGAUCUUAUUCUAACCUUGUUCUAUUGCUCUUUCUCGAUGGUAUUUCGGAGUGCUAGACCUCAUUCUCUUUGAUACGCUUAUUCAAUUGUUUCUUACGAAACCUUACGUUACUUUAAUUCGAUGAGGAGGAUGGGACUAAGGAGCGGGUACGGGAGCUUGACCAGGAACAAGAUAACGUGAAGUGGAUUUGCCUUGGGUUAUCAAACCUCCGACCACUCUUCGAUUAUUUUGAAGUUCUGAAUUUCUCCCCUUUAGUCGGGUGGGCUCACUUUUAUGCCUUUUCCUCCCACGAUUUAAGGAUUGGCUCAAGCAACCUAUCUUACUUACUAAUAAUAAUAAAGGGGCAGGUUUGAGUCUUAAAGUUUCAGUCUGUCUUUUUCUUCAAUGGAUAAGAAGCUCGACGAAGAGCUCUCCUUGCCUUUAUAUAUACGGAAAAAGGCGAAUCCAAUUUUAUUUACUUUACUAGGAAAAAAUAUCAUAGGCACGGACACUUCCUUUAAGAAAGCCGUACUCUCAUCAGCUUUCAAGUAGAUAAAGAAGUUAAGGCUAGUGACAUCAGCUAUCGGCUAUUGGCCUUUGUGAAAGCUUCUCUUCAAUAUGUUUUAUCCUUUUCCAAGCCUUCUUCGCCAAUGAUUAUGGGUCGUUCCUGUCCUGUAGUUCAAUACACUAUUCUAAGGCCAGUUGCCUAUACAGGAUCUCAAGUUUCUAGUACAGUCAGCUUUGGUUAUCGCUACACCCUCUCUAGACAAACGAUUUGAUUCAAGCCACUCUACUACUGGUACAGUAGCACCCUGCCUUAAUAAUCGCAUAGGCACCCGGGAACCUGACUCAGUAAAGAAGGAUACUCCCUAAACAAGACUGCUAGCUGGUAUGGAGGGACUUGCUUUGCUUGCUUCCUAGUCAAAUAUGCCCUAUCCGUCUUACUUGAAUAUGAAUGGUAUAUAUAAUAAAUAGAAAAGAAACUUCCUGCAGAUUGCUCAAACCACGUAACCUAAUCAAUGCGCCUAUUCUCCUAAAUCAAGACAAAAGGGAUUCCACGGCUCAAAGGACUUUUAAGCCCAAAAGGGACCUCGCUCGAUCAGAAAAGAAAAGUCCAUUUUCAAUCAACUGAUGAAUGCCGUCAAUCCACUUUCAAUCAAUCGACGACCGCUCUUCUUCUAUUCUGAACGUCUUAAAGUGUACCAUUCAGAAAAGGUAAGGUUACAGGGCGCUCUGAGGAGGAUAUUUGUAAAAAGGAUUUCCAAUUAAUUAGUAGGAGAAGCCCCUUAUUAAAUAACUUAGCUCGAAGGUCCAAAGUAAGAUGCUUAACCCAUGCCAUCCCAUUCAACCUUAGUGCCGUGUUAUCCUAGAAUCUAUCAUUCUCCAAAAUUCCCUAAAGGCCCCCCGGGCUUGACAAGUUCAGCAAAACCGUAGAGAAAGCGGGCUACACCUAGCUUAGCCUAUCCAAUAUCCGAUUCAAAAAGAGCUUGGAUUGCUGCCUUUUCUAUCUUCUUAUAAAGUUAGUCAGUCCCAGUGUUGGGCAGAGCCCAUUGUCAAAAGAUCGUUUUGCUUGGAUGCUUGCUUGAAUCUAGCUACUUCCAAAAAAGGCAUUUUUCACUCUAUACGGUAUGGCUACAAACCGAAUGAAGAAGUCAGAAGCAGUUCAUCGCCUGUGGGAGCUUGCUGAUAGUAAGGAAGCCAUAAUCUUUCUAUCGGAUUGCCUAUUUGUCUAUCUGUCUGGUGAAGAGAGAAUGUAAGAUACUCUCAAUAGGGCAAGCACCCAAUACCUCGUAGAGUCCAAAGCUCCAGCUCAAAGAGUUCAGGAAGACCAACCAUCCACACUUGAUUAGCUACUGUGCACUUCACCAGAACAUGGUCUAUGUCCUCCACUACCCCUUCACAAACAUAAAAAAAACACUGAGACAAUGGGAGCAAAUUCCUUGAGACAAGAAGUUCGUUCUCUGCACGGAAGUCUAUUCCAAUAAGCUUUCCACCAAAAAAACGGAAUGCAGGGAAUGACCUUAAGCUUCCAUACGCAAGAGAAAUGAAGACCACCUUCCUCAUUAAAUGGCUGGCAGACCUCCCUGUAUACUUCCUUCAUCCUAAUCGUCAGAGUGAACAGAAGACCCCCAUGUCAAAGUAUCAGAACAGAUGCUUCUAGGAAUUGGUACAGCUGAAAUUUCUCGCACCACCUCAUCAGGGAGAAAAAAAGCUAAUAAACUAAGAUGCCAAUCCCUAUUAGGAAUGAGAUAGUGGGAGAGAGACAAACCUUCCAACAGCUCUGACAUGUUCAUAGGAAUAGGCCUUCUAUUCAAUGCAGUCCCACCGAGCCAAGGGUCUUAUAACAAUCGCACCGAAUUACCAUCUAAAAUCUGCCACUGGAAGUUCUCUUUAAUAGAAUGACUGGCUUUACAUAUCUCCUUAUUAAUAGGAAAUGAAUGGGCAGCAACAUAGAACCCAUCCCAAGAACCCUCAAACCUCCCUGGAGAACACGGCUCCACAACGUAUUUGGUAGCGGAUCCACUUUUCCUUAUCUGUUAACGUAUACCUUUCCUCUGCCUAUGAGCUAGCUAAAGAUCCAUCAUUAUCCUUUCCGGCAAUGGAGGCGGAAUCAAUGGUCAUGUCAGGUUUCAGAUUCAAAGAGAGAUGUCAAGCAAGCGCCGAAUCUGAGUACUCAACUUUCCCGACCCGCCUCUUCCACUAGACCUCGUCUUUCAAAGAGCAGCAGCCCUGCAAGCCUAAUAGAACCUUGUUUCCCUAUUACUUACUUUUGCUUUGAGCGUCGCACUCCAGUGGCUUUCUUUCCUAUGGCUUGGAUGGGGGUCCUCAACAAGAUCUAUAUCGGUUUCAUUAUUUACUUAUUUAGACGAUAGAUGAUGAUAGAGAGAAGACUGGCUCUGAGGAAGAAUAUCUUAAGUAGUUGAAUCCGCUCCGCUAGGUUAAAUUGUAUGAUCUGAAUGUAGGAGGACUGCUGCUGGUGACACAAUUUCUUUUGGGUCUGAAGAAUGAACUCAGAGCUGCAGUGGAAGUGCAGGUGCCUAACUCAAUUAGUGAAGCUGCAUCUUUUGCUCAAUCAAGUGCGGGAAGGAGUUUUGGAGAGAGGCAGGCACUACAUGAACAAGAAGGACAGUAACUAGAAUUAUAAGUCGGCUGCCCCGCAGCAGCAAGGCUAUGUCUCAGUCAAAGUUCGACAAGGGGAAAAACAGUUGAAGGAAUACAGAAGAGAAGGGCUAAUGGUCUGUGUUAUAAGUGUGGAGAAUAAUAUUAUCCUGGUCAUGUAUGUGCAGCACCAGUUCAGGCUCAGAUUCAGGCAGUAUAGACCACUGAUAUAUUGUCUUAUGACAUACUUUAGCCAAAGAUACGGCUUUCCUUUCCCUUGCUAGCCGCCCCCUCUCUUGCCUAUCAGCUGGGAGUUCGCAUACAACACAAUAGCUGCUACCAUUUCACCAUUGAGGUGGGUGGCUCCGUACAGGCACUAUACAUAAGCUCUAUUCCUUACAGUCACUAUAUACUACGUAAGAGCUUAAGCCCAUCGGGAGAAGCGCUCCGGAUCUUGUCCAGGAGGCUGAUGAGAAGGUAUAGAUGAUUCGGAAAACGCUUGUUAACCACGCAGAGUAGACAUUCGUCUUAUCAAUAAAAGUCAGGGCUGAAGUGUUAUGCGGAGGGAUUUAUCCAAUGGAUACUGAUACCCACUAUAAUAAAAUAGUGACGAUAAAUCUGGCAGGUGGAAGAUUGAAUGGUAGGGAAAUGACGACCCUUUCUAGCUAACUUCACUAACAACUCUUCUAUAUGUGGCCACCAGAGCAACACAAAUGCAUUGAUAAGUAGUUUGCCUAUCCCCAACCUGGUAAUCAAAUCGGAGUGAGAGUUUCACCCAUGGGUGUGUAGUAAGGUCACUUAUCUAUCUUUAUGUCAAACAAACCUUGGCCCCACGGGAAGAUUUAGCGGGAUAGCUUCUUUUUCGCUGAACACUCACUAUAUUCAGCUAAAGCUGGAUGCAUAUUCUAUUAUAUCUUGCCUUGGUAGAGCGAAACUUUGAACCCAACACAAGCAACUCUCCCGGUUUAGCGAUAUUGAUGGGUUCCAGCCUCAUUCCACUAGCCCUAAAAGCAUUCUAAAUAUAUAAAAGAGGGGGAAUGGAUUCUACAAGAAAAGGCGGGCAAAGGUAGUUCAGGGGUCAAUUCUUGGAGCAUAGCUCAUUUCUAAGUCCCCAACCCAUCUCGUGCUCGUGCUGUACGCGAUCGAAUCUUGCGGCCGGAUAGAGCAAUGGAAUCACCGAGUCGUAUGAAAAGAGGGCUCUUCUUUUUAAUCUUAACACAAAGGCUAGCUCCCCUGGGGGUUGUCAUAUUACAAUCAUUUGUAUUACUUUCCUACCAAUCCUGAACUAGCUAUGACCCUUAUAGCGAGCCUCGCUUUACCGUUUCAGAUAGAAACAUAUGGCGCUCCUAAAGUCGAUUGGAUACUUUCUUUUUUAUUGAAUUAAGCUAAGCCGUGGACUUUCUCACGUGAAGAACUCCUUCUUAUGAGCUCAUGGACUUGAUCAAUGCUAGUUCAAGUUCACGUCAUAUUAGGAAAUUAGUUCAUUAAUUCGUUUAUUUGCCAACGAAGAAGCCUUGCGCUACUCGGAAAGUACUGACUAGAGGGGCGUGUGGAUCCACAGUCCUAGCCAUUCUCACAACGGGAUAAUAAAGCGAACAAAGACCAUGAGAAGAGAUUACAACAUCCAGAACGAAGCCUGUCAAGCCAACCUUCCCUCACUAUUUACUAUCUUCUGCUGGUACCGGCCUACUCUUCAUUGAUACAGGCUUCUGCACUUUUUCAUGAAGACAAGCAAGAGCUAUCAUCUGUCUUGGAGUUCUACCAUGAAGAAAUAGGAUCUAAUAGCUAAGAAAUAUUUGCAACAGCUAAUGAGCUGACAGAGCAAAUAGGAAGGUACACAGAGAUUAAAGACAUUCAUGUUAUUACAAAAGUAUGUUUCCAAUACUGGGAGAAUGAUUAUGCUGGUAUGAAGAACCUCAUGUCUUUGGUUGCCAGUAUUAGCAGGAUAGCCGCGCGUAUUCAGCAGCCAGUUAUAUUGUCCAAUAAAUACUGGGUUACAAGCCAAGACUAUUUUGUCAAGGAUCCUGUCAGAGUAACAUUGUGGUAUAAGCCAAUUACCCCGGAGUAUUUGCCUUUCUUUACCUAUUUUAUUAUAGAUUUAUUGCUUUCACAUGCCAUGAUAUUUCUUCCUUUCUUAUCGAUUACGGCUAGAAAGAGAGGUUGGUGUGGUCCAUACAUCACUAUCAUAGAUCCACUAUGUACUGGUAACGUUAGCCUAUUCGUAAAUCCUCAGUACUGUACGUACUCGAGAGAAGUUGCUCCCUUCCAUGACAAAGACUAGUUAAGUUUCACUAUCUCCUUUCUCAACUCACUAUAUCCCAGCUGCACAAGAGUAGUCAAUAAAAUCAUAAAAGUAAGAAGGAAGCAAAGCAAAGGAUCGGAUGUGGCGGGAUACGAAGUGCACCGCUAAGCCAAUACGAAUGUAUACAUACGAACCCACGCCAAUACUAGUAGUAGGGGUAUUGAACUCAAUUAAAGAUUAGGGCACGGUUUCCGGUUGACUUUUCGAAUCCUAUCCUCUGUUUCUGGUUAAACCAAUUAAAUAGGAGUAUCCACCCAACUUUCAUAUGCUGUUGUUCCUAUACGCUAACGGGUUCAUCUUUAUAGGCAAUGAUUUCAUUUGUAUUCCAAUUCGUACGUAUACCCCAUCGCUUUGUUUACCAUCCCUAUCGUCUCGAAUAAGGUUUCCUAGCCUAGCCCAUCUCGGUGUCAGCUACCGAAAGAGAAAAUUGGUCUAAGGGCAGCAUCUACUCGUUCAUCGCUUGCCUCACAUCGAAAGAGGCAUGGCUUCUCUCUUCACUCACUCCCCUGUUUGCCAGCUUCAAUAGCAUGGAAGAAGGUGUUCAAAGAACAUAGUUUCACAUCUACAUUUUCUCCAUUUGAUCAAGAUCAAUAAUUCACUUAUAGAAAUAGAAUAGAAUAGAAAUAUCAAGAGAAACACUCUUCUUUCCGAAGAUCCAUUUCUAGUGGGACAUCGUUCAUAGGGAGCGCACAUCCAAUGCGCCCUCUACUCUUCACUCUUCACUCUUGUGCUCCAUAUCCUCUUCAACAAGGAUUUGCGGCUCCAAUCCCUUUAUUUUUCCAAAGGUAAAAGAUGGAACAGACCGAAUCCAAAAUGGAGGCGGGUGUCCCUUUCCUAAUGCUUUCAUAGCUUUUGCUCGUAUCGUCGGAAUCCGAGCUCUAUGGGUAUUCAACAAGAACCCAGCUGGGAUAAAUAAAAAUGGGUAUACUUUAUAAUGAUCAUGCCCUUCAUUCAUCUCUUUUCAAACUAGGAAUACAUCGUGGAAUAGAAUUGAUCAUUUAUUUUUCAUUGUAUUAUAGAGGCUGUUAGCGGAAUUAUUGCAUUCGAAGUCAAAUAACUUGCUAUAAUGAUACUAGUACCUAUUGCGGCAUAACGCAUUUUUGAAGGUUCAUCAUUGAGCGCGUAUUCACUCUGCGGAAGUAUAUUACAAAAGGGGUACUUAUUUCGAUAUAUCGAUAUAACUCUAUUUGUUAGUUUCAGGAAACUGGUACAUAUUUCUAAUAAUAAUAAUAAUAUAUAUAUAUUAUUAUUUGGUAUUUACCAAUUUUAGACUAAGCAUAAAUUCAUUUGGAAAGAAAAGGGAAAUCCCCUGAAAUAAAGGAUUUUUACUACGUUACCCUCAAAAAGAAGAGGAAGACAAACUAGCCAAGAGACAGAAAAAGGUAGAGACCAACAACCGAAACAAGGGAGUAAGGGCUAGGGGGAUAUGGGCCAAGAAAGGUCCGAUGUAUCGGUCAGCUAUACCUAAUCCUUCACUCAAAAACGCAUCACACCCUUUGUAGGUUCAAGCCGAAGUCAAGCAUGAUCACCUACUACAAACUCCAAAUAUCGUGGUCGGCGUACCUGGUCCUGAACUGCUUUUAAUCUAGAAUAAGUGGAAUCUUCUCGGCACUCUCCUUCAUCUUCUGUGGCCCCGUCGGUCGGUACGUGCCAACCCCAACAAAUCGGGGUACGACAAAGGUUCCCGUAGAGUGCUUCGAAAGGUGCCAUUCCGAUGCUAGAGUGAUAGCAGUUGUUGUAAGCAAACUCGGCUAAUGUAUCUCUAUGCCUAUUUAGUAGGCCUGCUCAUUGAUGCUCUUCGGGCCGAUUGUAUGGGAUGUGUUCUGGUGUACAGUGGGAGAUGCAAGGAUAUCGAUUGAAGUUUGAUUUGUUGGCCAUGGAGUUGGGAGCAUAUGAUGUAGUCCUAGGAGUAGACUGGAUGAGGAAAUUCCCUAUUAUUUAAAUAAGUCUUUCCGUUGGUUGUAACUAAUCCCGUACCCGCUGCUGCGGAAUUCCUUUUACCUAACCAGGAUUGCAGUAAAGAUAAACAACGUUGGGCCUGCCUGCUUGUUCAGCACCACCCAUUCCCAUGGGAAUAUAUGGGUUUUUCGGUCCAGUGGGAGGAUCAUUUUCCUUGGAAGGUAAUUUUCCCAACCAAUAAGUAUUGGGCUCCCAAGUAAACAAAGCGAAGGAUCAAGUAACCAACAUGUUGCGGAGCAGCCAAGUAAACCCAGAAAUGACUCAAGUAAUCCAAGGGCAGAGCAACGUAAUCCAACGGAGGGGCUACGUGAUCCAACAGAAGAGCUACGUAAACAAGGAACACAUGAACCUGCUAAGGAUCCACUCCACCUGCCAAGUGGACCAAUCACAAGAGCUCGGGCCGAGAAAUUCAAUGAAGUAAUCCAUAUGCUGAUUCAGCAAGCCAAGCAUUGGAGUUGGUAUUCAAAGUUUCUUGAAUAACCUAGCUGUCUGAAACUCGCCAAUGGGAUUCUGUGUAAUCCUCCGGUCUACAUGGUGUAGGUAAAGGGCAAAAAAAAGUCGCUAAUUAGUGGCACUGAAGUAUGCACCCGGCGUGUAAACUUAUUCUUUUUAUUUACCAAUGUCGCUAUCCGACUGAUCAUCCUUUGAGACCACGGAGAACAUCAGAGAGAAAGAUACGUCACCUAAAAAAAAUUUACACCCUGACUUAUAUGAGUCGGCUAGAAACUCAAGGCCUGGCCUUUUGUGGGAGAAUGCUGAGUCCUUCCCAAAAUCGCCUGGAUCAACGAAAGAUCUGGAUAACGCUAGGUUGUGAUACUGAUGUCUGAUUUUACUCAUAUACAUCCAAUAGUGAAGGCCGUGAAGUUUGAACAGCCUCACUUAACCCUGGUUCGGUAACCUUUCUAGCGCCCAGGUAUCCAUGACCUGUAGAUAGAGGCCCACUUUCCAUUGGAUACUCCGAAUAAAAGAAGAAGUAGUUACCUAAUCAUGGGUCUAUACGUAAGAUCUCCUUGCAUAGAGGUUAAGGCCAGACGGAUUACUGAAAUGUAGUUUUACUAACGUUUCCUCAUCGACUGCGAGAGUUUGUGGUGUGUGUUCUCGGACCAAAGAAACCAAACAAGCAUACCUUUCCUUUAAUGGAGUAUCUUGGGUAUGGUACUCCCUCUUUAUCAGCUCGAUGUUCAAUCAGCAUUCCUUCACGGGGAUCUUGACCGGAUGUAAGUCAAGAUUGCUAUUAUCUUAUUAAAGAACAUAAACUUCAAAGCUUCUAGUCUGUCCCAACUCUUUCGAGCCGCUCUCCCAGUCAACGUUCAAAGGCAUCACCAUACCAUAGCACUUUUGAGCUUGAGAAAUGCUUUUCUGGCUUCUUCUCCACACCUUUCUUUAACAACUCAGUUAAAGGCCUGCUGAUAGCUCCAUACCCCGGUACAAACCUCCUGUAAUAACCCCUGCAACCCUCGGAGUUCUCUGACAUUGGCUGGUUCUGGCCAAGCUGUCAUGCCCUCUACCUUGUUUGUAUCAGUAGAUACCCCAAUUUCAUAAAUAAUGUAUUUCCUUUAUGAAAUUUGGCUCACCCACAAAAAGUUUGUUCUGCCGGAACACUUCCUCUAGCAACUUGAGAUGCUCCACCAUGGUAGAACUGUACACUAGAAUGUCAUCGAAAAAGACCAAUACCCCUUUCCAACAUAUCUCUUUAAAAACACUAUUCAUGAGUUGUUGAAAGGUUGCCGGGGCAUCACCUUGAAUUCAAAAAGCCGGUCCUUCAGGCUGUUUUGUAGAUAUCCUCUUCCUUUCAUUCUUAUUUGGUGAUAACCAGCCCUCAAAUCUAUCUUAGUUCACACCUCAUCCAAAAGUGCCGGUCUUCUAUGAUAGGAAUGGGGUUGAACCCCUUGCAGAAAAAGUAGGAAAAUGGACUGAAAUUGUUGGAUAAGUGGAUUUGCAGUAUCUCAACAAUCAGAACAGCGAAUAUUCCAUCAUCCAAACUAAGCUUCCUCAGAUCCUAACCCAUUGGUCAUUAUCGAGCCUCGUGACUCCGGCUGUGUUGAUAUCUUCGUAUUACGUGUUAUCAUUCUAUCUAUCUGGUUAUUGCUUUAUGUGUUGGUUGGUAUUGAACUAUUUAAGUUUAAGUAGAAGUGAUUUCUUCCUCAUUAGCUCCAUUUUGAUUAUCAUUUGCAUCUUGUGAUGAAUGAAGUGAACUUGAGCUCUCUAGUGCUUCUAUUUUCUCUUCGAAAGCAUUUACUAGUAUUCGAUGAGAUUCUGAAAGACCAGAAAGACAAGUGAUAUGAACUGGUUUUGUAUCCACCCACUUUCCUUCGUUAUCUUCAACUCUUUCUCUUUUGGUAGAGGAAGGCAUUCCCAGUAUAACUGAUGAUUCUUGCUUUCGUAUUGUUAAUGUUUUCAAUUGUACACGGAAGGGGUUUGUGACCACUACCAUUUUAGUAAGGGAUUUAUCCUCAUAUUGUUGGAGAAACCAUUCUUUGCUAACAUGGCUCAGCCUAGCAAUGGCUGGGAAUUUAUUGUCCCAGAAUGCAAAAAAAAAUGUCCGCCACUUUGUUGCUUUCAGCACGUUUUCUAAUGAAGUCAAGCCCCUUCUGGAUGUCCGCUGCUGCACUAUGCUGUGUCUUACCAUAGACAAGAGGCAUAUACACCUUCUUCACCAACUUUCAGUUAAGGUGACGGCUAACGGCUUCCUUGACACUAGCUUCCAGAGAUUAUGAUGGAAUCUCCUCUUUGAAGUCCUCUAAUAGUGAGGAAUAUAGGUCAUAUACUUGAUCCUCACCAUCAACCCGUCAAAAGUUAGUACGCACUGCUAGAUCCUGGAAAUAGCUCAUUAUCUGGUAAGCAGACGAGGAUGCAUCACAUAUAUAUGUGACAUCCGCAACCUCAGAUUUGGGUUUAGCAUUUACCUGUUUCCUUCCAUCCAACUUGGGAAGGGAUCCCUCCAUGUGCUCUCUAUGACACUUGGCCUGAUUGUUACCACCGGUAUCUCUCCUCGCAUGCAGUUGAUGACCAUCUCGCCCAUGGCCUUUGUGAACACAUAAGUGUCUUGCCAACCAUAGAGUUUGGCCCUAUGAAUAAAUAAAUUGCACAAAUCAAAUACUUCAUGUGUGUAUUCGUAUCUACAGACAUGAGAAAGUAACAGGGAAAUACUAGAAUACCUCGACUACCUAACUCUUUCAUUUCUUGAGUAACAGAAGCAGAGGCAGAAGAAUGCCUUCUGGAGUAAAAAGCCAACUUGAUCUCAGCCUCGAUAUCCAACACGGUAUUCUGAUGUGCCGAAAAAUCUGAGGAACCUAUCCCCUUUGUUAUGGUAUCCCCUAAGCAAAAUGGCUUCUCUAGUAUCAAACCUUGCCUCUGCCCAUUCACAUAUGCUGUUUGGCCAAAAACAUGACAUGCAAACAUACUGCUAAAGCUUGUUUGUAAGCUUUUGAGAUUAAUAGAAACAGGUUACCAUUUGAUUUCGACCACAAGAAACUCUUAUUUGGCAUUCUGACCUGUUGAUACUUGCAAGAAGAGCUUCAGUCUUCGAAACCGCUGCGCGAAACUCAUUAUCCGGAAUGGCCCCACGGUGUUGAUGUCUAGUGCUACAUCAUACCUGCAAGUUGCAAUACUUUUAUUGCUAUGGAAUGUGAACUUACACAUUUAGUAAUGGAAGCAAUCCUUGGUGCAAGACUAGUAUAGCUUCACGAACCUCUCAUCAAAAGUGGUAUUUGCUGCAGAGUUUACGAUAACAUCCACUUCUUCCGCGAUCUCUUUGGCUAACUCAGGAGCAAUGCCAAUGUUGGCUUCCCUGAAAUUACUAACGACUGGAACCUGCUUGCUUAAUACAAAGCUGUGGUAGUUUUUCCCAUGGAUUUCCUGUAAACAUCUGAACAACUCAGUAUCUUCUACCUGUAUUGCAGACGGAAAAUAUGGUCAUUUGCAUGAAGAACAGAAAGUAGUCCGAAGUAAUCAUCAUACCUCGUUCUUCAAUCUUUUCAUGGCUGCUUCAUUGUCCUUGGCCUUGAUCAACACGUAUAUUUUACCAACAUCAGGAUUUGUCCUUAAAAUGGGAUCGAUAAGAACUGAUGAUCAGAAUCCGACAAAGUAGAAUGGAAGAACAAAGGAAGGAAGUCAGGUAGCUUAGAGCAAGACAAAGGCAGAAUGGAAGAACAGCCUAAAAGUGGGGGGCCAGACAGAAACUGUCUCACUCAAACUGGCAUUUGAAAAUGCUACCCGCCCUUCCCCUAUUUCUGCAUUUCAUUCUUCUAUUCCUUCUGCUUGCUUUUCUAGUUAAGCUGCUCAUAAACUAGAUCCAUAAAACUCACUCAGCUACUGUCUUCUUUCUAUAAUUGGUCUCUAAGUCCAAGUAAUCGAUAAAGUAUAAUCCUCUUCCCAGCUCCGCCACCUCCUUUCUACCGAGUAUGCUCUACUUGAAAGAACAUAUUUCUCAAUAAAUAAGUGCAUUACUAUAUUCACAGCUACAAACUAAGCCUAAUUUCCAAUAUGUCAUAUGUAUCACUUUGAUGUUGUGGGAUCACUGGCUUCUUGCUCAACGGAUUUCGCUUCUGCACUUGACUUGAGAAGGGCGAAGCCUUCAUGACCGGUACCGGUAUCUGUUCAAGAAGUCAGUACUUAUGCGGCACUGAACAAAGGGUGAGAUCGAUGAAAUGCAAUACAUGUUUGAAUAUUUCCUAUCUUCUUCCAGCCAUCAAACUUGUUCAAUUCGUUUUCUUGAGAUCUGUGGAAUAGUGAUAUCAUACUUGAAUCCACAUUCCCAGUAUUUGAGGAAGAAGUAGAAUCUUAGUCCUUUCUAAUUUCUAAGUUGGGAAUUUGAUAUCGACUAAAUCAAGAAACUCGAUUUCACUAUGAUAUGACCACUGAACCCUUUGAUGCAACAUUUCUUGUUUCCAGAAGAUCUCGGAUGGUUUCUGAAGCUUCCAUGAUCUUGUAAAAGAAAGAAACCCUUUCUAUAAGUCAUGAAGACGUGGACCAAAAGACUAAGAAACUGCACAAUCUAUUGAUUGACUGAAAAACUCAAGCUGAGUAACUUGCUGGAAUGAUCGCUCCGGCUCUGGGCCGUCUGAUCUUCGUGAUGCAGAAUAGGGGAUCGCUUGCCAACCGUUAGUUAGGACCAGUGAAAACCCACGCUUGGUGAAGGCGAAGUUCAGUUUGGAGAUCUAACAAUUCCUUAUGUCGUGUAUCCUCGAUUGAUGCAGCCUCAGAUGCUUCAAUUGUAGAUUUGAGUAUUGAGCGAAAGGUUACACCACCUAUAGGUUCUGUAUUACAGGCCAAUCCUACUCCACUAGUACCAAUAGGCGGCAUAGGGGAAAAAGCACAACACCUAGGAAUAGGAAUCAACAACACAAAAACUUUCUGAGAAAUUACCCAGCAAGAAAACGUAUGCGCGUGGGCGCAACGGAUUUCGCUCCCGUGCGCUCAUCCCUUGCUUGUUCUUUCGGACUAGCACUCUUUCCCUCUCUUUGAAGUAGAUUUCUCAGCUCCACGAGUCAAACGAAAUAAGGCGAAAGGCCCACUACUUCUUCAUUCAUGGCUUAUUGAUUUGAUUGAUCCCCCUUUCGUAUUCAUUCGACCUGAGGUGAGGUUGGAACAAGAGUUUUCAUAAAAAGAAUGGUUCUUUUAUGCAAUUAUGAACGGGCAGGCCUCUUGUGGAUUCCUCCAACUCUAUGAAUGAAGGGGGGAGUAUGAGGAAGGCCGAUUUUCUUUCUAUAUGAAGAUGAAAAAAGGAUCAGGGUCAAACAUUUCUUACUUUUGUUGAGUAUGACUGAAUGAGGAAGAGCUCCUUAUGUGGUAUCACUUUACCACCAUCUGAAAUGCGCGAAACUCCGAUUGGUGGAAGCCAGUCCAUGAAGAUUCUCCCUUCUCUUACGUGAAAUUCCCCUCUUUCGGUAAGCAUCUAGUAUCUCAGCAAAUGAACAUUUCUCUAAGCUUAUCCUGUAGCUUAUACGUCGUUUGAAAGCUGCUCCAAGGAUCCAACGAAUAGCUAAGGUUUGUUGACGAUCCCUGGCUACAAUCCCAGGAACAUCAUAAAUAGUACCUGCGACUCCUACUUUGACCACUUCGCAUAUUGGCUUUAUAUUAUCUACGGCGUCAACCAUAAGUUUUAUUACAUCGCGUUCAGUUCGAGCUAGGCGGUGAAAAGUUUUAUAAACAAUAGCACGAACUCUCGUUCUUUUACCAUCGAUCAUGCGAAAGUUUACCAAUUUCUUGAUCAAUUCUUUUUGCUCACCAUCAAAGUCCCCCAUAUAGCUGAGAAUUUCCGAGCAAUUGGAAGCCGCUUUCGAUGACGAGGCCGAUAAAUUGAUAUUACGCGAUCGUUACUGUCCAUCUUUUUCAGCUCUGCUCCCGAAAAGAGAAAGGAGACUGAUCUUGACGUCGGCGUUGGUUUUUCCAACGAAACAUUCUUUCACGAACUAAAUGCUAGUUGCCUUGUAACGCAUACACUGGAGCGUUUGUCCCAUCGACGAAGGCCACUAUACGCGUUUUCUGAAGAGCAACAUGAGACUUUCUUUUCCUCUGGCUACUAAGAUGUUUCAGUUCGCCAGGUUGUCUCUUGCCUGCUCAUGGAUUCAGCAGGCAGUUCAAAAGGUUGACCUAUUUGGGAAUCUCCGGAUCUAUGCUUAUUUUCAACUCCCCGAAGCAUUUCGUCGCUUGCUACGCCCUUCCUCGUCUCUGGGUGCCAUCCUUUCUCCUGCAUUUUCGUGCACAUAAGCAUAGCUCCAACCACUUUUCAUGCUUAGCAAAUGCUGUAAUGAGGGUGCUGAAUGUAUACGGAUCUGGCACAAGAUCUCUGUCUGCCUUUUCUUUCAGCUGAUCCUCUACCUAAUGGUUCAGACCCUGGCAGACACCGGUGCGAGAACAGAGGCAAGUCAACUAUACCAGCAUUUCUGAAGAUAGGCAACUCUUUAUUUCUGAAGAUAGGAAUUCAAGAUAAAUAGAUCCGCAUUCAAGUUUUAGGCUUGUGUCCUUUCAUCUAGAAUGGCUGCUGCUUGGUCUUUAGUGAGCGAAGUCAUUUCCUCAAUAGAGUUCUUUGCCCGACAAAAGUGAAUCUUGAUCUUUCUUCUUGAUAGUUUGUGAUCGAGCCAAUCUCACAAUUUCGAUCUUGCUACUACCACUAUAGCCCUGAGUGACUAUGGCUACCUGAACUGAAGGAGUUCCCACAAGACCUGUGAAUGUCAACUUCACUCUAAGGGUAAAGCAUGCUCGCUCCUUCGCUCGUACGAACAAUCACUCGUUGCUGGGAGCUCUAUCCUCCUCGCACUACUAAAAACAGGGUGAAAGAAUCUCCCGCGUUCAGUCUGUGGAGGCCAACCAUCAUAGUCGUCUCUACACCAAGUUGGUCUUAAAGUCUACUCUGACUUGCGGCAAGUUGCCUCAACACCGCUGGUCCUUGUUGACUCGCGGCAAGCUUUCUACAUCAACCCCUAAGGUGCUUAAAAGUCUUGUGCUCUCUCUAUUUUCCUAUCGUGGGGAAUUAAUUAGGAGACUAGUGAGUUCGCCCAAAACGUCACCUACUGUGAGAGGAUACUAUUCUCCCUUCUCUGCCCAGUGAAUCUGGAACCCUAGUUGUUUGCCUGGGGAUUCUCCUCCUAUUCCUCGACUCUUUAUUAAGGAGACAGACCGGUAAUCUAAACUUAUAUUCUUUUUACAUAUAUUGCUUUUCAGUAACAGCUUCAAUACUCUUCUUGACAGGAGCAAACUCUACUAUCUUCUUCUUAGGACAUCUGCUAAUGUCAUGACCAAACUCCUAGCAAACAGCACUGGAUUUGGGCUUCCAUGCAUAUUCUUCUUUAAUCUCAAUCUCGUCUCCUUAAUAAGUAAGUAAUUACUAAGAUAGUUUCCAAGAUCCUUGAAAAAGUAUUUUUUUACUUUUGCAAAAGCAAAUAUUGUAUUUUUUUCAGUGACUUUAUCCAUCUAGAGAGGCUUCCCCAAACCACUAGCUCUAGCAAUAUAGCUCAGUCCUUCUUUUUUAAUGUACUCCUUAGGAACUCCCCACAGUUUUCUAAAAUUGGGAUUUUUCUUUUUUCCCAUUUUUUCAACUGAAAUUUUGGCUGCCAUUGUCUCAACAGUAAUGGUAUGUUAGCAAUGUGCCAAGGGUCCACCUUCUAAUACCCAUUGUCUGGUUUUUUCAUCUGGAAAUGCAAAAUAGAAAGUCCAUUUUCCACCUCUGAUACAUCAACCCUGCCUCACGUUACCUCCUUCCGAGCCUGCGGCAUUCCGGCCGGCAUAUCUCGAGAUCGAGUUUCAGUUUCUUUUCUAGUUGGGGAUUAAGACCCGGCAUCAAAUCCACUAAAAGUCUGAGUAGCUUUGUGAAUGACUUCAAACCACCAUAGGUAGACCCAUCCACUUAUUCCUCUAUCGGCCAGGCUUUUGUCCCUAUCUACGUUUGAUUUUAAAAAGAAAUGGAAGGGCGCUCUUUUUGAUCGAGAAACAAGGUUUGGUUGAAAUGCUACUGGUGGUUGGUGCUUCAGGCCGCAGUUGGUAUAUCAUAAACGAGUUAUAACCGGAAAAGCUUAGAAAGAGUAAAUGCUAUAUACCUGAUACCGGAAAGCGAAGCGUGGUGCUAACAUGACUAAAAAAACGAUUCGGAAAUCUGUCUUUAUAACUUUCUCUCAUGUGGAACGAAGAGAAGUUAGUAAAUAUAUUGGGAAGCCCUUGAUCGAGUAGUUCAUCCGAAAGCAUUUGAUCCAUCAGAUCAGUGCUUGAUCUUCUACUUAAUAGGUUCAAGACCUAAAUAAAGGAAUGAAAACAGCUGCAAGAUCCGCUUACUUCUUUCUCUUAGUCAGCUCUAUCUCAUAUUGCCUACAAGCUCUCGUAGUAUCUCACAGCAGUAUCGAAUAAUGAAAAGAAGGAAAGCUCUAUUGAAUAAGCCAAGGAUAGAGAGAAAAAACUUAAAGAACUAUUUGAGAAAAGGAAUAUAUCUCCAGGUUAUUCAUUCCAUCCUAAUUUUCAAUCUCGUGAAUUCGCCCUANNNNNNNNNNNNNNNNNNNNNNNNNNNNNNNNNNNNNNNNNNNNNNNNNNNNNNNNNNNNNNNNNNNNNNNNNNNNNNNNNNNNNNNNNNNNNNNNNNNNAUGGUACAUCGAGAUCAAUACAUCUCAAGAACACAAGAGAGAGAUAUCAAACACAUAGCUACUGGUACAUACCCUCAGCCCUGAGGGAGAACUACUCCCUCCUCGUCACGGAGAUCGUCGGGAUGAUGAAGAUGGCCACCGGAGAUGGGUUCCCCCUCCGACAGGGUGCCAGAACGGACUCCAGAUUGGUUUUUGGUGGCUACACAUGCUUGCGGUGGCGGAACUCCCGAUCUAGGUUUCUUUGGGGGGGGGGGGUUCUGAAUUUAUAGGAAUUUAUGGCGGUGGAAUUACGUCGGUUGGGCCCACAAGGAGGUCACAAGCCUGCCCUGCGCCACCUAGGGGGGUGGUGGCGGUGUCAGGGCUUGUGACUCCAUCAUGGACCAUCUGGCCUUCUUCCAAAGCUUCGGGGGUCCCUUUUGGUCCAAAAAAAUCAUCGUAAAGUUUCAUUCCAUUUGGACUCCGUCUGAAAAAGGGUCAAAAACACGGAAAAACAGAAACUGGCACUUGGCACUGAGUUAAUAGGUUAGUCCCAAAAAAGAUAUAAAAUAGCAUAUUCAUGCAUAUAAAACAUCCAAAGUUGACAAGAUAAUAGCAUGGAACCAUCAAAAAUUAUAGAUACGUUGGAGACGUAUCACUCGGCACGGUGCAUGUACUCACAUCAACAUGAAACCAAGCGACUGAGCUUUGGUUCCCGUGCCUGCUCCCGUGCAUGUCACCUUAAUAAGGUCCUUGCUUCUCUAUCUCCUCAAGUAACACCCAUAAGUGAGUUCAUGAGCACGUGUUGUAGCAUCAACUACAAGAGUAUGCCAGCGCAAUUGUCACUGCACGGACAGGGCAUUGAAGAUUUUGCUUGGUCGGCCUUCCUCUCUACAUUUGAUGGACACCCAUUGGAGGCCUCAUGAAUCGAUGACUCAUAAAGCACUUUGAUUAAGCUGCAACACCUCAGGGGGUCAGCCAUCACAAAAAGCUAAGUAUGAACACUUCGUAAAUCUCUUGGAUCUUCUUGAGCUUUUCUUCCUCAUGAUCUUGUCGAGUACCUUUGCUUUCUCCUUGGCGCGAGCCGUUUGCAUGUCAAAGGGGGGUAUCCUGAUCUUCGUGCCUCAGGAGCCCUUACCACCCAGCCAGAGACCUACAGUCGCUGGCCUUGUUAGACCACAUCUCAACAUACCAAAAACGGUUGCAGUACGCUCUGGGCUGGGUCCGAGCGACGCAGAGCAAAAAAUAAAAAGUAAAAAGGGAAGCGAAUCUCAACAAGAAACAACAGAACGACAAAAAGAGAUUAAAAUUUAGUAAAGUUACAAAAAUAAAUUGUCUUUACGCCCCCAUGGGGCCUUGUGGACUGUGAUGCAGUAGGGAAAAUAAAAGAUAAGGGCCUCAGGCCGAGGAAGCGCCAUCUUCGCCAUCAGGACCUUCUGCCUUAGGAUCGCCGCCUUCCUCAGAGGGCUCGGCAACAUGCAGGAACCGCUCGAUCAGGGAGCCCAUGUGCUCAUGCAUCUCCUUCAUGAGGUCACUCCUGAGCUCCUCAGGAACUAGAUCGAACACGCGGGUGAUGUCAAAGGAGGGGUCAUAGCAGAUGAGGUUGCUGAAGACGCGCGUUGCCGCCUGGUCCAUGACUCGCGAGCACCUUCCUUAAUGAUGCAUCCUACAUGGAGACGCCCAACUCCAACAUCUCCACCACCUUGGUGAAGAAGUCGAGCUAGAAGCCGUCGUACUUGGCGAUUGGUAGGCUCAAGACAUCCUCGACGAAGGGCUAAGCGCCCCACGAGUUCGUGUCGCAUGCCCCAAGUACAGUUUGGUGCGUUGUGACUCCAUCAUCCACACCCAUGCAGCCUCAUCCUGGGCCUUCUUGAAGACACUAGAGAUGACGAAAACCUAAGCCUGGAGUGACUACAAAUCCCCCUCAGGUUCUUCCUAAUCCCUUGAGGGAAAGGCGGAGGUUGGCCUCGACCUACUCAAGCUAGUCCUUGAGCUCGGCGACCUCCUUCUGGAGCUCCUCACACUUGGCUUGGAAGUGGGUCUCCUGCCGCUCCAUCUUGUCGCAGUGCACCUUUAGGAGGUCCACCCACUCCUUCACGACCCGGGCGUCCGCGUCGACCUUGAUCUUGGCCUCCUUAUUAUCGGCCUUGGCGCGCGCCUUUUCAAAGGCAUUCAUGUGAACGGACACCUGGUUCUCCAUGGUCGUUAGGCGCUCGGGCUCCUCCUGCUAGUCGAAGGUGGUCCGGGAGAGCUCUGGCUCCUAGAUGGUCAUGUCUCCCUCACAACCGGCAAGGGCCCUCCUUCUUGUCCAGCUUGUCCUCACGAGCGACGUAGUGUUGCUUGCAUGCCGCAGCUGCGUCCUUGUGCGCUCAGAGCUCUUGCUCCCACAGGGAGAUCUGCUCCUCCACCUCCUUCGUGUGAGCAUCCUCCUCCUCGCACUAGAGGUUGGACGCCUCCACGUAGCAAACACUGUUGUCCCAGAGCUCCUUAGCAUUGUGGGUGGUUUUGUCCCUCUUCGCCAGAGCACCCACAUCCUACCUAUGGCCCAGCUUGACGGCCACCUGGAGCCUACACCACCAAACGACCAAGCCCAAGUGAUCAGCCACAAGGCGCGCCUCCUCUACCUGGAGGUCGACCUCAAGCGUGUCAAGGGCGGCGUAGGCCGUCUCAAAGGCCCCACGCCUAACCAAGACGCUGCUUCUAAUACACUGAAGAACGAGGCAUGGGCGCUCUUCAUUGCUGCUCCUUGAGGCCACUGCCCGUGAAAUUCAUACGUAGGCCUCCUCCUCCAUAGGCUCCUUGCCACAGAUGAGAGCAUCCUUUUUAGCCGCAUAUUGGGGGCGGCGCACGGUCUCCUCCUCUCCAACCGCGUGCUAAGGGCUGCGCAUGGGCUGCUCAUCGUCUUGUCGCGAUGGAGUGUGCAGGGAGCUCCCCGCAGCCUCUUGGUGGGCAUCAUCCCUCCCCCACCGCCACGAUUAGCGCAUAACUCUCCUGAGGGUCUGCCUUAAUAUACACCUCCAUUCGUUGGUGCAGUCUGUGUUGGGAUCCUCUCGAGGCACCACUACCUCCGCCUCUAGGGAUUUCUCCCUACGAUGGCUCUCAUCGGGGGGAGGAGUAAAGUCUUUGCACAGGGUGGGAGGAACCUCUUGCUCCCCGACCACCCCGUGCUCCACCUCGGCCUUUGGCCAUCGGGUUAUCUCUUCAUGCCUCGCAGAGCCUCGUCAGGGCAUGCUGGCUCCCUUAGUAGGGCUGCGGGUGAGGGCGACGUAGAUGUCGUGUCCCUCUUUUGGUUGUGCAUGGGCGCCCUGCUAGAUUCAUGACUCAACCAUGUGCCUCAAGCUGUUCAACGGGGAUGAAAGGAGAAGUGGAGGGAAAAAGGCUUGCUCGUCUGUGGCGACUCAAUAUCUCCUCUUCAAAAGAGCAUUGGAGCGGCUUCCAUUGCCACUCCCCUAAGGCCGUCGAGUGCUCCCUCCACAGGGUGCCCCACGAGGCCUACCGAAGCUCCACCAGCUGGCUGGGUUCGCCCGUCUCAUUGUGGGGCUCGGCAUCCCCUUUAGUUGCCCCCUUGUGAGGUAUUCCAUAGUCACCACCUCAUCCUCAUCGUCGUCCUCCUCCUCCAUGUGUUUGGAGGGUGCAGCCAUGAACUGGCGGCUCUCCUCCUCGUCCUCACUGCUGGUCCCAACAACAGCUGUUGGCAGCUCAACAAUUGUCCCCUGCUAGUGUCGAGGGCGAUGCUAGAAAAAGGCCCAGCAUCCUCGAACUCCCUUGAGGUGGGAACCAUGAGAAUGGGUUUGUUGCGGCGCCCCCAGGUGGACUUCGGGGACCAUGCCCCAUUUAUUGAAGACAAGCAUCUCUACCUGGAUCUCUGCCAUGUCUCUGCAACGGUGUAGAGGGAGUGCCCCAUCCACCAUCUCCUCUGCCCUAUGCUCCAUGAAGAGGGCAUGUAUUAAGGCCUACAGUAUUGCCUCCUGCAGGGUGUCGUUGCAGAGGCAGGUGUUCUUAGCGCGGCCCUCAUACUUCCACACGGGCUGAGAGCACUGUUGGAGGGGUCUGAUGCGGCUCCACAUGAACUCACUAGCCACCAUGUCCCUCGUGAGCCCGGCCUCCCACAACACCAUCAGCCUGGUGGUCACGGGACCGAGCCUCGCAUCCGUGAGCUUGGUGUGCUUCCAGAUAGAGCUCUUCACAGUAGGCCCAGAAGGAGAUGUGAAUGGAGAGAUGCCCUGGCCUACUCCAUGUAGAUCCAACAUGCCCAGCAGUUCUCCACCUUCUUGAGCGUCAUCAUCUUGAUGAACCUCUCCGACAUGUGAUCCACCAUGCAGAAGGAGGCACACCCUGCGCUUGACGCUUGCUUGCACCUCAUGUUGUAGAAGUUGUGAAACAGGGCCACUGAGGACAUCACCCCCAGGAAGGCCUCAUAGAAGAAGGCAAGGAUGGAGAGGAGUUGGAUGGCAUUUGACUAGAGAUCGAGGGCAUGGAUAUGGUAGUGCUCCAAAAUGGUGCAGAAGAAAUCAGAGAAUGGAGGAGCAGAUCUCUGGAGAUUUUGUGGAAGAAAACGGGAACGUCAUCGGCAUCAACUCCCAGGCCAGCUUCAAGACCGGCCAGAUCUUGGUGGCCCCAUGUUCAUUGUGAGUAUCGGUUGUCAGGGGGAUGAGCUUGUCCAACCCCUCCAUGUUCUUAAUGGUGGAGGGUAGUAGUAUCGCUCCACCUACGCUUUGAUGGUGUUCGCGCCCCUCUUCUUUGACGUCAUGGCAAUGGCAAUGCAGCAACGAGUGGAGACGGAGGCGGAGAAGGAGAGUUGUGGGGGACAUGUGCGUAAGGAAGGGAAGCAACAUGGAGAGGAGGCGUUUGGAGGAAGAAAGGCAAUAAUGGUGCUUUCCUAGCACGCAUGACAGUCUUAUGGCAAGCAUGUAGUUACCGAGGCAUCGUGGGAGAGGUGGGUGGGCCCCGUCCCAUCAUGGCUUCUACAUGUCACCUCUGGGCCCGGCAGUUUGUUAGGCCCCGGGACAUUUUGACCUGUGUCAUUUCACACUCAACGGGUGGAACGUGCGCAUCAUGGGCCUAGGGGCUACUGUGGGUCUAAUUGAACCAGGGUACCAUGACCCAUACACUACCGGCCUAGUCGGCUAUGCUAAGAAGGCCGAGUGUGGCACAUGGCCCACUAGAGGAUUCCUAUGACCACCCCGCGAGGUUGUGGCUCCACGGAUCUCUCUCUCUCUCUUUCUCUCUCUCUCUCUAUGAGAAGGACUCACUAUGCGCCUACCCACAAGUCGUGCGAUACCUCAAGAGGUCUACCCCGCAAGGUUGCUUCCCAAGAAGCCUUCUGCUUCGAGAAGUCAUGUAAUGUCGGUCAGAUGGUCAUGUGCCUGCCAUGUGGGUGACGUUGUUGGGCCUCACGAGCUUCAAGAUGGCGCUAGUGGGUGCCGUAGAAGUAUCUUUCCCCUUUGUGAUAAAACUGUAGUGAGCAAUUGUCCCUACCAAAGAUGAGUCUCAUGGCUUACUUCUUUUGUGCAAGGAGACCAGCAUGACAUCGGUCACCAGGAUGGACGUCACCGGCAAGCCCACGAGCGCACCAUGGACGGCGCCUUUGUAUGAUGAAGACCGACUUUAUUAGGGAAAACAAUACCCUUGUCACCCUUCAAAUUUCCGCCCUGUGCUAGCCCUUUUCCCAUCAACAUUUUGGGAAGAGAGGCCCAAGGCAACGAUAAGAGGGAAAUACGACUACAGUAGAAUAGGUUGAAUGAUUGAUUUCCCAUUUUCCCUUCGGAAGAGUCUUCUUCUUCCUUGCAACUUGUAACACUUGUACACCAAAAAGAGAGAGAAAUCAAACCACAAAGUAGGAGUAAGGUUUUCAUCUCAAGGUGGCCCAAAUCUAUGUAAACUUUGGUGUCCUUUGAUGACCCACAAGUGUAGGGGAUCUAUCGUAGUCCUUUCGAUAAGUAAGAGUGUCGAACCCAAUGAGGAGCAGAAGGAAAUGACAAGUGGUUUUCAGCAAGGUAUUCUCUAUAAGCACUGAAAUUAUCGGUAACAGAUAGUUGUGUGACAAGAUGGUUCGUAGCGAGUAGCAAGUAACAAUAGUAACAAAGGUGCAGCAAGAUGGCCCAAUCCCUUUUGUAGCAAGGGACAAGCCUGGACAAACUCUUAUAUGAGGUAAAGUGCUCCCGAGGACACAUGGGAAUUUCUGUCAAGCUAGUUUUCAUCAUGUUCAUAUGAUUCGCGUUCGCUACUUUGAUAGUUUGAUAUGUGGGUGGACCAGUGCUUGGGUGCUGCCCUUACUUGUACAAACAUCCCACUUAUGAUUAACCCCUCUUGCAAGCAUCCGCAACUACGAAAGAAGAAUUAAGACUAAGUCUAACCAUAGCAUUAAACUAGUGGAUCCAAAUCAGCCCCUUACGAAGCAACGCAUAAACUAGGGUUUAAGCUUGUGUCACUCUAGCAACCCAUUAUCUACUUAUUACUUCUCAAUGACUUCCUCUAGGCCCAAAUAAUGGUGAAGUGUUAUGUAGUCGACGUUCACAUAACACCACUAGAGGAAAGACAACAUACAACGCAUCAAAAUAUCGAACGAAUACCAAAUUCACAUGACUACUUAUAGCAAGACUUAUCCCAUGUCCUCAGGAACAAAAGUGACUACUCACAAAGCAUAAUUAUGUUCAUGACUAGAGAGGUAUUGAAUAGCAUCAAAGAUCUGAACAUAUAAUCUUCAACCAAGUAAUCCAACUAGCAUCAACUACAAAGAGUAAUUAACACUACUAACAACCUUACAAGUACCAAUCGGAGUCGUGAGACGGAGAUUGGUUACAAGAGAUGAACUAGGGUUUGGAGAUGAGAUGGUGUUGAUGAAGAUGUUGAUGUAGAUGAGUCCCCUCCGACGAGAGGAGUGUUCGUGAUGACGAUGGCGACGGUUUCCCCCUCCGGGAGGGAAAUUUCCCCGGCAGGACGGCCCUGCCGGAGCUCUAGAUUGGUUCUGCUCAAGUUCCGCCUCGUGGCGGUGGCGGCUCCUCCCAAAAGCUUCCUCAUGAUUUUUUCUAGGAUGAAACCCUCCAUAUAGCAAAAGAUGAGCACUGGAGGGGCAGCAGCGAGCCCACAAGCCACCCAGCCCCUGCCAGGGGGGUAGGUCGGGCCUGGCACGCUUGUGGCCUCCUGGGGGCGCCCCUCUGGUACUUCUUCCGCCCAGUAAUUUUCAUAAAAUCCAAAAUAAUUCUCUAUUUAUUUUCACGGCUUUUGGAGUUGCGUAGAAUAGGUAUCUCAAACUUUCUCCCUUUUCAGACCAGAAUUUCAGUUGCCGGCAUUCUCCCUCUUCAUGUAAACCUUAUAAAAUAAGAGAGAAAAGGCAUAAGUAUUGUACCGUGAAGUGUAAUAACAGCCCAUAAAGCGAUAAAUAUCAACAUAAAAGCAUGAUGCAAAAUGGACGUAUCAUCCUUCUUGUGCCUUGCACGCGUAGCUUCAUCUUCCUUGAGAAGUAGAUCGCGUUGAGAUCCCGAGCGUUCAAACUUAAUUUUUGAGAGGUUUUCCUGUAGGCCCAAAACCAACCUCCGACAUGUGUGGUCGAGCGGGUAGGGCUAGGAUUGAGUGGUGUGGCGACGGCUAGGGUUUAGGGUGGCGGCAGUGACUAGGGGUAGCACCAGUGACAAGGAAGGGAAUGGAGCGGCAGUAGCGAGAGGCUGCAAUGGUCGGGUGGCGCGGUGGCGGCACAGGGAGAAGUGGUGGUGGUGCGGGUUGAACGGAAGCUAGGGUUGGCCUGCGGUAACUGAUACCAUGUGAAUAGUAGUGGUAAUGCACGAUGUAUUGAUCGAUGCAAUGUGCACGUAUAUAUAAGUACAAUGUGGGCAUCUACCUCAAUCUAUACAAGGAAAAAGCACGUGGACUUGGUGUACAAGAAACAAUCUAUACAUGGCAGUUGUGGUUGGCGGUGGCAGUCGGUUAUGCAGUGACGACCAUUUGGCUUCCGCUUGGUAGUGGCGGCGUGGAGGGCCUAGUGGAUAGGUCAGCGGCAUGUGGCCUUUGUUCAGAUUUGAUCUGGCUGAUGCGGCAUGCAUGUUGCAUGGCAGGAAAGAUCACUCGCGGACCAUGCACACAUUGCUAGAUGGAGGUUUGUUAGUAGAUCCGGGUGAAAACCUUAGUCUCGGGUAGUUGCCAAGGCCAGCAAUGUUGGUGUUCUUCAAUAUCGUCCCUUCCUGAAGGCAUCACCGUGGAGAAGCUCCACUAUUCUAGCUAUCACCUUCAGGGGAAACCCUAGAUUAGUCGAUUGGGUGAUGGAGGCGCUUUUGUGUCGUUCCCCCUUGCGAGCGUCAUUCUUGGAGGGGUACAUUGGAACGAGGGACCAGUAGACUGCUUCUAUUGUGGAGCGGCGUUUCAUGUGACGCAUCAACCAUGUGGAGUCUCGGCAGCGUGGUGCAGCUAGGUCUCGAUGAUGGAUGUGUGAUGAUGGAGGCGUCAACGACGGGACUAGCAAGCUAGAUGCCUUAGUACCUGCUUUGAAAAUGAAUCAGUUGAAGAUGGUGGCGACGGCCUUGGUACUGUGCGCAUGUGGUACAUGCUAAGAGUGUGUCGGACCGGUGUGUGACCCAGACCAAUCAUUUCGGCUUGGCUGGGGCAUCCGGUUUAUAUGUUAGGCUUCGGCGUGAGGUCUGGGUAUUUGGCCCAGACAAUUUGCACCCCUUCGUCAAGUGGAUGGUAGUAGCGAUGGAUGUUGCCUAGAUGACGACUUUAGACUUAUUGAUGUAUUACUUUGUCAGGUCUUUGUGAAUAAUUAAUAAAAUGGUUGUAUACAUCGCCUAGAUGCACAGGCCGGGACUCAUCUUCCUUUUUUCAAAAGAAUUACCAGACCAGUCGUAGGCGCACGCUUCCUCAACUGCAGCCCACAAACCCCAUUUUUUAUAACGAAGAUGCUAGAGGCGUCUGGCUUUAAAUUAAUAAAGCCCAAAACCAGGAAGAGUACUAGAUACAUGAAUGGUCCAGCGAAUAUACGACAAGUAUAGGCACAUGAUGAUAAGUAGACUAAUACAUGAUCGGCUUUUGCAUUAGUGGCCUUGCAUGCUCCAUCGACUUCCUACCCGAGGAGGAGGAGUGCUAGGUCGGGCAUGCAACCAGGCUCACUGCCGUUGGGACCACAACACACAUCACAGUUGUGGUGCAGAAUGAGGAGAUCUACACCAAGUCUCGCCGCUUUGAGGAUGAGUGUCGGGAGUGGCGAAGGGUAGAAGUGGCAAACGACGAAUUGAAUUCCUCCAACUCGCCAGUAGGCUCCUGCUCAUCUGCCUCUUACUGAUUGCCCUUGGGAGAAGAGAGGUUGCUAAAAGUAGUACAAAGCCCCUCUGUAGUAGUAUUUAUGGGCUAUUUUGUUCAGUUCAUCUAUCUAUAGAUAUGGUUGAACUAUACCACGUACUCUAAAUUAGCUAGUAUAUAUAGUUAAACUAGCUAUAUUAGUAUGUGGUUGGCAACCAUUGGGGAAAAGUUUGUUCGGUUUAGUAAUAAUACCCAAGUGCAAGGAAUCAUCAUAGGAAUUUCCAAAGAUGGAAGUGGUAAGCAUGGAGUGUCGAAGCCACAAGGAGCAAAAGGUAAGAUCAAUAUUCUCUCAAGUCCUAUCUGCCACCGAUACGACUAUAUAUAUCCCGAAUGUUUGCUUCUAUCUAGUAGUGAGAAAUAAAACUGCGAUGUGGGUAUAGGGAGGAAAGCUUUGCUUGAUAUUGGAGAACAAGAAAAAUGAAAACAGUCGCUUCCUAAAUUAAGUUGGAAUAUAUUACAAAUAGCGAGUGUGCAAUAAUGAUGGUAUGGCGUGCGGAAUCAUCCUAUGCAAUUCAUAACAAGAUCAUUAAUCAUUCUUGCAAUUAUAUAUGAGGGAUAGGCUUGAGCUAACAUACUUUCCGUACUUGGAUCAUAUGCACGAGUGAUUGGAUCUCUAGCAAGCAUUCACAACUACUAGAAAUCAUUAAGGUAAACCUAACCAUAGCAUUAAACAUCAAGUCCCCUUUACUCCCAUACAUAAACAACCCCCUUACUCGGGUGUAAGCUUGUGUCACUCUAGCCACCCACAGUAAGCGAAUCAUCAACAUAUUUCAACACCCUCUAUCAUGAAUCCUUCACGUGUGUGCCUCACGGAAGGUACCUUAGGACAACACCAAAAUAAAACAUACACUCAAAACAAUCUAGAUCAUCAAGCAACCAAAACGACAACAUAGAUCUACUCAAACAUCAUAGGAUGGCAACACAUCAUUGAUUAAUAAUAUGUGGCAUGAAAUGCCAUGUUCAAGUAGGGGAUUACCGCAGGGUGUGGGAGAGUGGACCCAUGAAAAGAGAUGAGGAAGGUGAUGAAGACGGUGACGUUGAUGAAGAAGAUCACCGCGUCGAUGGCUCCUCCGGCGGCACUACGGCACCGCUAGAAGAGGGGGGUGAGAGUCUCCCCCUUAAUAUUCCUCCUCCAUGGACUCUCCCCAUCUAGGGAGAGGUUCUCCCUCUAGGUCUUGGCCUCCAUGGCUCUCGGAGGGGCGAGAGCCCCUCCGAGAUUGGAUUUCUCUCGUGUUUUCGCUCCUGUUUCCUGGCCCUUCACCGUUCUUUAAAUAUAUGGAAUCCAUAACUCCGACCGGGUUGAAAUUGUGAGGGGAUUUUUAUCAGAAAAAUAUCAUUCUUGCGACAAAAAAGGACCCCAGCCCACUUAAGGACAUGCCACAAGGCAUCAGGGCGUGGCCACCCCUCUCGUCAUGCCUUGUUGCCUUAUGAGAGCCUCGGGCAUCAUGAGGCUCUGAUUCUUCUUCCCAAAAUUAACAUAUAUUCCAAAAAAAUCUCCAUAAAUGUUUAUCGUGUUGGGACUCCGUCUGUUAUGGAAUUUCUGCAAAAAACACACACAAAAAUAGGAACUAGCACUAGGCACUGGACCAGUAAGUUUGUCCCCAAAAAUAAUAUAAGUUGUUGCCAAAACUAUAUGAAAGUUGUAGAACAUUGGCAUGAAUACUUCAUAAAUUAUCAAUACAUUAGAGACAUAUCAUUCGGCUAUCGAUUUGAACUAUUUUAUACAUAGACCACUUCUUAAUCUAUGAAUGAAAUAUAUGUUUACUGGAUUUAGGUUAUAAAAUUGAACCAUAAUAUUUUUCAGUACGCACCUAUAUAAAUUUUAUAACACUAACACUAUAACACUAACACUGACACUAUUAUGGUGCAAUUUUGUAACCGAAAUUUAAUAGUCCAGCAAAAUUUGACAAGUGUGAGUGUUACAAUGAUGUUAAAUGUCAAAUGUUACUAGAUCGACAAAUGCCAAUUUUUCAAUUUGACAAAUGGAACAUAUGCAAAUCUAAACUCAUUGUCUAUACUUAGCACACGGGUCAUCAUACAAAAACGUGUGCCAUGAUGCAAUGAAAAAAUCCUUCACGCCCGAUUUUGACUUGGCUUAGUAGCGAAGGAACCAUUGAACUUGGUAUGCAACGUGUAUUCAAUCUGAAACAUUUGCCAUGACGGUCAAAGGACAUGCCUCCUUGGUGAGCGUGCAGAGGACUACUCUCAUGCCUCCCGUCUACUCAAACACCUGUCCAGACGCUACCUCCUAGCCAAUAGAGAGUGCAACGCAUGGCAUCACGUAGAAGGUGAGUAGAAUGUCCAUGAUUCAUAAAUAAUACGCUCAUUUGCAAUGGUAAGGUGACAACUUUUUGUUCCAAAAUGCCUUUGUUGGAUAUUAAUGUUUGUGCCUUCUCUCAAAAUGGAAAUCAAAAAUACUAUAGCAUAUUUGUGAUAUAUGACGAGGCCCUGCCCGACAUAGACCUUGUGAGUGUAGUUCAAAUUUGAUUUAUGUACAUUAAACGCACAUAAAACUCAAUUAGUGUAUAAAAAAGCCAAAUGAACCCUUAAAAUUUUCAUAUUUUUGCAGUACACACCUAUUGGUCUAUGUUGUUUCUAGAAAAAAAUCAAAGAGAGAAGAGGCAUCGGAUGUUGUUUCACCCGCACAUGUCACAUGCAUGUUCCUUAUCAGAACCAUGUAGCUUAUUGUGAGAAGCUCAAGUUUGUAAGAGACUUGUGCCAAAACAUGUCCAAGUUGGCCUUUUUUACCAUGGCAUAUGUGUGCCUUGUCAUGAAAUCAUGUCAAUUUUCAUAAAUUUCUAACGAGUUUUCGAUUUAAGGGAAUUUAAAAACCAAGUUUCUCAAUGUUUGCGGUCCAGCCAAGACGUUUUGAUGUUUGAAAUUCAUUCCCAUUUUCUUGUAUGGGACCCAAACAUGCAUCUAUAUUGGAGAAAUGGCUAUCCACAACUUACAUUGAUGACCCACAAAUUUGAUGCGAUUCGAGCACUACUUUUUCAAAUAGGAAUGGCGUUGGACAAACUGGUAUGCUAGCUUUGUGUGGUUAGUGCUAGCGUGGAUUUAAAGUGGAAUGCCACCAAAAUGUGUGCCCUGCUGAGCUGACUUGUCGAAAUAUAUUGCUGAUGUGAGAUAUGACACUAGUAGAAAACAGGGCUUUGGUCCUGGCCUAAUAAGAGCACUAGUCCCGGUCGACAUACGAACUGGGACUAAUGCGUGCAUCAGUCCCGGUUCGAGCGGCCAGGACGCUGGUCGGGCCUCAGCGGGCAUCAGUCCCGGUUCUUCUAGGACCUUUAGUCCCGGUUCGUGCCACAAAUAGGGGCUAAAGGUCCUGGCUCCUAGCACAACCCCUUUAGUCCCGGUUCAUGUGUGGAGCCGAGACUAAAUGUCUAUCUUCAAUCCCGGUUCGAGACAACAACCGGGACUAAAAGAUUGCCUAUAUAUAUGCUCGUCCCUGCCCACUCACUCCUCUCAUUUUUGGCCGGCCAGCGUGUUGAGGUGUGUGCUACUCUAGUUCUCACCUCCUAUGCACAUGAUGUGUUUGAUAAAAUGCCUGAGGCACCUUGUUGGGGAACGUUGCAUGGGAAACAAAAAAUUUCCUACGCACACCCAAUACCUAUCCAUGGUGAUGAUCAUCUACGAGAGGGGAGAGUGAAUCUCCAUAGCCUUGUAGAUCACUAAGCGGAAGCGUAUAUAACGUCGUUGAUGUAGUGGAACAUUUUUGCGAUUCAAAUCGCAGCCCGUCCCGCGAUCUCAUCAUGAUCCGUCCCGCGAUCCCAACAUGAUCCUUCCCGAUCUACUGGCGAACGGACGGCACCUCCGCGUUCAGCACACAUACAACUCGAUGACGAUCCCCACCUUCUUCAUCCAGCAAGAGGGACAGAGAGGUAGAUGAGUUUUCCAGCACGACGGCGUGGUGGUUGUGGUAGGGGUGCUAUACCAGCAGGUCUUCACCUAAGCACCGCUGAAACUAGAGGAGAAACAGAUCUAGAGAGAGGGUAGCACGUCGCUGUUUUCUUUUGUCUCAAAAACCCUCAAAACCCUUAGUAUAUAUAGGAGGAGAGGAGAGUGAGGGAUGCAUCCUAGGUCUGCGUAUUUUUCCUUGCGCAAGGAGGAGAGGAGGAGUCCUCCUCCAAUCCUAUUUGGAGUAGGAUUCUUCCUUCCCACUUGGAAACUCUUUCCACCUUGUGUUUUCUCCUUCUCAAACCUUAUGGGCCUUAGUUGGAUCUUAUUCCAGCCACUAGAGGAUGGUUUAUCUCUUCCCACAGCCCAUGAGGCCCCUUGGGGCGUGACACCCCUCCCGAUGGUCCCCGGCAUCCCUCCCGGCACUCACGGUACACUACCGAUGAGCCCAAAAAAUUUCCGGUGACCAAAACAGGACUUCCUAUAUAUCAAUCUUUACCUUCGGACCGUUCCGGAGCUCCUCGUGGCAUCUGGGAUCUCAUCUGGGACUCCGAAAAACCUUCGGUCACCAACACCUAUAACUCAACUAUAUCGAAACGUCACCGAACCUUAAGUGUGUAGACCCUGCGGGUUCGAGAACUAUGCAGACAUGACCUGAGACACUCUCCGGUCAAUAACCAAUAGCAGGACAUGGAUGUCCAUAUUGGCUCCCACAUAUUCUAUGAAGAUCUGUGUCGGUAGAACCUCUAUGUCAAGGAUUCAGUUAAUCCCGUAUGCCGUUCCCUUUAUCCUUCGGUAUGUUACUUGCCCGAGAUUCGAUCGUCGGUAUCUCCCUACCUAGUUCAAUCUCGUUACCGGCAAGUCUCUUUACUCAUUUCGUAAUACAAGAUCCCGUAACCAACUCCUUAGUCACAUUGCUCACAAGCCUUGUUGUGAUGUUGUAUUACUGAGUGGGCCCCGAGAUACCUCUCCGUCACAAGGAGUGACAAACCCAGUCUUGAUCCACGCCAACCCAACAAUCACCUUUGGAGAUACCUGUAGAGCACCUUUAUAGUCACCCAAUUACGUUGCGACGUUUGAUAACCCACAAGGUAUUCCUUCGGUGUCCGGGAGUUGCAUGAUCUCAUGGUCAUAGGAAUAGAUACAUUGACAUGCAGAAAACAGUAGCAACAAACUGACACGAUCAUAUGCUACGUUCAUAGUUUUGGGUCUUGUCCAUCACAUCAUUCUACCAAUGAUGUGAUCCCGUUAUCAAGUGACAACACUUGUCUAUGGUCAGGAAACCUUGACCAUCUUUGAUCAACGAGCUAGUCAACUAGAGGCUGACUAGGGACAAUGUGUCGUCUAUGUAUCCACACAUGUAUUUGAGUUUCCAAUCAAUACCAUUCCAGCAUGGAUAAUAAACGAUUAUCAUGAAUAAAGAAAUAUAACAAUAACCAAUUUAUUAUUGCCUCUAGGGCAUAUUUCCAACACACCUAAAAUUAACUUUUUAGUUUGCACAUGUGUAGGGUGCCGUCCCGUCCCCGUGCAUGUCGUCCUCUCCCCGUCCAUUACCUGUGCCGGUCUCGUCGAUCGCCAGCACCAUCGUGGUGAGCCUCUUGUUCUUAAUUAUCUUUUUUAGAGAAAAAAAAUCCGACUUGUAUGAUUUAUAUAGCUACUUGUAUAAUUUUCUUACUUUUAUUAUUGUUUGUUAUUACAUAGUGCCAUGGUUUUGGUAUACGCCCCCGUCGGCUCUCGUCCAUUCUAUGACUCAGAUACGGUAUAUUAUCUUUUAUAACUAUUUGUUUCAUUUAGUGUCUAUGACAAUUAUGCCAACCAACUUCAAUUAGAUGUCUUUAAGUAGGAGGUAUGUGAACCGGAAAUUACAACCGACCCUCUUGUCGAGAGGUUAAAUCUAGUUGAAAAAGAAAACAAUUAUUUGAUAGAAAAAUUGAAAAGAGUUGAAGAAGAGAAGAUGAAAUUGGAGUUGCGUGUAGCCGAUGUUGUCGAUCUAAACAAGAACCAAAUGAAUGCAAUGCGCUUAAAGAUUAAAAGAAUUUGAAAAUAUGCCAUCGAUAAUGAGUCUUGGUAUCAUUAUGUUGUUGGAUCAAUUGUUACCUGAGUUGCAAUUUUGGUCUUAUUUGUUGUUGCAUUUAAAUUUUUACAUAGUUGUAUGUUAGUUUCAAUGUACAUUUUAAUUAGAUGCUCUAGAGAGUUGUAUGUUGUUCUAUGAGGACUAUAUGUAUGGACUUUAAGUCACAAAAGGGUUGAAAAUUGAUGAUGUGGCUUUGAAUGGUGCAUAUUAACCUCACAAAUAGUCUGGAGUUAAACUAUGUUAAAAAAAUGAAAUCCCUAUGUAAUAGAUGAGUUUUCGUCCGAAACCCUAAUACUUCAAAAGAGUCUGUCCGAUUUGUACACGAAGUGCAUCAAGUUUUUUCCAUAACCCUCUCAACUUUUUAGCACAUGCUAUGUGGGUGAAAUUAUGAUACCAUGCCAAGUUUCAACCUUUUCAAAGUUCAUUUGUAGUGCUUUUCAAUUUCAUGGUCAUUUAGCUCAGAAAUGAUUUAAUGCAUGAAAAAUAGCAAAUGAAGUCAUGGAAGGCUUGAAAAUUGAUGAUGUGGUUUUGAAUGGUGCAUAUUAACGUCACAAAUAGUCUAGAUUUAAACUAUGUUCAAAAACAUGAAAUCUACCUCGUCCCAAGUUUUGGUAGGUCCGGAUCUCGUGGCACGAGUCACGUCCGAUUUCUAUGGCGAGAAUGCGGGAUUUUCAAAUUGUCGAAUGGGUAAUGGGCCUCAGGAUGGGUGUCGGUCUUCUGAAUCGGUGCAAACAUCCGUUACUGACGAUGUUUUCAUUCCAUCCACCCAGGAAGCGGAAGAUUCUUUUAAUAAUUUGAUUUCUGAUAUGGCUUCCAAAGUUUUAACGUGUCGGGUUUGUUUCAUGGAGGGCCACCUCACAAGUAAUUGCCAUACAGUUUUGAUUUGCAUGGUAUGCUCGAAGGAAGCCCACCAUUGGAAGGCUUGUGCGGCGCGUGCUAGGGACUUGGGUCUUGUUUGGAGGGAGAAACACCCAGAGAUGGAUUUUGCGGGACCCACUUCCAUUACUCCAACAAGGCAUCAUGCUCUUCCCCGUCUAGUCCCAUCGCUGGCUUACCACAACCUCCAUCUUGCCCUCCACCGAAGACCUCCUUCCUCCAUUGCCAGAAAAACCUCCAGAGAAAAUGGCUAACUUCUAUCUCAAACCUGAGAGAUUUAUGCCGGCAGGGCAUGAGAUUAUCGAUGGUGGUGACCUCAGACUCCCUCGGGCCUUCGUCAUGCUCCCAUAUGGAGUCCAGCAGCGACAUGAGGAGUUCAUCAUUGUCGAGGUAAUUCCGCUUUCUGCGCCUAACGAGAUAUGUUUUUUGAGGCAAGCGAUGGUUCAGUUGCUCGAGCAGAGGGGUGUCGAGGUCAUGUCAGCACAACCAUCGAUAUCUUGUGUUGAUCUGUUUAGAUUAGGCGAUGCGGGAGUGCGUUUUACUCUUCUUCAACUUCCUACUGUUGCUAUGGGGGAUGACAGAUUUUUCAUGUUCAUGAAGCAUGACGAGGGAGAGGGAUACCGAGGGGCUCAUGGCUUUCGGGAUGGUUGUUUGAUGUUCCUAGUAGUACCACUUGAUUUGCGCACGAGUGAACAUCUACGUGCGGCAGUUAAAACUUUUGGAAUGUUUCACUAUUGGGUUAAUGAUGAUCCAUACCUGGCCAGAAGCAUUUUUUUGCUUCGUUUCCUGAGGGUAUUCUGGUUCCUAGGGAUGUGGUUUUUAGUGGCUAUGCUAUCAGAGGAGGAGCAAGAGUCUUUUGGACUAUCCCCUGUUAUAUCUUGGGGGCAACCUUUGCUGAUCAGAUACCUGAGGAUGAAGAUCCAAUACCUGUGAAUGGUAACCCACAUCCCCUGCCAGGAGUGUCGUUUCCAGAGCACCAAAACUUUGCUCUCCCACCUUACCCUGCAUUGGGAUGGAAUGAUCUUCCCCUAGUAUCACCACCCAUGAACCAUCAGGUCAAUCCUGACAAUUGGGUUCAUGGACACUAGGGCGAUGCAGAAAUUGAGAAACCGCAACACCACCAGGAAGAGGAUCAUCCUAUUCAGGACCAAGAGUCCAUAGUGAUUGAUCAACCAUCUCCCACAUUUUCUGAAAACAACUUCAAUGAGCAGCAUCUGCAAGUUCAGAAUGAUCAAGUGCAAGAGGGGCAAGUGCACAGUGAUCAGGUACAUGAUGAUACAGUGCAAUAUGUGCAACAGUUUGAUGACCAUUUGCAGGAUGACCAACAGUUGGCAAUUGUCCCCUGAUUGCAAUCCCUGGCAAUGGUGCCAGAACAAUGCUUGAUGUCAACUGUUCUUCCCCUUUGCAACGGUAGCAUAAGAAUGCUGCUAGCACUCCCCGGCAACGAAACUAGAAGAAUGUUGUUGAUGACCCACCAGCGCGUGGGUUCGCAGCAGUUUUCGAGGGUAGAGUAUUCGACCCAAAUUUGUUGAUUCGCACGACGGGAGGUGAGAGAAUACUCUCAAGUAUUAGCAGUUGAAUUGUCAGAUUCAACCACACCUGAAAGAUUAGUAUCUGCAAGCAAAGUAGUAACAACAAAGUAGCGAGUAACGGCAGUGUAACGAGCAGUAGCAGCGGCAAGGAAAAGCAGUAGUGACAGCAUUAGCAACUAGCAACAGUAGCAAGCGACAGUAGUAGCAACAAUAGCAGUAGAGCAAGACAAGUAACAACAGUAGCAACAGUAGUAGUAGCAGCAGAGAAAAACAAGUAACAGCAGUAGCAAUAGUAGUAGCAGCAACAGCAGAGCCAAACAAGUAACAGCAGUAGGACAAACUCGUAGGCAAUGGGUCGGUGAUUUGUUUGGAUGAUAUUCAUCAUGCAACAGCUAUAACACAAAGAGAUAUGUGGCUAGCUCCCGUUCAUCAAUGUGAUGUAGGCAUGCAUUCCGUGUGUCGUCAUACGUGCUUAGGGAAAAGAACUUGCAUGACAUCUAUUGUCCAUCCCACCCGUGGCAGCGGGGUCCAAAAGGAAACUACGGGAUAUUAAGGUUCUCCUUUUAAUAAAGAACCGGACCAACGCAUUAGCACUUGGUGAACACAUGAACUCCUCAAACUAUGGUCAUCACCGGGAGUAGUUCCGGUUAUUGUCACUCCGGGGUUGCCGGAUCAUAACACAUAGUAAGUAACUACAACUUGCAAGAUCGGAUCUAAAACACACAUAUAUUGGUGACAACAUAAUAAUUUCAGAUCUUAAAUCAUGGCACUCGGGCCCUAGUGACAAGCAUUAAACAUGGCAAAGUAGUAGCAACAUCAAUCUCAGAACAUAGUGGAUACUAGGGAUCAAUCCCCAUCAAAACUUACUCGAUUACAUGAUAGAUCUCAUCCUACUCAUCACCGCCCAACGAGCCUACGAAUAGAUUACUCACGAACGACGAAGAGCUUCAUGGAAUUGGAGAGGGAAGAAGGUUGAUGAUGAUGAUGGGGACGAUUUCCCCUCUCCGGAGCCCAAGACGGACUCCAGAUCUGCCCUCCAGAUGAAGAACAGGUGGUCGCGGCGCCUCCAUAUCGUAAAUGCGACGAAAACUUCUCUUUUUUAUUUUUUCCGGGACGAAAGGGAUCUUAUAGAGCAGGAAUUGGGGGCGGCGAAGCCGUGUCGGCCCCACAAGCCUGCCCACCGCCACCAGGGGGUGGUGGCGGAGCCAGGGCUUGUGGCCCACUGGCCCACUCCCUGAGGUGGAACUUGGCGCAGAUAUUUUUUAUAUUUUCCAAAACUGCUCCCCGUAAAUUUUCAGGACGUUUGGAGAACUUUGAUUUGUGCACAAAAAUAACACCAAGGCAAUUCUGCUCAAAACAGCGUCGGUCCAGGUUAGUUCCAUUCAAAUUAUGCAAAUUAGAGUCCAAAACAAGGGCAAAAGAGUUUGGAAAAGUAGAUACGAUCGAGACGUAUCAACUCCCCCAAGCUUAAAACCUUACUUGUCCUCAAGCAACUCGGUUGACAAACUGAGAGAGAAAGAAAAACUUUGACAAACUCUAUUUGAUCUUGUUGUUGCAACUAUGUCUAACUCAUAACCAGAAUUUCACCAAGAUCACAAGUUAACCACAAAAGCAAAUGACACAAAGGUCUCACGGUAAACUAAUAUCAAUGGCCUAAUCAGCUAACGAGCAAAUAAUAAUGAGUUUCAAAUACCAACACUUCAAUCAAAACAAGCAUGAAGCAAUAUGAAUAGGUGGUAUCUCGCUAGCUCUUUUUGAGACCGCAAAACAUAAAUGCAGAGCACUUUCAAAGAUCAAGGGCUGACUAAACAUUGUAAUUCAUAGCAACGAAGAUCCAGUCAUAGUCAUACUCAAUAUCAAUCAAAAGCAAAGCAUAAAAAUGACAGAGGUGCUCUCUAAUUGGCGCUUAUAAAAGAGGAGGAUGACUGAACAGGAAAAUAAAUAGACAGGCCCUUUGCAGAGGGAAGCAUUGAUUUGCAGAGGUGCCAGAGCUCAAGCUUUGAAAACAGAGAUAAUAAUUUUGGGUGGCAUGAUUUCAUUGUCAACGCAAUGACCAAGAGUUCUCAAUAUCUUCCAUGCUACUCAUUCUAUAGGCGGUUCCCAAACAGAAAAGUAAAGUUUUAACUCCCCACCACCAAUCAAUCACACUCCAUGGCUAGCCGAAUCCUCGGGUAGCGUCCAUACUAACAUCAAUCCGGGGGGAGUCUUGUUUUAUAGUUAUGUUUUCGAUUUAAGCGUGGAACUGGGCAUUCCAAUUACCGGCCCCUUUCUCGUGAAUGACAGUGAAUAAACACAUGUCGAGGAUAACACUCCUAGCAUGGAAGAUACCAAUAGCCCCCUGUCACCACAUGAGCGGUUCGGGCAUGCAAAACAGAUUAUUUCUUGAAGGUUUAGAGAAUGGCACAUGCAAAUUUACUUGGAACGGCAGGAAGAUACCGCAAAUAGGUAGGUAUGGUGGACUCUCAUGGAAAAACUUUUGUGUUUAUGGAAGUGGAUGCACAAGCAGUAUUCCUCUUAGUACAAGUGAAGGCUAGCAAAAAGACUGGGAAGCAACCAACUAGAGAGCGACAACAGUCAUCAAGAUGCAAUGAGUUUGACUAACAUUAAAUGCAAGCAUGAACAGGAUAUAAAUCACCAUGAACACAAACAUCAUAGAGGCUAUGUUGAUUUUGUUUCAACUACAUGCAUGAACAUGCGCCAAGUCAAGCCACUUGAAACAUUCAAAGGAGAAUACCAUCCUAUCAUACUACAUCAUAGUCAUCUCAAAAUCUAUGUUGGCAUUCAAGACAAACCAUUAUAAGCUCCCAGCUAAAUAAGCAUGGCAUCAGAAACUAUGAUCUCUAAGUUGUCAUUGCAAACAUGGUUCUCUCACAACAAAGCUAAAUCUGGGUCGACAAGCUAGUCAUAUUUACAAAAAAAAUAGAUAGAGUUCAUACCAGCUUUUCAGUCUCAGUCACUUCAUCAUAUAUCAUCAUUGUUGCCUUUCAUUUGCACGAUCGAACGAUGUGAACAAUAAUAAUCGCAUUGGACUAAGCUGAAUCUGCAGGCAAACACAAAGGAGAAGACAAAGUAAUAUGGCUCUUUGAAAGCUAAACAGGUAAGCAUGCAAGAACCACUAAGCAUUGUAACCAAUAUCUUCUACCUUGACACAAAGAAAAAUAAAACUAUUUACACGGGAAAGCUCCCAACAAGCAAAAGAAGAAAUAAAAAUAUUUUUGGGUUUUCUCAAAAGGACACAAAACAAGAAAACAAGAAAACAAAAAUAAACUAGCAUGUAUAAUACAGUGGCAAAGUGUAAACACCGGCUAACAAAGUGAAAGCAUAAGAAUGAAUGUAAGGUCGGUGAUAACACGUACUCCCCCAAGCUUAGGCUUUCAGCCUAGCUUGGUCUACUCCCAAGGAUGGUCCUGGCGAAACCCAAAGUCAUAAUGGGUGUUAUACGGGAGUGCUGCAGCCACUGCCUGAAUAGCUGCCUCACAAAGUCGAGAAGCCGUCGCCUCCCUCACAUACUCCUAUGCCUCUCCUAUGGUUAUGUAGUAUAUUCGUUUAACCUGAAAGUCAAAGAAAGCAGGAGUAGGAAGGGUAAUAUGGAAAACACGCUGCUGGUUAAAUAUCAAGCGGUAUAGGAGGGAUCCAUGAUCUCUCUCAAGGAACUGGUAGCGUGUUAGAGCGACACGAUCAAGGUAGGAUGUACGGAGAGGAGGGUCUUCUGGACGGAUGGAUACCCCAAGAAAAUUUGCUAAGCGUGUAGCAUAAACUCCACCAAAGAAAUCCCCCUCACUGGCAUUUUUAUUCAGCCUCCUUGCUAUUAUAGCUCCUGUCACCUGUUACUGCGCUCUUAAGGAUACUAAGGUCGGAAGCGCAUAGGUGACAAUGUGCAUCCUUGCCGUUAACGCACCUACCUAUGAAGAGGGCAAGGUAGUGCAAGGCAGGGAAAUGAAUGCUUCCUAUGGUGGCUUGUGUGAUAUAUCUGGUUUCUCCAACAGUUAUGCUGGAGACAAAGUCUCUGACCGAAGACUUAGGAGGAUCAUUAACACUACCCCCAUCGGGUAUCUUGCAAAUCCUAUUGAAAACCUCUAGAUCCACGGUAUAGGAUUUAUUGUACAGAUCAAACAGUAUGGAUGAGUCACGGCCAACUGAGAAUUUAAAUCUACGCACGAAAGAGGCAGUGAGCAUAGCAUAUUGUUCAUAUUUAUCUGAGAAGAAUUCUUCUAAUCCGGCAUUGCGGACAAGUGUAUCAAACUCAUCCUUGAAGCCUGCUUCGAUCAUGAACACAUCGGCAGGCCAUUCACAUGGUUGCACCGGUGCGUCCCUUAGUUGCAAAGGUUCGGGCUCCCGAAGAGAAAGACGAGGACCCUUCUUGCUUGAGGAACCAACAUGAAACUUCCUCCUGAACGUAAUUUCCUUUUGCUGAAAUUUUUGAAGUUCAAGAGAAAAGUGAAUGAAGACCCACCACACCUUGUAGCAACUACUCCUACUAGUGCCUAGAGACCGUAUCACACGCUAAAACUACUUGGGACCAGCUAAAAUCAACCUUUCAAGCUCAAGAACAGGGUCACCAAGGUAGCAAGAAUACGCGAAGGAUAAAGCACUAGAGCAAAAACUAAUUGGACCAAUGGAGGAGUCACUUACCAAGGAGUAAUUUCCCCAAAACGGUUCGGAGAAUGGUGCUUUGAGCAAGGAGAUCGAAAAUCACAACCAAAUCAGCAAGAACACGGAUUUGAGCUACGAAACAAUUUUUUCUGGAGGUGGAAGAAGAGGCUGAGAGCUGGAAUGAGUGGAGGGGGUGCCUAUGGGCCCCACAAGCUUGCACCCUGCCACCAGGGGGUAGGUGGAGGUGGCAGGGCAUGUGGCCCACUGGUCUGGCCCCCAGGCCAGCUCUCAAGCCCAGAAAUUUCAAAAAUUCCGGAAAAAAUCAUACUAAAUUUUCAAGACCAUCGGAGAACUUUUAUUUUCGAGGUAUUUUUCUCUGGGACGCUAAAACAGAAAACAGAAAAAACUAAACUAAUUCUACCAUUUUUCUUCUAAGCAAAAGAAAAUGAAAGCUCUAAAGAGAGGUAUGUGACUCUUUGAUUCAUCCGUUUCAUGGUCAUCGAAAGAAAUCCGUCAAUGGGGUUGAUCAAGUCCUCAUGACAAAACCUUCUCGAAUCGCAAGAGAGAACGGAGAAUUUUUCUAAUAGCCACUAAGUCACCUCAAUGGGAAUAUGUAUCUCCCCAACAAGCAAAUCAUACUUCAUCUUGACACGAGGAAUAGGGCAUUCAAAGCUCCCAAUAAGAAUCGAUGAAGUCUUUUCGAUAGCAUUGAUGCAAUGUACUUGAUAUCGUUUCUUUGGAAAGUGCACUGUGUGCUCAUUACCAUUGACGUGGAAAGUGACAUUGCCUUUGUUGCAAUCUAUAACAGCCCCUGCAAUGUUUAAAAAGGGUCUUUCGAGGAUGACAGCCAUGGCAUUGUCCUCGGGAAUAUCCAAGAUAACAAAGUCUGUUAAGAUAGUGGUGUUAGCAACCACAGCAGGCACAUCCUCGCAAAUGCCAAUAGGGAAAGCAGUUGAUUUGUCGCCAUUUGCAGAGAAAUUUCAGUGGGUGUCAACUUAUCCAAUUCAAGUCUACGAUAAAGAGAAAGCGGCAUAACACUGACACCGGCUCCAAGGUCACAUAAGGCAGUUCUUACGUAGUUUCCUUUAAUGGAGCAAGGUAUAGUGGGCACUCCGGGAUCACCAAGUUUCUUAGGAGUUCCACCUUUAAAAGUGUAGUUGGCAAGCAUGGUUGAGAUCUCAAGAUCUGGUAUCUUCCGUUUCUUAGUCACGAUAUCUUUCAUGUACUUGGCAUAUGGAGACAUCUUGAGCAUAUCAGUUAACCACAUCUGCAGAAAGACGGGUCUUAUCAUCUCAACGAAGCGCUCAAAAUCCUCAUCAUCCUUUUUCUUGGAUGGCUUAGGAGGAAAGGGCAUAGGUCUCUGAACCCAUGGCUCCCUUUCUUUACCAUGCCUCCUUGCAGUGAAGUCAUUCUUAUCGUAUUUCUUAGGUUGUGGGUUAUCAGGAUUAACCAUAGGUUCAAUCUCCACAUCCUCAUCAUUGCUAGGUUGAGCAUUAUUAUGAACAUCACUGUCCAUAUUGUCACCAGGUUCAGGUUCAUCACCAGAUUGUGUUUCUGCAUCAGACGCAGAAAUAUCAUUAGGUUCUUCAGGUGUGACAGUAUUUGGUGAACUAACAUGCAGGUUUCUAUCAUCCUUCUUCUUCUCCUUAGGAUGACUAGGUGUAUCAGCAUUGAUUCCUUGAGAAUCUUGAUCAAUUCUCUUAGGAUGACCUUCAGGAUACAAAGGUUCCUGAGUCAUUUCGCCUCCUCGAGUAAUGACUCUGACAGAGUUGUCAUUUAAUUCAUUGAGCAGGUCAUUCUGAGCUUUAAGUACUUGUUCUACCUGAGUAGUAAUCAUAGAAGCAUGUUUACUCAGAAGCUUCAGAUCGUUGACAUUUCUGUCUACACAAGCACUUAAAUGGCUAAGCAUACGAGUACUUUGUUCCAAAUGUCUGCUAACAUAAUCAUUGAAACUCUGUUGUUUGGCAUCAAAGUGGUCAAAUUCAUCAAAGCAUAGGCUAGCAGGUUUAUCAAAAGGAAUAUCACUCUCAUCAAACCUACGCAGAGAAUUUACUUCUACUACCUGUAUCGGGUUAUCGAGACCAUGGAUCUCUUCGAUAGGUGGUAGAUUUUGACAUCUUCAGAUCUAAUGCCUUUCUCUUGCAUAGAUUUCUUGGCUUCUUUCAUAUCUUCGGGACUGAGGAAUAGAAUACCUCUUUUCUUAGGAGUUGGCUUAGGAGGUGGUUCGGGAAUAGUCCAAGCAUUAUCGUUGAUCAAGAUGUUAUUCAGUAGAGUCUCAGCUUGUUCUAAAGUUCGUUCCCUAAAAACACAACCGACACAACUAUCUAGGUGGUCUCUAGAGGCAUCGGUAAGUCCGUUAUAGAGGAUAUCAAGUAUCUCGUUCUUCUUAAGAGGGUGAUCAGGCAAAGCAUUAUGUAGCUGGACGAGCCUCCCCCAAGCUGGUGGAUGACUCUCUUCUUGGAGUUGAGCAAAGUUGUAUAUUUCCUGCAAGACAGCUUGCUUCUUAUGGGCAGGGAAAUAUUUCUCACAGAAGUAAUAGACCAUCUCCUGGGGACUACGCACACAUCCAGGAGCAAGAGAGGUGAACCAGGCUUUAGCGUCAUCCUUUAGAGAGAAAGGAAACAGCUUAAGGAUAUAGUAGUGGCAGAUCUUCUCCUCAUUAGUGAAAAGGUUGGCUAUUUCGUGUAGUUUGGCAAGAUGGGCUAUGACCGUCUCAGACUCAUAACCAUGAAAAGGAUCAGAUUCAACUAGAGAGAUUAUCUCAGGAUCGACAGAGAAUGCAUAAUCCUUAUCGGUGACAAAGAUAGGCGAAGUGGCAAACUUCUGGUCAUUUUUCAUCCUAGCUUCCCGAGAUUUUUCCUUCCACUUGAGAAGUAAUUUCUCAGCGUCAUAGGCAUCCUUACACGCAAGAAAAUCCUCAGGUAUCUCUCCCUCCAUAAUGUAACCCUCAGGUAUAUCAGGCAAUUCAUAUCUAGGAGAGCUAGAUCUACCAGGAGCAAAAGCAGGUUCUUUCUCAAUAGUAUCGGCAGUUUCAGCAGCAUCACGAGCAUUGGCAGUAACUCUAGUAAUAUGAGCAUCAAGGAAUACCCCUAGUGGAACAUCAGGCAAAGGAGUAUGUCUAGCAGUAUCAAGCAUAGCAUUAUCAGGCAUAGUAUCUCUAGCAGUAUCAAGCAUAGUAUCAUCAGGCAAAAUAGCAUCUCUAGCAUCAUCAGGCAAAGCAGUAUCAAGCAUAGCAUCUCUAGCAGUAGCAUCAUAAGCAUCAUCAAGCAUAGGUGACAUAUCAAGAUUUCUAGCAGGAGGUGAUGUCGCAAACUUACUCAUAACUGAAGGUGAAUCAAGUGCAGAGCUAGAUGGCAUUGCCUUACCUCCCCUCGUAGUUGAGGGCAAGACUUUGGUCUUCGGAUCCUUCAGAUUCUUCAUAGUGAUCAGCAGAUAUAAAUCCCAAGUGACUCACAGAAUAUAGCAAUACCUCCCCGGCAACGGCGCCAGAAAAAUGCUGAUUGCAAUCCCUGGCAAUGGUGCGAGAACAAUGCUUAAUGGCAACUGUUCUUCCCCUUUGCAACAGUACCAGAAGAAUGUUGCUAGCACUCCCCGGCAACGAAACUAGAAGAAUGUUGUUGAUGGCCCACCAGCGCGUGGGUUCGCAGCAGUUUUCGAGGGUAGAGUAUUCGACCCAAAUUUGUUGAUUCGCACGACGGGAGGUGAGAGAAUACUCUCAAGUAUUAGCAAUUGAAUUGUCAGAUUCAACCACACCUGAAAGAUUAGUAUCUGCAAGCAAAGUAGUAACAGCAAAGUAGCGAGUAACGAUAGUGUAACGAGAUAUAGCAGCGGCAAGGAAAAGCAGUAGUGACAGCAGUAGCAAGUAGCAACAGUAGCAAGCGACAGUAGUAGCAACAGUAGCAGCAGAGCAAGACAAGUAACAGCAGUAGCCACAGUAGUAGCAGCAGCAGAGCAAAACAAGUAACAGCAGUAGCAAUAGUAGUAGCAGCAACUGCAGAGCAAAACAAGUAAAAGCAGUAGGACAAACUCGUAGGAAAUGGGUCGGUGAUUUGUCUAGAUGAUAUUCAUCAUGCAACAGCUAUAACACGAAGAGAUAUGUGGCUAGCUCCCGUUCGUCGAUGUGAUGUAGGCAUGCAUUCCGUGUGUCGUCAUACGUGCUUAGGGAAAAGAACUUGCAUGACAUCUAUUGUCCAUCCCUCCCGUGGUAGCGGGGUCCAAAAGGAAAGUACGGGAUAUUAAGGUUGUCCAUUUAAUAAAGAACCAGACCAACGCAUUAGCACUUGGUGAACACAUGAACUCCUCAAACUAUGGUCAUCACCGGGAGUGGUUCCAUUAUUGUCACUCUGGGGUUGCCGGAUCAUAACACAUGGUAGGUAAAUACAGCUUGCAAGAUCGGAUCUAAAACACACAUAUAUUGGUGACAACAUAAUAAUUUCAGAUCUAAAAUCAUGGCACUCGGGCCCUAGUGACAAGCAUUAAGCAUGGCAAAGUAGUAGCAACAUCAAUGUCAGAACAUAGUGGAUACUAGGGAUCAAUCCCCAUCAAAACUAACUCGACUACAUGAUAGAUCUCAUCCUACUCAUCACCGCCCAGCGAGCCUACGAAUAGAUUACUCACGAAUGACGAAGAGCAUCAUGGAAUUGGAGAGGGAAGAAGGUUGAUGAUGAUGAUGGCGACAAUUUCCCCUCUCCGGAGCCCAAGACGGACUCCAGAUCUGCCCUCCAGAUGAAGAACAGGUGGUGGCGGCGCCUCCAUAUCGUAAACGCGACGAAAACUUCUCUUUUUUAUUUUUUCUGGGACGAAAGGGAUCUUAUAGAGCUGGAAUUGGGGGCGGCGGAGCCGUGUGGGCCCCACAAGCCUGCCCACCACCAUCAGGGGGUGGUGGCGGAGCCAGGGCUUGUGGCCCACUGGCCCAUUCCCUGAGGUGGAACUUGGUGCUGAUAUUUUUUAUAUUUUCCAAAACUGAUCCCCGUAAAUUUUCAGGAAGUUUGGAGAACUUUGAUUUCUACACAAAAAUAACACCAAGUGACCGCAAUGGUGCGCUCAACCUGCCAAGAUCUAAUGUGGAACUUGCUUGAAUCCGCGAAAAAUCUUUCGACCACCACUCCCCCUACCUGGCGCGCCAAAGAUGUCGGGGAAACCAACACCUAUGGGAAACUCGAGGAGUCCCUUGAUUGUUUGGAGGGGAGAGAGAGGUGCGGCGUCGAGAGCGGAGAUAGCGAUCAACACCGACAAGGUCCUUUUUACUCAGGUUUGGGCCGCUUGGCGCGUAAAACCCUACUCCUGCUUAGUUUGUAUUGUGUGCUUACUGUAGGGUGGUUUUCCUAUAGUAACUUAGUAGGUGAUUAGGGAGUCUCUGAUCCCCAAAAAAUCCAACCCCUAAGAAUGAGCUUCGGGCCUCCUUUGAUAGGCAAAGGGGUCUCCAACACUGUGCUCACGGGGUGUAUAGUGAACAGUGUUCACCGCUCUACUUGUUAGGUGGUGUCAGGGGCAGUAAAUGCCUUGUCUGACCCCUGACCUAUCGCAAUAUGGUUGCGACACGUACCCGGGUGAAUCGACACCUGGGCCUUGUGCUGGCACACGAGGGAUGUGCUGGAGCGGUCGGAUUAUGGUAGAAACUGGGGUGGACACUUGGCGAGCGAAUGGGGCUUGUUGGCCUAGGGUCCCUGUCGGGUGACCUGGUCACCUUCCCGACAAGGAAGGCUUGCCAGGGGCUUGAACACUUUCCCGACAAGGAGGGCUUGCCGGGGGCCUCGUCAGUCUGUGUGAACCUUCCCGGCAAGGGAAACUUGCCGGGGUCUUGCUAUUCUUCGGGUAGUCUUCCCGGUGAAGCCGGCUUGCAGGGGCCUUGGUAAUCUUCCCGGCAAGGAGGGUUGCCGGGGCCUUGCGUCUGGAGCCUUUGUACUCCACGCCCAUGGAGAGGGUGAAGGGUGUGGCCUUGGUGGGUAUUGGACUGCCUUCCUGCUGCUCUUCCCGGUACACUGCUGUCGGGGGCGUCGCUGAUGACCGUGCACAAGUCUGGGGCACAAGGGACCCCAGUCUCUAGUGCACCGACACACAGGUACAACAUUUGUUACACGUGCAGUUUCUAUACUGGAAAAAGAGGUGUACUAUUAGAUCCAUCAAGGUAGGGGAAGAGAAUAUUAAGUUCUUCGAUGCCAUGGCCUCUGAGAGACAUAGAAAGAAUUCUAUUGCCAACCUGACCCUGGAUCUUGGCACUGUGAUUUCAGAGCAUAGUCAAACGGAGGGGAUUCUUUGGUCUUCAUAUAAAGGUCGAAUGGGCACUGCUAAAGGAAUCAUUAUGGGUUUUGAUUUGCCUAAUCUUAUUAAGCCGAUGCAGGGAUUAGAUGUGUUGACUGAACCCUUUUCCCAGGAGGAAAUGGACCAGGUGGUCCAAUGCAUGCCUUUGGACAAGGCACUAGGUCCACACAGUUUCAAUGGGUUGUUCCUUAAAAAGUGUUGGCAUAUCGUUAGAAAGGAUUUUUUUGCCCUUGAUCAUCACCUUUUUGAAGGGAAAGUAAAUCUAGAAAGUUUGAAUAAUUCAUUCAUCACCCUAGUUCCUAAGAAAGCCUCACCAGAGUAUGUUGGGGAUUACAAGCCCAUAUCUUUGACUGGCUUGGGUAUUAAAUUCCUCACCAAGAUGGCUGCUAAUAGACUACAAGUUGUCAUUCUGGACUGUGUUCAUAAAAAAUAGUAUGGAUUUAUCAAGACUAGAACCAUUCAGGAUUGUAUUGGUUGGACCCUAGAGUAUUUGCAUUAAUGCCAUCAGUCCAAAAGACCCAUUCUCAUUACUAAACUGGAUUUUGAAAUUUUGACUCUAUUGAACAUGAUGUCAUCUUGGAUAUUCUAAAGUAUAAAGGGUUCAACAGCAAAUGGAGAGGAUGGAUACGUCAAUUUCUCACCUCUAGGUCCUCUUCCAUUCUUCUUAAUGGAGUCUAUGGAAAGCAUUUUCAUUGCAAAUCUGGUGUAAGAUAACGAGAUUGCAUCUCCCCUUUACUCUUUGUUCUAGCAGCAGAUUUGCUCCAGCCUGUAGUUAAUGACAUGUUAGAUAAGGGAGAAAUUGAGUUGCCAAUUCCAUGCCAUGAUAAGGAUUUUCCAAUUGUCUAACAUGCUGAUGAUACUUUGAUUGUUUUUCAUGUUGAGGAAGGACAGUUUAAGGCUCUGAAAGAGAUGCUUCAGGUUUUCACUAGAUCAACAGGUCUACACAUUAACUUUGAGAAAUCAUCAAUGGUGCCAAUCAAUGUUUCCACAAAAUAAACUGCAAGACUUUCUCACAUAUUUGGUUGUAAAGUUGGUACUAUGACUUUUACAUAUCUUGAUCUUCCCGUUGGCACCUCUCCGCCCAAGAUGGAGCACCUGAUGCGUCCGGUUUCAUGCAUGGAACGAAGGAUGUUUUCGAGUUCUUCUUUCCUGGCUCAAGGAGGACGGCUACAAUACCUAUAUUCUUCUUUAUCCUCUUUCCCAAUCUUUUUCCUCUGUAGUCUAUAUAUCCCUCCAGGCAUUCUCAAAUAGUUGGAAAGGAUUCAAAGGCAAUGUAUCUGGAGAAGGAACAGAAAGGAACAUUCACCAUCCCUUGCUGCUUGGGAGUUGAUCUGUAGACCCAAAAACAAGGGUGCGUUGGGUAUUCUGAACCUGGGACUACAAAAUGCAGAUCUUCUUUUGAAACAUGCCAACAAAUUUCUAAAUAGAAUUUAUCUGCCUUGGGUACAGCUAAUCUGGAACACAUACUAUCAUGACAAAGUACCACAGGGUACUCAGCCAUGUGGCUCAUAUUGGUGGAGGGGUAUCCUCAAGUUAUUGGACAAUUUCAGGGAGGUCACUUGGGUGCAAGUCAAGCAAGGAGAUAUUGCCCUCUUUUGGCAUGAUAAAUGGAGCAUUGGAAACUCAGUUAUCCUUCUCAAAGACAGAUCUCUAGACUGUUUUCAUAUGUUAAGGAUCCUUGGACAAUGGUCAAAGAUGGAUUGAACACUCAUGAUCUGACCCUCUGGUUUAAUUUGCCUCUCUUUGACCAGGCCUUUUUGGAGCUUUCCACACUUCAAGCUUUCAUAAGGGAUUUUGAGCCUAAUACAAGCCAGAAUGAUGGUUGGUCAUGGAUGGAAACAACUAAACCUUAUACCCCCAAAGGCUUUCUAUUCACAUGUGCAUAGGGACAAAACUUUUAACCCUUUGCUGAAUUGGAUUUAGGCUAGUUGUUGCACCUUGAAGAUCAAGGUUUUUGUCUGGAUGCUGGACAUGGAAAGAUUGAAUACUGCUACGGCAACAAAAGACCUUCCCUGGAAAUGGUGGCAGAAAUCCUUCUAUCGUCUCAUGAGCUUGUGUUGCUUUUCCCUUGAAGAGGAAAGGGUGAUGCAGCACAGGAGCAGUAAGUAUUUCCCUGAGUUUGAGAACCAAGGUAUCAAUCCAGUAGGAGAAUCUCAUCAAGUCCAGAGUAUCUACACAAACACAAAGAACUUGCACCCAACGCUAUAAAGGGGUUGUCAAUCCCUUCAAGAUUGAUUGCAAAGUGAGAUGUGAAGGCGGAAAGUGCAACGAAGAAAAAGUGUAAGGCUGAAAAUAUGGUGUGGAGUAGGCCUCGAGGCCAUAGUGUUCACUAGAGGCUUCUCUCAAAAUAGCAAAUAUUACAGUGGGUGAACAAAUUACUAUCGAGCAAUUGAUAGAACCGCGCAAAGUCAUGAUGAUAUCUAAGGCAAUGAUCAUACAUAUAGGCAUCACGUCCGAGACAAGUAGACCGAUACUUUGUGCAUCUACUACCAUUACUCCACACAUCGACCACUAUCCAGCAUGCAUCAAGUGUAUUGAGUUCAUGACGAACAGAGUAACGCCUUAAGCAAGAUGACAUGAUGUAGAGGGAUAAUCUCAAACCAAUGAUGAAAACCCCAUCUUUUUACCCUUGAUGGCAACAACACAAUGCGUGCCUCGCUACCCCUUCUAUCACUGGUGAGGUCACCGCACGGUAUGAACCCAAAACCAAGCACUUCACCCAUUGCAAGAAUCAUAGAUCUAGUUGGCCAAACAAAACCCACAACUCGAAGAGAAUUACAAGGAUAUGAAAUCAUGCAUAAGAGAGAUCAGAACAAACUCAAAUAAGAUUCAUAGAUAAUCUGAUCAUAAAUCCACAAUUCAUCGGACCCCGACAAACACACCGCAAAAGAAGAUUGCAUCGGAUAGAUCUCCAUGAAGAUCAUGGAGAACUUUGUAUUGAAGAUCCAAGAGAGAGAAGAAGCCAUCUAGCUACUAGCUAUGGACCCGUAGGUCUAUGGUGAACUACUCACGCAUCAUCGGAGAGGUCAUGGUGUUGAUGAAGAAGCCCUCCGUAUCCGAAUCCCCCCUCCGGCAGGGCACCAGAAGACAGAAGCUUGCGGCGGCGGAAAAGUACUUUCGAUGAUCUCCUGAUUUUUUCUGUGAUUUUAGGGAAUUUAUAGGCGAAAGUCCUAGGGCGGAGGUGGCCCAGGGAGCCCACAAGCCAGGGAGGCGCGGGCCCACCUGGCCGCGGCUAGGGGGCUUGUGGGGUCCCUGCAGGCCCCCUACCCUGAUUCUCAGGCUUCCAGAUCUUUUUCUGUUUUGGAAAAAAUCUUUUUGGCAGUUUCAUUCCGUUUGGACUCUAUUCAAAAUCCUCCUCUGAAAGGGGUCAAAAACAUGGAAAAACGGGAACUGGCACUUGGCACUGAGUUAAUAAGUUAGUCCCAAAAAAAGAUAUAAAAGGCAUACAAAACGUCCAAAGUUUGACAAGAUAAUAGCAUGAAACCAUCAAAAAUUAUAGAUACGUUGGAGACGUAUCAAGCAUCCCCAAGCUUAACUCCUGCGUCCUCGAGUAGGGAAGUGAUAAAGACUGAAUUUUUUGAUGUGGAAUGCUACCUAGCAUAGUUGUCCUUGGCAACAUCUUUCAUGUGACAUGAAUGUUCAGAUCUGUAAGAUUCAAAACAAUAGUUUGCUAUUGACAUGAAAACAAUAAUACUUCAAGCAAACUAGCAAGGUAAUCAUGAACUUUCAAAAUAACAAGCCCAAGGAAAGUUAUCCCUACAAAAUCAUAUUGUCUGUCUAUGCUCCAUCAUCCUCACACAACUAAUGUAAAUCAUGCACAACCCCGGUAUUGGCCAAGUAAUUUUUUUCGCACUCUUACUUUCUCAAAAAAAAUUAUAACUAUCACGCAAUAUGUCGGGACCCCGAUCCUAAGCCAUAGGAAUCCAUCUUGUAACACAUCGCAUCCCUUUGCAGUCUCACGCACGGUUAACCCCACAGCUGCAGCCUUACCUUAGUCGGGACCGUUUGCGCCUUUUGACUCACGUAUGCAAUUGUGUCGCUAGCAAUCCAAUGACAGAGAACCCGGAUCGACAUGUCUAGUCAUAAACCAAAGUGGCAGUUCCGCACCGGGACAGGCAUACAUGACCCAGCAAAGCAGGUGUCGGUCACCAGCGAAUGUAGACGAGUCGUAGCAAGCUACAAGGACUCCAUUACAUCGCGUGACAUUUCCCCAAAGGGGACAGACACAACAGCUAAGAAGGACACACGUCAGUCAACCAAUGUGUCCGGAGCGGUAGCGAGCUACCCUGGCUCGUUGGAUCACAAAGGGGUAUUUCCCUGUAAGGAGUGCUACUAAAAUUUACGGCUAGGUAAUCGAACCCCAUACAUAUCAAGUACGACACACGUACGCAUGGCAUACCGAUAUGUAUAGAUACAUCGAUGGCAUCACAAGAUAACCAUAAACAAACAAGCUUUAUUUAAGAGGCUCGGAAGAGCCACACACAUAAUAUUACACAGUAAGGGUCUCACGACCCAUCAUAGCAGUCAUUCAGUUACAAGCAAGCGGAAGUGUUUAAACUAUCUGAGUACAGAAAGGUGAGACUAGAAGGCACAUGGCCUGACUAUACUACAGACCCAACAUAGGGCCAGAUCGUAGCUGGGACACCAGCUACUCGUCGUUGUCGAUAUCUAGGAAGAACCCUCCAUUAGGGUCAUUACCAACCUCUGCAAAAAUUAUUAAACAAACAUGAGUACGGAGGUACUCAGCAAGACUUUAGGAAAACUAUCUACUCAUGCAAUGUAUCAAUAAGGAAUUGUGGGGUUUCAUGCGGAAAGCCAGCAUUUGACUCGUGGCUAGACAACUUGCAUUUUUAAAUAAUUUUUGACAACUUGAUUUCUCCACACGAGUCCACUAACACCACAACAAUACUCUAUCGUGGAAUCAUUCCGUCUCCAUGCGGAAAUGCCGUCCGCGACACUCACGCUUAGCUUGACAAUUUUAAGAGUAGCCAUUGAAGUUAUCUAUGAACAAGAUAUGUCUCCAAGUAGUCGAUAUCCGCGGACGCGGCUAUUCGAAUAGAUCAUAACCCUGCAGGGGUGUACUUCGUCACACACGCUCUCGCCACUUAUCGCCAUGUGCACGUCAUGCACCUCGGCAACCUUCAAGCGGAAGCCCAGCGAGGGAGUCGGCCACGACCGUUAACCACACUAGUACCUAGUCCAGGUUUAUCGCAUAUCUGAGAGUAACCCGCACGGAAGUCCGGCCAAGGUUUCCGCCACGGCCCCAAACGAUGUGUGCAGGGUUCCCAAGCCCACCAUACGGGUGCCACUUGGUACACCGUGCCACUGCCUGCCGCAUCACAGCCCACCUCUUAGGUCAGCACUAUGCACGGCCUCCAGCAUGACUAUACACACCAGAAACUACUUGCAACUCCUGGACCUAGUACUAAGCUAUUAAUAAGUCGAGCGGGGUCAUAUUUCAGGGCCAAGCAUGUGCUAGUAUCUCAUCUUGGAUUACAUACACGGAACUCAGUUCCUAAGGACGGUUCCAAUGAAACAACCCGCCAUGUACUCCUACAUAGCCUUUCACCGAUACCUUUACCAAAUCAGGUUCAACACACAACCUUUACUUACUGAACACAUUCUCACAAUUCUGUUCAUCUCCCAGAUGACAGACCAUACACAACUCUAAGCAUAGCAUGCAUAGCAGGAUAAGGCACAUCAUGUAUCAAGCAACUACCAGGUAUGCUAGGUUGCAAGGUUCAGCUAUUUACUGUGACAAGGAUAGGUCAUGCAAAGGAAGUGGGUUCAACUAACGUGGCAAAAGCAUUUGAAGCAUUUGAUACUAAUGCACUAAGUAAGUGCAGGAGCGAGAACAUGGGAUUUAUCGGGAUGAUCAAAAUGGUUGCUUGCAUUGUUGCUCAUAGGAGGGACAAUAUCCGUCAGUCGGAUAUUCGGUGGAAUUCGGAGGAGCGGAGCCUACCGAAAGGAAUGACAACAAUCAAUAACAAUCAUGUGCAUCAAGAUGAUGCAUGAGCAUGGCAUGAGGAUGCAAGGUGGUAUACUAUUAUAGCUAACAUUUAUUAGGCUUGAAGUUGAUUUGAAUCAAAUUCAAAUAUCACUUCNNNNNNNNNNNNNNNNNNNNNNNNNNNNNNNNNNNNNNNNNNNNNNNNNNNNNNNNNNNNNNNNNNNNNNNNNNNNNNNNNNNNNNNNNNNNNNNNNNNNAGAAAUUUUCAACAAGAACAAAGAAAGUGGUGAAGGAAAAACUCAAACCCUAGCCACUUCUUUAAAAUAAAGGAAAUCUCAAACUAGUUAAAAUCAAUGAACCCAAAAUGGCCUCAAGAAAAGUUCAAACUUUCUGGUAAAUCAUGAAAGUAAAUGAGCAAUGAAGAAAACUAUUUUCUUGACAAUUUAAGCAUUUUAAAUAAAUGCAAAAAGCCACUGGUUUCAUGUUUUAAAUUUGAAAUCAGAAACUUUAAACUUUCAAAAAUGUUGAUGACUUUAGGAAUGGUUGGAAAUAUUCCAACAAAUAUUCUAGGGUGCUUAACAUAGUUUUUACAAUUUAUUUGGGAGCUGAAAUAAAUAGCAAGUUAUUGAAAUAGUCAAUACAGAAACAAAUCAGAAAAAAAUGGAAAACCCUUACCUGUCGCCUAGCCGGCCCAGCCCAUCUCCUCCGGUCGUCUCCCACCUCGCCAGUAGGAGCAGGAGGUGGCCGCCGCGUACUUCGGCGCGGCCACGCACCUGUGCGCCUGCCUGGCCGCCGCCUCGCGCUGGCAAGCCCAGGGAUAAGCUCCCCGAGCCCGUGGCUAUCCAUUCCCAGCGCCAGUUCCCCCCCUCCUAUCGGAUCUCUCCUCCCUCCUUCUGCCGCCAUUGGAGCCCGAGCAGAGCUCGAGCUCGCCGUCGAUCUAGCCGACCCUUCUCCCUCCUGAGCCACGUAGUAGGUCCGCCGCAUCCCCCUGAAGCUCCCUAGCCACGAGCCNNNNNNNNNNNNNNNNNNNNNNNNNNNNNNNNNNNNNNNNNNNNNNNNNNNNNNNNNNNNNNNNNNNNNNNNNNNNNNNNNNNNNNNNNNNNNNNNNNNNAGGCUUUUACGACAUCCUUGAAUCUCUUGGGGUGCCUUGGGAAUCCCCAAGCUUGAGCUCUUACCACUGUUUAUCUCUUUGUCCAUAGGAACUUCACCCAAAACUUGAAAACUUCACAACAAGAAACUUAAACAGAAACUCGUGAUAACAUUAGUAUGAGAAAGCAAACCAUCACUUCCUUAGGUACUGUAGAAAACUUAAAUUCUACUUAUGCUGAUGUUGGAUUACUGUAUUUUCAAUCUUCCAUGGGUAAUACCCUCCGAUACUAUCCAUAGUUUCAUCAAAAUAAGCAACCAACUCAACAAAAACAGAAUCUGUUAACAGCAGACCAGUCUGUAGCAAUCUAUAUACUUCGUAUACUUCUGGUACUUCAGAAAAUCUGAAAACUUACGAAGUCUGAAGAAAUUGCAUAGAAAUCAGCAGCAAAAUGAAUCAACUCAAAAGCUCUUACAGAAUAAAAAUGAAAUUUCUUUUCGUGAGCAGAAAGUUUCUGUCUUUUUCCAGCAUGAUCAAACAACCAUCACCAAGACUAAUCAUAACGGUUUUGCUUGGCACAAAAACAAAAGCCACAAUCAUAACAGAAUUAUGAUGGUGUGGAGAAAACAAAACAGGAAGCAAAAAGGAAAGAAAAAUUUAUUCAUUGGGUUGCCUCCCAACAAGCGCUAUCGUUUAACGCCCUUAGCUAGGCAUUGAUUUCAAUGAUGCUCACAUAAAAGGUAAGGAUUGAAACACAACGAGAGCAUCAUGGAGAAAAUGGCUAGAACAUUUAAGUCUAACCCACUUCCUAUGCAUAGGGAUUUUGUGAUCAAACAAUUUAUUGGAGCAAGAAUCAACUAGCAUAGGAAGGCAAAACAAGCAUAGCUUCAAAAAUUUCAACAUAUGGAGAGGAAGCUUGAUACUAUUGCAAUAGGUAGAAGUAUAUGAUCCUCUCUCAUAGUAAUUUUCAGUAGAAUCAUGAAUGAAUUCAACAAUAUAACCAGCACCUAAAGCUUUCUUUUCAUGAUCUACAAGCAUAGAAAUUUUACUACUCUCCACAUAAGGAAAUCUAUUCUCAAGAAUAGUAGUGGGAGUAUCGUAAAAGACUUGAGCACUACAAAUUGUGUCCACAAUGAAAAAGCAAGGUUUAGCAAAGGGUUUUUCGAAAGUAUGACAAGCUUUAUCAUCCCUCUUCUUCAAAGCAUAAGUAUCCUCACAAUAAUAAUCAUAGAGAGGGGGCAUGCUUUCAUCAAAAUAAUUUUGAUCAUUCAAAGUGGAAGAACUAAAAAGAUCAUCUUCAUCAAAUAUAGCAUCCCCAAGAUUGUGCCUUUGCAUAUCAUUACCAUCAUGGGUAUUCAUAGCAUUCAUGCUAACAACAUUGCAAUCAUGCUCAUCAUUCACAUAUUCUAUGCCAAGCAUUCUAUGUAAUUCUUCUUUCAGCACUUGAGCACAAUUUUCCUUCCCAUCAUGCUCACGAAAGACAUUGAAAAGAUGGAGCAUAUGAGGCAUCCUCAAUUCCAGUUUUUUUUUAAUUUUCAGCGAAAGAACAAGAAACAAAAAGAUUCGAUUGCAAGAUCUAAAGAUAUACCUUCAAGCUCUAACCUCCCCGGCAACGGCGCGAGAAAAGAGCUUGAUGUCUACUACGCAACCUUCUCCUUGUAGACGUUGUUGGGCCUCCAAGUGCAGAGGGUUGUAGGACACUAGCAAUUUUCCCUCAAGUGGGUGACCUAAGGUUUAUCAAUCCGCAGGAGGGUAGGAGGAAGAUGGUCUCUCUCAAGCAGCCCUGCAACCAAAUAACAAUGAGUUUCUUGUGUCCCCAACACACCUAAUACAAUGGUAAGUUGUAUAGGUGCACUAGUUCAGCGAAGAGAUGGUGAUACAAGUGCAAUAUGGAUNNNNNNNNNNNNNNNNNNNNNNNNNNNNNNNNNNNNNNNNNNNNNNNNNNNNNNNNNNNNNNNNNNNNNNNNNNNNNNNNNNNNNNNNNNNNNNNNNNNNGCUCCCUAGCCACGAGCCCGACGCCCAGAUGUAGUGACACAACGAGCAGCAGUCGUCUUCUUUCUCGGGUCACCGAAGAUCGUCGCCCGCGUUCUCCCUCUUCAGGCCGUCCCCGAGCAAACUAGCGCCACCACUGCACUCCCCGUGAGCAUGCGGUCAUUUCCCCUAAGAUCUCCCCAUCGAUCCCCUCCUCUAGGCCUAGUUCCACCAGAGCCCGACAAGAUCCGCCGCUGCAGCUCGUCGCCGGUAACCCUCCGGUGAUCAGCUCGUCCUUCUGAGGGCACCAGCAGCUUUAGGCCGUCGCGUAGAUGCCGUAGGAGCUAAGUCCUGUGCGCAACUCCCUCCGUNNNNNNNNNGCUCCCUAGCCACGAGCCGGACGCCCAGAUGCAGUGAAACAACGAGCAGCAGUCGUCUUCUUCCUCGGGUCAGCAAAGAUCGUCGCCGGCGUUCUCCCUCUCCAGGCCGUCCCCGAACAAACUAGCGCCACCACUGCACUCCCCGUGAGCAUGCGGUCAUUUCCCCUAAGAUCUCCCCGUCGAUCCCCUCCUCUAGGCCUAGUUCCACCGGAGCCCUACAAGAUCCGCCGCUGCAGCUCGUCGCCGGUAACCCUCCGGUGAUCAGCUCGUCCUUCUGAGGGCACCAGCAGCUUCAGGCCGUCGCGUAGAUGCCGUAGGAGCUAAGUCCCGUGCGCAACUCCCUCNNNNNNNNNNNNNNNNNNNNNNNNNNNNNNNNNNNNNNNNNNNNNNNNNNNNNNNNNNNNNNNNNNNNNNNNNNNNNNNNNNNNNNNNNNNNNNNNNNNNCAAGAAAACGUAUGCGCUAAAAAAAAGCUAAUUCAAAGAAGGGGUCUAAGAAGCCGAAGGGGAAGAAAAAGCUUGAUUAUAUGAGGGGUCUAAACUCGGAACAACACAAAAUAAGGGGUCUAAGAAGCCGAAGGGGAAGAAAAAGAAAAAGAAAAAAAGAGAGUGCCGAUUCCCUGUAGCAGGAUCGAUUGAACUGAUGCCUGUGGCAGCACUAUGAGUUUGGUGUGAGCGAAGCUAGCCUAGGCAACUCAACAAAAGUCAAGAUGGAUGAUGGCAUGAUCUAGCAAAGCAGAAAUUACUUAAUCCCAAUAUUAGUACAAUUAGAUACAACCCUGUUCUCUUUGUCUUCGUUCAUUCUUCAUUUUCAUGCAAUUAUGAAUCAUGUUUCUACUUAUUCUCAUAUGGGUAACAUCUUUAGAAACUAAAAGUUAGUACUAUCUUCCCAUAUACAAGUGGCAUAAACAAUCCUUUGACGAACUUUCUGGUUAACAUAGAAUCUAUGAGUUUUUUCUUCUAAUUACUACUACUAACAUUAUUCAAUCUGGUAUCCAAGAAUUUAUUAAGCUCAUCCCGCAAGCACAUGUACACAUCUUGGAUUUUACCGUCUGAAGAUGGAAGAAGAUUCGUUCUCCUACCCAUUUCUAAGUUAAGCAAGAGAUAACUCAUAAUUUGAUAUGCACUCGCACUCGCAUCUUGGGUCACUGGAACCUGAUGAUAAUUACUCACUCCUUCAUCCUGAGAAAGGAUCUUGGCUAUGAAAAAAAAUGGAUCACUAGCUUGCGCAGCAAAUUGAAUGAAACUUUCGUCCGAAGAAAACAUUUCAGUCUGGUGUUCGUUAUACCAUUUAAGGGCAUCAUCUAAGUUCGAGAACUUUUGAUACUUAAAGGCUGCAGCACAUGCUAAGUGUUGACUGAGAUUCUUUUUUUCCGACAGGUGGUUUUGUGCUUGAGGUUGAGGAUGAUCGGCAGAAAAGAGUAAUAAACUUUUUGACAAAUUACGCUCAUGAAAAUGCAAUACACCUGAACGGUAGAUUCUACCACGGAAGUCCAUGAAUGCUGGCAAAUAGAAUUGAUAACCUUCGUAUGCUGACGCAAGUCUUAUUAAAAAAUCUUCAUAACUAGCCUGCUGCACCUGUUUUCAUAAUUUAUUUAACAGUAUGUUAUAGCUACAAGCAUUCUUAAUACCUUUGACGUUAUUGAAGUAGCACUCCCUCAAUAUGUCUGAGGCUUCUGUCGGAUUCACGCGAGCCAGAGCAUUUGGUAAAAGAAGCCCACACUCAACUAAACAUUGACGAUUCUUUUCCAGAAAUCUCAAGAGCCUUUUGUUUAUUUCAAACGCUUGAGACUGAAGCCCAUUCAAAAUAUCACACAUCUGCUUGUAUUCUUUUUUAUGUAACUUUAUAUAGAAGUGGUUUAAGUCAUGGGAAGUUAAUAGCCGAAAGUGAUUCUAGAUAUCCCCCGUGGGUUUGCAUAAGUAACCUCCUAUCAGAUCCGAUAAUGUAUCAGGAUCAGACCCCCUCUCUGCUGGUUGCCAAUCCAAGGGUUUGCAAAGCAUCGGAAGAUUUAGUUUGAUAGGGAGCAGAUUUAUGUUCAAAUUGCACAUAACAUAACAAGAAUUCUCUAUAUACCCUUGACCUUUCUUAAGAACCAGCACUGGAUCUUCUUUUGUUACUCCCCUAUCUGUUGAUAUAUGUAGAACAUUUCUUUCAAUCAUGAAUUGGAGCAAGUAUUUCCCGAUAUCAUAAUGACACUGAAUUUUUUUCUUUUUCUCUUUUUUGCUAGCACCUUUGGGCUGAACAACAUCCUUAACUGAUUCUACCUUACUAGUGAGUACUGCUUCCACCUUACCACUACCUGGUGCUUUGUAUUGUAGAAACCUUGCUUGUUCUCGUACAGUUGAAUUAAGUUGAUCUAUAAAUCUAGCUGCCUUAACUGCGGAUGAUUCCUGAAGAGUGUUGAAUACCAAGCCUAGUACAUGAAUCAUGAUAGCCUCAAGCGUAUAGAUACCAAACAUCUUAAGCAUAGGUAAGCUACUUGGUAGGCAACCCUUUAGAUAUUGCUUAGCGUUAGGCUGCUCUUUAUUAAUCAAGAACUUUACUAUGUUAGGAGUUACUUUAAAUAGAUUAUCCUCAUCGAACUUCAUUGUGCAAUUUGCAAUUUGAUUCUGUAAAUCUAUUAAUUCAGUAUCGGAAAACACACCAUUUUUAUUCUUCUUUUCAUUAAUCAACAACUUUAUAACAUCAUCCUGAUACAUAUCAACAUUAGAAGUCUUUUUCGUUUGGUCAAUAUCCAACAGCUUACGUAGUAAUCGUUCCAGAACUCCUUAAUAAUACGUGCAUUUUGCAAAGAUUUCUCAUUCUCAAUGCUAUCAUCAUAUGUCUCGGAACAAUAAAAUAGAACCUGCAUACUUUUAUUUGUUACCCUUACUAAACCGCAGUAAGGAUACGAAUACGACUUAAAUAAACAACUAGAAUCUCAAUAUAAGGAAAGGAUCAGAAUAAGUACUAAUGCUCUGUAUAAUACUUUUCCCCGAGCGAUGGUUUAGCGGAUUCGGAAUUGUAACCAAGCAUCCUGGGUUCUAUACCCGAUUCAACACUAGAGCAUGCAGCCGAUCCUGGAUACAUAACUCUCAAAAGUGUGCAGUGAGGGAUCUUUAUUGGUAGCCAGUCUUUCACUUCUGCCUCUCCACUCCCAUGCCUUUCUUGGUCGGACCAACCCAACCGGCGAUUUCCGACAAGUCUUUCUGCUUAGAGCAAGAAGCGGAACCAAAAUAAAGCUUUCUUUAUUUUCAUUUAUGGAUAACCAAUCCAUUUUCCAAUAUAGUUGGGAGAUUUUACCCAAGAAAUGGGUACAUAAAAUGAAAAGAUCGGAACAUGGGAAUAGAUCUUAUACCAAUACUGACUACCCAUUUCCAUUGUUGUGCUUUCUAAAAUGGCAUACCUAUACAAGGGUUCAAGUUUCGAUCGAUAUUUGCGGAGUGGAUCAUCCCUCUCGAAAACGCAGAUUUGAAGUUGUCCAUAAUUUACUGAGUACUCGGUAUAACUCACGCAUUCGUGUACAAACAAGUGCAGACGAAGUAACACGAAUAUCUCCGGUAGUCAGUCUAUUUCCAUCAGCCGGCCGGUGGGAGCGAGAAGUAUGGGAUAUGUCUGGUGUUUCUUCCAUCAAUCAUCCGGAUUUACGCCGUAUAUCAACAGAUUAUGGUUUCGAGGGUCAUCCAUUACGAAAAGACUUUCCUCUGAGUGGAUAUGUGGAAGUACGCUAUGAUGAUCCAGAGAAACGUGUGGUUUCUGAACCCAUUGAGAUGACCCAAGAAUUUCGCUAUUUCGAUUUUGCUAGUCCUUGGGAACAGCGUAGCGACGGAUAAUUCCGAAUCUACAUAGGUCUAGUCCAGGGGACAAAUCAAUAGGAAAUGCUAUUUGCUUCUUAAGAAGAAGAACUUUUUUGAAAUGAAAGAGUUUCCACGGGCGUCGGAUAUCAUUUCUUCAAAUAAGGAAGAAGUGUUAUCGAAGGAUUUCCUUCCAUUCUUCCUAGUAUGGAAGAAGUAAAGAAAAAGUACUGCGUCUCGAUCUAUACGAAAGGGCACUGGUUUUUUCUUUCGGUUUCAUUGAUAGCAGAAGAGUACGCUAGCUAGCGGAGCCUGAAAACGCUUGCUUGCGCCCCACCCCUACGGAAACUAUUGCCUAUGCUUGCUGCUCGCUCAUUUUCAGUAGAAGGGAAGAAAAGAUGGUCACUCCUUUUAGGAACAUGGCGAGCCUUACUUACGACUGUUGCACUUCACUCGCUGCUCGUUCAUUCACUUGCUCAUGAACUCGCUGCUUCGCCAGAAGCGACUAGUCGCCUCCUUUCCUCCGCCGAAAGAUGCUUAGCCAGAAGCGACGAAGGAGGGGAGCUGGGGAAGGCCGACGAUGGCAAUGAGGGGGAAGCUGUCGUAGAAGCUUUGCCCCUUGCUUUACAUAAAUUGUUAUGAACUUACUAAAUGACCUUAUUUAUUCUCCUGGAACGCUAGCAAAUCUAAUAGUUCCAUCUGCUCUUCUUAACUUAAGAACGAAGGCCGCCAUCCUUCUUAUUCAGGAACCCUUUGUUUGAGGAGGGCGUAUCCCCGGGAAGGGGAGAGUGGCCGAGCGGUCAAAAGCGACAGACUGUAAAUCUGUUGAAGGUUUUCUACGUAGGUUCGAAUCCACAUCUGAGCGUCUUUUUUUCGGUAUGCCGCUCCGCGAGCAAGGAGCGCCGCGAGGAGAGCGAGAGAACGAAGUGGGCUUUGGUGAUGUCGGAAUUUGCACCUAUUUGUAUCUAUUUAGUGAUCAGUCCGCUAGUUUCUUUGAUUCCACUCGGUGUUCCUUUUCCAUUUGCUUCCAAUAGUUCGACCUAUCCAGAAAAAUUGUCGGCCUACGAAUGUGGUUCCGAUCCCUCCGGUGAUGCCAGAAGUCGUUUCGAUAUACGAUUUUAUCCGGUUCCUAUUUUAUUUAUUAUCCCUGAUCCGGAAGUCACCUUUUCUUUUCCUUGGGCAGUACCUCCUAACAAGAUUGAUCUGUUUGGAUCUUGGUCCAUGAUGGCCUUUUUAUUGAUUUUGACGAUUGGAUCUCUCUAUGAAUGGAAAAGGGGUGCUUCGGAUCGGGAGUAACCACUUUUGAAAGGGCAAAGGGGGGAAAAAGUAAAGUAUAAGCGACAUAUGGCACGAAAAGGAAAUCCAAUUUCGGUAAGACUUGAUCUAUCAUCUGAUUCUUGUUUUUUUUCAAUGGGGGGGACUUUUCAUAGUUAUCAUUGUGAUAGCUGCUUUAGUAGUGGAUCCCUCCUUGAUCGUGACAGAUCAGGUUAGGCAAGCACUACUGGAAGUGAUUCUGUCACUUUUACAAUAUGUUUUGCUAUAUGGUGCCACGCUGAUUGAAGAAAUGGUACCGGCCCUCUGGGGGCAGGAGCGAUGUGGGACCGUGGGCACAGGGGGGCUUGAAAGUCCUUCCCAUUCGGGGCAGGAAACGUACAAAGCCCCACACGUUCAUCUAAUGCUAUCAUCUGAUAGUGAUAGUGAGAGCGUUAACCAAAGGGGUGGGAGCGAUGUGCCUCCUUUAACUAUUGACUUGAACCGACCGGCUCAGGAUCAGGAAGAUAUUAGGCAAUAUGUCGAAUCCAUAAAGGAUUUUAGAAUUGACGAGCAAUUCGAGAAUUUCAAAAGGAAUGAUUCCACUUCCCCGCUCUAUGAUCAAUUAUGUGCCUACGUGGGAGAUGCUGAUGUUGUCAAAAACAAGUGUAUCCGAGAGAUCUCGGAGAACUUUCAUUCAACAGACGCUGGGUUAAUUGAUUUCGUCAAUCAGACGGAUGACACUGAAGGGCAAAGAAGAGUUAUAUGGGAUUUUAUAAAGCUUCAUUUUCAAGAUGAGCUUGAUAAGAUCCCACCCGAACUACAACAAAAUGCAAAUCAAGAGGAGGAAUGAAUGGUCGCCAUCAUCAUCAUUCUAUUUUUCGUUAUCAAGAUAAAGGGCUUCAUUUGAAGAGUUAGUUGGCCGGCCUACCGGCCCGCAGAUGUAGAGAAAGAGAUAGAGGUUGCCUCUCUUCUUGAACUGCGAAACCAAAGGGACGCUUGGAAAGAAGGGAACGCACGGCUCUUAUCUGGUUCGAAUCCAGUUCGUCCCGGCCACAAAGACUACACCAAACUACACUAACUAUGAGUUUAUCAAAGCAAGAACUACUAAUUGUAAAAAUUACAAUCGAAAGCCCCCCCCCCCGGUAGAAAACCUGCUAUCGUUUCAUAUAUGCGCUAGGAGAUAGUAUCCUAUCCCCCUCAAUCUCAGGAGUCGCUUUCUCUAUGCCCGACUUACGGGCUCUUUGCUUAUUAUUUCUCGGGUGGGAUGAAGGUCGAAAUGUCUAGUUUGAAUUGCUUAUGCUUAUAUAGUUUGAAUCGUCUAGCUUCAUACCAAGGUUGUUCUACAAAAGAACCAAGUAAGAAAGUAAGCCCGUUCAAUUGAAAUAGCUUCCUCGCUUCGCAGUUCGAUACCCACUGAAACUAUGGAUACGAUAGACUCGGGAGGGGGAAAGGGUUACCUUAUUUGGGCUGCUAAGUCUUUCUUGUUGAUUCCGGAAAUAAAGAGGACCUUCUUAAUCCUUCGUGCUCCACACCCGCCUCACUGGACCUAUCCAUUCGAGCUCUCUCCUCUAAUCCCAACUCGACACGGCUGGACGACGACGCCUGUUCACUUAUAACGAAAUCACACGUUAAGCCCGAUGAAUUCAUCUACAAUUUCUGGAUUUGUCGGUUUGGCAAGGCAGAACCAGGGCCCUUCCAUUAAGGUUAUAUUAUAGUUUCGAUAGGAGAGAUGCAGACCAGAUAGGAAUGCAAGAAUACUCUGUAAAUUGUUUAUUAAUUGGUUUAGUCUGUGGAAGAGAAGUAUCGAUCUAGAGGAUUGCCCCCCCCCCAGACUGACCUAGUUGUCCUUGACUUGCUUCGGAAAGAAAAGACCUAGUACUUGUUUACCUUGACCAUGGCUACUUUCCCGCCGCCUUUCCUUCUAUACUUUUCCUAUGUGCUAUCCCAGGCAUCCCUUGUCAAGCUACCUAUCCCUACGAAAAAGCAAGCCUACUUACUACGUGUUUUCCUCUAUUGGCAAAUACGCAUAUACUGACCUACUCACGUGCAUAUCUUGCAUAAAGCCUUCCCCUAAAAAAACAAACUAGCCCGUAUCUUCCUAGUCCUUGUUGCCAGCCCUACUCGACUUUACUCGACUAUUUAGAAAAAGCUACUACUUGAAUGCAUACUUUUAUUAUUAUUUAAAGAAAAAACAAAAACUAUUUAUGAGUUUAUGCCCCACCAACAGAGCAAAAGAACGCUCAAAUGAGGAACUAGAAUAUGAAAGUGCAAAAUCUCCUACCGAACAAAGAAAGCACUAUAUCUCAUUUUAAAAAUCUGGUAAAAAUUCUUCAACCUAACUCAACACAACUAUAUUUCGACUGUAUAUGUAUGUUUGUAACGUGCCACAAAACCAUCUUAAGAUUAGACAGUUAUCAAUCAGCAAACGCAUUGACCACAUGCAAAAAAUCAAGACGGAUCUCCUUCCUUUUAUUCGGUGCUUUCCUUCUAUAAGUCACUGCUAUUCUUCCUUGACCCUUCUUACCUUUGCUAGAUUUUGCAUUCCCCUCAUUACUAUUCGGCUCAGUAUUAUCUUCACCUUUGGAAUUGCUUCCACCAGAAGUAGACGACAAGUACCGUAGAUGUCAUAAUUUCGUAUAUAGCAAAUUCAGGUAGUAAGUAAUGGAACUGUAGCAUGCAAAGGGACUGUACCAUGGAAAUUGAGAAGAAAUCUCCAUCAAGUUUUUCCAUUUUAUGCCAUAUGAAUAAGAGAUUCCUUUUAGUUAGAAAGCUCGCGUAGAAGUUUGCUAUCAAAGACCUCGGUAUUCUUUUCAUCCGCGGUUUCCCACUUCUCUGUCUCUGGGUGAAUGCCUCUACCAGAGGUUAUGCGCCAGCUUGGGAAAGCCUUAAGUUAUAUCUUAAUCUGUCUUGCAAGGUAGAUUGGAUCAUGUCCGCGAUAGAAGUUGCGGAGGAAUGAAACGACGAUUUCGGUAUAGGAAGAGAAAGGGAUUGUGCUUUCGACCGUGGCGAGAUAGGAUAGACUUGGGAUUCUUUCUUGGCCCUUGAUUGCCAACACUCUGGGGCUGAAUUAAUUAAUGAAACUAAUAGGAAGGAUUGGGAUGAUGAACUGGUGAGAUUCUUUCUUUCGCUGACUGACCAAGGUAAUUAAUUCCUUCCAUUGGCCAGGCGGGUAAGCAAGGAGACGACGUUCUCAUUAAAAAAAAUGAAAUAUGCCAUGCCGAAUUCAAAAACAACUCCUUAAACUCCGUCGUUUACCGACAUCCUCUCGGCUAUCAUACGUCCUCCGCUUAUCUCUCUUAGGCAUAGGCAUCUCAACACAUUCCUCCUUCCGAGUUGCUUGUCCGAACUUGGCUCUUUAGUAAAACGAAGGAGCUGCUAAGCUAUUAUUAGGUAUCAAUUUAGGAGCCUUUUUUCAUUUCCAACUACAUUAUUGUGAGCAUUCGGAACCCGUUCCUACGCGGUCAUCAAAUUGGCUGGCUUUGGACCCUCGAUCGNNNNNNNNNNNNNNNNNNNNNNNNNNNNNNNNNNNNNNNNNNNNNNNNNNNNNNNNNNNNNNNNNNNNNNNNNNNNNNNNNNNNNNNNNNNNNNNNNNNNNNNNNNNNNNNNNNNNNNNNNNNNNNNNNNNNNNNNNNNNNNNNNNNNNNNNNNNNNNNNNNNNNNNNNNNNNNNNNNNNNNNNNNNNNNNNNNNNNNNNNNNNNNNNNNNNNNNNNNNNNNNNNNNNNNNNNNNNNNNNNNNNNNNNNNNNNNNNNNNNNNNNNNNNNNNNNNNNNNNNNNNNNNNNNCCUCUUUCCUUUCACUUUUUCUUCGGCUGUCACCAACUUUGUUCAAUGCUAGUCCCUAACCCAUGAAUAAGGGCUCCGCUGGCUACCGGGUUCAGAGAAGUUUGUAAGCUCUUUCUCUUUUUUCGUUUUUCGCCACCUCCUGUGUCUUUCCGUUUAAGGUCUUUAAUUCGGCAUUAGCUUCGUUAGAGAAAGCCAUGCAUGAACUACACAAAGCAUGGGAUCCUGAACACCACGAAAGAAAGCGUACUACUUUUCAAUAAGGUCCGACUUCAGAGAGGAGAGACAUGAACUUGUUUUAGGCGUAGAAAAGGCAUACGGUAUGAAAGAUUGAUUGAAAAGAGGUAGGGACUGGUCUCGCUGCUAAGGGAGAAGGAGACCUCUGUCGGAGCAAGCUAAAGAGCCCACUUUAUAUCGUCGAUUUCAGGUAAGGCACUCGAUCAAGCCUAUACAUCCGGGAAUUUAGCUCCAAACCAAAGACGACUUGCUUUGCUGCAUUUCUUGGGCCGGGGCUUUACUUGAUUUUGGCGAAAGAAAGGCCAUAUGAUCUACUUUCUGGUGCCGGUCCCUUCACAAAGAUAGCCCCUUCUUGCUCUUAUUCUUAUUCUUAUUCUUAUUCGGUGGAAUACAAGAGUUCUGAAGCUCCUUUCUUUCAAGUGAAAGUUGCCUAUCUUUCUUGGUUCGGAAUCCAAUCCAGUUGAAAACAAACAAUUGCCCGAUGGCAAAGUCAGAUGAAAGGCAAGGAGUGUAAACCACGUACGAGCGUGGCGCAGAAAGCGAAAUGUUUUGCAGCGAGUCAAGCGUAAUACGAUCAAAAGGAAAUGGGGUCGAUGCUAAAACUCAAACAGUUCCCCAGAGGGGGCCCCGGGUUGAAAGAGCGAGCUACAUUCUUUCAUAGAAGACAAAAAAUAAGAGGACUGAUGCUUUCUUACUUCAUCUUAAUAUAGGGAUGCUUUAUGUAGCUUCCAAUGAAUAGGAAACAAGAUGACCCAUGGGGCACUCAGUGACGUAUCUAAACCGUCUAUCCAGUACUGGCUUUUCACACUCGGGAAUAGAAACUGUCGGCACUUGAAGAUGAACGAAGCGAAAUUACCCCCCAAAAAAAGCCCUUAUACUCACCUUGGUGGGGACUGACUGCUCUCCCCUACGAAAGUAGCAUCGCGAUGCGGAGAUCAACAACACAUAUUCGCAUACCAUGCUUAUCUAUUGAUGUCGCAGAUCAGCGGCAACUCCCAUACUAAGUAUGAUGUCGCAUAUCGGUUGUCUAACUACAAGGGUGGAACCUUUUCUUUUUAACUAGUCUUAAAGUGGAUGUCGCAGCCUUGAGUUCUUUUUAUUNNNNNNNNNNNNNNNNNNNNNNNNNNNNNNNNNNNNNNNNNNNNNNNNNNNNNNNNNNNNNNNNNNNNNNNNNNNNNNNNNNNNNNNNNNNNNNNNNNNNAAGCUUGGGGAUGCCCCGGGAUGGCAUCCCCUCUCCCGUCUUCAAUCCAUCGUAAUGUUACUUGGAGCUAUAUUUUUAUUCACCACAUGAUAUGUGUUUUGCUUGGAGCGUCUUGUAUCGUAGGUGUCUUUUAUUUUUUGUUGUGUCACAAUCAUCCUUGUUGCACACCUAGAGAGAGAGACAUGCACUCACUGUGAUUUUGUCAAGCUUCACUUAUAUCCUUUGUUAGACAAUUCAGCUCACACGUGCUUCACUUAUAUCUUUUGAGCUAGAUACUUUUGCUCUAUGUGCUUCACUUAUAUCUUUUAGAGCUCAGCGGUGCGUGGCUUGGUAGUUGAUCUAUGCUUUGAAAGUAGUCUCAAAAGGGGUAGUUAUCCAAAGGGAUACGAAAAUUUCCACCUUCAUGUACAUUGAAUAGUUAGAGAAGUUUGAUUCAUCUCAAUUAGUUUUGAGUUGUGGUUUUGGUAAUAUUGAAGUCAUGCUAGUAAGGUGUUGUGGAUCUAGAAAUACUUGUGUUGAAGUUAGUAAUUCCUGUAGCAUGCACGUAUGGUGAACCGCUAUGUGAUGAAGUCUGAGCAUGAUUAGUCUUUUGAUUGUCAUCCUUUGCGUGGCGAUCGGGAUCGCGCGAUGGUUUAUACCUACCAACCCUUCCCCUAGGAGUAUGCGUUGAAUGCUUUGUUUUGAUUAGUAAUAAAACUUUUGCAACAAGUAUAUGAGUUCUUCAUGACUAAUGUUGAGUCGAUGGUUUAGAUGCACUUUCACCUUCCACCAUCACUAUCUUCUUAGUGCCGUGCAAAUUUCGCCGGUGCACAAAACCCACCAUUAGCCUCCCUCAAAACAGCCACCAUACCUACCUACUAUGGCAUUUUCAAAGUCAUUCCGAGAUAUAUUUCCAUGCAACUAUCACCAUGGCUUGUGCCACCAUGUUUACAUUUCCAUUGCAUGAUCGUAAGAUAGCUUGCAUGAUGUUUCCAUUAAUGUCUAUGUCAUGCUAGAUCAUUGUCACGGUACACUACCGAAGGCAUUCCAUAUAGAGUCAUCGUUGCUCUAUGUUUUGAGUUGAAAGUGUGAUGAUCAUCAUUGAUGGAGCAUUGUCCCAUGUGAGGAAAUAAAAGAGGCCAAAGAUGCCCACCAAAAAAAGAGGCCAAAGAGUCCACCCAAAAAAAUAUGAGAGAAAAACAGAGAAGGGACAAUGCUACCACCUUUCCAGACUUGUGCAUAUUAAGCACCAUGAUCUUCAUGAUUGAGAGUCUCUCGUUUUGUCACCACCAUAUAGCUAGUGGGAAAUUUUAAUUGUAUAACUUGGCUUGUAUAUUCCUAUGAUGGGAUUCCUCAAAAUUGCCUUAGGUCUUCGUGAGCAAGCAAGUUGGAUGCACACCCACUAGUUUUCUUUAAGAGCUUUCACAUACUCCUAGCACUAGUGCAUCAUUUGUAUGGAAAUCCCUACUCAUUCACGUUGAUAUCUAUUGAUGAGCAUCUCCAUAGCUCAUUGAUAUGCCUAGUCAACGUGACCAUCUUCUCCUUGUUUGCCUUGCAACCUCCACCACACUCCACACCAUUUAUAGUGCUAAAACCAUGGCUCACACUCAUGUAUUGCGUGAGAGUCGAAAAAGUUUGAGAAAGUAAAGGUGUGAAAACAAUUAAAUGGCCAAUACCGGGGUUGUGCAUGAUUUAAAUUUGUUGUGCAAGGAUGAUAGAGCAUAGCCAGACUAUAUGAUUUUGUAGAGAUAAGUUCCUUUUUGCCUUGUUAUUUUGAAAGUUCAUGAUUACCUUGCUAGUUUGCUUGAAGUAUUAUUGUCUCCACAUCAAUAGCAAACUAUUGUUUUGAAUCUAACGGAUCUGAAUAUUCAUGUCACGUGAGAGAAGUUAUAAAGGACAACUAUUCUAGGUAGCAUGCAACAUCAAAAAAUCAUUCUUUAUCACUUCCCUACUCGAGGACGAGCAGGAGUUAAGCUUGGGGAUGCUUGAUACGUCUCCAACGUAUCUAUAAUUUUUUAUGGUUCCAUUCUAAUAUCUUGUGAACUUUGGAUGUUUUAUAUGCAUGAAUAUGCUAUUUUAUACUCCCUCCGUCCCAAAAUAACUGUCUCAACUUUGUACUAGAGCUAGUACAAAAUUGUACUAAGCUUAAGACACUUAUUUUGGGACGGAGGGAGUAUCUUUUUUGGGACUAACCUAUUAACUCAGUGUCAAGUGCCAGUUUCUGUUUUUUCCGUGUUUUUGACCCUUUUUCAGACGGAGUCCAAAUGGAAUGAAACUUUACGAUGAUUUUUUUGGACCAAACGAGACCCCCGAAGCUUUGGAAGAAGGCCAGAUGGGCCACGAGGGAGUCACAAGCCCUGACACCGCCACCACCCCCCUAGGUGGCGCAGGGCAGGCUUGUGACCUCCUCGUGGGCCCAACCGACGUAAUUCCACCGCCAUAAAUUCCUAUAAAUUCAGAAACCCCCCAAAAGAAACCUAGAUCGGGAGUUCCGCCGCCGCAAGCAUGUGUAGCCACCAAAAACCAAUCUGGAGCCCGUUCUGGCACCCUGCCAGAGGGGGAAUCCAUCUCCGGUGGCCAUCUUCAUCAUCCCGGCGAUCUCCGUGACGAGGAGGGAGUAGUUCUCCCUCAGGGCUGAGGGUAUGUACAAGUAGCUAUGUGUUUGAUAUCUCUCUCUUGUGUUCUUGAGAUGUCUUGAUCUCGAUGUACCAUGGGCUUUGCUACUAUAGUUGGAUCUUAUGAUGUUCUUCCCCCUCUCCUUCUUGUAAUGAAUUGAGUUUCCCCUUUGGAGUUAUCUUAUCGGAUUGAGUCUUUGAGAACACUUGAUGUAUGUCUUGCACGUGUCUAUCUACUGUGAUCAACUUGCAGGUUUGUGACAGUUGGGAACCUAUGCAUAUGUGUUGGCACAAGUGGAUUCAUGUGAGUACUUGAUGUAUGUUUUGGUGAUCAACUUGCGGGUUCGUGACAUUGGGAACAUAUGCACAGGGGUUGGCACACGUUUUGACUCUCUGGUAGAAACUUUGGGGCACUCUUUGAAGUUCUAUGUGUUGGUUGAAUAGAUGAUUCUGAGAUUAUGUGAUGCAUAUCGUAUAAUCAUACCCACGGAUACUUGAGGUGACAAUCGAGUAUCUAGGUGAAAUUAGGGUCUUGGUUGAUAUGUAUCUUAAGGUGUUAUUCUAGUACGAACUCUAUGAUAGAUCGAUCAGAAAGAAUAACUUUGUGGUGGUUUCGUACCCGACAAUAAUCUCUUCGUUUGUUCCCCGCUAUUAGUGACUUUGGAGUGACUCUUUGUUGCAUGUUGAGGGCUAGUCAUAUGAUCCAAUUAUGUUAUCAUUGUUGAGAGAACUUCACUAGUGAAAGUAUGGACCCUAGGCCUUGUUUCCACGCAUUGCAAUACCGUUCGUGCUCAAUUUUACCAUUUGUUACCUUGCUGUUUUUGUAAUUUCAGAUUACAAAAACCUAUAUCUACCAUCCAUAUUGCACUUGUAGCACCAUCCCUUCGCCGAACUAGUGCACCUAUACAACUUACCAUUGUAUUAGGUGUGUUGGGGACACAAGAGACUCAUUGUUAUUUGGUUGCAGGGUUGGUUGAGAGAGACCAUCUUCAUCCUACGCCUCCUGCGGAUUGAUAAACCUUAGGUCACCCACUUGAGGGAAAAUUGCUACUGUCCUACAACCCUCUGCACUUGGAGGUCCAACAACGUCUACAAGGAGAAGGUUGCGUAGUAGACAUCACCGAGCCCCCGCUCGCGUGAUAGGCAUGAGAGAGGUUGCAAGCGCGGACUACUACUGAUGAGAAAGUAUUUAUCCAAACAUGAAACACUUUUGGAAAAAUAACUUUACUGUUGUGGGAAAGAGUACAUAUCACAACCAAAAAGUCUGUGCUGGCAUGAUGAAAAAGGUUAGCUUGAGGAUGAUGCGGUCAAGAGGUAACCUCAAAGGAGGGACUGAAAUGAUGUCGUGUUGGUCACGGGUCAACUUGAGGAUGAUGCGGUCGGGAGGCGCACUCAGCUUACAUCCUGCCAUGCCUCGGCAUGGGGUGCCCACUGGGUCAUGGGUGGGAGCUCCCGCGACCGUGAAGCGAUGCAUGUAGAGAGGCUCUAGGGCAUGUACAGCCCCCUUGCGUCCAUAUCUGUGAGGUGAUACUUGUGAUCUGUGUUGGGUUUUUCCCGAAAGAGCAGGGGAUGAUGCAGCAGAGUAUAGAUAAGGAUCUACCUUAGUGAGAACCAAGGUUAUAAAACCAAUAGAGGACCACACAAUUUCCCGUCUUCAGCGCAUACACACAAAAGAGCACAAACUUGCACCCAGCAUGGGCAAGAGCGUUGUCAGUCCCCUUGAACUCGUUACUUGCAAGUGCUAAGUAGUGAUAGAUAGAUAAUUGAAAUAUUUAAAUUUAAAAAGUAAAUCCAAAUAAUAAAAGGCAGAGAGGUAUUUAUAGUUUUUGUAAACGAAUUUGUGAAUAGACCAGGGGGCCAUAGUUUUCUCUAGAGGUUUCUUUGUCGUAGAAAGCAUACAGUGGGUAGAAAAAUUACUAUUGCGAAAUUGACAUAAAAGCGCAUAGUUAUGGAAUAUUUACUCAUGUAAAUGAUAACUACAUAUAGCCAUCACAUCCGUAAGAAAGCAGACUGAAUCCUGCCUGCAUCUACUGCUAUUACUCCACCUAUCGACCGUUAUCCAGCAUGCAUCUAGAGUACUAAGUGAAAAUAGAGUAAUGCUUGGAGAACAAUGACAUGAUGUAGACAAAGUAAAUCCAAUUAAUAUGAUUCAAACCCAUCGCUUUACCCUUAGUGGCAGCAAUACGAUAUGUGUCAUGUCCCUUUCUGUCACUGGGAUUGAGUACCACAAGAUUGAACCCACUAAAAUGCACCUCUCCCACUUAAGAUAGAUCAGUCUAGUUGGUCAAACCAAAUCAAUAGAUUAGAGAGAAUUACGAAGCUAUCACAAUCAUGCACAUAAAUAUUUAGAGAAGACUCAAAUAUUAUCAUGAACAAUCUGAACAUAAACCCAGAAUUCACCGGACCCCAAUGAAUGCCCCGCACAAGAGUGAUUACAUAAGAUAUAUCACCACGGUAGUCGCGGUGAUCAUGGCAACGAAGAACACAGAUAGAUAUAGCCAUCUACGUACUAACUACAAACAUGUAGGUCUAUGGUGAACUACUCAGAAAUCACCAUGGGAACAGAAAGGUUGAUGUAGAGGACCUCCAUGAUCAAUCCCCUUCUGGUAGGGCACCAGAACUUGGCUCCACAUGGGCGCACGGCGGAACAUAUUUUUUUUGACCAACUACUGUAGGGUAAACACCCCACAGCCUUUUCCUUUAUUUCAUAUCAUAAGAGGUUUAUGUACAAGAUAUGACAAUAAUAUACAGGGGGUGUGGGGGGUAUACAAACAUCAGGUAGGUAAAAAGGAGAUCCACUUGAGGAGAUCAUCCAUAAAUCUAGCCUUAAUUCUAUAAGAUAAAAGGGAAAUGUCAUGAACAAAAUUGGAUUUCCAUCUGUUGAAUCUUGGACGCUCAUUGUUGAAGACCAUUGCUUUUCUGGUGAUCCAAAUAUUUCAGCAUGCGGAAAAAACCACUUCAGAGAAGAAGGGAUGAUGGAAUUAUCUUUUGGCUCUCAGAGUACUGUCCCACAUGGAGGUUCCCUGCCAUGAAAUUUGAAGAUAGUUCCAAACCAUGGUGCUGAACAUGCAGGUAAAGAAAACAUGAUCCCUGUCCUCUUUUGAUCCUUGCAGGACAAAGAACACACAAGUUGGAGUCUGAAAUGGAACAGAGAAUUUGGGUGGCAAAAAAGGGUUUCGGGUGGCUCCUUAUGGUUUUUGUGAUUAAUGUGAAUUUACAGGAUAGGGAGGAGGGCCAGAGGCCAAGGGAGGUGGCUCCAAGCCAUCAGGGCAUCACCAUACCUCUUGGGCACGCCCUGUUGGCUUGGCGCCACUUGUGGGGCCUCCAGUCUACCUCCUAAGCUUCCAGGUCCUUAAUUGUUUCUAGAAAAAAGUCAUCCAAAAGUUUUGGGGUAUUUGGACUUCGUAUGGUACAAUAUUCCUGAAAAGUCAAAAACAUGCAGAAAACAACACCUAACACUUGGCACUGGGUUAAUAGGUUAGUGCUAAAAAUAAUAUAAAUUAGCAAGUAAAUUCCUAAAAAGCAUCCUUGAAUGAUAAUAUAAUAGCAUGGAACAAUAAAAAAUUAUAGAUACGUUGGUGACGUAUGAGCAUCCCCAUGCUUAAUUCCUACUCAUCCUCGAGUAGGUAAAUGAUAAAAAUAGAAUUUUUGAUGUGACAUGCUACCCAACAUGUAAUCUCUUGCACGUAUGAUCAUUGAGAAACGAUCAAUUAACAAACAUGAAUAUAGUAAUAUUCAUGAACAUAAGUAACUUAAUCAUCAAUUUUCAAAAUAUACAAUCCUUAAAGAAUGUUUACCCCCCAUUCAUUUUUCUCACAUUAGCAUGCACGACUCCAUCGUUACCACAUAAAUACAAAUGUCAAGCACCACAGUGUUAAGCCAGGCAAUCAUAUCAUACUUUUUAACGUGCUUCAACUUUUUAUUCCUCACUCAAUACAUGAGCAUGAACCAUGGACAUGUCAUAUAUGUGGAAUAGAAUAUGGUGGUAGGUAUCAAAGCGGUAAAAGUGGAGAAGAAAAUCUCAUAUCAACUAGUCGGAUCAACGGGGAGAUGCCCAUCAAUCAAUGUCAAUGCGAGGAGUAGGGAUUUGCAUGCAACAGAUGCACCAGAGCUAUAAGUGUAUGAAGGCUCAACUGAAGCAAAGUGGGUGUGCAUCCAACUUGCAUGCUCAUGAAGACCUCGGGCAUUUGGGGAAGCCCGUCAUCGAAAUAUACAAGCCAAGUUUUAUAAUGAAAAAAUCCCACUAUCAUAUGAAAGUGACAACACAUGAGACUCUCUAUACGAAAACACGGUUCUACUUUGAAGCACAAGUAUGGAAAAGAGGUGGUAGCAGUGUACCUUCUCUCUUUUCACUCAUUUUUUCCUUUUUCCUCUUUUUUCAUUUUUGUGUUUUUUCUUUCAUUUUCUACUUUUUCCUAUUUCCCCUUUUUUUGUUCUUUUUUCGCUAGGAGUCUGAUCCUCACUUUUGAGGGAAUCAUUAUCUCCAUCAUCCUUUACUCACUAAGAUAGUGCCAUAAUAAUGAAAAUCAUCACACUUUUAUUUACUUAUAACUCGAUUGAAAAAACUACUAAACAAUAUGACCCUAUAUGAAUGCCUCUGCCAGUGUACCGGGAUGUGCAAUGAUCUUGUCACAUCCCUGACACCUUAAGCAAGUUAGUCUUGUGCUCAUGUAUUCUUUGCAUUGCAUCUANNNNNNNNNNNNNNNNNNNNNNNNNNNNNNNNNNNNNNNNNNNNNNNNNNNNNNNNNNNNNNNNNNNNNNNNNNNNNNNNNNNNNNNNNNNNNNNNNNNNNNNNNNNNNNNNNNNNNNNNNNNNNNNNNNNNNNNNNNNNNNNNNNNNNNNNNNNNNNNNNNNNNNNNNNNNNNNNNNNNNNNNNNNNNNNNNNNNNNNNNNNNNNNNNNNNNNNNNNNNNNNNNNNNNNNNNNNNNNNNNNNNNNNNNNNNNNNNNNNNNNNNNNNNNNNNNNNNNNNNNNNNNNNNNNNNNNNNNNNNNNNNNNNNNNNNNNNNNNNNNNNNNNNNNNNNNNNNNNNNNNNNNNNNNNNNNNNNNNNNNNNNNNNNNNNNNNNNNNNNNNNNNNNNNNNNNNNNNNNNNNNNNNNNNNNNNNNNNNNNNNNNNNNNNNNNNNNNNNNNNNNNNNNNNNNNNNNNNNNNNNNNNNNNNNNNNNNNNNNNNNNNNNNNNNNNNNNNNNNNNNNNNNNNNNNNNNNNNNNNNNNNNNNNNNNNNNNNNNNNNNNNNNNNNNNNNNNNNNNNNNNNNNNNNNNNNNNNNNNNNNNNNNNNNNNNNNNNNNNNNNNNNNNNNNNNNNNNNNNNNNNNNNNNNNNNNNNNNNNNNNNNNNNNNNNNNNNNNNNNNNNNNNNNNNNNNNNNNNNNNNNNNNNNNNNNNNNNNNNNNNNNNNNNNNNNNNNNNNNNNNNNNNNNNNNNNNNNNNNNNNNNNNNNNNNNNNNNNNNNNNNNNNNNNNNNNNNNNNNNNNNNNNNNNNNNNNNNNNNNNNNNNNNNNNNNNNNNNNNNNNNNNNNNNNNNNNNNNNNNNNNNNNNNNNNNNNNNNNNNNNNNNNNNNNNNNNNNNNNNNNNNNNNNNNNNNNNNNNNNNNNNNNNNNNNNNNNNNNNNNNNNNNNNNNNNNNNNNNNNNNNNNNNNNNNNNNNNNNNNNNNNNNNNNNNNNNNNNNNNNNNNNNNNNNNNNNNNNNNNNNNNNNNNNNNNNNNNNNNNNNNNNNNNNNNNNNNNNNNNNNNNNNNNNNNNNNNNNNNNNNNNNNNNNNNNNNNNNNNNNNNNNNNNNNNNNNNNNNNNNNNNNNNNNNNNNNNNNNNNNNNNNNNNNNNNNNNNNNNNNNNNNNNNNNNNNNNNNNNNNNNNNNNNNNNNNNNNNNNNNNNNNNNNNNNNNNNNNNNNNNNNNNNNNNNNNNNNNNNNNNNNNNNNNNNNNNNNNNNNNNNNNNNNNNNNNNNNNNNNNNNNNNNNNNNNNNNNNNNNNNNNNNNNNNNNNNNNNNNNNNNNNNNNNNNNNNNNNNNNNNNNNNNNNNNNNNNNNNNNNNNNNNNNNNNNNNNNNNNNNNNNNNNNNNNNNNNNNNNNNNNNNNNNNNNNNNNNNNNNNNNNNNNNNNNNNNCGGGUUACUCUCAGAUAGACGAUAAACCUGGACUAGGUACUAGUGUGGUUAACAGUCGUGGCCAACUCCCUCGCUGGGCUUCCGCUUGAAGGUUGCCAAGGUGCAUGACGUGCACAUGGCGAUAAGUGGCGAGAGCGUGUGUGACGAAGUACACCCCUGCAGGGUUAUGAUCUAUUCGAAUAGCCGUAUCCGCAGAUAUGGACUACUUGGAGACAUAUGUUGUUCAUAGAUAACUUCAAUGGCUACUCAUAAAAUUGUCAAGAUAAGCGUGAGUGUCGUGGACGGCAAUUCCGAAUGGAGACGGAAUGAUUCCACGAUGGUGUAUUGUUGUGGUGUUAGUGGACUCGUGUGCAAGAAAUCAAGUUGUCAUAAUUAUUUAAAAAUGCAAGUUGUCUAGCCACAAGUAAAAUGCUGGCUUUUUGCAUUAAACACCACAAUACCUUAUUGAUACAUUGCAUGAGUAGUUAGUUAUCCUAAAGUCUUGCUGAGUACCUUCGUACUCAUGUUUGCUUAAUAAAUGUUGCAGAGGUUGCUUAAUACAUCGACGACGACGAGUAGCUGGUGUCCCAGCUACGAUCUGGCCCUACGUUGGGUCUGUAGUAUAGUUAGGCCAUGUGCCUUCUAGUUGCCCUGUCUGUACUCAGAUAGUUUAAAAAUCUUCCGCUGGGUUGUAACUGAAUGACUGCNNNNNNNNNNNNNNNNNNNNNNNNNNNNNNNNNNNNNNNNNNNNNNNNNNNNNNNNNNNNNNNNNNNNNNNNNNNNNNNNNNNNNNNNNNNNNNNNNNNNNNNNNNNNNNNNNNNNNNNNNNNNNNNNNNNNNNNNNNNNNNNNNNNNNNNNNNNNNNNNNNNNNNNNNNNNNNNNNNNNNNNNNNNNNNNNNNNNNNNNNNNNNNNNNNNNNNNNNNNNNNNNNNNNNNNNNNNNNNNNNNNNNNNNNNNNNNNNNNNNNNNNNNNNNNNNNNNNNNNNNNNNNNNNNNNNNNNNNNNNNNNNNNNNNNNNNNNNNNNNNNNNNNNNNNNNNNNNNNNNNNNNNNNNNNNNNNNNNNNNNNNNNNNNNNNNNNNNNNNNNNUUGACAUUGGAAUGCUAGCGACACUAUUGCAUACGUGAGUCAAAAGACGCAAACGGUCCCGGUUAAGGUAAGGCUGCAGCCGUGGAGUGAACCGUGCGUGAGACCGCAAAGAGAUGCGAUGUGUUACAGCCUGGAUUCCUAUGACUUAGGAUCGGGGUCCCGACAACAUUGGUAUCAGAGCCUGACUGACUGUAGGAUUACUAAGCCAAACUGGUCGAAGUUGAGUCUAGAAUUGCUUUAGUUAUAUAUAAGGGAAUUGUUUGUGGAAGGGAACGUAAGACUCUUGUUCUCUUCUCAAGUUAUUCUAUUAUGGUCAUCCUCGUCUUUUCUGCGGGAAUUAAGGACUAGGUUACUCAUCUUCUUCUAGGCUCGUGUUUCUGAUCGGUAGAUUAUAGGACUGCGGGUCAAGAGAUAUUUGGUUUCUUUCAUUCCUAGGAAAAAGGAAGUAAGUUUGAUGAUCAGAGAGUUGAACUUGAUAGUUGAGUGGUUACGCUAUUCCAUUUUGGGUUGUCUCAAAAUUUGUUUUUGAGCAUUUACAGCCGUUAUGCUGCCCAAUUUUUGCAUUCAGAGCUCUAAUGCUUUUGCAUUACUCUCUAUUUACAGAUGCCUGGCCGUCCUUCUUGUCAGGUGGUACGUCUGACCAGGUGCAUUGAUGUACCGGUUCAUACGGCCAUGCUGGUCAGGGUGAUGUCGGUGUGCGGUUACCGCUGGUACCCCGAGUACACAUUGGAGGAACAGUACCGAGACUUCAACCAGAGCCAGUACAUCUGCACUAUUAGGGUAUUUCCAGACUACCCUGGAGCUGAGGAGCCAAUCCAUUGGUCCUAUGGGUUGGGAGUCACUGUUGACAUGGCAGUACAAGAUGCUGCCUAUUCAAUGCUGACCAUUAUGAGAGCGAGACAUGCACUGCUGCAGAAUUCAGAAUUCUGCUAUGUUCCGGCCUCUCAGCCUGGUGAAGAGGGAUACCUCAGUGGAGUCUAUUUUGAUUCUUCUAUGGAGGAUCCACUAGUGCAGUCCACUGUUGAGAUGCUAGAGAACAGAGACAGGGAUACUCGUGCUCUCCGCAUGGAGCUUUACGCUAGCCGUGCCCGGCUGUGGACGGCUUUGACGCAGCUGGCACCGGUAGUCCAGACAGGGUACGGAGAUAUGGAGAUGCUGAACCCUGUUAGGACCCAUCUUCCGGCCCAUGUUGAUUGGCCAGCGAUAGGAGGAGUCACACCUCUUCGGGGACCCCUCUUACCACCAUUCAGGGGACCAAGGCCACAUCCGUGUCCUUAUGGAUCCCAGAGAUCUCAGGCUAGAGUGUUUCCUGAUCCGCAGGUUGAGCUUCCAGGUCAUGGAGGUAAUCUCUAUGAGAUGUUCUAUGCGGAUGCCUGAGCUGUGAGCGGAAGGAUAGUAUAGUAGUAGCCGUACGUUCACAGUCCUGCGUGACUUGUGAAGUAUGCCUGUAAUGUGAAAUGAAUUCCGGAGGCCUAGAUAAAUAAUGUAUAGGAAGCUUGUAAGCCUCUGAUGAGUAGUUUCAUAAUUUCAGUAGUUUGCUCUUCGGUUAAGGUUGUACUGAACUAUGUAAGGGUGUGUAUGAACCAUGGUGUAUAUAUAGCAGUUGCUUGUUACCAUGCUGUUCAGAUAUUCAUUUCCGCAUUCCGUGUUUUCAGUACAUUCUUAAUCCAUAGCUAGUAUUGAUAUGAUAUUGGUCUAAGCUGUGAGUUUGUUUGUCAGGAUGGUGUUCACCAGGUUGAACCGUGCCCCUGGUCAUGAGCAAGGCGAGGGUAGUCAAGCGUCGCAGGAAGAACUGCCUCACCCGCCCUCUCUGGCGGAAGUGAUGCCUGAGGCAGAGAGAAAUAAAAGGGAGACUAACCGACUGUUAGAGCGUAUUGAGCAGAAUACGGCUCGUCAGCCUAGGAAUGCUGCAGUGUCCCUCAAUGACUUUGUGAAGCUGAAUCCUCCAAAGUUUCAUCAUUCCGUCGAUCCCCUCGACGCUGAUGACUGGCUGUGCAGCAUCUCACGCAAGAUUCGCUCUGCGAAUGUGUCUGAGGCCGACAAGGUGACCUUUGCGGCGUAUUUCCUGGAAGGACCGGCCAAUCUGUGGUGGGAAAAUUUUGAAGCAAUGCGUCCCGCUGAACCAGCAGCCACAUGGGCAGAUUUCAGUGCAGCUUUUCGUCUGCACCAUAUUCCAGAGGGCCUGAUGGACAGAAAGAGAGAAGAAUUUUGUGCCUUCACUCAGGGCAAGUUGACUGUGGAUGCCUAUAGCCGCGAGUUCGGUAAACUCGCCCGCUAUGCAACAGAGGAGGUGUCUACUAACGCCAAGAAGCAAGCAAGGUUCCGUAAGGGUCUGAGCCCUGAGCUCCGUCGUGAUCUGUGCCUCCAUGAGUGUGCAAGCUUUCAAGCCCUGGUCAACAAGGCGGUCAGUGCCGAGACUGGUCAUACUGACUUUGAAGCCACAAGGAAGCACUCCCGUGACUUUGGCUCGUCUUCUGGUUCCGCGUUUCCAAAACGCAGGCUGUGGGUUCCGAACAGUUCUCUGCCGCCAAGAUACACUCCGAGGCCAUCCUACGUGGUGCCUCAGACGAAUCAGGCCAACCCUCUAGCAAAAGCAUAUGGUGGUCCAGCUAGCAAUGCUGCACCACGUGCCAACCAAGUGAUAUGCUACAAGUGUGGAGAACCAGGGCACUAUUUCCGUGAGUGUCCUCAAAAUGUGGGUGCCAAGCAACCCGGAAAGUCCGUCGGGCAAGCCAAGUUGGGCAAAGCUUACUAUGUGAAGCCAACUCCUGCACGUGGCUGUGUGAACUAUGUGUCAGCAGAAGAAGCUGCAACGGAUCCCGACGUCAUGUUGGGUACGCUUCUUGUUAAUCAUCACCCAGCGUCCAUUCUCUUUGACACUGGGUCUUCUCAUUCCUUCAUUUCAGAAAGUUAUGCACAGUUGCAUAACAUGUAUUUUUGUGAUAUGCCAAUUCCAUUGGUUGUCCAAACUCCUGGUAGUAAAUGGCAAACCUCUAGGAUAACCUAUGACAAUGAAAUUCUAGUAGAUAGGCUAGUUUUUCUAGCCUCAUUGAUAGCCUUGAAAUCUUCGGAUAUUAAUAUCAUCUUGGGCAUGGACUGGAUGUCAGCUCACUAUGCCAAGAUUGAUACUCAUUCUAGAAAUGUCCAGCUUACCCAUCCCUCGGGUGAGAUAGUAAAUGUCUCUACUCGAGUUGCCAAAUGCCAACUCUAUUCCUUAAAUGCCAACCCUCUUCCGGAACUUGAAGACAUUCCGGUAGUCCGUGACUUCCCGGAUGUUUUUCCAGAGGAACUGCCAGGAAUUCCACCUGAUAGAGAUGUAGAGUUCGUGAUAGACCUUGUUCCGGGAACUGUCCCAAUAGCCAGAAGACCAUAUAAGAUGGCACCCCUGGAGCUAGCCAAACUUAAGAAGCAAUUAGAUGAGGCCUUGAACAAAGGUUUCAUUCGUCCUAGCUCUUCUCCUUGGGCUUGUCCCGUCCUCUUAGUCAAGAAGAAAGACGGAACGGAUCGGAUGGUUGUAGAUUACCGACCAGUUAAUCUGGUCACCAUAAAGAACAAGUAUCCGCUCCCAAGGAUCAACGAUCUGUACGAUCAGCUCGCUGGAUCCUCAGUCUUCUCCAAAAUGGAUUUGAGGUUGGGAUACCAUCAAAUCAAGAUCAAGAACGGGGACAUUCCAAAAACGGCUUUUGUUACUCGAUAUGGCCAAUAAGAGUACACCGUCAUGUCCUUCGGUUUAACCAAUGCCCCAGCCACCUUCUCUCGUCUGAUGAAUUCAAUCUUCAUGGAGUAUUUGGAUAAAUUCGUCAUGGUAUACCUCGAUGAUAUUCUCAUCUACUCGAAGAACGAACAAGAACAUGCCGAGCAUCUAAGGCUGGUAUUGAUGAAACUUCGAGAGCAUCGCCUUUAUGCCAAGUUUUCAAAAUGUGAAUUCUGGUUACCAGAAGUGACCUAUCUAGGUUAUGUAUCAAAAUGUGAAGGACUUUGUUAUCUAUUGCGACGCCUCGCGACAAGGAUUAGGUUGCAUUCUCAUGCAAGAUUGUCAUGUGAUAGCAUACGCAUCUCGACAGUUGCGUCCACAUGAGGAUAAUUAUCCCACACAUGACCUUGAGCUUGCAGCUGUGGUCCAUGCACUAAAAACCUGGCGACAUUACCUUCUGGGUAAUCGUUGCGAAAUAUUCACUGAUCACCAAAGUCUGAAAUAUAUCUUCACGCAGCCGGAUUUGAAUCUCAGGAAAAGACGGUGGGUUGAGUUGAUCUCGGAUUACGACUUAGGGAUAACUUACACCCCGGGGAAGGCCAAUGUUAUGGCCGAUGCACUAAGCCGUAAAUCUUAUUGUAACAAUUUGAUGCUACAACAAGGUCAACCACAUCUCCAUGAGGACUUUCGGAGGUUGAAUCUUCAUAUUGUUCCUCAAGGAUUCCUUUCUACCCUGGUGGCGAAGCCUACUCUUAAGGAUCAAAUUAUAGCUGGCCAAAAGCGUGACAAGGGUAUAUCACGGAUCAAGGAGAAUAUUUUUAGCGGAAACACUAAAGAAUUUUCCAUGAACGAUCAAGGUGUUGUGUUCUUCCAGAAUCGUCUAGUGGUUCCUAAGAACCCACAUCUAAGGCAGUUAAUCCUUAAGGAGGCUCAUGAUUCUCCUGUCACCAUUCAUCCCGGUAGUACUAAGAUGUAUCAGGACCUACGCCAGAGGUUCUGGUGGACUAGGAUGAAGAAAGAAAUUGUUGAGUUCGUUGCUAACUGCGAGGUUUGUCGUCGAGUUAAUGCAGAACAUCAAAGGCCUGCUGGCACCCUUCAACCUCUAGCUAUUCCUGAAUGGAAAUGGGAUAAAGUUAGCAUGGAUUUCAAUACCGGAUUUCCCAAGACCAAGAAAGGAAAUAAUGCUAUCUUUGUGGUCAUUGACCGUCUUUCCAAAGUGGCUCAUUUUCUUCCUGUUCGUGAGAGUAUAACAGCUAGCCAGCUAGCAGAGUUAUAUAUCUCCCGAAUAGUGUCUCUUCAUGGUGUCCCCCUGGAGAUUAAUUCGGACCGUGGAAGUAUCUUUACUUCUCGCUUCUGGGAAAGUUUUCAGAAUGCCAUGGGGACUCACUUAUCUUUUAGCACUGCUUUCCAUCCCCAAUCAAGUGGUCAAGUAGAAAGAGUGAAUCAAAUCCUCGAAGAUAUGCUCCGAGCUUGUGUUAUAUCGUUCGGUAUGAAUUGGGAGAAGUGCCUUCCAUUCGCCGAAUUCGCUUAUAACAAUAGUUAUCAAUCAAGCUUGGGCAAAGCUCCUUUUGAAGUUCUCUAUGGACGAAGAUGUCGAACACCUCUUAAUUGGUCAGAAACCGAAGAGAGGCAACUCUUUGGUCCCGAUAUGAUCCAGGAUGCAGAAGAGCAGGUUCGCAUUAUUCGUGAAAAGUUGAAAACAGCCCAGUCUCGUCAAAAGAGCCAAUAUGAUCGUCAUCAUAAGGCUGNNNNNNNNNNNNNNNNNNNNNNNNNNNNNNNNNNNNNNNNNNNNNNNNNNNNNNNNNNNNNNNNNNNNNNNNNNNNNNNNNNNNNNNNNNNNNNNNNNNNCUAUCUGAGAGUAACCCGUACGGAAGUCCGGCCGGGGUUUCCUCCACGGCCUCAAACGAUGUGCGCAGGGUUCCCAAGCCCACCAUCCGGGUGCCACUUGGUACACCGUGCCACUGCCUACCGCAUCAUAGCCCACCUCUCAGGUCAGCACUAUGCACGGCCUCCAGCAUGACUAUAAACACCAGAAACUACUUGCAACUCCUGGACCGAGUACUAAGCGAUUAAUAGGCCGAGCGGGGUCAUAUUUCAGGGCCCAGCAUGUGGUAGUACCUCGUCUUGGAUUACAUACACGGAACUCAGUUCCUAAGGACGGUUCCAAUGAAACAACCCGCCAUGUACUCCUACACAGCCUUUCACCGGUACCUUUACCAAAUCAGGUUAACACACAACCUUUGCUUAACGAACACAUUCUCACAAUUUUGUUCAUCUCCCAGAUGACAGACCAUACACAACUCUAAGCAUAGCAUGCAUAGCAGGAUAAGGCACAACAUAGCUCAAGCAACUACCAGGUAUGCUAGGUUGCAAGGUUCGGCUAUUUACUGUGACAAGGUUAGGUCAUGCAAAGGAAGUGGGUUCAACUAACGUGGCAAAAGCAUUUGAAGCAUUUGAUCCUAAUGCAAUAAAUAAGUGCAGGAGCAAGAACAUGGGAUUUAUCGGGAUGAUCAAAAGGGUUGCUUGCCUUGUUGCUCAGAGGAGGGACAAUAUCCGUCAGACGGAUAUUCGGUGGAAUCCGGGGGUGCGGAGCCUACCGAAAUGAAAACAAUCAAUAACAAUCAUAUGAAAACAAGAUGAUGCAUGAGCAUGGCAUGAGAAUGAAAGGUGAUAAACUAAUAUAGCUAGCAUCUAUUAGGUUUGAAGUUGAUUUGAAUCAAAUUAAAAUAUCACUUCAAACGAGGUAUUCUCGGAUACCGUUUUAAUUGAUUCGACCUGAUGCUCAGAUCAACUUGAGGUUAACAUGCAUGGGAUGACAUGUUAAGUUGCUAGUUUGUAAUUAGAACAGUGUUUGAUCAUGUCAAACAAAAAGAAAUUUAAAUACUUUUCAUAUUCCAUUUGUAAAGUAUUUAUAAGAAUUGACUUAUUCAUUCAUCUACAUGUUUGGGUUAUGUAAGUUUUUCAAACAUGAUUGAAAAUAACAUAUUCAGAUUCCUUGAAUUUUUCUGAUACUUUUUCAUAUAUAAAUUAUUUACAUUGGAGUUACAGAUUAAUUUCUAUGAGUUUUUGAAGUUUUAAACAUUUCCGGAAUUAUUUUUAUACUGGAAAAUCCUUUUACUGCAUCAGCAUGACAUCAGCAGGUCCAACUCGCCGCUGAAAGUCAAACCUGACCANNNNNNNNNNNNNNUAAUUAGAACAGUGUUUGAUCAUGUCAAACAAAAAGAAAUUUAAAUACUUUUCAUAUUCCAUUUGUAAAGUAUUUAUAAGAAUUGACUUAUUCAUUAAUCUACAUGUUUGGGUUUUGUAACUUUUUCAAACGUGAUUGAAAAUAGCAUAUUCAGAUUCCUUGACUUUUUCUGAUACUUUUUCAUAUAUAAAUUAUUUUCAUUGGAGUUACAGAUUAAUUUCUAUGAAUUUUUGAAGUUUUAAACAUUUCUGGAAUUAUUUUUAUACUUGAAAAUCCUUUUACUGCAUCAGCAUGACAUCAGCAGGUCCAACUAGCCGUUGAAAGUCAAACCUGACCAAUGGGACCCACUGGUCAGUUUUAGAUUAAGAUUAAACUUAAUUAGCUGAUUAAUCUUACUGGACCCACAUGUCACUGACUUAUUAACUUAUCUGAUUUAUUUUUAUUAUUUCUAAACUGUCCAGAGGCUGGCNNNNNNNNNNNNNNNNNNNNNNNNNNNNNNNNNNNNNNNNNNNNNNNNNNNNNNNNNNNNNNNNNNNNNNNNNNNNNNNNNNNNNNNNNNNNNNNNNNNNGGCUCGUGGCUAGGGAGCUUCAGGGGGAUGCGGCGGACCUACUACGUGGCUCAGGAGGGAGAAGGGUCGGCUAGAUCGACGGCGAGCUCGAGCUCUGCUCGGGCUCCAAUGGCGGCAGAAGGAGGGAGGAGAGAUCCGAUAGGAGGGGGGGAACUGGCGCUGGGAAUGGAUAGCCACGGGCUCGGGGAGCUUAUCCCCGGUCUUGUCAGUGCUAGGCGGCGGCCAGGCAGGCGCACAGGUGCGUGGCCGCGCCGGAGUACGCGGCGGCCACCUCCUGCUCCUACUGGCGAGGUGGGAGACGACCGGAGGAGAUGGGCUGGGCCGGCUAGGCGACAGGUAAGGGUUUUCCAUUUUCUCUGAUUUGUUUCUGUUUUGACUAUUUCAAUAACUUGCUAUUUAUUUCAGCUCCCAAAUAAAUUGUAAAAACUAUGUUAAGCACCCUAGAAUAUUUGUUGGAAUAUUUCCAACCAUUCCUAAAGUUUUCAACAUUUUUGAAAGUUUAAAGUUUCUGAUUUCAAAUUUAAAACAUGAAACCAGUGGCUUUUUGCAUUUAUUUAAAAUUCUUAAAGUGUCAAGAAAAUGGUUUUCUUCAUUGCUCAUUUACUUUCAUGAUUUAUCAGAAAGUUUGAACUUUUCUUGAGGCCAUUUUGGGUUCAUUGAUUUUAACUAGUUUGAGAUUUCCUUUAUUUUAAAGAAGUGGCUAGGGUUUGAGUUUUUCCUUCACCACUUUCUUUGUUCUUGUUGAAAAUUUCUUAGAUGCAAUGCAAAGAANNNNNNNNNNNNNNNNNNNNNNNNNNNNNNNNNNNNNNNNNNNNNNNNNNNNNNNNNNNNNNNNNNNNNNNNNNNNNNNNNNNNNNNNNNNNNNNNNNNNUAGGGCGAAUUCAAUCUUCAUGGAGUAUUUGGAUAAAUUCGUCGUGGUAUACCUCGAUGAUAUUCUUAUCUACUCGAAGAACGAACAAGAACAUGUCGAGCAUCUAAGGCUGGUAUUGAUGAAACUUCGAGAGCAUCGCCUUUAUGCCAAGUUUUCAAAAUGUGAAUUUUGGUUACCAGAAGUGACCUAUAUAGGACACGUAAUCUCUGGUAAGGGUAUUGCUGUCAAUCCCGAGAGAGUUCAAGCUGUCCAUGAUUGGACUCAACCUGAAUCGGUUAAGCAAGUUAGGAGUUUUCCUGGUCUAGCGAGCUAUUGUCGCCGCUUUGUCGAGAAUUUCUCCAAGGUUGCAAAGCCUCUAACUGAACUCCUCAAGAAGGAUAAAAAGUUCGAGUGGAUACCACAGUGUGAGCAUAGUUUUCAGGAACUGAAAAGACGCCUGACUUCCGCACCUGUGUUGCUACCACUAGAUUUUUCUAAGGACUUUGUUAUCUAUGGCGACGCCUCGCGACAAGGAUUAGGUUGCAUUCUCAUGCAAGAUCGUCAUGUGAUCGCAUACGCAUCUCGACAGUUGCGUCCACAUGAGGAUAAUUAUCCCACACAUGACCUUGAGCUUGCAGCUGUGGUCCAUGCACUAAAAACCUGGCGACAUUACCUUCUGGGUAAUCGUUGCGAAAUAUUCACUGAUCACCAAAGUCUGAAAUAUAUCUUCACCCAGCCGGAUUUGAAUCUCAGGCAAAGACGGUGGGUUGAGUUGAUCUCGGAUUACGACUUAGGGAUAACUUACACCCGGGGGAAGGCCAAUGUUAUAGCCGAUGCACUAAGUCGUAAAUCUUAUUGUAACAAUUUGAUGCUACAACAAGGUCAACCACAUCUCUAUGAGGACUUUCGGAAGUUGAAUCUUCAUAUUGUUCCUCAAGGAUUCCUUUCUAUCCUGGUGGCGAAGCCUACUCUUAGGGAUCAAACCAUAGCCGUGCAGGCCUAUGAUAAGGGUAUAUCCCGGAUCAAGGAGAAUAUUGCUAGCGGCGACGCUAGGGAAUUCUCCAUCAAUGAGAAAGGUGUUGUGUUCUUUCAGAACCGUUUAGUGGUUCCCAAGAGCAAACGUCUGCGGCAAUUGAUCCUUAAGGAGGCUCAUGAUUCUCCUCUCACCAUUCAUCCCGGUAGUACUAAGAUGUAUCAGGACCUACGCCAGAGGUUCUGGUGGACUAGGAUGAAGAGAGAAAUUGCUGAAUUCGUUGCUAACUGCGACGUUUCUCGUCGAGUUAAGGCAGAACAUCAAAGGCCUGCUGGCACCCUUCAACCUCUAGCUAUUCCUGAAUGGAAAUGGGAUAGAGUUAGCAUGGAUUUCAUUACCGGAUUUCCCAAGACCAAGAAAGGAAAUAAUGCUAUCUUUGUGGUCAUUGACCGUCUUUCCAAAGUGGCUCAUUUUCUUUCCGUUCGUGAGAGUAUAACAGCUAGCCAGCUAGCAGAAUUAUAUGUCUCUCGAAUAGUGUCUCUUCAUGGUGUCCCCCCUGGAGAUUAACUCGGACCGUGGAAGUAUCUUUACUUCUCGCUUCUGGGAAAGUUUUCAGAAUGCCAUGGGGACUCACUUAUCUUUUAGCACUGCUUUCCAUCCCCAAUCAAGUGGUCAAGUAGAAAGAGUGAAUCAAAUCCUAGAAGAUAUGCUCCGAGCUUGUGUUAUAUCAUUCGGUAUGAAUUGGGAGAAGUGGCUUCCAUUCGCCGAAUUCGCUUAUAACAAUAGUUAUCAAUCAAGCUUAGGCAAAGCCCCUUUUGAAGUUCUCUAUGGACGAAGAUGUCGAACACCUCUUAAUUGGUCAGAAACCGGAGAGAGACAACUCUUUGGCCCGGAUAUGAUCCAGGAUGUAGAAGAGCAGGUUCGCAUUAUUCGUGAAAAGUUGAAAACAGCCCAGUCUCGUCAAAAGAGCCAAUAUGAUCGUCAUCAUAAGGCUGUGACCUUUGAAGUUGACGAGAAGGCUUACCUUCGGGUUACACCUUUGAAGGGUGCCCAUCGAUUCGGUAUCAAGGGCAAGUUGGCUCCUCGUUACAUUGGUCCUUUUUGCAUUCUUGCCAAACGAGGAGAAGUUGCCUACCAGUUGGAACUUCCUCCGCAUCUUUCCAAGGUUCAUGAUGUCUUCCAUGUCUCGCAACUCAGGCGUUGCUUUUCGGAUCCUAUCCGUGAAGUGGACCACGAAACGCUUGAUCUCCAAGAUAACCUUUCAUACCGAGAAUACCCCGUGCGUAUUCUUGAUCAAGCUGAGCGUACCACUCGACGUCGAAACCUCAAGUUUCUUAAAGUUUGACCCAAAUCAUUCUGAAAAGGAGGCAACUUGGGAAAGAGAGGAUCGUCUCCGACUUGAGUAUCCUACGUUAUUCCCGACGACUUCUAAAUCUCGGGACAAGAUUCCUUUGAGUGGGGGUGAGUUGUCACAUCCCUGACCCCUUAAGCAAGUUAGCUUGUGCUCAUGUUUUCUUGGCAUUGCAUCUAUGAAAUUCUCAACAAGAACAAAGAAAAUGAUGAAGGAAAAUGCUAAAACCCUAGCCACUUCUUAAAGUGAGGGAAAAUUUCAAACUAGUUAAAAUCAAUGAACCCAAAAUGGCCUCAAGAAAAGUUCAAAAUUUCUGAUAAAUCAUGAAAGUAAAUGAGCAAUGAAGAAAACCAUUUUCUUGACACUUUAAGCAUUUUAAAUAAAUGCAAAAAGCUACUGGUUUCAAGUUUUAAAUUUGAAAUCAAAAACUUUAAACUUUCAGAAAUGUUGAAAACUUUAGGAAUGGUUGGAGAUAUUCCAACAAAUAUUCUAGGGUGCUUAACAUAGUUUUUACAAAUUAUUUGGGAGUUGAAAUAAAUAGAAAAUCAAUGAAAUAGCAAAACAGAAACAAAAACAGAAAAAAAGAGAAAAGAAGUUACCUCUCACCUUACCGGCCCAGCCCAGCUCCCCCUGUCGUCUUCCUCCCCCGCCAGUGGGCAGCAGGAGGUGGCCGCCGCAUACUCCGGUGCGGCCACGCACCUGUGCGCCUGCCUGGCCGCUGCUUCGUGCUGGCAAGCCCGGGGAUAAGCUCCCCGAGGCCGACCCUAUCCAUUCCCAGCGCGAGUUCCCCCCUCCUCUCGGAUCUCUCCUCCCUCCUUCUGCCGCCAUUGGAGCCCGAGCAGAGCUCGAGCUCGCCGUCGAUCUAGCCGACCCUUCUCCCUCCUGAGCCACGCAGUAGGUCCGCCGCAUCCCCCUGAAGCUCCCUAGCUACGAGCCCGACGCCCAGAUGGAGUGAAACGACGAGAAGCAGUCGUCUUCUUCCUCGAGUCACCGAAGAUCGUCGCCGGCGUUCUCCCUCUCCACGCCGUCCCCGAGCAAACUAGCGCCACCACUGCACUCCCCGUGAGCAUGCGGUCAUUUCCCCUAAGUUCUCCCCGUCGAUCCCCUCCUCUAGGCUUAGUUCCAUCGGAGCCCGACGAGGACCGCCGCUGCAGCUCGUCGCCGGUAGCCCUCCGGUGACGGGUUGGUCCGUCUGAGGCCACCAACAGCCUCAGGACAUCAUGUAGAUGUGUUAGGUGCCCAGCCCCGCGCGUUUUGACCCCGUAUUCGAUGGCCUCGACGAAGGCCGAACUUGGUCGCCGCCAAGCUCGUCGCCGGCGUUGAUUCCGGCCACCCCAGCCCCUGGGCUUGUCUCAUCAUGUGCGCCGUCGAGUGGUCGUUCUUCCCGUGGUCUCUGCCGUGAGUUUGGCCGUCGGAGACGAGUUUCCGAGCCCCCCCGACGUUGUGGUGCUCGCCGAAAGCUCCCCGCCGGCGAGGACGACCUCGCCGCCGGUGGAUCUCAGCUGGCCUGAGCCACUGACGGGUGGGGCCAGCCUCUGGAUAGUUUAGAGAUAAUAAAAAUAAAUCAGAUAAAUUAAUAAGACACUAACAUGUGGGUCGAGUGAGUUUAAUUAACUAAAUAAGAUUAAUCCUAAUCUAAAAUUGACCAGAGACACUGACCAGUGGGUCCCACUGGUCAGGUUUGACUUUCAACGGCCAGAUGGACCUGCUGAUGUCAUGCUGAUGCAGUAGAAGUAUUUUCCAGUAUAAAAAUAAUUCCAGAAAUGUUUAAAACUUCAAAAAUUCAAGGAAUCUGAAUAUGCUAUUUUCAAUCAUGUUUGAAAAAGUUACAGAACCCAAACAUGUAGAUUAAUGAAUAAGUCAAUUCUUAUAAAUACUUUAUAAUUGGAAUAUGGAAAGUAUUUAAAUUUCUUUUUGUUUGACAUGAUCAAACAUUGUUCUAAUAACAAACCAGCAACUUAACAUGACAUCCCAUGCAUGUUAACAUCAAGUUGAUCUGAGCAUCAGGUCGAAUCAAUUAAAUCGGUAUCCGAGAAUACCUCAUUUGAGGUGAUAUUUGAAUUUAAUUCAAAUCAACUUCAAACCCAAUACAUGUUGUUUAUAAUAGUAUAUCACCUUGCAUUCUCAUGCCAUGCUCAUGCAUCAUCUUGUUUGCAUAUGAUUGUUAUUGAUUGUUGUCAUUCCUUCCGGUAGGCUCCGCUCCCCCGGAUUCCACCGAAUAUCCGUCUGACGGAUAUUGUCCCUCCUCUGAGCAACAAGGCAAGCAACCAUUUUGAUCAUCUCGAUAAAUCCAAUGUUCUUGCUCCUGCACCUGUUUAUUGCAUUAGAAUCAAAUGCUUCAACUGCUUUUGCCACGUUAGUUGCAUGACCUAUGCUUGUCACAGUAAAUUGCCGAACCUUGCAACCUAGCAUACCUGGUAGUUGCUUGAGCCAUGAUGUGCCUUAUCCUGCUAUGCAUGCUAUGCUUAGAGUUGGGUAUGGUCUGUCAUCUGGGAGAUGAACAGAAUUGUGAGAAUGUGUUCGGUAAUCAAAGGUUGUGUGUUGAACCUGAUUUGGUAAAGGUACCGGUGAAAGGCUGUGUAGGAGUACAUGGCGGGUUGUUUCAUUGGAACCGUCCUUAGGAACUAAGUUCCGUGUAUGUAAUCCAAGACUAUAUACUACCACACGUUGGGAUACUUAAUUGACCCUCUCGACUUAUUAAUCGCUUAGUACUCGGUCCAGGAGUUGCAAGUAGUUUCUGGUGUUUAUAGUCAUGCUGGAGGCCGUGCAUGGUGCUGACCUGAGAGGUGGGCCGUGAUGCGGUAGGCAGUGGCACGGUGUACCAAGUGGCACCCGGAUGGUGGGCUUGGGAACCCUGCGCACAUCGUUUGAGGCCGUGGCGGAAACCCCGGCCGGACUUCCGUACGGGUUACUGUCAGAUAGGCGAUAAACCUGGACUAGGUACUAGUGUGGUUAACGGUUGUGGCCGACUCCCUCGCUAGGCUUCCGCUUGAAGGUUGCCGAGGUGCAUGACGUGCACAUGGCGAUAAGUGGCGAGAGCGUGUGUGACGAAGUACACCCCUGCAGGGUUAUGAUCUAUUCGAAUAACCGCGUCCGCGGAUAUGGACUACUUGGAGACAUAUGUUGUUCAUAGAUAACUUCAAUGGCUACUCAUAAAAUUGUCAAGAUAAGCAUGAGUGUCGUGGACGGCAUUUCCGUAUGGAGACGGAAUGAUUCCACGAUGGUGUAUUGUUGUGGUGUUAGUGGACUCAUGUGCGAGAAAUCAAGUUGUCAAAAUUAUUUAAAAAUGCAAGUUGUGUAGCCACGAGUCAAAUGCUGGCUUUCCGCAUGAAACCCCACCAUACCUUGUUGAUACAUUGCAUGAGUAGUUAGUUAUCCUAAAGUCUUGCUGAGUACCUUCGUACUCAUGUUUGCUUAAUAAAUGUUGCAGAGGUUGCUAAUGACCCUAAUGGAGGGUUCUUCGUAGACAUCGACGACGACGAGUAGCUGGUGUCCCAGCUACGAUCUGGCCCUACAUUGGCUCUGAAGUAUAGUCAGGCCAUGUGCUUUCUAGUUGCCCUGUCUGUACUCAGACAGUUUUAAACUCUUCCGCUGGCUUGUAACUGAAUGACUGCUAUUAUGGGUCGUGAGACCCUUAAUGUGUAAUAUUAUGUGUGUGGCUCUUCUGAGCCUCUGAAAUAAAGCUUGUAUGUUUAUGGUUAUGUUGUGAUGCCAUCGAUGUAUCUAUACAUAUCGGUAUGCCAUGCGUACGUGUGUCGUACUUGAUAUGUAUGGGGUUCGAUUACCUAGUCGUGAACUUUAGUAGCACUCCUUACAAGGAAAUGCCCCUUUGUGAUCCAACGAGCCUUGGUAGUUCGCUACUGCUCCGGACACAUUGGUUGACCGACAUGUGUCCUUCUUAGCUGUUGUGUCUGUCCCCUUUGGGGAAAUGUCACGCGAUGUAAUGGAGUUCUUGUAGCUUGCUACGACUCGUCUACACUCGCUGGUGACCGACACCUGCUUUGUUGGGUCAUGUAUGCUCGUCCUUGUGCGGUACUGCCACUUUGGUUUGUGACUAGACUUGUCGAUCCGGGUUCUUUGACAUUGGAAUGCUAGCGACACUAUUGCAUACGUGAGUCAAAAGACGCAAACGGUCCCGGCUAAGGUAAGGCUGCAGCCGUGGAGUUAACCGUGCGUGAGACCGCAAAGAGAUGCGAUGUGUUACAGGCUGGAUUCCUAUGCCUUAGGAUCGUGGUGCCGACAGUUAUCAAGACUAUUUUAUGGCGCCGUUGCCGGGGAGGCAUAGCACUAUUCUCUGAGUCACUUGGGAUUUACGUCUGCUGAUCACGAUGAUGAAUCCUAGAGAUCCAUAAACUAAAGUCUUGCCUUCAACUACGAGGACAGGUAAGGAAGUGCCAUCUAGCUCUAGACUUGAUUCACCUUCAGUUAUGAGUAAGUUUGCGACACCACCUCCUGCUAGAAAUUUUGAUGUGUCACCUGGUACUUCCAUUUUGCAUCAUGAUUUCAUGUUGAUAUUUAUUGCUUUAUGGCUGUUAUUACACUUCACGGUACAAUACUUAUGCCUUUUCUCUCUUAUUUUGCAAGGUUUACAUGCCGACAGCUGGAAUUCUGGCCUGAAAAAGGAGCAAGUUUGAGAUACCUAUUCUGCGCAACUUCAAAAGCCGUGAAAAUCAACGUGGAUUUUUUGGGAUUUAUAAAAAAUACUAGGCCGAAGAAGUACCAGAGGAGCGCCAGCAGGAGGCCACAAGCCUGCUAGGCGUGGCCUCCCCCCUGGCUACGCCUAGGGUGCUUGUGGGCUCCCACUUGGCCCUCUGGCUCCCCCUUUUGCUACAAGAAGGGUUUCGUUCCAGAAAAAAUCAGGAGGAGGCUUUUCGGAGGAUUCGUCGCCGCCACGAGGCAUAACUUGAGCAGAACCAAUCUAGAGCUCCGGCAGGACGAUCCUGCCGGGGAAAUUUCCCUCCCGGAGGGGGAAAUCGUCGCCAUCGUUAUCACCAACACUCCUCUCAUCGGAGGGGACUCGUCACCAUCAACAUCUUCAUCAGCACCAUCUCAUCUCAAGACCGUAGUUCAUCUCUUGUAACCAAUCUCCGUCUCGCGACUCCGAUUGGUACUUGUAAGGUUGCUAGUAGUGUUAAUUACUCUUUGUCGUUGAUGCUAGUUGGAUUACUUGGUGGAAGAUUAUAUGUUCAGAUCUUUGAUACUACUCAUUACCUCUCUGGUCAUGAAUAUGAUUAUGCUUUGUGAGUAGUUACUUUUGUUCCCGAGGACAUGGGAUAAGUCUUGCUAGAAGUAGUCAUGUGAAUUUGGUAUUCGUUCGAUAAUUUGACGUGUUGUAUGUUGUUUUUCCUCUAGUGGUGCUAUGUGAACAUCGACUACAUAACACUUCAACAUUAUUUGGGCCUAGAGGAAGGCAUUGGGAAGUAGUAAGUAGAUGAUGGGUUGCUAGAGUGACAGAAGCUUAAACCCUAGUUUAUGCGUUGCUUUGUAAGGGGCUGAUUUGGAUCCACUAGUUUAAUGCUAUGGUUAGACUUUGUCUUAAUUCUUCUUUCGUAGUUGCGGAUGCUUGCGAGAGGGGUUAAUCAUAAGUGGGAUGCUUGUCCAAGUAAGGGCAGUACCCAAGUGCCGGUCCACCCACAUAUCAAACUAGCAAAGUAACGAACGCGGAUCAUAUGAACAUGAUGAAAACUAGGUUGACAGAAAUUCUCGUGUGCCCUCGGGAGCAUUUUUCCUCCUAUAAGACUUUGUCCAGGCUUGUCCCUUGCUACAAAAGGGAUUGGGCCAGUUUGCUGCAUCGUUGUUACUUUUGUUACUUGCUACUUGGUACGAAUCGUCUCACCACACAACUACUUAUUACCGAUAAUUUCAGUGCUUGCACAUAUUACCUUGCUGAAAACCACUUGUCAGAUCCUUCUGCUCCUCGUUGGGUUCGAUACUCUUACUUAUCUAAACGACUACGAUAGAUCCCCUAUACUUGUGGGUCAUCAAGACUCUUUUCUGGCGCCUUUGCCGGGAAGUGAAGCGCCUUUGGUAAGUGGAAUUUGGUAAGCAAACAUUUAUAUAGUGUGCUGAAAUUUAUUGUCACUUGUCUCUAUGGAAACUAAUCCUUUGAGGGGCUUGUUCGGGGUGUCUUCACCUCGAAUGGAAGCACAAAGAGUUUCUCCUCAACCUGCUGCACCUAUUGAAAAUAUUUGCUAUGAAUUUCCUUUGGAUAUGCUUGAGAAACUGCUGGCUAAUCCUUUUACAGGAGACGGAACAUCACAUCCAGACUUGCAUCUAAUCUAUGUAGAUGAAGUUUGUGGUUUAUUUAAACUUGCAGGUUUGCCCGAGGAUGAGGUCAAGAAGAAGGUCUUUCCCUUAUCUUUGAGGGAUAAGGCGUUGACAUGGUAUAGGCUAUGUGAUGAUACUGGAUCAUGGAACUACAAUCGGUUGAAAUUGGAAUUUCAUCAAAAGUUUUAUCCUAUGCAUUUAGUAUAUCGUGAUCGGAAUUAUAUUUAUAAUUUUUGUCUCGUGAUAGAGAAAGCAUCGCUCAAGCUUGGGGGAGACUUAAAUCAAUGUUAUAUUCAUUCCCCAACCAUGAGCUCUCGAUAGAAAUUAUCAUUCAGAACUUCUAUGCUCGACUUUCUCAUGAUGAUCGCACCAUGCUUGACACUUCUUGUACCGGUUCUUUUAUGAAGAGAGAUAUUGACUUCAGAUGGAAUUUAUUGGAAAGAAUUAAACACAACUCUGAAGAUUGGGAGCUUGAUGAAGGUAAGGAGUCAGGUAUGAAUUUCAAGUUUGAUUGCGUUAAAUCCUUCGUUGAAACAAAUACUUUUUGUGAUUUUAGCGCUAAGUAUGAACUUAACUCUGAGAUAGUAGCUUCAUUAUGUGAAUCAUUUGCUUCUCAUAUUGAUCUCCCCAAAGAGAAGUGGUUUAAAUAUAUUCCUCCCUUAGAAGUGAAUGUAGUUAAAUCCAAUCAAGUUCAAGAGAAAGUCAUUGCCUAUAAUGAUCCUGUUGUUCCCAGUGCUUACAUUGAGAAACCACCUUUCCCUGUUAGGAUAAAGGAUCAUUCUAAAGCUUCAACUGUGAUACGUAGAGGCUACAUUAGAACACCUACACCCCCUGAGCAAUUUAGAGUUGAACCUAGCAUUUCUAUUAUCAAAGAUCUCCUGUCUGACAAUGUUGAUGGCCAUGAAAUUCACUUCUGUGAAGAUGCUGCUAUAAUUGCUAAACCACAUGCUAGAGACAAACAUAGGCCUGUUGUUGGCACGCUGUUGUUUCUGUUAAGAUAGGAGAUCCUUGUUAUCAUGGUUUAUGUGACGUGGGUGCUAGUGUUAGUGCAGUACCUCAAUCCUAUAUGAUGAAAUUAAAGACGAGAUUGCACGUGUCGAGAGAGAACACAUUGAUGUCACUAUCUAGCUAGCCAAUAGAGAUACUAUCUGCCAUGUGGGAAUAGUUAGAGAUGUUGAAGUCUUGUGUGGUAAAACAAAGUAUCCUGCUGAUUUCCUCGUUCUUGCUACCACACAAGAUAGCUUUUGUCCCAUCAUAUUUGGCAGACCUUUUCUCAAUACUAUAAAUGCUCAUAUAGACUGUGAGAAGCAAACUAUCACUGUUGGUUUGAAGGUGUGUCACACGAGUUCAAUUUCUCCAAGUUUGCCUUUGCCUUUUAUCGACGAAAUGGUAGAAAGACUGUCUAAACACACACGAUUCUGCUUUCUAGACGGUUAUUCUGGUUUCUCUCAAAUACGAGUUGCACAAGCUGAUCAGGAGAAAACCACUUUCACCUGCCCUUUCUGUACCUUUGCUUACAGACGUAUGCCUUUUGGCUUAUGUAAUGCACCUGCCACCUUUCAAAGAUGUAUGUGUUGGAAUUAUGCCCUAGAGGCAAUAAUAAAUAUAGUUAUUAUUAUAAUUCAUGUAUCAAGAUAAUAGUUUAUUAUCCAUGCUAUAAUUGUAUUGAAUGAAGACUUAUAUACAUGUGUGGAUACAUAGACAAAGCACUGUCCCUAGCAAGCCUCUAGUUGGCUAGCCAGUUGAUCAAAGAUAGUCAGGGUCUUCUCACUAUGUACAAGGUGUUGUUGCUUGAUAACUAGAUCACGUCAUUAGGAGAAUCACGUGAUGGACUAGACCCAAACUAAUAGACGUAGCAUGUUGAUCGUGUCAUUUUGUUGCUACUGUUUUCUGCGUGUCAAGUAUUUGUUCCUAUGACCAUGAGAUCAUAUAACUCACUGACACCGGAGGAAUGAUUUGUGUGUAUCAAACGUCGCAACGUAACUGGGUGACUAUAAAGAUGCUCUAUAGGUAUCUCCAAAGGUGUUCUUUGAGUUAGUUUGGAUCGAGGCUGGGAUUUGUCACUCCGUGUGACGGAGAGGUAUCUCGAGGCCCACUCGAUAAUACAACAUCACACACAAGCCUUGCAAGCAAUGUAACUUAGUGUAAGUUGCGGGAUCUUGUAUUAGGGAACGAGUGAAGAGACUUGCGAGUAAACGAGAUUGAAAUAGGUAUGCGGAUAUUGACGAUCGAUUCUCGGGCAAGUAACAUACCGAAGGACAAAGGGAAUGACAUACGGGAUUAUAUGAAUCCUUGGCACUGAGGUUCAAACGAUAAGAUCUUCAUAGAAUAUGUAGGAUCCAAUAUGGGUAUCCAGGUCCCACUAUUGGAUAUUGACCGAGGAGUCACUCGGGUCAUGUCUACAUAGUUCUCGAACCCGCAGGGUCUGCACACUUAAGGUUCGNNNNNNNNNNNNNNNNNNNNNNNNNNNNNNNNNNNNNNNNNNNNNNNNNNNNNNNNNNNNNNNNNNNNNNNNNNNNNNNNNNNNNNNNNNNNNNNNNNNNNNNNNNNNNNNNNNNNNNNNNNNNNNNNNNNNNNNNNNNNNNNNNNNNNNNNNNNNNNNNNNNNNNNNNNNNNNNNNNNNNNNNNNNNNNNNNNNNNNNNNNNNNNNNNNNNNNNNNNNNNNNNNNNNNNNNNNNNNNNNNNNNNNNNNNNNNNNNNNNNNNNNNNNNNNNNNNNNNNNNNNNNNNNNNNNNNNNNNNNNNNNNNNNNNNNNNNNNNNNNNNNNNNNNNNNNNNNNNNNNNNNNNNNNNNNNNNNNNNNNNNNNNNNNNNNNNNNNNNCACACUUAAGGUUCGACGUUGUUUUACGAGUAUUUGAGUUAUAUGGUUGGUUACCGAAUGUUGUUCGGAGUCCAGGAUGAGAUCAUGGACGUNNAUGGUCUAGAAACGAAGAUUGAUAUAUAGGAUGACCUCAUUUGAUUACCGGAAGGUUUUCGGAGUUACCGGGAAUGUACCGGGAAUGAUGAAUGGGUUCCGGAUGUUCACCGGGGGGGGGGNNNNNNNNNNNNNNNNNNNNNNNNNNNNNNNNNNNNNNNNNNNNNNNNNNNNNNNNNNNNNNNNNNNNNNNNNNNNNNNNNNNNNNNNNNNNNNNNNNNNNNNNNNNNNNNNNNNNNNNNNNNNNNNNNNNNNNNNNNNNNNNNNNNNNNNNNNNNNNNNNNNNNNNNNNNNNNNNNNNNNNNNNNNNNNNNNNNNNNNNNNNNNNNNNNNNNNNNNNNNNNNNNNNNNNNNNNNNNNNNNNNNNNNNNNNNNNNNNNNNNNNNNNNNNNNNNNNNNNNNNNNNNNNNNNNNNNNNNNNNNNNNNNNNNNNNNNNNNNNNNNNNNNNNNNNNNNNNNNNNNNNNNNNGGGGGGGGGGGGCAGCCCACCCCGGGGAAGCCCAUAGGCCUUGAGGGUGGCGCACGAGCCCUUGGUGGGCUGGUGGGAUUACCCAAGAAGGCCCUAUGCCCCAUAGAUAGAAAAUCAAAUAGAAAAGAAAAAAAAGGUGGGAAGGAAGGGAAAGACUCCACCUUCCAAUCCUAGUUGGACUAGGAUUGGAGGUGGAUUCCUCCUCCUCCUUGGUGCGCAGCCCUUGGGGCUCCUUGAGCCUCAAGGCAAGCCUCCCCUCCCCUCCUCCUAUAUAUAUGGAGCUAUUAGGGCUGAUUUGACACAACUUUUGCCACGGCAGCCCGACCACAUACCUCCACGGUUUUACCUCUAGAUCGCGUUUCUUCGGAGCUCGGGCGGAGCCCUGCUGAGAUUAGAUCACCACCAACCUCCGGAGCGCCGUCACGCUGCCGGAGAACUCAUCUACCUCUCCGUCUCUCUUGCUGGAUCAAGAAGGCCGAGANNNNNNNNNNNNNNNNNNNNNNNNNNNNNNNNNNNNNNNNNNNNNNNNNNNNNNNNNNNNNNNNNNNNNNNNNNNNNNNNNNNNNNNNNNNNNNNNNNNNNNNNNNNNNNNNNNNNNNNNNNNNNNNNNNNNNNNNNNNNNNNNNNNNNNNNNNNNNNNNNNNNNNNNNNNNNNNNNNNNNNNNNNNNNNNNNNNNNNNNNNNNNNNNNNNNNNNNNNNNNNNNNNNNNNNNNNNNNNNNNNNNNNNNNNNNNNNNNNNNNNNNNNNNNNNNNNNNNNNNNNNNNNNNNNNNNNNNNNNNNNNNNNNNNNNNNNNNNNNNNNNNNNNNNNNNNNNNNNNNNNNNNNNNNNNGAAGGCCGAGAUCAUCAUCGAGCUGUACGUGUGCUGAACGCGGAGGUGCCGUCCGUUCGGCAGUAGAUCGUGGGACGGAUCACGGGACGGUUUGUGGGACGGUUCGCGGGGCAGAUCGAGGGACGUGAGGACGUUCCACUACAUCAACCACAUUUGUUAACGCUUCUGUUGUGCGAUCUACAAGGGUACGUAGAUCGCAAAUCCCCUCUCGUAGAUGGACAUCACCAUGAUAGGUCUUCGUGCACGUAGGAAAUUUUUUGUUUCCCAUGCGACAUUCUCCAACAGUGGCAUCAUGAGCUAGGUUCAUGCGUAGAUGUAAUCUCGAGUAGAACACAAAAGUUUUUGUGUGCGGUGAUGUGAGUUUUUCUGCCCUCCUUAGUCUUUUCUUGAUUCCGCGGUAUUGUUGGAUCAAAGCGGCUUGGACCGACAUUACUCGUACGCUUACGAGAGACUGGUUUCAUCGCUACGAGUAACUCUGUUGCUCAAAGAUGACUGGCAAGUGUCGGUUUCUCCAACUUUAGUUGAAUCGGAUUUGACCGAGGAGGUCCUUGGAUGAGGUUAAAUAGCAAUUUGUAUAUCUACGUUUUGGUGUUUGCGUAAGUAAGAUGCGAUCCUACUAGAUACCCGUGGUCACCACGUAAAACAUGCAACAACAAAUUAGAGGACGUCUAACUUGUUUUUGCAGGGUAUGCUUGUGAUAUGAUAUGGACGACGAUGUGAUGUGAUAUAUUGGAUGUAUGAGAUGAUCAUGUUGUAAUAGUUAAGAUCGACUUGCACGUCGAUGGUACGACAACCGGAAGGAGCCAUAGGGUUGUCUUUAAACUAACGUUUGUGCUUGCAGAUGUGUUUACUAUUUUGCUAGGAUGUAGCUUUAGUAGUAAUAGCAUGAGUAGCACGACAACCCCGAUGGCGACACGUUGAUGGAGAUCCUGGUGUGGCGCCGGUGACAAGAAGAUCGUGCCAGUGCUUUGGUGAUGGAGAUCAAGAAGCACAUGAUGAUGGCCAUAUCAUGUCACUUAUGAAUUGCAUGUGAUGUUAAUCCUUUUAUGCACCUUAUUUUGCUUAGAAUGAUGGUAGCAUUAUGAGGUGAUCUCUCACUAAAAUUUCAAGACGAAAUUGUGUUCUCCCCGACUGUGCACCGUUGCUAUAGUUUGUCGUUUCGAGACACCACGUGAUGAUCGGGUGUGAUAGACUCAACGUUCACAUACAACGGGUGCAAAACAGUUGCACACGCGGAACACUCGGGUUAAGCUUGAAGAGCCUAGCAUGUGCAGACAUGGCCUCGGAACACAUGAGACCGAAAGGUCGAUCAUGAAUCAUAUAGUUGAUAUGAUUAGCAUAGGGAUGCUUACCACUGAAACUAUACUCAACUCACAUGAUGAUCGGACUUGAGCUAGUGUAAGUCGAUCAUGAACCACUCAAAUGACUAGAGAGAUGUACUUUUUGAGUGGGAGUUUAGCGAGUAAUUUGAUUAAGUUAAACUCUAAUUAUCUUGAACUUAGUCUAUGUCCACUUUGAAUAUAUUUGUGUUGUAGAUCAUGGCUCACGCGACAGUCACCCUGAAUUUUAAUACGUUCCUAGAGAAAGCUAAGUUGAAAGAUGAUGGAAGCAACUUUGUAGACUGGGCUCGUAAUCUUAAGUUGCUCCUGCAAGCUGGGAAGAAGUAUUAUGUCCUUGAUGCUGCGCUAGGAGAUGAACCACCCGAUACGGCUGACCAAGAUGUUAAGAACGCUUGGUUAACACGUAAGGAGGACCACUCAGUAGUUCAAUGUGCAGUCUUGUAUGGCUUAGAGCCGGGACUUCAACGUCGCUUUGAGCAUCAUGGAGCAUAUGAGAUGUUCCACUAGUUGAAGUUUAUCUUCCAGAAGAACGACCGGAUCGAGAGGUAUGAGACCUCCGAUAAAUUCUAUGCUUGCAAGAUGGAGGAGAAUUCGUCUAUCAGUGAACAUGUGCUCAAAAUGUCUAGGUACUCAAACCGUCUAGCUGAGAUGGGGAUUGAACUCCCGCAAGAGGCUAUCACUGACAUAAUUCUUCAAUCACUGCCGCCAAGCUAUAAGGGCUUUGUGUUGAACUACAACAUGCAAGGGAUGAACAAGUCACCCGGCGAGUUGUUUGCGAUGCUGAAAGUCGCAGAGUCUGAACUCCGUAAAGAGCAUCAAGUGUUGAUGGUGAAUAAGACCACUAGUUUCAAGAGAAACGGCAAAGGGAAGAAGGGUAAUUCAAAGAAGAGCGGCAAGCCUGUUGCCAAUCCGACGAAGAAACCCAAAGCUGGACCUAAGCCUGAAACAGAGUGCUACUAUUGCAAGGGUAUGGGUCACUCGAAGCGCAACUGCCCCAAGUAUCUGGCUGAUAAGAAGGCGGCCAAAGAAAAACCAGGUAUAUUUGAUAUACAUGUUAUUGAUGUGUACUUAACUAGCUCUCGUAGUAGUGCCUGGGUAUUCGAUACCGGUUCUGUUUCUCAUAUUUGCAACUCGAAACAGGAACUGCGGAAUAAGCGGAGGCUGGCAAGGGAUGAAGUGACGAUGCGGGUGGGAAAUGGUUCCAAGGUUGAUGCAAUCGCCGUCGGCACAGUUUCACUUCAGUUACCAUCGGGAUUAGUUAUGAACUUGAAUAAUUGUUAUUUAGUGCCUGCGUUGAGCAUGAACAUUAUAUCUGGAUCUUGUUUGUUGCGAGACGGUUACUCUUUUAAGUCAGAGAAUAAUGGUUGUUCUAUUUCUAUGAGUAACAUCUUUUAUGGUCAUGCACCCAAUGUGAGAGGAUUGUUCAUAUUGAAUCUUGAUAGUGAUAAUACACAUAUACAUAACAUUGAGACCAAAAUAGUUAGAGUUAACAAUGAUAGUGCCAUGUUUUUGUGGCACUGCCGCUUAGGUCAUAUUGGUGUAAAGCGCAUGAAGAAACUCCAUACCGAUGGACUUUUUGAGUCACUUGACUUUGAUUCACUUGACACAUGCCAACCAUGCCUCAUGGGUAAGAUGACUAAAACUCCAUUCUCCGGAAUAAUGGAGCGUGCAAGUGACUUGUUGGAAAUCAUACAUAUCGAUGUGUGCGCUCCAAUGAGCGUGGAGGCACGCGGCGGAUAUCGUUAUUUUCUCACCUUCACUUACGCUUUGAGUAGAUAUGGUUAUGUCUACUUAAUGAAGCACAAGUCUGAAACAUUUGAAAAGUUCAAGCAAUUUCAGAGUGAAGCUGAAAAUCAUCGUAACAAGAAGAUCAAGUUCCUACGGUCUGAUCGUGGGGGUGAAUAUCUGAGUUUCGAGUUUGGUGCUCACUUAAGACAAUGUGGAAUUGUUUCACAAUUGACACCGCUUGGAACACCACAGCGUAAUGGUGUGUCCGAACAUCGUAAUCGUACUUUAUUAGAGAUGGUGCGAUCUAUGAUGUCUCUUACCGAUUUGCCGUUAUCGUUUUGGGGUUAUGCAUUAGACACAGCUGAAUCAAGAAGGCCGAGAUCAUCGUCGAGCUGUACGUGUGCUGAACGCGGAGGUGCCGUCCGUUCGGCACUAGAUCGUGGGACGGAUCGCGGGACGAUUCAUGGGAUGGUUCGCGGGGCGGAUCGAGGGAUGUGAGGACGUUCUACUACAUCAACCGCGUUUCUUAACACUUCUGCUAUGUGAUCUACAAGGGUACGUAGAUCGGAAAUCCCCUCUCUUAGAUGGACAUCACCAUGAUAGGUCUUCGUGGACGUAGGAAUUUUUUUGUUUCCCAUGCGACGUUCUCCAACAGUAUGAUGGCUAUAUUCUCUGAUUUUUGUGAAAAGAUUGUUUUGGUUUUCAUGGAUGACUUCUCUGUUUACGGGUCUUCUUUCGAUGAUUGCCUCAGCAACCUCGAUCGAGUCUUGCAGAGAUGUAAACACACCAACCUUGCCUUAAAUUGUGAGAAGUUCCACUUUAUGGUUAAUGAAGGCAUCGUCUUAGGACAUAAAAGUUCUGAAAGAGGUAUUGAAGUCGAUAAGGCUAAGGUUGAUGCAAUCGAGAAAAUGCCAUGCCCCACAGAUAUUAAAGGUAUAAGAACUUUCCUUGGUCAUGCCGGUUUCUAUAGAAGGUUUAUUAAAGAGUUCUCUAAGAUUUCUAGGCCUCUUACCAAUCUCUUGCAAAAGGAUAUUCCUUUUGUUUUUGACGAUUGUUGUGAGGAAGCCUUUGAGAUACUUAAGAAGGCCUUGAUAACUGCGCCUAUUGUUCAACCACGUGAUUGGAACUUACCUUUUGAAAUCAUGUGUGAUGCUAGUGAUUAUGUUGUUGGUGCUGUCCUAGGGAAAAGAGUUGAUAAGAAGUUGAAUGUUAUUCACUAUGCUAGUAAAACUCUAGACAGUGCCCAAAGAAACUAUGCUACUAUGGAAAAGGAAUUUUUAGUAGUCGUGUUUGCAUGUGAAAAGUUCAGAUCUUACAUAUUUGAUUCCAAAGUCACUAUUCACACUGAUCAUGCUGCUAUUAAGUACCUCAUGGAGAAGAAAAACGCUAAACCUAGACUUAUCAGAUGGGUUCUCUUGCUACAAGAAUUUGAUUUGCAUGUCGUCGAUAGGAAGGGUGUUGAGAACCCAAUAGGAGAUAACUUGUCUAGGUUGGAGAACGUUCUUGAUGACCCACAACCUAUUGAUGAUAGCUUUCCUGAUGAGCAAUUGAAUGUCAUCAAUGCUUCAUGUAGUGCACCGUGGUAUGCUGAUUAUGCAAACUAUAUCGUUGCCAAAUAUAUACCACCUAGUUUCACAAACCAGCAAAAGAAGAAAUUAUUCUUUGACUUGAGACAUUACUUUUGGGAUGAUCCUCACCUUUAUAAGGAAGGAGUAGAUAGUGUUAUUAGACGUUGUGUACCUGAACAUGAACAGGGACAUAUCCUAUAGAAGUGUCACUCCGAGGCCUACGGAGGACACCAUGCGGGAGAUAGAACUGCACACAAGGUAUUGCAGUCAGGUUUCUAUUGGCCCACUCUCUUCAAGGAUGCCCGUAAGUUUGUCUUGUCUUGUGACGAAUGUCAAAGAAUAGGUAAUAUCGGUAAACGUCACGAAAUGCCUAUGAAUUAUUCACUUGUCAUUGAACCAUUUGAUGUUUGGGGCUUUGAUUAUAUGGGACCUUUUCCAAAAUCCAACGGGUAUACUCAUAUCCUAGUUGCUAUUGAUUACGUCACUAAGUGGGUAGAAGCUAUCCCAACUAGUAGUCUAGAUCACAACACCUCUAUCAGGAUGCUUAAAGAAGUUAUUUUCCCUAGAUUUGGAGUCCCUAGAUAUCUAAUGACCGACGGUGGUUCACAUUUCAUUCAUGGUGCUUUCCGUAAAACGCUUGCUAAGUACAAUGUCAAUCAUAGAAUUGCGUCUCCCUAUCAUCCUCAGUCCAGUGGUCAAAUAGAGCUAAGCAAUAGAGAGAUUAAACUAAUUCUGAAAAAGACUGUCAACAGGUCUAGAAAGAAUUGGUCUAAGAAGCUUGAUUAUGCACUGUGGGCUUAUAGAACUGCCUAUAAGAAUCCCAUGGGCAUGUCUCCGUACAAAAUGGUGUACGGCAAAGCAUGUCAUUUACCUCUUGAGCUAGAGCAUAAAGCUUAUUGGGCAAUCAAAUAGCUCAACUUUGAUUUCAAACUUGCUGGUGAGAAGAGGUUAUUUGAUAUUAGCUCGCUUGAUGAAUGGAGAACUCAGGCAUAUGAGAAUGCCAAGUUGUUCGAACAAAAGGUUAAGAUGUGGCAUGAUAAAAGAAUACAAAAGCGUGAGUUCAAUGUAGGUGAUUAUGUCUUGCUAUAUAAUUCUCGUUUAAGAUUUUUUGCGGGCAAGCUUCUCUCUAAAUGGGAAGGUCCCUAUAUUGUUGAGGAAGUAUAUCGUUCCGGUGCUAUCAAGAUCAACAACACGGAAGGUAAUUGUCCGAGAGUGGUAAAUGGGCAGAGAAUCAAGCAUUAUAUCUCAGGUACUCCCAUAAAUGUUGAAAGCAAUAUUAUGAAUGCCGUAACUCCGGAGGAGUACCUAAGGGAUAUUUAUCAGCCUGUUUCAGACUCCGGAAAUGAAGAGGUAUGUGAUUCGGUAAGUAAACAUACUCAAAAAAUUUCCAGUAGGAAUAUUUCUCCGUUUUGGAAUUUUUGAAAAAAUAGAAAAUUUUGAAGUAGUCCGGAAAGCGCACGAGGAGGCGACAAGCCUGCCAGGCGCGGGCCACCCCCUGGCCGCGGUUGGGGGGCUUGUGGCCACCUCGUGUGCCUCCCGGACUCCAUUUUCUUGCGGAGUACUCCUUCUGGUCUGAAAAAAUCAUUAUACAUUCUCCCAUAAGGUCUAACCCUCGUAUCGCACAAAUUUCCUCUGUUUUCGUUUUGAGCCUGUUUCUGCUCUAGAUCUAGAUCGCUAUGGCGUCCCCAAAAGCUCCGAAGGACAAGAUCUUCGAGAAGGUCAUCAAUCCCUACCUCGCGGGAGUGCUGCAACACCCUCCAUCUAUCGAGUUGCGUGAGGGUAUGUUGCACAUCCGUGAUGUUGAGGGCCCAAGAAAACCGGAAGCGUGGAUGCGAGGCUCGAAGCAGUGGAGCAACAAGUCUUCAAGUGCCAAGGGAUGGUGGAGCGUGGACUCAACGCCAACCACAUGAUGAUCACGGAGUUCACCAACAAGCACAAGAAGACAACUAAGCAUGGGUAUGGGCAAUCCCCUUGGCUUGUGCCAAGCUUGGGGGAGUUGUCCCGGUAUCGUAUCACCAUCACACCUUUUGCCUUUACCUUUGUUUUAGUUUGUUCCUUUUCAGUUUUCUCUUUCUCUAGUAGAUUAAAAUUCUUAGUGUUUUAGGCUUGAGUUUUUCUUUGUGUCACCCCCUAUGUAUUCGAGCUCGUGAGCCAUAUAAUAAAGAGUGUCUUAGUUAAGGGCCUUGCUUCAUGCCAUGAUCAAGAGAAUGAGAAAAGAACAAAAGCAUGAAAGAUCAUGUAAUGAUCUUAUGGGAAGUGAUGACUUCACAUAUAAAAAGAAUGAUGAUUGAAACUUGUUGAGGGUAGACAAACGUAGACCUUGGCCAUUGUUGCAAUUAAUAGGAAGUGAUAAAGAAGGAGAGGUUCACAUAUAAAUAUAUCAUCUUUGACACCAUCUAUGAUUGUGAACACUCACUACACUAUUGCAUGCUUAGAAGUAGAUGUUGGACAAGGAAGACAACAUAAUGAAUUGUAUUUGCUUGGUUCCGAACAAUGUUAUAUGACUAGAGAUCCCUUAGCAUGUGACGAUUGCUUCCACCUCAUACUAGCCCAAACUCCCGCAGCAAGCAGAGAUACUACUUGUGCAUCCAUAAACCUUCAACCCAGGUUGCCAUGAGAGUCCACCAUACCUACCUAUGGAUUGAAUAAGAUCCCUCAAGUAAGUUGUCAUCGGUGCAAGCAAUAAAAAUUGCUCCCUAAUAUGUAUGAUCUUUUAGUGUGUGGAAAAUAAGCUUUGUACGAACCUGUGAUGAGGAAAACAUAAAAGCGACAGACUGCAUAAUAAAGUUCUUUAUCACAGGAGGCAAUAUAAAGUGACGUUCCUCCACACUAAGAGGACACACAUCCAAACCUCAAAAGCACAUGACAACCUCUGCUUCCCUCUGCGAAGGGCCUAUCUUGUACCUUUACUUUUUGCCCUUGAAAGAGUCAUGGUGAUCUUCACCAAUUCCUUAUUUCGCCUUUAUCUUGGCUAACAUCAUAUGCUAGGGAAAGAUCUAUAUUCAUAUGUCAGCUUGGAAGUAAGUAUUCAUGAAUUAUUAUUGUUGACAUUACCCUUGAGGUAAAUGGUUGGGAGGCGAAACUAUAAGCCCCUAUCUUGCUCUAUGUCCGACUGAAACUUUGAUCUCAUGAGUGCCACGUGAGUUGUAGCAAUUGUAGAAGACAAAAGGAUGAUUGAGUAUGUGGAUUUGCUUUACAAGCUCUUAUUUGACUCUUUCCGAUGUUAUGAUAAAUUGCAAUUGCUUAAAUGACUAAAGGCUAUCGGUUGUUAAUUCUCGGUAAGGUUCUUGAUCCAUACUUUACUUUGUGAAGGAAUUGUCACUUUAGCAUGAGAUAUUAUAUGAUGGUAUUGCUGUUCUGAUCAUGAUCAUGAUGCCUGCAUGUUCGUAUCUUGUUUUGUCGACACCUCUCUCUCUAAACAUGUGGGUUUAUUUAUUGAUCUCGUCUUUCGCUUGAGGACAAGCGAGGUCUAAGCUUGGGGGAGUUGAUACGUCCAUUUUGCAUCAUGCUUUCGUGUUGAUAUUUAUCGCUUUAUGGGCUGUUAUUUCACUUCACGGUACAAUACUUAUGCCUUUUCUCUCUUAUUUUGCAAGGUUUACAUGAAGAGGGAGAAUGCCGGCAGCUGGAAUUCUGGCCUGAAAAAGGAGCAAGUUUGAGAUACCUAUUCUGCGCAACUCCAAAAGCCGUGAAAAUCAACGUGGAUUUUUUUGGGAUUUAUAAAAAAUACUGGGCAGAAGAAGUACGAGAGGGGCGCGAGCAGGAGGGCAUAAGCCUGCUAGGCGCGACCUCCCCCCUGGUCGCGCCCAGGGGCCUUGUGGGCUCCCACUUGGCCCUUUGACUCCCCCCUUUUGCUACAAGAAGGGUUCAUUCUAGAAAAAAUCGGGAGGAGGCUUUUCGGAGGAUUCGCCGCCGCCACGAGGCGGAACUUGAGCAGAACCAAUCUAGAGCUCCGGCAGGACGAUCCUGCCGGGGAAACUUCCCUCCCGGAGGGGGAAAUCGUCGCCAUCGUCAUCACCAACACUCCUCUCAUCGGAGGGGACUCGUCACCAUCAACAUCUUCAUCAGCACCAUCUCAUCUGCAAACCCUAGUUCAUCUCUUGUAACCAAUCUCCAUCUCGCGACUCCGAUUGGUACUUGUAAGGUUGCUAGUACUGUUAAUUACUCUUUGUAGUUGAUGCUAGUUGGAUUACUUGGUGGAAGAUUAUAUGUUCAGAUCUUUGAUGCUACUCAUUACCUCUCUGGUCAUGAAUAUGAUUAUGCUUUGUGAGUAGUUACUUUUGUUCCUGAGGAGAUGGGAUAAGUCUUGGUAGAAGUCGUCAUGUGAAUUUGGUAUUCGUUCGAUAAUUUGAUGUGUUGUAUGUUGUUUUUCCUCUAGUGGUGACUACAUAACACUUCACCAUUAUUUGGGCCUAGAGGAAGGCAUUGGGAAGUAGUAAGUAGAUGAUGGGUUGCUAGAGUGACAGAAGCUUAAACCCUAGUUUAUGUGUUGCUUCGUAAGGGGCUGAUUUGGAUCCACUAGUUUAAUACUAUGGUUAGACUUUGUCUUAAUUCUUCUUUCGUAGUUGCGGAUGCUUGCGAGAGGGGUUAAUCAUAGGUGGGAUGCUUGUCCACGUAUGGGAAGUACCCAAGCGCCGGUCCACCCACAUAUCAAACUAUCAAAGUAAGGAACGUGAAUCAUAUGAACAUGAUGAAAACUAGCUUGACAGAAAUUCCCAUGUGUCCUCGGGAGCGUUUUUCCUCCUAUAAGACUUUGUCCAGGCUUGUCCCGUGCUACAAAAGGGAUUCAGCCACUUUGCUGCACCGUUGUUACUUUUGUUUGUUGCUACUUGCUACGAAUCAUCUCACCACACAACUACUUGUUACCGAUAAUUACAGUGCUUGCAGAUAUUACCUUGCUGAAAACCACUUGUCAGAUCCUUGUGCUCCUCGUUGGGUUCGACACUCUUACUUAUCGAAAGGACUACGAUAGAUCCCCUACUUGUGGGUCAUCAUCGCCUUGCUUGAUGAUGCUACUUCUAGUGUCCAUGAUGCUUAUGAUGAUACUGCUUUGCCACUAGGUGCAUUCCUACAUGCACAAAUUGCUAGAGUUGCUGCUAGAUGUGAUGAUACUUCUGAAACUGCUGAGAUUAUUGAAGUAGAACCUCCUAUUUCACCUGUUAGAACUAGCUCUCCUAGAUAUGAAUUGCCUAAUAUGCCUGAGGGUUAUGUUAUGGAGGGAGAGAUAGCUGAGGACUUUCUUGCUUGUGAGGAUAGCUAUGAUCUUAAUAAAUUAAUGCGCAAGUGGAAAGAAAAUUCUUUGAAUGCUAGGAUGAAAUACGACCCGAAGUUUGCUACGUCACCUAUCUUUGUGACCGAUAAGGAUUAUGAAUUCUGUGUCGACCCUGAGUUAAUCACUUUGGUCGAAUCUGAUCCUUUUCAUGGUUAUGAGUCUGAAACAGUUGUAGCCCAUCUUACUAAGCUGCACGAUAUAGCCACCCUAUUCACGAGUGAGGAAAAUACCGCCACUACUAUAUCCUUAAGCUAUUUCCUUUCUCGCUAAAGGAUGAUGCUAAGACCUGGUUCACUUCUCUUGCUCCUGGUUGUGUGCGUAUCCCCCAGGAUAUGAUCUACUACUUCUGUGAAAAAUAUUUCCCUGCCCAUAAGAAGCAAGCUGCCUUGCAGGAAAUAUACAACUUCGCGCAAGUUGAAGAAGAGAGUCUCCCACAAGCUUGGGGGAGGCUUGUCGAGAUACUGAAUGCUUUUCCCGAUCACCCUCUUGAGAAGAAUGAAAUACUUGAUAUCUUCUAUAAUGGACUAACCGAUGCUUCUAAGGACCACUCCGAUUGUGUUUUUAGGGAACGAACUGUAGAACAAGCUGAGAUCCUAUUGAAUAAUAUCUUGUGCAAUGAGAAUGCCUGGACUAUUACCGAACCACCUCCAAAGCCAACUCCUAGGAAAAGAGGUAUUCUAAUCCUUAGUCCUGAAGAUAUGCAAGAAGCUAAGAAAUCUAUGAAAGAGAAAGGCCUUAAAUCUGAAGAUGUCAAAAAUAUACCACCUAUCAAAGAGAUCCAUGGUCUUGAUAACCCGAUACAGGUAGUAGAGGUAAAUUCUCUUCAUAUAUUCAAUGAUAGUGAUAUUCCUUUUGAUAAACCUGCUAGCUUAUGCGUGGAUGAAUUUGAUAACUUUGUUGCCAAACAACAAAGUUUCAAUAAUUAUGUUAGCAUACAAUUGGAACAGAAUGCUCAUAUGCUUAGUCAUUUAAGUGCUUGUGUGGACAGAAAUGUCAAUGAUCUUAAGCUCCUGAGUAAACAUGCCUCUAUGGUUACUACUCACAUAGAACAAGUACUUAAGGCUCAGAAUGACUUGCUCAAUGAGUUGAAUGAAAAUUCUGUUAGAGUCAUCACUAGAGGCGGUAGAAUGACCCAGGAACCUUUGUAUCCUGAGGGUCAUCCUAAGAGAAUUGAACAAGAUUCUCAAGGAGUUAGCACCGAGGCACCUAGUCAUCGUAGAAAUAAAAAGAAAGAUGAUAGGAACUUGCAUGCUAGCAACCCUGAUGCUGUUACACCCAAUAAUCCAAAUGAUGUCUCUCUUUCUGAUGCCAAAACACAAUCUAGUGAUGAACAUGAGCCUAAUGAUAAUAUUGAUAGUGAUGUUCAUGUUGAUGCUCAACCUAGCAAUGAUAAGGAUGUGGAGAUUGAACCAGUUGAUCUUGAUAACCCACAACCUAAGAAUAAGAGAUACGAUAAGAACGACUUUGUUGCUAGGAAGCAUGGUAAAGAAAGGGAACCAUGGGUUCAGAAACCCAUGCCCUUUCCUCCCAAACCAUCCAAGAAAAAGGAUGAUGAGAAUUUUGAGCGAUUUGUUGAAAUGAUUAGACCUGUCUUUCUGCAAAUGCAUUUGACAGAUAUGCUCAAAAUGUCUCCGUAUGCUAAGUACAUGAAGGAUAUUGUGACUAAUAAGAGGAGGAUACCUGAGGUUGAGAUCUCCACCAUGCUCGCUAAUUAUACCUUCAAGGGUGGAACUCCUAAGAAACUAGGUGAUCCCGGAGUGCCCACAAUACCUUGCUCCAUUGAAGGAAACUACGUUAGAACUGCUUUAUGCGAUCUUGGAGCCGGUGUUAGUGUUAUGCCUCUCUCUCUUUAUCGUAGACUUGAACUAGAUAAGUUGACACCCACUGAAAUCUCUCUGCAAAUGGCCGACAAAUAAACUGCUUUCCCUAUCAGCAUUUGCGAGGAUGUGCCAGUUGUGGUUGCUAACGUUACUAUCUUAAUGAACUUUGUUAUUCUAGAUAUUCCCGAGGAUGAUGCCAUGGCGGUCAUCCUUGGAAGACCCUUUUUAAAUACUGCAGGGGCUGUUAUUGAUUGCAACAAAGGCAAUGUCACUUUCCAUGUCAAUUGUAAUGAGCAGACGGUGCACUUUCCGAAGAAACAAUAUCGGGUACAUUGCAUCAAUGCUAUUGAAAAAACAUCAUCCAUUCUUAUUGGGAGCUUUGAAUGCCCUAUACCUACUGUCAAGAUGAAGUAUGAUUUGCUUGUUGGGGAUAUGCACAUCCCCAUUGAGGUAACCUAGUGACUAUUCAAAAAUUCUCCGUUCCUUUUUAUGCGAUUCGAAAAAGUUUAUCAAGGAGACUUGAUCAACCUCAUUGACGGAUUUCUUUCGAUGACCAUGGGAUGGAUGAAUCGAGGAGUCACAAACCUCUGUUCCAAGAUUUCACCUUCGGUUGCUUAGAAGAAAAAUGAUAGAUUUAGCUUUAGUUUUCUCUGUUUCCUACUCAUAUCCACAACACUAUUACUCCAAAUCCUUUACUGAACUGGAUCUGGAAAAGGUGUUGUACAAUGAAGAUCAAGAUGUUUGCGUGGAUGCUAAUCAUGGAUAGGCUCAACACCCAGGACAUGCUUGAAAGGCGCCACUGGAAUGUUUCAGACUCCAACCUCUGUGUUUUAUGCCAUGCCAGAGUUAAAGAGGACAGAGAUCACCUCUUCUUCAACUGUCUUUUCAGCACCAGGGUAUGGACCUACGUGCAGAUCACAUGGUAGGGUCAAUCCAUGUGGAGCUCUGCUUUGGCUGCCAAGAGAGACUUCCAGUACCCCUUUUUUCCCGAGGUAGUGUUCACUGCAUGUUGGCACAUCUGGACUGUCAGAAAUGCCAAGGUGUUCAACCAGGAGCAUCCGAGAUUCAGGAAAUGGAGAUCCAACUUUAUUCAUGACAUUUCCCUGUUAGCUCAUAGGAUUAAGGCUAGUUUCAGGGAUGAUCUCCUUAAAUGGAUUUCCUUUCUGCCUCCUUGAGGUUUGUAUUUAUAGCUCCCCAACCCCCUUGUACAUCCUAACCUCUUUUUGUACAUAUAACUCUUGCAUAUGGGAAUAAAGGAAAAAAGGCUGUGGGGUGUUUUCCCUACAGUAGCCGGUAAAAAAAACUAUCAUGGUGGUUCCUCAAGCAAGAGGGGUCCCUGUCUUGCGAUUCGGGAGGCCGAUCCUUACCAACCGAGGAACGCACAGGUACAACCAUGUGAAUGGCCUUCUGAUGAAUUCAUGAUUGAUGCAGGUUUCAAAGACGAGUUCGAUACACUUGUUCACAAUGCUGGACUUGAAGAAUUCAUCUCCGAUAAAUGUGAACAAUAUACUACUCUCACUUCCUCUUUUGUUUGUAGAUUCAAAUUUUCAACUGGCCAUGACACAUCUGUACUGUUUGAUCUCUAUGACAAAUCGUAUACCAUGGAUUUAGAGAAUUUCAAUAGAAUUUGCAAGAUACUUGAUUGGGGUAGUCUCAAUGAUCCUUCUAAAUCUUUGGUUAGGGAUUUUUUCUCUAGUAUAACUGUUGGAGAAACUAGAGAUAUUACGCAGGCUACCAUGGGGAGCAUUCAUUUUCCUGCCUUGCAUUACUUUGCCCUCUUCAUAGGUAGAUGCAUUAACGGCAAGAUCGAGCAUUGUCACCUCUGCGCACCUGACCUUAAUAUUCUUAAGAGCGCAGUAAUGGGUGAUAGAAGUUUCAACAUGGGAGCUAUAAUAGCAAGGAGGCUGAAUAAUAAUGCUAAUGAAGGGGAUUUCUUUGGUGGGAUCUAUGCCACUCGCAUAGAAAGUUUUCUUGGUGUACCCAUCCGCGAAGGAGAUGCCCCGCUCCAUACAGCUUUCCUUGAUCGUGCCGCUAUGACACGCUAUCAGUUCCUUGAGAGGGAUAUUGAAUCCCUCCUAUACCGGUUAAUAUUUAACUAACAGCGUGUUUUCCAUAUUACCCUUCCUGCUCCUGCCUUCUUUGACUUUCACAUAAAAUGGAGAUAUUACAUAACCAGGGGAGAGGCAGAGGAGUAUGAGAGGGAGGCAAAGGCUGCUCACCCCCGUGAGACAGCUAUUCAGGCGGUAGCUGCAGCGCUCCCGUACAACCCCCAUUAUGAUUUUGGGUAUCGCCCGGACCAUCCUUGGGAGUAGACCAACUUAGGCCAAAAGCCUAAGCUUGGGGGAGUACGUGUUUCUCACCGAAUUUAUAUUCAUGUUCACACUUUCACUUUGUUAGUCGGUGUUCACACUUUGGCACUGGAUCAUCCAUAAUAGUUUAUCUCUUUUUCUCGCUUUCCUCUCGUGUGUUUGUCUAGUUUGAGAAAACCCAAAAAGAUUUAUCGUUCUUCUUUUGCUUGUUGGGAGCUUUCCCGUGUAAAUAGUUUUCUUUUUCUUUGGGUCAAGGUAGAAGACCAUGGUUACAAUGUUUAGUGGCUCUCGCAUGCAUAUCCGUUUAUCUGUCAAAGAGCCAUAUUACUUUGUUUUCUCCUUUGUGUUCGUUUGCAGAUUCCGGCUUAGUCCAAUGCACGAGCACUCUUAUUAUUGUUCACAUCAUUCGGUCGUGCAAGUGAAAGGCAAUAAUGACGAUAUAUGACGAAGUGACUGAGCCUGGAAAAGCUGGUAUGAACUCGAUCUGUUUUGUUUUUGUAAAUAUGACUAACUCUUCGUUCCUGAUUCAUCUUUGUUGUGAGAGAAACAUGUUUGCAAUGACAACUUAGAGAUCAUAGUUUCUAAGCCAUGCUUAAUUAGCUAGGAGCUUAUAAUGGUUUAUCUUGGAUGCCAACAUGAAUCUUGAGAUGAUUAUGAUGUAGUAUGAUAGUAUGGUAUCCUCCUUUGAAUGAUUCAAGUGGCUUGACUUGGUGCAUGUUUACGCAUGUAGUUGAAACAAAUCAACAUAGCCUCUUUGAUAUUCAUGUUGAUGGUGAUUUAUGUCCUACUCAUGCUUGCACUCAAUGUUGGUUAAUCUCAAUGCAUUUUUACGACUGUUGUCGCUCUCUAGUUGGUCGCUUCCUAGUCUUUUGCUAGCCUUCACUUGUACUAAGCGGGAAUACUGCUUGUGCAUCCACUUCCAUAAACCCAAAGUUGUUCCAUAUGUGUCCACCAUACCUACCUAUAUGCGGUAUCUACCUGCCAUCCCAAGUAGAUUUGCAUGUGCCACUCUAUAACCUUCAAGAAAUAAUCUAUUUUGCAUGCCCGAACCGCUCAUGUGGUGACAAGGGGCGAUCAGUAUCUUCCAUGCUAGGCGUGUUAUCCUUGAUAUGUUUUUAUUCACUAUCAUUCACGAGAAAGGGACCGGUAAUUGGAAUGCCCAGUUCCAUGCUCAAAUCGAAAAUAUAAUUGCAAAAAAAACUCCCCCUGGAUUGUUAUUGGUAUGGACAGCACCCGAGUAUUCGGCUAGUCGUGGAGUGUGAUUGAUCGAUGGUGGGGGAGUCAAAACUUUACUUUUCUAUUUGGGAACCACUUAUAGGAUGUGUAGCAUGGAAGAUGGUGCAAACUCUUGGUCAUUGCAUUGACAAUGAAAGCAUGCCACCCAAAAUUAUUUAUCUAUGUUUUUAAAGCUUGAGCUCUGGCACCUCUUCAAAUCAAUGCUUCCCUCUGCGAAGGUCCUGUCUAUUUAUGUUUCUGUUGAGUCAUCCUCUUCUUAUAAAAGCACCAAUUAGAGAGCACCUCCGUCAUUUUUAUGCUUUGCUUUUAACUGAUAUUGAGUAUGACCGUGACUGGAUCUUCUUUGCCAUGAAUUACAAUGUUCAGUCAGCCCUUGGUCUUUAAAGGUGCUCUGCAUUUAUGUUUUGCGGUCUCAGAAAGAGCUAGCGAGAUACCAUAUGUUCAUACUACUUCAUGAUUGUUUUGUUUGAAGUGUUGACGUUUGAAACUUCUUAUUAUUGCUCUCUAUUUGAUUAUACAAUUGAUAUGAGUUCCUCUAGAGACCUAGAUGUCAUUUCUUAUGUGGUUUGCUUUUUAUCUUGCUAAGAAUAUGAAUAUGAGUUAGACAUAAUUGCAACAACAAGAUCAAACAGAGUUCAUAAAAGUUUUUCUUUUGUCUCUUUCAGUUUGUCAACUGAAUUGCUUGAGGACAAGCAAGGCUUUAAGCUUGGGGGAGUUGAUACGUCUCCGUCGUAUCUACUUUUCCAAACUCUUUUGCCCUUGUUUUGGACUCUAAUUUGCAUGAUUUGAAUGGAACUAACCCGGACUAACGCUAUUUCUAGCAGAAUUGCCAUGGUGUUGUUUUUGGGCAGAAAUAAAAGUUCUCGGAAUGACCUGGAAAUUUACGAGGAUUUUUUGUGGAAUAUAUAAAAAAUACUGGCGCAAGAAUCAACCGGAGGAGUGGAGCAUGGAGCCCACAAGCCCACCAGGCGCGCCCCCUGGCCGCGCCUAGCAGGCUUAUGGGGCCCAGGGAGCUCUGCCGCCUCCAAUUCCAGCUCUAUUUAGUCCCUUUAGUUCGGAAAAAAAAUCAGGAAGAAGAGUUCAUCGCGUUUUACGAUACGGAGGUGCCGCCACCUCCUGUUUUUCCUUUGGAGGGCAGAUCUGGAGUCCGUUCUAGGCUCCGGAGAGGGGAGAUCAUCGCCAUCGUCAUGACUAGCCUUCCUUCAUCGCCAAUUCCAUGAUGCUCUUCACCGCUCGUGAGUAAUCUCAUCAUAGGCUUGCUGGACGGUGAUGGGUUGGAUGAGAUCUAUCAUGUAAUCGAGUUAGUUUUGAUGGGGAUUGAUCCCUAGUAUCCACUAUGUUCUGAGAUUGAUGUUGCUACUACUUUGCCAUGCUCAAUGCUUGUCACUAGGGCCCGAGUGCCAUGAUUUCAGAUCUGAACCUAUUAUGUUCUAGCCAAUAUAUGUGUGUUAUUGAUCCUAUCUUGCAAGUUGUAGUAACCUACUAUGUGUUAUGACCCGACAACCCCGGAGUGAAAAUAGCCGGAACCACUCCCGGAGAUGACCAUAGCAUGAGGAGUUCAUGUAUUCACUAAGUGCUAAUGCUUUGUUCCGGUUCUCUAUUAAAAGGAGAACCUUAAUAUCCCGUAGUUUCCAUUAGGACCCCGCUGCCAUGGGAGGGAUGGACAAUAGAUUUCAUGCAAGUUCUUUUCCCUAAGCACGUAUGACUAUAUACGGAAUAAAUGCCUACAUUACAUUGGCGAACUGGAGCUAGUUACAUAUCUCUCCUGUUAUAACUGUUGCAUGAUGAAUAUCAUCCGGCAUAAUCAUCCAUCACCGAUCCAAUGCCUACGAGUUUUUGCUACUGGUCCUUGCUAUGUUACCUUGUCGCAAUUGCUGUCGCUGCUGCUACUGUUACUCUGUCGCUACUGCUGUCACUGCUCCUCCUGUUACUCUGUCGCUAUUGCUGUCACUAUUGCUACUGGUUACUGUUGCUACUGUUGCUAUCACACUACUUUGCUACUGAUACUUUGCUGCAGAUACUAAGUCUUUCAGGUGUGGUUGAAUUGAGAACUCAACUGCUAAUACUCGAGAAUAUUCUUCGGCUCCUCGUUGUGUCGAAUCAACAAAUUUUGGUUGAAUACUGUAAACCUCGAAAACUUUUGCGAUCCCGUAUACUUGUGGGUUAUCAGUGAGCAGUGAGCUACUGAAGAAACUUAGGAGAGGAUGUUGUCCAGAAGAUAUGCAGUGGCAGCUCCUUGAUGGUAGACGAAAAGGUAAGCAUUAGAGCUGGUGGACCGGAAACCAAGCUGUUGGCGGAACGCGACAAUAUGCUGGUACUACGCCCGUGGUGCCUGCUUGAGCCCAUGGAGAGAACGAGACAUCAGGUAGACAUGAUCAGGGUGGUCGGCAUCGACGAAGCCGGUGGGCUGCUGACAGUAGACCUUCUCGGUGAGGUGCACGUGUAGGAAGGCAUUGGAGAGAUCUAAUUGAUGCACUGGCCAAACACGAGAGAUUGCCAACUCGAGGACAAUACGAAUGGUGCCCGGCUUAACAACCGGGGCAAAGGUGCCGGUGAAGUCCAUGCCCACGCUAUCGAAAGCCACAGACCACCCAGCGAGCCUUUUAGCGCUCAAGGGAUCCAUUGGGAUGGGUCUUCCGAAGAAAGACCUACUCACUAGUGAUGACAUUGGCGUGGGAUGGUUGCGUAACAAGCUGCCAUGUCUGGUUGCACUGAAGAGCAUCAAACUCCACUUGCAUUGCAACAAGCUAGUGAGGAUAACAAAGGGCUCCUCGAGCUGAUGAUGGAAGAGGGGAUCGUGCACACAGAACAACCGCGAGUAUAGACUCGUCGGUCGUGUACCAGUUUCUCGGGCAAUGAAUGUCUGCCUGAGCGCGGGUCAUCGUAUGGGGAGCCGGUGGAGUCGGGUCGACAGGGGUAGGGGCGAUGACGAUCCCUUUGCUGCAGAAGGGGACGGGAUGACAGAGCCAGCCGAGACGGCCUUACAGGCCCAGGCGACCGUCGUGCGAGCCGAACGAACCAGGCCAGCCGGGCCAACCGAGGGGUUUACCACACCGGUUGCGCUAGCUAGACUAGCCGAGGUAUUGGCCGUAUCGGCUGUGCCAGCCACACUAGCGGAGGGGGGGGGUUGUUCCACUUUGUCAUGGGCCAGACACGCCUAAAAGUGAGGGGGCGGGCCGAGGGCUACCUUGGAGCGCCCAACGGGAAGACGAUGGUGACGAGGGAGCAGCCGGGGGUACGUGGUGAAACGGGAAAACCAUCUCGUCAAAGUAAAUGCACCUAGAUGUGAAGACGCGAUGGGAGAGAGGAUCAUAGGAGCGGUAGCCUUUGGUGUUGGUGGGGUAUCUAAGGAAUAUGCAAGCGAGUAAUUGAGGUGCAAGUUUGUGAGGUGUAGUGGCUACAAUACUCGGAUAACAAAGACACCCGAACAGUGGUAACCAUCAUAGGAAUGUGGAGUCCCGAAGAGUAAAUGAUGAGGUGCAUACUUCCAAAGAGUACGACACACACCACUACAAGAAUGCCUAGCAGUGGCGGGUAAGAAUAACACAACAGUAGCGGGCAAGUCUCUCAGGUCCGCCCGCCACUAACCUCCCUCCACUGCUUGGACGCCAUUAGUGGCGGGCGGUGAUACGUCUCCAACGUAUCUAUAAUUUUUAUGGAUCCAUGCUAUUAUCUUGUCAACUUUGGAUGUUUUAUAUGCAUGAAUAUGCUAUUUUAUAUCUUUUUUGGGACUAACCUAUUAACUCAGUGCCAAGUGCGAGUUUCUAUUUUUUCCGUGUUUUUGGCCCAUUUUCAGACGGAGUCCAAAUGGAAUGAAACUUUACGAUGAUUUUUUUGGACCAAAAGAGACCCCCGAAGCUUUGGAAGAAGGCCAGAAGAGGCACGAGGGAGUCACAAGCCCUGACGCCACCACCACCCCCCUAGGUGGCGCAGGGCAGGCUUGUGACCUCCUCGUGGGCCCAACCGACGUAAUUCCAUCGCCAUAAAUUCCUAUAAAUUAAGAAACCCCCAGAAAGAAACCUAGAUCAGGAGUUCCGCCACCGCAAGCCUUUGUAGCCACCAAAAACCAAUCUGGAGCCCGUUCCGGCACCCUGCCGGAGGGGGAAUCCAUCUCUGGUGGACAUCUUCAUCAUCCUGGCGAUCUCCAUGACGAGGAGAGAGUAGUUCUCCCUCGGGGCUAAGGGUAUGUACCAGUAGCUAUGUGUUUGAUCUCUCUCUCUCGUGUUCUUGAGAUGUCUUGAUCUCGAUGUACCAUGGGCUUUGCUACUAUAGUUGGAUCUUAUGAUGUUCCUCCCCCUCUCCUUCUUGUAAUGAAUUGAGUUUCCCCUUUGGAGUUAUCUUAUCGGAUUGAGUCUUUGAGAACACUUGAUGUGUGUCUUGCACGUGUCUAUCUUCUGUGAUCAACUUGCGGGUUUGUGACAAUUGGGAACCUAUGCAUAUGGGUUGGCACACGUGGAUUCAUGUGAGUACUUGAUGUAUGUUUUGGUGAUCAACUUGCGGGUUCGUGACAUUGGGAACCUAUGCACAGGGGUUGGCACACGUUUUGACUCUCCAGUAGAAACUUUGGGGCACUCUUUGAAGUUCUAUGUGUUGGUUGAAUAGAUGAUUCUGAGAUUGUGUGAUGCAUAUCGUAUAAUCAUGCCCAUGGAUACUUGAGGUGACAAUGGAGUAUCUAGGUGACAUUAGGGUCUUGGUUGAUAUGUAUCUUAAGGUGUUAUUCUAGUGCGAACUCUAUGAUGGAUCGAAUGGAAAAAAUAGUUUCGUGUUAUUUUACUACGGACUCUUGAAUAAAUCGAUCAGAAAGAAUAACUUUGUGGUGGUUUCGUACCUGACAAUAAUCUCUUCAUUUGUUCCCCGCUAUUAGUGACUUUGGAGUGACUCUUUGUUGCAUGUUGAGGGCUAGUUAUAUGAUCCAAUUAUGUUAUCAUUGUUGAGAGAACUUCACUAGUGAAAGUAUGAACCCUAGGCAUUAUUUGCACGCAUUGCAAUACCGUUCGUGCUCACUUUUGUUACUAGUUACCUUUCUGUUUUUGUAAUUUCAGAUUACAAAAACCUAUAUCUACCAUCCAUAUUGCACUUGUUUCACCUUCUCUUCGCCGAACUAGUGCACCUAUACAACUUACUAUUGUAUUGGGUGUGUUGGGGACACAAGAGACUCUUUUUUAUUUGGUUGCAAGGUUGCUUGAGAGAGACCAUCUUCAUCCUACGCCUCCUGCGGAUUAAUAAACCUUAGGUCACCCAUUUGAGGAAAAAUUGCUACUGUCCUACAAACCUGUGCACUUGGAGGCCCAACAACGUCUACAAGGAGAAGGUUGCGUAGUAGACAUCAAGCUCUUUUCUGGCGCCGUUGCCGGGGAGGUUAGUGCUUGAAGGUAUAUAUUUAGAUCUUGCAAUCGAAUCUUUUUGUUUCUUGUUCUUUUGCUAGAAAACUACAAAAAAAAAUGGAAUUGAGGAUGCCUCAUAUGCUCCACCUUUUCAAUGUCUUUCGUGAGCAUAAUGGGAAGGAAAAUUGUGCUCAAGUGCUAAAAUAAGAAUUACAUAGAAUGCUUGGCAUAGAAUAUGUGAAUGAUGAGCAUGAUUGCAAUGUUCUUAGCAUGAAUUAUUUGAAUACACAUGAUGCUAAUGAUAUCCAAAGCCACAAGCUUGGGGAUGCUAUAUUUGAUAAUGAUGAUCUUUUUAUUUCUUCCACUUUGAAUGAUCAAAAUCAUUUUGAUGAAAGCAUGCCCCCUAUCUAUGAUGAUUAUUGUGAGGAUACUUAUGCUUUAAAGAAGAAUGAUGAUAAAACUUGUCAUACUCUCUAGAACCCCUUUGCUAAACCUUGAUUUUUCAUUGUGGACACAAUUUGUAGUGCUCAAGUCUUUUACGAUACUCCCACUACUAUUCUUGAGAAUAGAUUUCCUUAUGUGGAGAGUAGUAAAAUUUCUAUGCUUGUAGAUCAUGAAAAGAAAGAUUUAGGUGCUGGUUAUAUUUUGGAAUUCAUUCAUGAUGCUACUGAAAAUUACUAUGAGAGAGGAUCAUAUGCUUGUACUUAUUGCAAUAGUAUCAAGCUUCCUCUCCAUAUGUUGAAAUUUUUGAAGCUAUGCUUGUUUUUCCUUCCUAUGCUAGUUGAUUCUUGCUCCAAUAAAUUGUUUGAUCACAAAAUCCCUUUGCAUAGGAAGUGGUUUAGACUCAAAUGUGCAAGCCAUUUGCUCCAUGAUGCUCUCGUUGUGUUUCAAUCCUUACCUUUUAUAUGAGCAUCAUUGAAAUAAAUGCCUAGCUAAGGGCGUUAAACGAUAGCGCUUGUUGGGAAGCAAUCCAAUGAACAAAUUUUUCUUUGCUUUUUUGCUUCCUGUUUUGUUUUCUCCAGACCAUCAUAAUUCUAUUAUGGUUGUGUAUUUCGUGUUUCUUUUUGUGUUUGUGCCAAGCAAAACCGUUAUGAUUAGUCUUGGUGAUAGUUGUUUGAUCCUGCUCGAAAAAGACAGAAACUUUCUGCUCACAAAAAGAAUUUUCAUUUUUAUUAUGUAAGAGAUAUUGAGUUGAUUAUUUUUGCUGCUAAUUUCUAUGUAAUUUCUUCAGAAUGUCAUAAGUUUUCAGAUUUGUUGAAGUACCAGAAGUAUACGAAGUAUACAGAUUUCUACAGAUUGGUCUGCUGUUAACAGAUUCUGUUUUUGUUGAGUUGGUUGCUUAUUUUGAUGAAACUAUGGAUAGUAUCGGAGGGUAUUAGGCAUGUAAGAUUGAAAAUAAAGUAACCCAACAUCAGCAUAAGUAGAAUUUAAGUUUGCUACAGUACCUAAGAAAGUGGUGGUUUGCUUUCUCAUACUAAUGUUAUCACGAGUUUCUGUUUAAGUUUCGUGUUGUGAAGUUCUCAAGUUUUGGGUGAAGUUCUUAUGGACAAAGAGAUAGAGAGUGGCAAGAGGUCAAGCUUGGGGAUGCCCAAGGCACCCCAAGUUGAUUCAAAGAUGCCGUAAAAGCCUAAGCUUGGGGAUGCCCCAAGAAGGCAUCCCCUCUUUCGUCUUCCAUCCAUCGGUAACGUUAUUUGGGGCUAUAUUUUUAUUCACCACAUGUUAUGUGUUUUGGUUGGAGCCUCUUGUAUCAUAGGAGUCUUUUAUUGUUUGUUGUGUCACAAUCAUCCUUGAUGCACACCUAGAGAUAGAGACAUGCACUCACCGUGAUUUUGUCGAGCUUCACUUAUAUCCUUUGGUAGACAAUUCAACUCACAUGUGCUUCACUUAUAUCUUUUGAGCUAGAUACUUUUGCUCUAUGUACUUCACUUAUAUCUUUUAGAGUGCAGCGGUGCGUGGCUUGGUAGUUGAUAUAUGCUUUGAAAGUAGUCUCAAAAGGGGUAGUUAUCCAAAGGGAUACGAAAACUUCCACCUUCAUGUACAUUGAAUAGUUAGAUAAGUUUGAUUCAUCUCAAUUAGUUUUGAGUUGUGGUUUUGGUAAUAUUGAAGUCAUGCUAGUAAGGUGUUGUGGAUCUAGAAAUAUUUGUGUUGAAGCUAGUAAUUCCCAUAGCAUGCACGUAUGGUGAACCGCUAUGUGAUGAAGUCUGAGCAUGAUUAGUCUAUUGAUGGUCAUCCUUUGUGUGGCGAUCGGGAUCGCACGAUGGUUUAUACCUACCAACCCUUCCCGUAGGAGUAUGCGUUGAAUGCUUUGUUUCGAUUAAUAAUAAAACUUUUGCAACAAGUAUAUGAGUUCUUCAUGACUAAUGUUGAGUCCAUGGUUUAGAUGCACUUUCACCUUCCACCAUCACUAUCUUCUUAGUGUAGUGCAACUUUCGCCGGUGCAGAAAACCCACCAUUAGUCUCCCUCAAAACAGCCACCAUACCUACCUAUUAUGGCUUUUUCAAAGUCAUUCCGAGAUAUAUUGCCAUACAACUACCACCAUGACAUGUGCCACCACGUCUACAUUGCCAUUGCAUGAUCGUAAGAUAGCUAGCAUGAUGUUUCCAUUAAUGUCUAUGCCAUGCUAGAUCAUUGUCACGGCACACUACCGAAGGCAAUCCAUAUAGAGUCAUCAUUGCUCUAAGUUUUGAGUUGUAAGUGUGAUGAUCAUCAUUGUACCAUGUGAGGAAAUAAAAGAGGCCAAAGAAACCCACCAAAAUAAAAUAAAAUAAAAGAGGCCAAAGACCCCACCAAAAAAUGAGAGAAAAAGAGAGAAGGGACAAUGUUACCACUUUUCCACACUUGUGCAUAUUAAGCACCAUGAUAUUCAUGAUUGAGAGUCUCUCCUUUUGUCACCACCAUAUAGCUAGUGGGAAAUUUUCAUUAUAUAACUUGUCUUGUAUAUUCCAACGAUAGGCUUCCUCAAAAUUGCCUUAGGUCUUCAUGAGCAAGCAAGUUGGAUGCACACCCACUAGUUUCCUUUAAGAGCUUUCACUUACUCCUAGCUCUAGUGCAUCAUUUGUAUAGAAAUCCCUACUCAUUCACAUUGAUAUCUAUUGAUGAGCAUCUCCAUAGCUCAUUGAUAUGCGUUGUCAAUGUGACCAUCUUCUCCUUGUUUGCCUUGCAACCUCCACCACACUCCACACCACUUAUAGUGCUAAAACCAUGGCUCAUGCUCAUGUAUUGCGUGAGAGUCAAAAGAGUUUGAGAAAGUAAAGGUGUGAAAACAAUUACUUGGCCAAUACCAGGGUUGUGCAUGAUUUAAAUUUGUUGUGCAAGGAUGAUAGAGCAUAGCCAGACUAUAUGAUUUUGUAGGGAUAACUUUCUUUUGGCCUUGUUAUUUUGAAAGUUCAUGAUUACCUUGAUAGUUUGCUUGAAGUAUUAUUGUCUCCACAUCAAUAGCAAACUAUUGUUUUGAAUCUAACGGAUCUGAACAUUCAUGUCACGUGAGAGAAGUAACAAAGGAGAACUAUGCUAGGUAGCAUGCAACAUCAAAAAUUCAUUCUUUAUCACUUCCCUACUCGAGGACGAGCAGGAGUUAAGCUUGGGGAUGCUUGAUACGUCUCCAACGUAUCUAUAAUUUUUGAUGGUUCCCUGCUAUUAACUUGUCAACUUUGGAUGUUUUAUAUGCAUGAAUAUGCUAUUUUAUAUCUUUUUUUGGACUAACAUAUUAACUCAGUGCCAAGUGCCAGUUUCUGUUUUUUCCGUGUUUUUGGCCCAUUUUCAGACGGAGUCCAAAUGGAAUGAAACUUUGCGAUGAUUUUUUUGGACCAAAAGAGACCCCCGAAACUUUGGAAGAAGGCCAGAAGAGCCACAAGGGAGUCACUAGCCCUGACGCCGCCACCACCCCCCUAGGUGGCACAGGGCAGGCUUAUGACCUCCUCGUGGGCCCAACCGACGUAAUUCCACCGCCAUAAAUUCCUAUAAAUUCGGAAACCACCAGAAAGAAACCUAGAUUGGGAGUUCCGCCGCCGCAAGCCUUUGUAGCCACCAAAAACCAAUCUGGAUCCCGUUCCGGCACCCUAUCGGAGGGGGAAUCCAUCUCCGGUGGCCAUCUUCAUCAUCCCAGCGAUCUCCAUGACGAGGAGGGAGUAGUUCUCCCUCGGGGCUGAGGGUAUGUACCAGUAGCUAUGUGUUUGACCUCUCUCUCUCGUGUUCUUGAAAUGUCUUGAUCUCAAUGUACCAUGGGCUUUGCUACUAUAGUUGGAUCUUAUGAUGUUCUCCCCCCUCUCCUUCUUGUAAUGAAUUGAGUUUCCCCUUUGGAGUUAUCUUAUCGGAUUGAGUCUUUGAGAACACUUGAUGUAUGUCUUGCAUGUGUCUAUCUGCUGUGAUCAACUUGCGGGUUUGUGACAAUUGGGAACCUAUGCAUAUGGGUUGGCACACGUGGAUUCAUGUGAGUACUUGAUGUAUGUUUUGGUGAUCAUCUUGCGGGUUCGUGACAUUGGGAACCUAUGCACACGGGUUGGCACACGUUUUGACUCUCUGGUAGAAACUUUGGGGCACUCAUUGAAGUUCUAUGUGUUGGUUGAAUAGAUGAUUCUGAGAUUGUGUGAUGCAUAUCGUAUAAUCAUGCCCACGGAUACUUGAGGUGACAAUGGAGUAUCUAGGUGACAUUAGGGUCUUGGUUGAUAUGUAUCUUAAGGUGUUAUUCUAGUACAAACUCUAUGAUGGAUCGAACGGAAAGAAUAGCUUCGUGUUAUUUUACUACGGACUCUUGAAUAGAUCGAUCAGAAAGAAUAACUUUGUGGUGGUUUCGUACCCGACAAUAAUCUCUUCGUUUGUUCCCCGCUACUAGUGACUUUGGAGUGACUCUUUGUUGCAUGUUAUGGGCCAGUUAUAUGAUCCAAUUAUUUUAUGAUUGUUGAGAGAACUUCACUAGUGAAAGUAUGAACCCUAGGCCUUGUUUCCACGCAUUGCAAUACCGUUUUUGCUCACUUUUGUUACUAGUUACCUUGCUGUUUUUGUAAUUUCAGAUUACAAAAACCUAUAUCUACCAUCAAUAUUGCACUUGUUUCACCUUUUCUUCGCCGAACUAGUGCACCUAUACAACUUACUAUUGUAUUGGGUGUGUUGGGGACACAAGAGACUCUUUGUUAUUUGGUUGCAGUGUUGCUUGAGAGAGACCAUCUUCAUCCUACGCCUCCUGCGGAUUGAUAAACCUUAGGUCACCCACUUGAGGGAAAAUUGCUACUGUCCUAUAAACCUCUACACUUGGAGGCCCAACAACGUCUACAAGGAGAAGGUUGCGUAGUAGAGUUGAGGCGGGUACCCGUCACUAUUAGGCCUGGAUAGGUGACGGGUCAUGUAUCGUGCCCGCCACAACCCUUGGUGUUGCCCGCCAUAGGCUUUGCGUGUGCUGUGUCGGUCAUUGUCUUCGGAUUGCCACUUCUAUUGUUCUAGGCCGACAUAAUUGAAUUACAACAUAUUGCACGUGCAUCAUAUCUUCAUAUUGCAUUUGAUACAUAAAUUUUGGUUUGAACCUUUAUCCACAUACACGCUGUCACAACCCCACAUCUAGAAUUGUCUGUCAUUGCAUCUCAUGCAUGCAUUUCUAUUUUUUUUUCCUUUGGAAAUGAAAUGAGGAGUGAUCAAGCCUCAUCUUUUAAAUUUUUGGUCAAACAAGCAACAUAAAAAUUGCUUCAAAUUGAUUCAAGGAAAUGUCCUUGAUUUUCCAAUAAAAUAUUGGACUCACAUAAAAAUGUCAACCAAUAUUUUUGGAUCACAGAAACAUUUUAUAUUGGUUUUUGAAUUAAUCAAACAACUAUUAUAAAUGAAAUUAUAUUUACUAUAUAUAAAAUAUGGUUCCAUAAAUUGUAAAAACUAUUACAUGGCAUUGGAAAAUUAUGUUUAUGUCACAUAAAAAAUAUAAGGAUUUUAUUAAAUGAUUUGUCAUUUUUUUCUCAAAUCAAAAACAAAUUGCAGAAAAUACAAAAAACAAAAGAAUAGAAAUAAAUUAUCUAGGCUUACCUAGAGUUUAGCCUAGCCCACCAGGGGCACAUGCGUCUUCUUCCUCCUUCCAGAAGGCACAGGAGAAGCUAGCCACGGUGUUGUGGCCUCGCGCCACGUCGGCGGUAGCUUGGCUGCUCCCGUGGCCCGUGCGAGGACGGGAAUGAGUACCCCCGUGCCAUCCGGAUCCUUCUCUCCCUCUCGUUCCACUUCUCUUCGCCCCUGCUUCUUAUCUCCCUCGGAGCAGAGAGAGUCGUCGCCGUCGUCCGUCACCGUCACAACCUCCGGCCACCUCUAGCCCAGCCGCCAUGUCCCCUAGCUUCGUCGUUCUCCUCUCCAUCUCUACGCCAGAAGAAUCGAGCUCAGACGCCCUGCAGCGCUGCCAUCUGCAUCGUCUUCACUGCCGGCCACCAGAUGUCUUCGUCAUCGAUUCGCCCGAUUAAGGCCAUCCCAGAGCUCGUCGUUUGUCCCGUCCGCAUCGCUGUGAGCCACCGCGUCCUUUCCCCCCUUAUCCCGAGCUCCUCGCACCCCCUAACUAGCUGGUCGUGAGCCCGAGCUCCGGCCGCCACUUACCUCGUCGCCGGCGUUGUUCCAGUGCUCCUUUGCUCCAGCCACCACCCCAAAUGGAUUCGAUUAAACCCCAGCAUCGCGUAGGUGACUUCGCUGGCAAAUCGGUCACCGGAGGAGGAAAUCCCCUGCCGCCGCCGUGCUUUGUGGUCACCGGCGGUCACCUUGCCGGCCAGUGUCACUGACUGGUGGGUCCGGUUGUCACGUGAUUAGGUUAAGCCUAAUCACAAAUUAUUUAAACCCACAGUCUCUGACGCUCGGCCCGCAGCUAGUCAAAGUUGUGUCAAAGCGGGAUUAACUUUAGUUAAUCCGUGUGUCACUGACGUGCGGACCCUGCACGUCAGAUUUGACAUGAUCUGGCCCGGUUGACCUACUAACGCAAGCAUGAGUCACGGUGACGCAAUAAAUGAUUUUCUGGUUAUAAAUAGUUCCAGAAAAUGCUGAAAUUAUUAAAAAUCAUAGAAAAUAAAAUAUAACUCCAAUGGAAAUAAUUUAUAUAUGAAAAAUGAUCAGAAAAAUUCAAGGAAUCCAAUGGUGCUAUUUUCAUGCAUGAUAAAACAACCUAAGCAUCAGGUCAAAUCAAUUAAAAGGGUAUUUGAAAAAUACCUUAUUUGAAGUAAUAUUUGAAUUUUGAUUCAAAUAAGCUUCUACCUAAGAAGUGGUAGCUACAUUAGCCAUGCCACAUUUCAUUUUCAUGUCAUGAUCAUGCAUCAUAGUAUUGCAUUUUCCGUGAAGUAAAUAUUGUUCUUUCUUGUUUGCCGGUGUUAUUUCCCCUCGGUAGACGAUGGUUCCAACAAUGUGAUCGUUGACACUGAUGAAGACUCAUGGCUAUCUUCAGAACUGUCAGGCAAGCAACCCCCCUUGAGCAUUUUGAUACAAUCCUACUCUCUCGCUCCUGCUCUCUUUUAUUGCAUUAGGACAAACACGAUUCAACUGUUACUUGUUCUCGGUAGUUGAACCAAUUCUUCUGCAUGACCUGAUUUUGCCACAGUAAAUAGUUGAAACCACUUAGCAUGAGUAGCAACUUCUUGAGCCCUAUUGUGCUUACUCAUCCAUGCUUGCUUACUGUGCGUGCUAUGCUUAUAGUUGUGUCGGGUCUGAUCCAUCUGGACGAUGAACCGAAAUGGUUGUGUUCAUGUUCUAUAGUGUGAGAGUAAAGGUGUGAAUCCGAUUUGGUAAAGGUAGCGAUGAGAGGGCAUGUAGGAGUACAUGGUGGGUUGUCUCAUUGGAACCGUCCUUAAGAACUGAGUUCUGUGUAUGUUAUCCAAGAUAAGAUACUACCACACAUUGGGCUCCGGUAACUCGACCUCUCUUGGCUUAUUAAUCACCUAGAUCUCUAUCCAAGAGUUGCAACUGGUUUCUGGUGUUUGUAGGAAAAGUGUUGGCAGCUGUGUUUAGCUCUGCCCGACGGGGUAGGCUUCAGUUCGGUAGAUACACGGUGGCACGAUGUACCAAGUGUCACCCGGAUGGUGGGUUUGGGAACCCUGCACACAUCGUUUGGGGCUGUAGAGGAAACCUCGGCCGGACUUCCUUGCGGGUUCAGUCUCAAAUAGGCAAUAAGCCUGGACUAGGGUCUUGUGUGGUUAACGGUCGUGGCCAACACCCACGCCAGUGCUUCGCUUCAAGGUUGCCGAGAUGCAUGGCAUGCAUAUGGUGCUAAGUGGUGAGAGAAUGUGUGAAGAAGUAUACCCCUGCAGGGUGAAUCAAUCAGUUCGAUAGCCGCAUCCUUGGAUAUGGACUACUUGGAAACAUUACGUGGUACAUAGACAAUUUAAAUGGAUACUCUAAAACAUGCAAGAUAAGUGUGAGUGCUAUGGAUGGCCUUCUCGUAGGGACACGAGAGUGGAUCCAUGGUGGUGUAUUGAUUGGUGAAUAUGUGGACUCGUGUGCGCUAUCCCACCUCAAAGAAAGAACUUGUAGUCGUAGUACAGGUUAGCCAAGAGUCAAAGCUGGCUUGCUGCAAUCAACCCCCACAAUCCUUUAAUUGAUACCGAUGCAUAUGUAGAUAGUUCUGAUGUAAGUCUUGCUGAGUACCUUUGUACUCACAGUUGCUUUAUUUAUGUUUUUGCAGAGAAGAUUUUAGUCUCAUUAAAGGUUCUACGUGAUGUGUUCGAUGUUUACCGGAAUAGCUUGGGAAUCCCAGACAUAGGUUUGGUUCCUUUGGUAGGGUUGUUGUAGCUUUUCAGGCUCCUCCAGCCAUUUUUAAUAGAUGUCUGUACCCAGACAUGUUCUGCUUCCGCUUGAUGUUUGUAUGACUUGAGUGUCGGGUCACGAGACCCCUGUUUGUAAUAUCAUACUACGUUGACUCUUAUGAGUCUUUAAUAAAAGCUUGAGUCAUAGAGUUAUGUUGUGACGCCAUGUUGUAUCUACACAUAUCGUGCAUAUUGUAUGUAUGUUAUGAAAUGCAUUAUAUGUGUGGGAUUCGACACCUAGUUGUGUGCCUUUAGUAGUACUCUUUACGGGGAAAUGCCUCUUUGUGCUUCCACCAAGCUUUGGUAGCUUGCUACUGCUCCGGACACAUUGAUUGGCCGGCAUGUAUCCUUCUUUGCUGCUGUGUCUGUCCCUUCGGGGAAAUGUCACGCGGUGUAAUGGAGUUCUUGUAGCUUGCUACGACUCAUCUACACACGCUGAUGACCGACACAUGCUUUGUUGGGUUAUGUAUGCCUGUCCCUGUAUGGAUGUACCACUUGGGUUUAUAACUAGUCUUUUCGACCCGGGUUCUUUGUCGUUUGAAUGCUAGCGACACAUUCAUAUACGUGAGCCAAAAGACGCAAACAGUCCCGGCCAAGGUAAGGUGGCAGCCGUGGAGUUUACCGUGCGUGAGGCCGCAAAGUGAUGUGAUGUGUUACAAGCUGGGUUCUUAUGAUUUAGGAUCGGGGUCCUGACAGACGCCACAUUAUAAUGAUUUCAUAUUAAUGAAAAGUAUUAGGUAUGAAAUAUAACAAGUGCAUUACAACUUGUCAUCAUUCUAGUUGUUAUCAUACUAGUUAAACAACUCUUCAUCAUUCUAGUAACAAACUUGCAACUGGCAAAGUUAUCACAAGUUAAAUAACAAGCUACGAAGGUAUAACAAGUUACCAACACUGAUUAUUGGUCUCUCCUAGAUAUAAAAGUAUGAAAAUAUGAACUCCUACAUCUUCCCAUUGAAGAAUACAGAUCAUCCUAUCUCCAAAUUGUGGGGUGCGCAAGUAUUCGUCUCCAAGUGGUAGCGUGAAUGCUCUUAUCGCGUUUCUCCAUCCUUUGAUUUUCGUGGUUUCUUCACUUUGACAUAUCACGUAUUUACGAGGGUAACUCAUCGGGAUUGUCUGUAAGCUAACCAUAUGCAAACCACCUUUGAUACAUAUCACUUUAGGCACGAUCUCUGGCGGGAGUACUUGUUGAAGAACAUAAGUAAUAAAAACAUAGUUAGCAAACUAGUUUUCCUUAAGAAGAAUGUAUGAAAAAUAUGUACCAGUGACACAAUAGUAAAAAAAUCUUACAAAGUAGUUUGAAGUGAUGUUAGAAUGGUUCAACUUUUGUACUAGUGGCACAUAUCCAUGAUAACUAUUGCCAAUCAUGUAAUUGUUCUUAUAAUGCUCAACAUCAUGAAUAAAUGAGAUCAGAUGAUUUUUCUCCAACCAAGUAAGCUCGGAGUCAUACCUGUAGUAGGUCCGAUCUACUAUCUUCCAUGUAGUUUUUGGAGCAGAGAAAUAAGAUGAUAAUUAAAACUAAACAAUUUUAGUCGGGAUGACUACCAAAUACUUUUCAAUAAUCAGUGUAAAUUACCUAACAAAUUUGUUGACAAACUCACCUCCAGGUAGAACUGGAAUCGAGUGAUCCUCAUGCACCCAAAUUUCAAUAUUAUUAUCACGAUCAUUGUCAUGACCAAGAUCGAAUGUAAAAUGGAACUCCCAGCAAAAUGCUGUUCAAGAAGAAGAACCAAAAUAUGUGUGAUCUACUCCAUUUUUUACCUUAAUAGAAAAAGUGUAAAGGUUCGUAUUUAGGUGAGCUAUCUUAGUCUUUGUACUCUCCCUCUCUUUGAAAUGGAACUUGUCGAAGACAUGGAGUGUUGCAUGGCAAGGAACGCACUAGUCGAAUUGUACAAAAUAAAAUUACAUGUUAAUUUAAGCAAAAAAGCACACGUCAUGUAACAACCCCAGUGCAAUACCUUCCACCCUCUUGUAAUAUCUUUCCUUGUAUGGUAACCUUCCAAUUUGGCAUGUUGUGUUUGAAAUAAUAUAGGUUUUGCUUCCAUCCUUUGUUGCAUCAUGGCAUCAUAGGCAUCAUGUCUUUUGUGUUACACAAUGUUGUUCAAGUUCCAUGUGAGUGGUUCUGGUGAGGUGUGUGCAAUUUUUGAGUAAGCACUAGCAUGUGGGUUUUCAAACUUGCAAAACCUUGGUUUCUUCAACUAGGGAAAAACCCUCAUCUUAUUUUAUUUUGAUGCUGUGUUAAAAGUUGCUAGUUUUGGCCAAAUAAAAAUGUUGCAUCUUCCCCAAAUAUUCUGGUUGGAUUUGUGGUGAAGUUAAUUCUGGUGUAAAUUGCUUAUGUGCCUUCAAUUCCUUGCAAAACGUUUGAAUUAAAUGUUUUGGGUGAUAUUUUUGUUGCUAUAGAAAAAUGCCAAGUCAUUUUUCUCAAAUAGUGCAUAAUAUUGUGAGGCCAUGGUAUUUUUUAUUUCUGCAAAACCCGUUUGUAUUUUCUCUGUGUGCAUUUUUAGAUGUUUGUGAGGUUUUAAAUAAAACAGGGGGUGUUUAUUUAUUUAUGAGAGAGAGGCUUGCGUGGGCCUUUCUCCCUCUCCUGGCGCAGCCCAGCAGGAGCCCCGCAGCCACCAGCCAACCCAAAGCACGACCGCGUCGUCCUCCUUUGUACGACGCGCAUUGGCAGCAGCCACGUCAAUGACCUCGGCGAUUUGACGGCCGACGGUAGCCCUAGAGGCCUAUAAAGCACGUCCUAGACCUAGCCUAUGCUCCCCUAUCUCCAUUCCUCCCUCCUCCUCGCCUUGCCACCACAAGAGAUUAGGUGUGGGCUCACAGGCCUGCUCCCGUGCGCAUCACCCCACCAAGGCCCUUGGUGUCUAGUCUCCUCACAUGACACUCAAGUGAAAGCUAGCGAGCACGCGUUAUUCAAAAUGAAGAUUUUUGUGCAGGAUUAUUCCUCGGGACGGAUCACUCGAGGGGUCUCGCAAGGCGCACCCGACAAGUGAAAAUCUAUUGGCGUUGCAAAGGACAACAUAUGAGAACCCCCGGUAGCCUCGCCAUUGCCAAUGUUUUCUCUCACGGAGGUCGCUUGCGCGUCAAGGGGGACUUCUGAGCAUCGCGCCUCAAGACACUUCACUAGCUCCCAAGCCCCUCACCUCCUAGCCUUGUCCAGGCAUCACGAUCUGAUAUACCAGCGAUGGCGGAGGAUUGCUCGGGGGCUGGGUCCCGAUGACAUGGAGCACCUAAGCAAGCAAGGAAAAAGGGGAGAACCCCGCGAGGGGACCUCAAAAGUGGACGCAUGGUUCAAACUACAAAUGCAUUGGUUGCAAAAGGAAACAAUUUUGCACACACCCCUCGCGGGGUUUACGUUGAUCCGUUGCAGGAUAGAAGAUCGGAUAAGGAAGUGAACUUUGGGAAGACGUGCCCUCAGGCCAUGUGAACCUCUCGCAGGCCACGACCGCCUCGUGACGGGUUCCAUAAAGUUAAGUUAACCGCCCCACACGGCUCGAUGAUCUUUGGCAGAGUUCCUACUUCUGAUAUCCUCGCUCCACGCGAAAGCAUCUUCUCUCAUGUGAGUUGCUUGCAUGUCAAGGAGGCCUCCUGAGCAUCGCGCCUCGAGACCUCUUACCAGACUUUGGGCGCCUCACCUCCUGGCCUUGUCCAAGGCAUUGUGACCUAACAUAGUAGUGAUGGCAGAGUCCUGCUCGGGGGCUGGGUCCUAGCGACGCAGAAUUGUAAGGUGAUCACACCGGAGGGGGAAAGCCUAACGAGAAACGCUAAGAACGAACUCAUUUUCGACAAGAACAACAUUAAACUUAAGGUGUGAGGCCCAUAAUGUUGGAAAUAUUCCCUAGAGGCAAUAAUAAAGUGGUUAUUAUUAUAUUUCCUUGUCGAUGAUAGUUGUUUAUUAUCCAUGCUAGAAUUUUAUUGAUUCAAAACUCGAAUACAUGUGUGGAUACAUAUACAACACACUGUCCCUAGUGAGCCUCUAAAGGACUAGAUCGUUAAUCAAAGAUGGUCAAGGUUUCCUGGCCAUAGACAUGAGUUGUCAUCUGAUAACGGGAUCACAUCAUUAGGAUAAUCAUGUGAUGGAAAAGGCCCAAAUAUGAACGUAGCAUAUGAGCAUGUCAGUUUAUUGCUAUUGUUUUCUGCAUGUCAAGUAUAUGUUCCUAUGACAUGAGAUCAUGCAACUCCCGGACACCGGAGGAAUGCCUUGUGUGUAUCAAAUGUCACAACGUAACUGGGUGACUAUAAAUGUGCUCUACAUGUAUCUCCAAGGGUGUCUGUCGGGUUGGCCUGGAUGAAGACAUGGAUUUGUCACUCCGUAUGACAGAGAGGUAUCUCUAAGGCCUACUUGGUAAUACAACAUCACUCGAAGCUUGCAAGAAAUGUGACUAAGGAGUUAGUCAUGGGAUCUUGUAUUAUGGAAUGAGUAAAGAGACUUGCCGGUAACGAGAUUGAACUAGGUAUGCAGAUACCAACAAUCGAAUCUUGGGCAAGUAACAUACCAAUGGACAAAGGGAACAACAUACAUGAUUAAUUGAAUCCUGGACAUAGAGGUUCAACCGAUAAAGAUCUUCAUAGAAUAUGUAGGAACCAAUAUGGGCGUCUAGAUACCACUAUUGGUUAUUGACCAGAGAGUGUCUCGGUCAUGUCUCCAUAGUUCUCGAACCUGUAGGGUCUGCACACUUAAGGUUCGGUGACAUUUCGAUAUUACUAAGUUAUGCAUGUUGGUGAGCGAAGGUUGUCCGGAGUCCCGGCUGAGAUCCUGGAUGUCACAAGGAGCUCCAGAAUUUUCCGGAGGUAAAGAUAUAUAUAGGGAAGUGGUAUUUGGUUUCCGAAAAGGUUUUGGGCAUUUCUGGUAGUGUACCGGGAGUGAAGAAUGGGUUCUGGGGUCCAUCGAGAGGGGCCCACCCACUCCGAGGGGCCACAUGGGCACAGGAGGUGGCGCACCAGCCCCUGGUGGGCUGGGAAGCCGACCCCAUAAGGGGCCCAUGUGCCCAAGAGGAAAAAAGGUGGAGGGUGGGGGAGUCCUUGUUGGAGUAGGACUCCUCCCCACGCCCACCUCCUUGUAGGAGGUGGACUCCACCUCCUUGGCCAGCGGCCAAAGGACCUAUGGGAAACCCUAGGGAGCUUCCUCCCACCCCUUCCUCCUAUAUAUAGUGGAGGUUUUGGGGGAAGCCACCACCUAAAAAACCCACGUGUUGCCCUCUCCUCUCUAGAUCGUCUUCCUCCUCUAGAUUAGUUCGGUAGAGCUCAACAAAGCCCUGCCGGAUUAGUUCACCACCACCGCCACCAUGUCGUUGUGUUGCUGAAGAACUCAUCUUCCCCUCUGCCCUCGCUUGCUAGAUCAAGGAGGCGGAGAUCAUCAUCGAGCUGUACGUGUGCUGAUCGCGGAGGUGUCGUCCGUUCAGCACUAGAUCGUGAUUGGAUCACGGGAUGGCUUGCGAUUUGGAUCGUGAAGAUGUUCGACUAUAUCAAAAUCGUUUCUUAACGCUUGCCGUUUAGCCGUCUACAAGGUUAUGUGGAUCCAAUCUCUCCUCUCACAGAUGCUCAUCACCAUGGAUAGAUCUUGUAUGUGUCUAGGAAAAGUUUUGUUUCCUAUGCAACAUUUCCCAACACAUAGGUCUUCUUACAUGCACCCGCGGGGCAAACACGGUUCAUUGCAGAAAUAAAUAGCAAAAGAUGAAGGACCGCGCCUGAGUAGCGCCGCCUCCAGGACUUCGACGCUGGCACCACCUGCGCCUAGUUAGAGUCUGCCUUCUUGACAUGGACGCCCGAGGAGUCGUUGCAGUCGUUGUCACUCGCGCUUCCCCCGGAGGAAGAGUUGCUGCUGUCAUUGCCGCUGAAGGAGCUGCCACCACCGCUCCUGUCGCUGUCCAUGCAGCAGCCCAGGCGGUUGCCGGCUUCCCCAAAGAUCUUCAUGAAGAGCAUGGCGACCCCGUCAAACUUGAAGUGGAGGACAUGCCCCUCCUUCAAGACAAGGGUGAGGGCGAAUGACUUCCACCCCCGCUUCAAGAGCAUGAAGCCGAAGGGAGUGAAUUCAAUCACCACGCACGAAGACCCGUUGUAGCAACGGUCUGGCUGCAAUCACAAGCCUAGGGGCAUGCGCUCCACCAUCUCCUCCAUGAAGGAGUCUCGGAGCCGGAGCUAGGUGUGCAGUUGGAUAUCCAUCCCCAUGAUAAACACACAGGCUGCAUCGGUGGAGUGGCUCCAUGGCCGGGGUGCCUGGGUAGCUAUGCCAUUCCUCCUACCUUGCAUUGGCCGCCUCGCCCCCCGUGCGUCUGUGGGCUGAGCUUCCUCCACGUCUGCCUGAGCCAAUGUGGGUCGCGAACGGAGGGCACCCGCGCCCCUUGGUGAGUUCCCCUGGCGUGGCGGCAGACGUGUGAGGGCGGAGUCCCCCCACCAGCUUUGGCACUUCUAUCACUUCCAUUGCUGCUUUUCCCUUCUUAGAGGUGGCUAGCCUCCUCACGGGCACCAUCGCUACUACAAGAAAAGCAGGAAUAAAGAGCAAGAGCGAGUAAGAUGAGCGAAGGGACCCUUCCCCUUUCAUAUAUAUAGCAUGCGGCGUAUGGCCGGCCUGCACCCCCUUGCCUUUGCUAGAUGAAUGUAAGGCAAGAACAAUGGUGGACUCAUGCUGCGCGCAUGCUUUACUUCAACCCGGGCAGUUGCUGAGGGGUCGUGAGGAAGUGGGAGCGUCCAGCACCCCGUCGUGCGCCACACGUCACGCUUGACCUCCAGGCGGUUGGGGCCACACUAUUUCGCCCCUCCAACUGGCGGAAUCGUGCAAGCUGCGGGCCUGGGGGCUACUGUCAGGCUCGGGGGACUAGCGGUACCGAGUCCCGUCUACCUGCGGCCUAAGAGGCGACUCAUGCCUUGGGUCCAGCACGGCCCACCAUUGGACCUUACGAGCAAUACCCUCACGAGGUCCCCUACCUCGAGAGGCGCAUGUGAGUAAGCAUCGUCAGGAGCCAUGCGAAGCCCUCCUUGUGAGGUCGCCUCCUGAGUCUAUUCCCGAGGCCCUCGCGGGGCAGACUAAUCAAGGGCUGCCUAGCAGGGUUGUGCAGUCAUGCAUCUUCACGUGGGUGACGCCGCCACACCUAGCGGUGCUAGGAGUCGUGCCAACAAGAAUGGAUGAGGAGGAUAUCAUAUUUUGUGUUCGAAAUAUGCCCUAGAGCUAUUAAUAAAGUGGUUAUUAUUAUAUUUCCUAGUUCACGACGAUUGUCUAUUAUUCAUGCUAUAAUUGCAUUAACCGGAAACCGUAAUACAUGUGUGAAUAUAUAGAUCACAAUGUGUCCCUAGUGAGCCUCUAGUUGGUUAGCUCGUUGAUCAAUAGAUGAUCACAGUUUACUGAUCAUGGACAUUGCAUGCCAUUCACAACGGGAUCACAUCAUUAGGAGAAUGAUGUGAUGGACAAGACCCAAUCCUAAGCAUAGCACUAAAUCGUAUUGUUCGUCUGCUAAAGCUUUUCUAAUGUCAAGUAUCAUUCCUUAGACCCUGAGAUUGUGCAACUCCCGGAUACCGUCGGAGUGCUUUGGGUGUAUCAAACGUUACAACGUAACUGGGUGAUUAUAAAGGCGCACUACAAGUAUCUCCAAAAGUGUCUGUUGGGUUGGUACGAAUCAAGACUGGGAUUUGUCACUCUGUGUGAUGGAAAGGUAUCUCUGGGUCCACUUGAUAAUCCGUCAUCAUAAUGAGCUCAAUGUGACUAAGGAGUUAGUCAUGGGAUGAUGUGUUACGGAACGAGUAAAGAGACUUGCUGAUAACGAGAUUGAAUAAGGUAUAGGGAUACCGACGAUCGGAUCUCGGGCAACUAUCAUACCGGUAGACAAAGGGAAUUGCGUACGGGUUGGUUGAAUCCCCGACAUCGGGGUUCAUCCGAUGAGAUCAUCAUGGAACAUGCGGGAACCAACAUGGAUAGCCAGACCCCGCUUUUGGUUAUUGACUGGAGAGGUGUCUCGGUCAUGUCUGCAUGGUUCCCAAACCCGUAGGGUCUACACACUUAAGGUUCGAUGAUGCUAGGGUUGUAAUGUGAAUAGUAUGUGGUUACCGAAGGUUGUUUGGAGUCUAAGAUGAGAUCCCCGAUGCCACGAGGAGUUCGGAAAUGGUCCGGAGGUAAAUAUUCAUAUAGAGGAAGUGGAGUUUUGAUUGCCGGAAGAGUUCCAGAGAUCGCCGGUAACGUACCGGGACCACCGGAAGGGUUCCAGGGGUCUACCGGGAAGGGCCACCAGCCCCAAAAGGCUACAUGGGCCAAGGGUGGAAGGGAACCAAACCCUAGAUCGGCUGGUGCGCCUCCCACCUUAGCCCAAGGCGCACAAGAGGGGAAGGGUGGGCUAACCCUAGGUGUGGGUGCUGCCUUGGGCGCCAAGCCGACCCUAGGGCGCCGCCUGAUGUUUGCUGUGUAUCCCUUGCAACGGAGCGAGGUAUACUUCUGCUACAUCAAAAAGAUCUCCGGCAACGGCGCCGGAAAUUGUUGUGUCGACAGCACCAGGAAUCCUUCAUCUACGGCUACGCCUUAAGGGACUUCCUAGGCAAGUAUGCAAAGGAUUUCUCCCGUGGCCUUUGAGCUUUGCGUUGGUGUUCCCUCGAAGCGGAAAGGGUGAUGUAGCACAGCGACGGUAAGUAUUUCCCUCAGUUUGAGAACCAAAGUAUCAAUCCGGCGGAAGAGUAUCGCAAGAUCCUGCACAAACACAAAAGCUUGCACCCAACGCUAUGAAGGGGUUGUCAAUCCCUUAUAGAUUGUUUGCCAAGUGAGAACUGAAAGCAACAAAGUAACAAAGCAAAGUAAAAGUGGAGUUGUAAAUGAUGAAUGUGAAUAGACCCGGGGGCUGUAGUGUUUACUAGUGGCUUCUCUCAUGAAAGCAAGUAGACGGUGGGUGAACAAAUUACUGUCGAGCAAUUGAUAGAACUGUGCAGAGUCGUGACGAUAUCUAUGCAAUGAUUAUUUCUAUUGGCAUCACGUCCAAAACAAGUAGACCGAUACUGUCUGCAUCUACUACUAUUACUCCACACGUCGACCGCUAUCUAGCAUGCAUCUAGUGUAUUAAGUCCAUAAGAACAGAGUAACGCCUUAAGCAAGAUGACAUGAUGUAGAGGGAUAAUCCUAAACCAAUGAUAAAAAUCCCAUCUUUUUACCCUUGAUGGCAACUGCUUGAUAUGUGCCUUGCUGCCCCUACUGUCACUGGGAAAGGUCACCACAUGGCGGAACCCAAAACCAAGCACUUCUCCCAUUGCAAGAAUCAUAGAUCUAGUUGGCCAAACAAAACCCAAGACUCGGAGAGACUUACAAGGAUAUCAAAUCANNNNNNNNNNNNNNNNNNNNNNNNNNNNNNNNNNNNNNNNNNNNNNNNNNNNNNNNNNNNNNNNNNNNNNNNNNNNNNNNNNNNNNNNNNNNNNNNNNNNNNNNNNNNNNNNNNNNNNNNNNNNNNNNNNNNNNNNNNNNNNNNNNNNNNNNNNNNNNNNNNNNNNNNNNNNNNNNNNNNNNNNNNNNNNNNNNNNNNNNNNNNNNNNNNNNNNNNNNNNNNNNNNNNNNNNNNNNNNNNNNNNNNNNNNAACGUUACCGAUGGAUUGAAGACGAGAGAGGGGGAUGCCUUCCCGGGGCAUCCCCAAGCUUAGGCUUUUACGGCAUCCUUGAAACUCUUGGGGUGCCUUGGGCAUCCCAAGCUUGAGCUCUUGCCACUCUUUAUCUUUUCAUCCAUAAGAACUUCACCCAAAACAUGAAAACUUCGCAACACGAAACUUAAACAGAAACUCGUGAUAACAUUAGUACAAGAAAGCAAACCACCACUUCCUUAGGUACUGUAGCAAACUUAAAUUCUACUUGUGCUGAUGUUGGGUUACUGUACUUUCAAUCUUCCAUGGCUAAUACCCCCCGAUACUAACCAUAGUUUCAUCAAAAUAAGGAACCUACACAACAAAAACAGAAUCUGUUAACAACAGACCAGUCUGUAGCAAUCUAUAUGUUUCGUAUACCUCUUGUACUUCAAAAAUUAUGAAACAUUACGACAGUCUGAAGAAUUUGUGUAGCAAUCAACAUAAAAAAUAAUCAACUCAAAAUCUCUUACAGAAAAAAAUGAAAAUUCUUUUCGUGAGCAGAAAGUUUCUGUCUUUUCCAACAUGACCAAACGAUCAUCCUCAAGACUAAUCAUAACGGUUUUGCUUGGCACAAACGCAAAAAGAAACACAAAAAACAAAAUCAUAACAAAAUUAUGAAAUUGUGGAAAACACAAAACAGAAAGAAAAAGGAUAGAUUCGUUGGGUUGCCUCCCAACAAGCGCUUUUGUUUAAUGCCCUUAGCUAGGCAUUCAAUGAUUCUCUCACAAAAGACAAGAAUUGAAGCACAAUGAGAGCAUCCUAAAGCAUGUGAAAAUCACAUCUAAGUCUAACAUACUUCCUAUGAAUAGGCAUUUUGUAGGAAAACAAAUUGUCAAGACAACCAAUAGUUUCCAAAUGCAAGGAAGAAGAAAGAGACAAUACUAAUCUCAACAUAACGAGAGGUAAUUGGGUAACAUGGGAGUUUCUAGCACAAUAUUGUCCUCUCUCAUAGCAAUUACAUGUGGGAUCAUAUUCAAAUUCAACAACAUAGCUAUCCCAUAGGAUAUUCUUUUCAUGAUCCACAUGCAUGCAAAGUUGACGCUCUUCAAAAAUAGUGGGAUUAUCAUCAAAUAAAGUCAUGACUUCUCCAAUCCCACUUUCAGUAUUGUUGCAAAUAUCAUAUUCAUCAUGAGGUUUGAACAAAUUUUCAAGAUCAUAAGAAAGAUCAUCACCCCAAUCAUGAUUAUUGCAACAAGUAGUGGACAAAGCAAAACUAGCAUCCCCAAGCUUAGGGUUUUGCAUAUUUUUAGCAUGAUUGUCACUAAUAGGAUUUAUAGUGAAACCAUUGCAAUCUUGCUUUUCAUCCAAGGAGCCCUUGUGAAUCACUUCAUGAAUUUCUUCCUCACAAUUUUCAGAUUCACGCAUCUUACGCAAAACUCCAAAGAAAUAGUCAAUUGCCCUCAACUCAAUAGCAAUUUGUUCCACACGAGUGCGUCUCAUAAAGAGACUAGCUAGUGGAUGAUGAUACAUAUCAAUGGAUUUUUAGCAAGCAAAGAUGCAAGGUAGAAGAAGGCACAUGGUAACACAAGAAAACAGAAAGCGAGCGGAAGAAGGGCGAAUGAAAACGACAAAUGUGAAGUGGGGGAGAGGAAAACGAGAGGCAACUGGCAACAAAAGUAAAUGCAAGAGAAGGGUUUGUGAGACCUACUUGGAUAGAUCUUGAUUUCUCCUCCCCGGCAACGGCGCCAGAAAUACUUCUGACAUUUGCUGUGUAUCCCUUGCAACGGAGCCAUGUAUACUUUUGCUACCUCAAAAAGAUCUCCGGCAACGGCGCCGGAAAUUGUUGUGUCGACGGCACCAGGAAUCCUUCAGCUACGGCUACGCCUUAAGGGACUUCCUAGGAAACUAUGCAAAGGAUUUCCCCCGUGGCCUUGGAGCUUUGCGUUGGUGUUCCCUCGAAGCGGAAAGGGUGAUGUAGCACAGCGAUGGUAAGUAUUUCCCUCAGUGGGAGAACCAAGGUAUCAAUCCGGCGGAAGAGUAUCUCAAGAUCCUGCACAAACACAAAAGCUUGCACCCAACGCUAUGAAGGGGUUGUCAAUCCCUUAUAGAUUGUUUGCCAAGUGAGAGCUGAAAGAAAAAAAGUAAUAAAGCAAAGUAAAAGCAGAGUUGUAAAUGAUGGAUGUGAAUAGACCCGGGGGCCGUAGUGUUUACUAGUGGCUUCUCUCAUGAAAGCAAGUGGACGGUGGGUGAACAAAUUACUGUCGAGCAAUUGAUAGAACUGUGCAGAGUCGUGACGAUAGCUAUGCAAUGAUUAUUUCUAUAGGCAUCACGUCCGAAACAAGUAGACCGAUACUGUCGGCAUCUACUACUAUUACUCCACACGUCGACCGCUAUCCAGCAUGCAUCUAGUGUAUUAAGUCCAUAAGAACAGAGUAACGCCUUAAACAAGAUGACAUGAUGUAGAGGGAUAAUCUCAAAGCAAUGAUAAAACUCCAUCUUUUUACCCUUGAUGGCAACUGCUUGAUGUGUGCCUUGCUGCCCCUACUGUCACUGGGAAAGGUCACCACAUGGCGGAACCCAAAACCAAGCACUUCUCCCAUUGCAAGAAUCACAGAUCUAGUUGGCCAAACAAAACCCAAGACUCGGAGAGACUUCCAAGGAUAUCAAAUCAUGCAUAUAAGAAAUCAGCAAAGACUCAAAUAUAUAUAUCAUAGAUAAUCUGAUCACAAGUCCACAAUUCAUCGGAUCUCGACAAACACACCGCCAAAGAAGAUUACAUCGGAUAGAUCUCCAUGAAGAUCAUGGAGAACUUUGUAUUGAAGAUCCAAGAGAGAGAAGAAGCCAUCUAGCUACUAACUACGGACCCGUAGGUCUGAAGUGAACUACUCACGAGUCAUUGGAGGGGCGAUGAUGAUGAUGAAGAAGCCCUCCACCUCCAAAGUCCCCUCCGGCAGGGUGCCGGGAAGGGUCUCCAGAUGAGAUCUCGCGGAAACGGAAGCUUGCAGCGACGAAAAAGUAUUUUUGAGUCUCCCUUGAUUUUUUCGGAAUAUUUGGGUAUAUAUAGGCGCAAGACCUAGGUCAGGAGGAGGCCAGGGAAGCCACAAGCUUUCCCACCGCCACCUCCCCCUGGUGGCGGGGUGGGAGCUUUUGGGCUCCAUGGGGCCCACCUGGCCUGGCCCGAAGGCUCCCUGGACUUCUUCCGUUCGGGAAAAAAUUAUUUCGGGGCUUUUCUUCCGUUUGGACUCCGUUCCGAAAUCAGAUCUGAAAAGAGUCAAAAACACGGAAAAAACAGGAACUGGCACUUGGCGCUGAAUUAAUAAGUUAGUCCCAAAAAAGAUAUAAAAAGGUACAUAAAACAUACAAAGAAGGCAAGAUAACAGCGUGAAACCAUCAAAAAUUAUAUAUAUGUUUGAGACGUAUCAAGCAUCCGCAAGCUUAACUCCUGCUCGUCCUCGAGUAGGGAAGUGAUAAGAAUGAAUUUUUGAUGUUUUCAUGCUACCUAGCAUAUGUGUCCUUUGUAAUUCCUCUUAUGUGAAGUGAAUGUUCAGAUCCAUUAGAUUCAAAACAAUAGUUUGCUAUUGACGUGGAAAGAAUAAUAAUUCAAGCAAACUAGCAAAGUAAUCAUGAACUUUCAAAAUAACAAGGACAAAAGAAAGUUAUCCCGACAAAAGCAUAUAGUCUGGCCAUGCUCUAUCAUCAUUGCACAACGAAUUUAAAUCAUGCACAACCCUGGUAUUGGCCAAGUAAUUGUUUCACACCUUUACUUUCUCAAACAUUUUCAACUCUCACGCAAUACAUCAGCGUGAGCCAUGGUUAUAGCACCAUAGAUGGUGUGGAAUGUGGUGGAGAUUGCAAGACAAAAGACGAGAAGAUAGUCACAUCAACUAGGCAUAUCAAUGAGCUGUGGAGAUGCUCAUCAAUAGAUAUCAAUGUGAAUGAGUAGGGAUUGCCAUACAAAUGAUGCACUAGAGCUACGAGUAUGUGAAAGCUCUUAAAGAAAACUAGUGGGUGUGCAUCCAACUUGCUUGCUCAUGAAGACCUAGGGUAAUUUUGAGGAAGCCUAUUAUUGGAAUAUACAAGCCAAGUUAUAUAAUGAGAAUUUCCCACUAGCUAUAUGCUGGUGACAAAAUGAGAGACUCUCAAUCAUGAAGAUCAUGGUGCUCAAAAUGCACAAGUGUGGAAAAAAAGUGGUAGCAUUGUCCCUUCUAUCUUUUUCUCUUUUUUUUAUUUUGGUGGGCUCUUUGGCCUCUUUUUUAUGGGCUUCUUUGGCCUCUUUUAUUUCCUCACAUGGGACAAUGCUCCAGUAAUGAUGAUCAUCACACUUUCAACUCAAAACUUAGAGCAAUUAUGACUCUAUAUGGAAUGCCUUCGGUAGUGUACCGUGGCAAUGAUCUAGCAUGGCAUAGACAUCAAUGGAAACAUCAUGCUAGCUAUCUUACGACCGUGCAAAGGCAAUGUAGACGUGGUGGCACAUAUCAUGGUGGUAGUUGCAUGCCAAUAUAUCUCAGAAUGACUUUGAAAAAGCCAUACUAGGUAGGUAUGGUGGCUGUUUCGAGGGAGGCUAAUGGUGGGUUUUGUGCACCGAAAGUUGCAGGGCACUAAGAAGAUAGUGAUGGUGGAAGGUGAAAGUGCAUCUAAACCAUGGACUCAACAUUAGUCAUGAAGAACUCAUAUACUUGUUGCAAAAGUUUUAUUAGUAAUCGAAACAAAGCAUUCAACGCAUGUUCCUAGGGGAAGGGUUGGUAGGUAUAAACCAUCGCGCGAUCCCGACCGCCACGCAAAGGAUGACAAUCAAUAGACUAAUCAUGCUCAGAUUUCAUCACAUAGCGGUUCACCAUCCGUGCAUGCUACGAGAAUCACUAACUUCAACACAAGUAUUUCUAGAUCCACAACACCUUACUAGCAUGAUUUCAAUAUUACCAUAACCACAACUCAAAACUAAUUGAGAUGAAUCAAACUUCUCUAAUUAUUCAAUGCACAUGAAGGAGGAAGUUUUGGUAUCCCUUUGGAUAACUACCCCUUUUGAGACUACUUUCAAAGCAUAGAUCAACUACCAAGCCACGCGCCGCUGCGCUCUAAAGAUAUAAGUGAAGCACAUAGAGCAAAAGUAUCUAGCUCAAAAGAUAUAAGUGAAGCACAUGUGAGCUGAAUUGUCUACCAAAAGAUAUAAGUGAAGCUCGACAAAAUCACGGUGUGUGCAUGUCUCUCUCUCUAGGUGUGCAGCAAGGAUGAUUGUGACACAACAAAAAUAAAAAUACUCCUACGAUACAAGACGCUCCAAGAAAAAACACAUACCAUGUGGUGAAUAAUAACGUUACCGAUGGANNNNNNNNNNNNNNNNNNNNNNNNNNNNNNNNNNNNNNNNNNNNNNNNNNNNNNNNNNNNNNNNNNNNNNNNNNNNNNNNNNNNNNNNNNNNNNNNNNNNNNNNNNNNNNNNNNNNNNNNNNNNNNNNNNNNNNNNNNNNNNNNNNNNNNNNNNNNNNNNNNNNNNNNNNNNNNNNNNNNNNNNNNNNNNNNNNNNNNNNNNNNNNNNNNNNNNNNNNNNNNNNNNNNNNNNNNNNNNNNNNNNNNNNNNNNNNNNNNNNNNNNNNNNNNNNNNNNNNNNNNNNNNNNNNNNNNNNNNNNNNNNNNNNNNNNNNNNNNNNNNNNNNNNNNNNNNNNNNNNNNNNNNNNNNNNNNNNNNNNNNNNNNNNNNNNNNNNNNNNNNNNNNNNNNNNNNNNNNNNNNNNNNNNAAAUUAUAGAUACGUUUGAGACGUAUCACCGCCCCUCCUCUUGGCCGCCGCCCCUUGCCCAUCUAGGGAUGCCGCAACACCUAGGGUGGAAACCCUAGGGGUGGGCACCCUCCUCCCUCUCCUCCUAUAUAAACCCAAGGGGUUUUGGGGGCUGCACGCACAAUUGCCUCUCUCCCUCGACGCAGCCCUGCUUCUCCUUGUCCUCGUCCUCCGUAGAGCAUGGCGAAGCCCUGCCAUAGUACCACGCAGGUCCACCGUCACCACGUUGUCCUGCUGCCGGAGCUCUCCCUCAACCUCUCCUCUCUCCUUGCUAGAUCAAGGCGUAGGAGACGUCACCGGGCUGCACGUGUGUUGAACACGGAGGCGCCGUUGUUUGGCGCUUAGAUCGGAAUCCACCACGAUCUAAAUCGCUUCGAGUAUGACUCCAUCAACCGUGUUCCAGUAACGCUUCCGCUUAGUGAUCUUCAAAGGUAUGAAGAUGCUCUACUCCUUUGCUCAUUGCUGGGUUCUCCUAGAUAGAUCGUUGUGAAGCGUAGGAUUUUUUUUGAAAUUACUAUGUUCCCCAACAUUGGCAUCCGAUGCAGGUUCUAUGCGUUGAUUCUAUGCACGAGUAGAACACAAAAGUUAUGGGCGAUGAUUUUGUCAAUUGCUUGCCGUUACUAGUCCUAUCUUGAUUCGGCAGCAUCAUGGGAUAAAGCGGCCCGAACUAUCUUUACACGUACUCUUACGUGAGACUGGUUCCACUGACCAACAUGCACUUGUUGCAUUAGGUGGCUAGCAGAUGUUUGUCUCUCCCACUUUAGUCGGAUCGGAUUAGAUGAAGAGGGUCCUUAUGAAGGGUAAAUAGCAUUGGCAUAUCAACAUUCUGGUUGUCACGUAGGUAAGAAGCGUUCUUGCUAGAAACCCUAAUCAGCCACGUAAAACUUGCAACAACAAUUAGAGGACGUCUAACUUGUUUUUGCAGGGUAUGCUAUGUGAUGUGAUAUGGCCAAAAGAUUGUGAUGUUACAUAUGUGAUGUAUGAGUUUGAUCAUGUUCGUGUAAUAGGAUUCACGACUUGCAUGUCGAUGAGUAUGACAACCGACAAGAGCCAUAGGGGUUAUCUUAAUUGAUUUUAGGAGAUGCAACGCCAUGUGAUUACUUUACUUUAUUGCUAACCGUUAGCUAUAGUAGUAAAAAUAAUAGUUGGCGAGACGACUUUCGCAAAGACACAAUGAUGGAUAUCAUGAUGAUGGAGAUCAUGGUGUCAUGUCGGUGAUAAUGAUGAUCAUGGUGCCCCGAAGAUGGAGAUCAAAGGAGCAAGAUGAUAUUGGCCAUAUUGUGUGACUAUAUGAUUGCAUGUGAUGUUUAUCAUGUUUUUCAUCUUAUUUCUUAGAAUGACGGUAGCAGAGAUACCAUGAUCCACAUCAAAAUUUCAAGAUAAGUAUUCCCCUAAGUAUGCACCAUUGCGAAGGAUCGUUGUCUCGAAGAACCACGUGAUGAUCGGGUGUGAUAGAUUCUAACGUUCGCAUACAACAGGUGUAAGCCAGAUUUACACACGCAAAACACUUAGGUUGACUCGAUGAGCCUAGCAUGUACAGACAUGGCCUUGGAAUACGGGAGACCGAAAGGACGAAUAUUAGUCGUAUGGAUGAUACGAUCAACAUGGAGAUGCUCACCAUCGAUGACUAGUCCGUCUCACGUGAUGACCGGACACGGGCUAGUCGAUGUGGAUCAUGUAUCACUUGGAUGAUGAGAGGGAUGUCUAUCUAAGUGGGAGUUCAUUGAAUAAUUUGAUUAGAUGAACUUAAUUAUCAUGAACUUAGUCUAAAAUUAUCUUUACAAAUAUUGCAGAUCCAAUUGCCAAUGCAAAUGUCCCAUUCAACUUCAAUGCGUUCCUAGAGAAAACCAAGUUGAAAGAUGAUGGGAGAAACUAUGCAGAUUGGGCUCGUGACUUAAAGCUCAUCCUCAUGGCUUCCAAGAAGGCAUAUGUCCUGGAUGCGCCGCUAGGUGACCCUCCCGUUCCCGCGGCAACCCAGGACGUUAGGAACGCCUGGCAGUCGUAGAGUCAUGACUACUCUCUGGUUUAGUGCGGCAUGCUUUAAAGUUUAGAACCGGGGCUCCAAAGGCGUUUUGAGCAACAUGGAGCAUAUGAGAUGUUCGAGGAGCUGAAAUUAGUUUUUGAAGCUCAUGCCCGGGUCGAGAGAUAUGAGGUCUCCGACAAGUUCUUUAGUUGUAAGAUGGAGGAAAAUAGUUUUUUCAGUGAGCACAUACUCAGAAUGUCUGGGUUGCACAACUGCUUGACUCAGCUGGGAGUUGAACUUCCGGAUGAUGCGGUCAUUGACAAAAUCCUCGAGUCGCUUCCAACUAGCUAUAAGGGUUUUGUGAUGAAUUACAACAUGCAAGGGAUGGAAAAGACCAUUCCCGAGUUGUAUUCAAUGCUGAAAUCUGCGGAGGUAGAAAUCAAGAAAGAACAUCAAGUGUUGAUGGUGAAUAAGACCACCAGUUUCAAGAAAGGAAAGGGUAACAAGAACUUCAAGAAAGACGGCAAAGUAGUUGCCGCGCCCGGUAAACCAGUUGCCGGGAAGAAGCCAAAGAAAGGACCCAAGCCUGAGACUGAGUGCUAUUACUGCAAGGGAACCGGUCACUGGAAGCAGAACUACCCCAAAUACUUAGCGGAUAAGAAGGCCGGCAACGUCAAAGGUAUAUAUGAUAUACAUGUUAUUUAUGUGUACCUUACCAGCGCUCGUAGUACCUCCUAGGUAUACCGGUGCUGUUGCUCCCAUUUGCAACUCAAAACAGGAACUGCAGAACAAGCGUAGGCUGGCAAAGGACAAGGUAAAGAUGUGCGUCAGGAAUGGUUCUAAGGUCGAUGUGAUCGCCGUCGACAUGCUACCUCUACAUCAACCUUCGGGAUUAGUUUUAAACCUUAAUAAUUGUUAUUUAGUACCAACUUUGAGCAUGAACAUUUUAUCGAGAUCUCGCUUGAUGCAAGAUGGCUACUCAUUUAAAUCUGAGAAUAAUGGUUGUUCUAUUUAUAUGAGUGGUAUGGUUUAUGGUCAUGCCCCGCUGGUCAAUGGUUUAUUCUUAAUGAAUCUCGAGCAUGAUGUUACACAUAUUCAUACUGUGAGUACCAUAAGAUGUAAGGUUGAUAAUGAUAGUCCCACAUACUUGUGGAACUUCCGCCUUGGUCAUAUCGGCGUCAAGCGCAUCAAGAAACUCCAUACGGAUGGACUUUUGGAGUCUCUUGAUUUUGAAUCAUUUGACACAUGCGAACCGUGCCUCAUAGGCAAGAUGACCAAGACUCCGUUCUCCCGAACAAUGGAGCGAGCAACCAACUUGUUGGAAAUAAUACAUACCGAUGUAUGCGGUCCAAUGGGUGUUGAGGCUCAUGGUGGCUAUUGUUAUGUUCUCACCCUCACUGGUGAUUUAAGCAGAUAUGGGUAUGUCUACUUAAUGAAACAAAAGUCUGAAAACUUUGAAAGGUUCAACGAAUUUCAGAGUGAGGUUGAGAAUCAACGUAACAAGAAAAUAAAGUUCCUACUAUCUGAUCGUGGAGGAGAAUAUCUGAGUCACGAGUUUGGCACGCACCUAAGGAAAUGUGGAAUUGUUUCACAACUCACGCCGCCUGGCACACCGCAGCGUAACGGUGUGUCUGAACGUUGUAAUCACACUUUAUUGGAUAUGGUGUGAUCUAUGAUGUCUCUUACUGAUCUACCGCUGUCAUUUUGGGGAUAUGCAUUGGAAACUGACGCAUUCAUUUUAAAUAGGGCACCGUCUAAAUCCAUUGAGGCGACACCGUAUGAAUUAUGGUUUGGCAAGAAACCUAAGCUGUCGUUUCUGAAUGUUUGGGGCUGUGAUGCUUAUGUGAAUAAACUUCAACCUGAGAAGCUGGAACCCAAAGCGGAAAAAUGCGUCAUCAUAGGAUACCCUAAGGAAACUAUUGGGUAUACCUUCUAUCUUAGAUCCGAAGGCAACAUCUUUGUUGCCAAGAAAGGAUCCUUUCUAGGGAAAGAGUUUCUCUCGAAAGAAGUAAGUGGGAGGAAUGUAGAACUUGAUGAGGUAAUCGUACCUCUUCUUGAACUGGAGAGUAGCACAACACAAGAAAAUGUUUCUGAGGUGCCUGCACCGGCAAGAUAAGUUAAUGAUGAUGAUCAUGAAACUUCGGAUCAAGUUUCUAUUGAACCUCGAAGGUCCACAAGGAAACAUUCCGCACCAGAGUGGUACCACAAUCCUGUCAUGGAAAUCAUGUUGUUUGACAACAGUGAACCUUCGAACUAUGAAGAAGCGAUGACCGUCCCGGAUUCCAACAAAUGGCUUGAAGCCAUGAAAUAUGAGAUAGGAUCCAUGUAUGAGAACAAAGUAUGGACUUUGGUGGCCUUACCAGAUGAUCGGCGAGCCAUAGAAAAUAAAUGGAUCUUUAAGAAGAAGACUGGCACGGAUGGUAAUGUGACCAUCUAUAAGGCUCGACUUGUCGCUAAGGGUUAUCGACAAGUUCAAGGGAUUGACUACAAGAGACCUUCUCACCCGUAGCGAUGCUAAAGUCGGUCCGAAUCAUGUUAGCAGUUGCCGCAUUUUUUGAUUAUGAAAUCUGGCAAAUGGACGUCAAAACGGCAUUCCUAAACGACUUUGUUAAGGAAGAAUUGUAUAUGAUAUAGCCAGAAGGUUUUGUCGAUCCUAAUAAUGCUGACAAGGUAUGCAAGCUCCAGCGCUCCAUAUAUGGGCUGGUGCAAGCAUCUCGGAGUUGGAACAUUCUCUUUGAUGAGGUGAUCAAAGCGGUACACACUUAUGGAGAAGCCUGUAUUUACAAGAAAGUGAGUGGGGGGUCUCUAGCAUUCCUCAUAUUAUAUGUGGAUGACAUAUUGUUGAUGGAAAAUGAUAUAGAACUUUUGGAAAGCAUAAAGGCCUAUUUGAAUAAGAGUUUUUCAAUGAAGGACCAUGGAGAAGCUACUUACAUAUUAGGCAUAAAGAUCUAUACAGAUAAACCGAGACACCUCAUAGGUCUUUCACAAAGCACAUACCUUGACAAGAUAUUGAAGAAGUUCAAUAUGGAUAAGGCUAAGAAGGGGUUCUUGCCUGUAUUACAAGGUGUGAGGUUGACUACGACUCAACGCCUGACCACCGCAGAAGAUAGAGAAAAGAUGAGUACCGUCCCCUAUGCUUUAGCCGUAGGAUCUAUUAUGUAUGCCAUGCUGUGUACCCGACCUGAUGUGAACCUUGCCAUAAGUUCGGUAGGGAGGUACCAAAGUGAUGCAGGAGUGGAUCACUGGACAACGGUCAAGAACAUCAUUAAGUACCUGAAAAGGACUAAAGAUAUGUUUCUCGUUUAUGGAGGUGCCGAAGAGCUCGCUGUAAAGGGUUACGUCGAUGCUAGCUUCGACACAGAUCCAGAUGACUACAAGUCACAAACCGGAUACGUGUAUAUUUUGAAUAAUGGGGCAGUUAGCUGGUGUAGUUGCAAGCAAAGCGUCAUGGCGGCAUCUACAUGUGAAGCGGAGUACAUAGAUGCUUUGGAAGUAGCACAGGAAGGAGUCUGGAUGAAGGAGUUCAUCACCGACCUAGGAGUAAUUCCUAGUAAGUCGGUCCCAAUGACUCUCUUUUGUGACAACACUGGUGCUAUUGCCAUUGCCAAGGAGCCUAGGUUUCACAAGAAGACCAAGCACAUCAAGCACCAUUUCAACUCCAUUCGUGGAUACAUCUAGGAUGGAGAUAUAGAUAUUUGUAAAGUACAUACAGAUCUAAAUGUCGCAGAUCCGUUGACUAAACCUCUUCCACGAGCGAAACAUGAUCAACACCAGAACUCUAUGGGCGUUCGAUUCAUCACAAUGUAACUAGAUUAUUGACUCUAGGGCUAGUGGGAGAUUGUUGGAAUAUUCCCUAGAGGAAAUAAUAAAGCGGUUAUUAUUAUAUUUCCUAGUUCAUGAUAAUUUUCUAUUAUUCAUGCUAUAAUUGUAUUAACCGGAAACCGUAAUACAUGUGUGAAUAUAUAGAUCACAAUGCGGCCCUAGUGAGCCUCUAGUUGGAUAGCUCGUUUAUCAAUAGAUGAUCAUGAUUUCCUGAUCAUGGACAUUGGAUGUCAUUGAUAACGGGAUCACAUCAUUAGGAGAAUGAUGUGAUGGACAAGACCCAAUCCUAAGCAUAGCACUAGAUCGUAUUGUUCGUCUGCUAAAGCUUUUCUAAUGACAAGUAUCAUUCCUUAAACCCUAAGAUUGUGGAACUCCCGGAUACCGUAGGAGUGCUUUGGGUGUAUCAAAUGUCAAAACGUAACUGGGUAAUUAUAAAGGUGCACUACAGGUAUCUCCAAAAGUGUUUGUUGGGUUGGUACAAAUCGAGACUUGGAUUUGUCACUCCGUGUGACGGAGAGGUAUCUCUGGGACCACUCGGUAAUCCAUCAUCAUAAUGAGCUCAAUGUGACUAAGGAGUUAGUCACGGGAUGAUGUGUUAUAGAACGAGUAGAGAGACUUGCCGGAAACGAGAAUGAACAAGGUAUAGGGAUACCGAUGAUCGGAUCUCGGGCAAGUAUCAUACCGGUAGACAAAGGGAAUUGCGUACGGGAUUGAUUGAAUCCCCGACAUUGUGGUUCAUCCGAUCAGAUCAUCGUGGAACAUGCGGGAGCCAACAUGGAUAUCCAGACCCCGUUGUUGGUUAUUCACCGGAGAGGAGUCUCAAUCAUGUCUGCAUGGUUCACGGACCCGUAGGGUCUACACUCCUAAGGUUCAAUGAUGCUAGGGUUGUAAUGGGAAUAGUAUGUGGUUACCUAAUGUUAUUUGGAGUCUAGGAUGAGAUCUCGGACAUCACGAGGAGUUGCAGAAUGGUCCAGAGGUAAAGAUUCACAUAUAGGAAGUGGAGUUUUUGAUCACCGGAAGAGUUUCGGAGAUCGCCGGAAACGUAUCGGGACCACCGAAAGGGUUCCGGGGGUUCACCGGGAAGGAGCACCAGCCCCAAAAGCCUACAUGGGCCAAGGGUGGAAGGGAACCAGCCCCUAGAUGGGAUGGUGCGCCUCCCACCUCAGCCGAAGGCGCACAAGAGGGGAAUGUGAGCUAACCCUAGGCGUGGGUGCUGCCUUGAGCGCCAAGCCCACCCUAGGGCGCCGCCCCUCCUCAUGGCCACCGCCCCUUGCCCAUCUAGGGCUACCGCACCACCUAGGGUGGAAACCCUAGGGGUGGGCACCCUCCUCCGUCUCCUCCUAUAUAAACCCAAGGGGUUUUCGGGGCUGCACACACAAUUGCCUCUCUCCCUCGGCGCAGCCCUACUUCUCCUCGUCCUCGUCCUCCGUAGAGCUUGGCGAAGCCCUGCCGGAGUACCACACAGCUCCACCGUCACCAUGCCGUCGUGCUGCCGGAGCUCUCCCUCAACCACUCAUCUCUCCUUGCUGGAUCAAGGCGUAGGAGACGUCACCGGGCUGCACGUGUGUUAAACGUGGAGGCGUCGUUGUUUGGCGCUUAGAUAGGAAUCCACCGCGAUAUGAAUCGCUUCGAGUAUGACUCCAUCAACCGCAUUCUAGUAACGCUCCCUCUUAGUGAUCUUCAAUGGUAUGAAGAUGCUCUACUCCUUUGCUCGUUGUUGGUUUCUCCUAGAUAGAUCCUUGUGAAGCAUAGGAAUUUUUUUGAAAUUACUAUGUUCCCCAACAUUUGAUGCUAAGGGAGCCAAGCCAGCUCUUCAGCUCCCAAAGCAAUCUCCAAAGGUUUCCCUGAUACCAAGGCUGGGGGCUUGUGAAGACGGAGGUCAUCCCGAGGCCACCAGUGCGUCAUGGCAGGAGGCUUUUGCACGCGAAUACUACUUUUGUCAAGAUAGGCUAAAGUCUUGUCCCCCCUCAAACUAGUCGUUGUGGCAACCCUUCCCGCCUUACGUUUUCGGAGGAAGAGGACCGAGGCUAGUAUAUGAUAGGGUAGGCUGGCUCCGUAGAGGGGGAGCGACCCAAAGGUAUCCAUUACUCACCUUUGUACUCCUUCCAAUAAUCAAGUAAUCCAAGAAAGCAUGAGUAGGGUUUUACAUCGCAAGGUGGCCUGGACCUGGGUAAACUGUCGUGACCGCAGUUCUUCUUCCUUAGCUCGAGCAUGUCGGAGUGUCGCCAUGAGGUUGCGAGGUAGAGUAGGGGAGGGGAACCAACGCACCCUAGAGUUCGAACCUCUUUGGGUCCCCGGAGCAUCGUUUCUGAGAGUGGCCUAAUGUCUACAAUGCAACUUUAUUCUUGUAGACGUUGUUGGUCCUCCAAUAGCUGAGUUUUGUAGGACGGUGUCAAAUUUCCCUCAAGUGGAUGGCCUAAGGUUUAUCAAUCCAUGGGAGGUGUAGGAUCAAGAUGGUAUCUCUCAAACAACCCUGCAAUCAAAUACAAGAAAUCUCUUGUGUCCCCCACACAACUAAUACAAUGGUAAAUUAUACAAGUGUACUAGUUUGGCAAAGAGAGCGUGAAACAAGUGUAGCAUGGAUAGAAGAUAUAGUUUUUUGUAAAUUAAAAAUAUAAAAUAGCAAGGUAGAAGCUAGAAAACAGCGAGCAAAACAUUGUAUAAAUUCUUGUAAAUAAGGCCUAGGGUUCAUACUUUCACUAGUGUAAUCUCUCAACAAAGCUAAGAUAGUUGAAUCAUAAGGUCAUCCCUUAAUGUGCAACAAAAAAUCACUCCAAAGUUCAUAAGUAGUGGAGAAGAUAAGAUGCAAUUGUUGUAGGUAGUAGAACCACCUCAAAGUUAUUCUUUCAGAUCAAUCUUUUGAGCUAUUCCUAUAAUUGUCCUAAACAGCCCUAGAGUUCAGACUAAAAUAACAUCAAUGUACAUAAAAAUUAACCCUAAGCUCCAAUGUCAUCUCAAGUAUCUGUGGGUAAAUUAUGCGACAUGCAUCAAACAAUUUUAGGUCUAUCAUACUCAAUCCAACACAAAGAACUUCAAGGGGCACUACGAGAUUUCUAUCGGAGAAAUUACUAUGAAAAUGUCGAAUCAACAAUUAUGCAUAGAUCCCCAAGGUCACCAGAAUCCGCAAGUUGAUACCAUAACAUAUAUCAAUUGAAUCACUAGAUUACCCCAUUGUCAUUACGUGUAUACGCAUGCAAGACAUACAUCAAGUGUUCUCAAAUCCAAUAUUCAAUCCAACACAACGAGAUCUCAAAGGGAAAGAUUAAACUCAUCACAACAAGGUAGCAAGGGAAUAACAUCAUAUGAUCCAACUACAUUAACAAGGCUUGUGAUAUAUCAAGAUCAUUCCAUCUCAAAACACGAGAAAGAGAGAGAGAGAGAGAUUGAACACAUAGCUACUGGUACAUACCCUCAGCCCAGAGGGUGAACUACUCCCUCCUUGUCAAGCCCUCUGCUAGGAUGAUGAAGAUGGCCAUGGGAGAUGAUUUCCCCCCACCGACUAGGUACUGGAAAGGCUCCAAAUGUGUGUUUCAUCGAUACAGAGAGUUGCAGCGGUGGAGUGGAAGUUCUCUCUUAUUUCUGAGGGUUUAUGUAUAGAUAGUAAUUUUUGGCAUUGAAACACGCUAAACGAAGACACGUGUGCUUACAUAUCCAAGUAUUUUCCGCCGGCUAAGAUUAUUUCACUUCGUAAUGAUAUCAUGAAUUUUAAGCAACUUGAUCAUGAACAUGUUGCACAAUCCUGGGAGAGAAUGAAAUUAAUGAUUAGAAAUUGUCCCGCUCAUGGCUUGAGUCUUUGGAUGAUUACAAAAAUCUUCUACGCUGGCUUGAAUUUCGCUUCUAGAAAUAUCUUGGACUCCGCCUCUGGUGGUCGUGCCCUUUUGGAUUGUGGCCCAUAGGUGGCCCCCUCCGGUGGUUCUUCACUCCAAUAUUGCUCAUAUGUUCCAGAAAAAAUCAUCAAAAAUUUUCGGGCUAUUCCAAGAACUUCCAUUUUGUGCAUAAAAAUCUACACCAUGGUAGUUCUGCUAAAAAGAACGUCAGUCCGGGUUAGUUCUAAAUAAAUCAUGAGAAGUGCAUCAGAACCAUAUAAAAGUUUUGUAAACAGAGGCAAUGAUGGCAUGAAUACUUCAUAAAUUAUCUAUAUGCUGGAGACGUAUCAACAUCCCCAACCUUAAUUCCUACUCGUCCUCGAGUAGGUAAAUGAUAAAAGAAAUAAUUUAUGAAGUGUGAAUGCUAGCAUAGUGGACAUUUUUUAUCAUUGAUAAUUUCAGUCAUUUUUUCUAGCAUCAUAACCAACAAGUUUUUCAUAAAAAUCAUCACGGUCGACUAGGAAUCAAUUCACAUGUCAUGGUUCAAACAAUGCAUUCUCUUGAAACUUAACAACCCAUGUUUCUUAGUCAUCAAACUAUUUGAAUGCAUCAUCAAGUCUAAGUAAGAGCUCCACAUACUCAAUUAUCAUAUAGUCUUCUAUGAUUGCUAAUACUCAAGGCAUAUUUUUGGAACAAACAAAAUCCAUCACACACAAAGAAAGGUAGGGGCUUAAAGUUUCGCCUCGCAACAUACUUAUGAUAAAGAUAAUUUUCAACGAUAAUGAAUGAUGAUUAAAUAUAUUUGACUUGACAUAUAUGUUUGGAUCUUUCCUCACCACAUGAUGCUUGGAAACUAGUAGAUUGAUCUUGGAAUAAGAAGUUGACUCAACAUGGUUGGUAAAUAACAUGAAAGUAAAUAGAUUGUCCCUUCACAGAGGGAAGGAAGGAUAUGCAUAGGUGCUAGAGCUGAUUAUUUAAAAGAGAGAUGAAUAUGUAAUUUUGGGUGGUGUGCCUUUACUGUCAACGUCACAAUAGAGUUUUCAAUAUCUUCCAUGAUAAUAACAUUAUUGGCGGUUCCCGUCCACCAUUCAAUCAUGUUCCAUGGCUAGCCGGAUCGAUAGGUGUUCUCCAAACAAACAACUUUCUAGGGGGGUUCUUGUUUAUUUACUUUUUUUGUUAUGCAGGACUGGGAAUCCUUUUUACCAACCUCUCUCGUGCAAUGACAAGUGAAUAAACACUCACCUUGAGAAUAACCCGCUUAGCAGGUAAGAUAAUUAUUGCCACGUCGCUCCAUGCAUGAGCGGUAUGAGCACACAAAAUGGAUGUUCAUUUGAAGGUUUUAGAGGUGGCACAUGAAAAUUUAUUGGAAUGGUAGUGAAAUACCAUAUAUAGGUAGGUAUGGUGNNNNNNNNNNNNNNNNNNNNNNNNNNNNNNNNNNNNNNNNNNNNNNNNNNNNNNNNNNNNNNNNNNNNNNNNNNNNNNNNNNNNNNNNNNNNNNNNNNNNNNNNNNNNNNNNNNNNNNNNNNNNNNNNNNNNNNNNNNNNNNNNNNNNNNNNNNNNNNNNNNNNNNNNNNNNNNNNNNNNNNNNNNNNNNNNNNNNNNNNNNNNNNNNNNNNNNNNNNNNNNNNNNNNNNNNNNNNNNNNNNNNNNNNNNNNNNNNNNNNNNNNNNNNNNNNNNNNNNNNNNNNNNNNNNNNNNNNNNNNNNNNNNNNNNNNNNNNNNNNNNNNNNNNNNNNNNNNNNNNNNNNNNNNNNNNNNNNNNNNNNNNNNNNNNNNNNNNNNNNNNNNNNNNNNNNNNNNNNNNNNNNNNNNNNNNNNNNNNCACAAGUAGUAUCUCUACUAAGUACGAACUUUUGGCUAGCAAAAGGUUCUAAACAAGCACCACAUGUUGGAUGAUCCAUAACAAUAUAACUUCUAUGCAAAUAUAGCCAAACAUAACCAUUAAAAUAUCUUCCUUGUCCAAUUUCAACUAUUUGAUCAAGUUUGAAUAUAACUAAUGGCAUUCACAAUCAUAAAAUAUGUCCAAGAUAAUAUAUUUGUAUAUGCAAAAUCUAUUUCUUAUACUAAUCAUUUAUGAAUUGCUUGUAUGACUAAUAUUGUUAUUGUCAAACUUUAAUAUAUUUUACUUUCUAAACCAAAUGUGAUACUACUGCUUAGAAUAUAUCACAUUGAUAAUUUCACAUUUAGGACAUUCCUUUAUUCACAAUUUACUCUUAGGAUAUAAAUGAAUCACAAGAGUAAACAUCAAACUACUCUCAAAAAGAUAUAAGUGAANNNNNNNNNNNNNNNNNNNNNNNNNNNNNNNNNNNNNNNNNNNNNNNNNNNNNNNNNNNNNNNNNNNNNNNNNNNNNNNNNNNNNNNNNNNNNNNNNNNNNNNNNNNNNNNNNNNNNNNNNNNNNNNNNNNNNNNNNNNNNNNNNNNNNNNNNNNNNNNNNNNNNNNNNNNNNNNNNNNNNNNNNNNNNNNNNNNNNNNNNNNNNNNNNNNNNNNNNNNNNNNNNNNNNNNNNNNNNNNNNNNNNNNNNNNNNNNNNNNNNNNNNNNNNNNNNNNNNNNNNNNNNNNNNNNNNNNNNNNNNNNNNNNNNNNNNNNNNNNNNNNNNNNNNNNNNNNNNNNNNNNNNNNNNNNNNNNNNNNNNNNNNNNNNNNNNNNAAAGAUAUAAGUGAAGAACAAUGAGUAGUCAAACAAUUAAGUAGCUAUGUGAGGACUAUCUCUCAACAAAGAUUUUUCAGAUGUGAGAAUUUUAUUCAAACAACAAAAUAAUAAAAAAAUGCACUCCAAGAAUAGCACAUAUCAUGCGAACAAAUAAAAACAUAGGAUCAACAUAGGCUAAACAGUAUUUGUUGACGAAGAGAGGUGUGAUGCGUAGCAUCCCCAAACUUAGAUGAUUGAGACUUCUUGAAAGAUUUACUUGGGGUGCCUUGGNNNNNNNNNNNNNNNNNNNNNNNNNNNNNNNNNNNNNNNNNNNNNNNNNNNNNNNNNNNNNNNNNNNNNNNNNNNNNNNNNNNNNNNNNNNNNNNNNNNNNNNNNNNNNNNNNNNNNNNNNNNNNNNNNNNNNNNNNNNNNNNNNNNNNNNNNNNNNNNNNNNNNNNNNNNNNNNNNNNNNNNNNNNNNNNNNNNNNNNNNNNNNNNNNNNNNNNNNNNNNNNNNNNNNNNNNNNNNNNNNNNNNNNNNNNNNNNNNNNNNNNNNNNNNNNNNNNNNNNNNNNNNNNNNNNNNNNNNNNNNNNNNNNNNNNNNNNNNNNNNNNNNNNNNNNNNNNNNNNNNNNNNNNNNNNNNNNNNNNNNNCUUGGGGUGCCUUGGGUUUCCCCAAGCUUGAGUUGUUGUAUGUCUUUCAAUCCUAUCGUAUCCCGGUUUCAUCUAAGUCUCAAAAACUACAUCCACGCUGAAAGGACGUGGAUGUCACCUAGAGGGGGGGGGGGNNNNNNNNNNNNNNNNNNNNNNNNNNNNNNNNNNNNNNNNNNNNNNNNNNNNNNNNNNNNNNNNNNNNNNNNNNNNNNNNNNNNNNNNNNNNNNNNNNNNNNNNNNNNNNNNNNNNNNNNNNNNNNNNNNNNNNNNNNNNNNNNNNNNNNNNNNNNNNNNNNNNNNNNNNNNNNNNNNNNNNNNNNNNNNNNNNNNNNNNNNNNNNNNNNNNNNNNNNNNNNNNNNNNNNNNNNNNNNNNNNNNNNNNNNNNNNNNNNNNNNNNNNNNNNNNNNNNNNNNNNNNNNNNNNNNNNNNNNNNNNNNNNNNNNNNNNNNNNNNNNNNNNNNNNNNNNNNNNNNNNNNNNNNNNNNNNNNNNNNNNNNGGGGGGGGGGGUGAAUAGGCGCUUUAAAAUAAUUAUAGUUUGGGCUGGAACAAAUGCGGAAUAAAACUAACGUUUAAUUUGUCAAGCAAAAAAUCUAAAACAACUAGGCUCACCUAUGUGCACCAACAACUUAUGCUAAGAAAGAUAAACAACUAAGUGAAAGCAAGAUAUACAACAAGAAACAAUAUGGCUAUCACAAAGUAAAGUGCAUAAGAAAUGAGCUCGGGUGAGAGAUAACCAAGGCACACGGAUACAAUGAUGUAUCCCAAAGUUCACACCCUUGCGGAUGCUAAUAUCCGUUUGGAGCGGUGUUGUCACGCCCAAGAUGCGACCCUAUCCUCAAUUUGGCACGAGAGCCUCGUCAGGGAUAGAAGCGCAUCUCGUCGUGUCGCAAGAAUGGAUAUCGUUACAAGUACAUGUACUGAAAAGAAGAGAUAUAUAAAGAGAGUUGGCUUACACUCGCCAAAAGCUACAUUAGAGUCACAUCAGUACAUUACCUCAUCAUCAAGAGUAAGAGCAGGGUCCGACUAUGGACGAAAACAAACGAGAAAAAUAAGAACGACGUCCAUCCUUGCUAUCCCAGGCUGCCGGCUUGGAACCCAUCCUAGAUCGAUGAAGAAGAAGAAGAAGAAGCAACUCCAAAUGAACAAUCAACAUGCUCGCGUCAAGUAACCUUUACCUGUACCUGCAACUGGUGUUGUAGUAAUCUGUGAGCCACAGGGGACUCAGCAAUCUCAUUUCCAAAGGUAUCAAGACUAGCAAAGCUUAAUGGGUGAGGCAAGGUUGAGUGGUGAGGUUGCAGCAGCGACUAAGCAUAUAUUUGGUGGCUAACUUACGAAUACCAGAAAUAAGAGGGGGGAGAUCUACGCAUAACGGACGUGAACUACUGAUGAUCAAAUGAAUGAUCCUAAACACCUACCUACGUCAGACAUAACCCCACCGUGUCCUCGAUCGGAGAAGGAAGUCACGAAAGAGACAGUCACGGUUACGCACACAGUUGGCAAGUUUUAAUUAAGUUAACUGAAAGUUAUCUAGAACCAGUGUUAAACAAAGUUUCCACGUUGCCACAUAACCGCGGGCACGGCUUUCCGAAAAGAUUUAACCCUGCAGGGGUGCUCCAACUAGUCCAUCACAAAUUACCACGAGCCGCAUAGAAAUCCUCAAUCACGAAGCUCGCGAUCUCGUCGGAUUCCCUAGUGGAAAACCUCAACUCUGAGAUUACCCAAAGCAUCACCGGAAUCCCGAUGCACAAGAUAUCUCGUCAAAGGUAAAACUAAUCCAGCAAGGCCGCCCGACGUGUCGACGAUCCCGAUAGGAGUCGCGUACCUCGUUCUCAGGACACGGCAGAUGAGCUAGACGUCGGGAUCGCUAAACCUCCGGGUGACCAGAGGGGCACCGGACAUCGCUCAGGUGGGGCCAACACUCAUGAGGAGCACUGGCCCGGGGGUUGAUUAAAUUAUCCUUGGGGUCCGGAAAGUCCCUAUGCAAUUUUAUUAGGUGUUUAGGCAAAUGUAGUACCAAAGUUGGGCCUUGCCAGACCAGGUUUAAUCUGAAAUGAAUUAUCAAGGGGGUCCCCAUAACAACCCCGAUCGUGUUAGGAGCGCUCAUUUAUGGAACAUAACACCGGUAGUCGGAAACUAAGGGGGCCAAGGUGGAACAGAACACCAGGCUAGAAAGGCCGAGCCUUCCACCUUUUACCAAGUAUAUAGGUGCAUUAAAUUAAAUAGCAUUUAGUAGGGUGAUAUAACAAGGAACCCAUGUUUUCACAUGGAAGCAUCUGCACCUGCAACUAGCAACACUAUCAACAGGGUUAAGCAAGCAGUAACUUAGCCAAUCAGUGGUUUGCUAGGUUGAACAGGUUGAAGGGUUCAUGGCAUUGUUGAGAGGCUGAAAUUUAACAUGUGGUGGGCAAUGAGACAUAAUCGAUAGAAGCGAUAAAACUAGCAUGGCAAUGAUAGUAAUGGUAUCUGGGGAAAUGGUCAUCUUGCCUGAGAUCCCGCUUGGAAGAAGAAUGCCUCCAUGAAGCAGACGAACCGACGUAGUCGAACGGGUCCUCACAAUCCGGCACGCUGCGGAACUCUAUCGAGACGAAGCAAACCGGAAACACAAAUCAACACACGGAAUUCACCACACGAUGCACAACACAUAUGAUGCAUGAGAAGUUGAAUGCAUGCAAGUCACGACAUGACAAUUCACACAAUCAAACACUACACAUUAAGUGAAGUUCAAUAUGCAACGAGUUGCAUACUGACGAAACUCCACAUGUGAAUUAUUUAGUUCACUCCCGGUUAUCUACGUGGCAAUAUUAAUGUUGUCAAACAUGCAAGAGGUGAAUAGGAAAUUAAGCUAGCUAUCUAGACAUUUUAAGUGAGGUCGGAAAUGACAUAUAGCAUCUCCGAGAUGACCUCACAUGUUAAUUUACAAUUCUGUCCAGAUCUGAACUAACACAUUUAAUUGGUUGUUAAACAGCAAAAGAAAUAGGUUCACGUGAUUCUACGCGUCAUUUCAAGAAAUCUACACAUAAAGAACAUCUCCAACGGAGCUACGGUUCAAGAGAUACAAGCACCGCAAGAUAUGAUGGCAUGAAUGCAAUAUGUGUGCAACGACGGCUACAAGCACUUCAAAUCAUACAACCAGCAAGAGAAAAUGAAACUACACGAGAUUCUAAGCAAGUUUCAUGUAGGGCACGAUCAAAACGGAGCUACGGUUCAAAAACUACGAGCAAAACAAGAAAUGACUACAAUCUGCCAAAAUCAGCCACAUAGCAUUUUCUACGCCUCACAACUUCGGCUACACAACUCCGAUAAGCUCAAGCAAGUCAUGGCACGGAACAGGGCAAGAAGCACUACUACAAACAACUAACAACAACUAGCAUGGUAGCAAGGAGCACUAGGAAAAGAAGACACAAAAUGGCAUCUCACACACUAUUUCAGACUUAGUGAAAAUUACACCUCAUGAAAGUGCAGUUUUCGAUCUGAAGCUAUAUUGACAACAGAAAAACCUAUAUCUACAUGACUCCAAAUGGCAUGAAAAUUUACAGCAUUCUAGAAAAACACAAGGGGUACAACUAACUCCAUUGGACCAACCUCAAAGGAGCUACAGAUCACAAGAUGCAAGCAAGACAAGACAGCAACAAAAUAUAACAGAUUCCAGACUUAGAAAUAUUUCAGCUCCUCCAAAUCAGCACUAUUUCUAGCAACUUGAGGGCAAUCAAAACACACCUAAACAUGCAUUUCUAUUGCAACUAAAAAUACCAGGGGCUAGUCUAAACACCUAAGAAGAACUCCCUAGUUGACAACUAAUUCUAACGAGGCACGGAAUAAAUCCUACGAAUUAAACAAAAGGGCAACAUAGCAAAAUAUCUCGCAAACUAACUUAUUCAAAAGCUAAAACAAAUUGCUCAUAAAAAUCCCGUGGAUUUUUCUACCCCGAAAACAUAUAUAAUUAUGUGGGGUUGCACAACAAAAUAAAGCCACACAUUAAUGCGGGAAAAUAACUUAUAUACGGGAAAAUAAUAUAGCGGCAAUCCCUACACGCAAAAAAUACGAGUGACCGCUCUAAAAUACACGGAAAAAUAGUUCCUAAAACGUAGGCAUUUAAUCUAAGGCAUACGGGCUAUCCGGACACGCACGAAAAUUAAACACGGGCAAUAUACUAUUGAGACAGCAUAUAAAUCUAGGCAAACGACACGUCAAACAACUCAAAUAAAUAUGCAAGUUGUGAAAUCGUGUUCUUCUCGCGAAGCUACCCCAAAACCAUAUAAAAUACGCCUCGUUCCGACUUACGGAUAAAAAGUUACGGGCAUUACAAUAUUCGUCUAUUUCCUGAAAUUAAAUAAAUCCGAAAACUAAAAAAUAUCUACCGGGCCUAAUUCUACUGCAGAUGGGCCUACAGUACACGGGCGCGGGAUAGUUAAAUCAUGCUCGGGGCACAACAUAGGCAGGCCAGGGGAAUCUAACCUUCGGGCCUUGGCUUGGCUGGAGGUGGGCCGUGGGCGGCCUGGCGGUUGGGCCGACGCAGGGGAGAGGUGGCCGACCCGGUCUUGGGACGGCCUGGCCGAGGCGAGGGGAAACCGGCGCUGGUCACUCGGGGGCCCCGGCUGGGCCUUGGGCCUCGCGGGCUGUGGGGAGGGCGCGGCCCAAGCGAGGCGAGCUCCCGUUCAUGCGGGGCGGCUACUGCGCUCCCGAUCCCGUCUGGAUCGAGGAGGCAGACCGGCGGUGCGCAGGGUGGCGAGGCUGGAGGGAGGAUAGAGGUUGGCUCGGGUUUCAGGGGUAGGCAUGGAUUUCGAGGUAGGAGAGAGGGGGCUGCCUAAAUUAAGCACGGGGCCUAUAUAUAGACAAACGAGGGGGCUAGGUUACCCGAAAUCGCGUUCCGGAUCCAACCGUGCAGUCGAAUUCGGACGAUUCCGCACGUGGGAAUGGGUACGUGGCCGUGUAGGGUGGUUUACCGGAGACGAGAGGGAGAAUGGGCGGCGGGGCAACGAAUUUUAAAAAACACCGACAAACGUCCGACGGUAGACCGAAUACGGUGCCGCUACGGUCGACCGUUUGGGUACCAGACGAACUCCGAUCGUGACGAAAUUCGACAGGCGGCCUGGCCAUAUUAAAAUAAGACCGCACGUCAAAUCUCAACCCGAUCAGAGAAAGUUUUACGCACACUUUAAAAAUAGGGUUACGACGGAGCCGCGGACCGCGUGCGAGUGUGGUCGGGCUUAGAACGGACAACGACGAGAACCGGCAACUAUUAACGGAUGCAAGUUUGAAAACUGGCGGCAACGGAGAUACCGAUGCAAUGCUGAUGAUGCGCAUGAUGUGAUGAUGUUGAGACAAAAGAAAAUAGACACACGAUGAAAACGGAAAGAAAAGGGGAAUCUUAUGGAUCGUCGACAUUGGGCUGUCACAGGUGUGGAGGCGCAAUGCUCCCCAAUAUGCCACUAAGGCCACCGUAAUCUCGUCACGCCCUCGCACGAUGCAAUAUACCGUGAUUCCACCAAGGGACCCUUGAGGGCGGUCACCGAACCCAUACAAACAAGGUUGGGGCAAUCCCCACAACAUAAUUGGAGGAUCCCAACAACACCAUGAAGCUUCACCACAAUGGCAUAUGGCUUCGAGGUGACCACAAAUGCUCGGGGCAAUCUCCUCAACUUAAUUGGAGACCCCGGCGUUUGCCCCGAUCUUUACACCACAAUGAUUGAGCUCCGAGGCACCACCAAGCUUCUAGGACGCCAAAGCAUCCACGAAGAACAAUCUCUAGGGUACAAAGUACCAAAGGGUAAUAAGAUUAUGAAAAUUCACUUCUACGUAUCACUGUGCAGAACUCAAACCUAUACACCAAAUGCAAUGGCAAGGGCACACGGAGUACCCAAGUCCUUCACUCCCAAAUCCCACCACAACAACUAAAGCUAUGGUGGAAAAUGAUAGGAAGAACAAAGAAGAACACGAAGAACUCCAAGAACUAGAUCCAAGGGGUUCCUGUCACUUAGAGGAGAAAGUGAUUUGUGGAAAUGUGGAUCUAGAUCUCCUCCCUCUUUUACCUCAAAAAGGAGCAAGAAUCAUUGGAGGGAUUGAGAGUUAGCAAGCUCGAAGAAGGUAAACAAUGGGGGAAGGACACGUGCUCAACAGAAAUAUACCCAUUGGGGAAGAAGACCCCUUAAUAUAGUGGGGGAAACAAUCCAUCCGUUGCCCCCACUUUCAGCUCUAGCAUAGUUGUACUACCGCUGCUCGGUGCGGUACUACUGCUGCCCGGUGCGGUACUACCACACGCACGGUAGUGGUAGAGGGAGGAACUACUGCAUGGGGCAACGAGCGGCAGAACCGCCGGAGCGGUACUACCGCAUGCCCUUAUGAUACUACCGCAAGGUAGUAUCCAACUGCCACACGAGGUACACAAAAGUAAAAAAAUUACUUUCGUGUAUACCUCCGCUAAGGCUACAGUUGUGCAAAAAUACGGCACGGUAGUACCAGUCCCAUUUUUUCGGUACUACCUCCUGAGGCCGGUAGUAAAAAGCUAUGUCCUCUCUUACACAUCGGAAGUACCGCCCAAGCGGUAUUACCGUGGUACCGAGUGGUACUACCGCGUGUUUAGAGAAAAAUAGCUCUGGAACUGAAACUACCAUAACAUUCGCAUAUGAGCUACAAAUCGAGCAAACUCAAGCUUAUUGGAUUCAAGACGAUAAGAGCUAUCCAAACAGAAGUUAUGAAAAAUUCCAAUGAUAUAGAGAUGUGGUACCUCUAUGAAUGAAGAACCGGCAAGAACUUCCAACAUCCAAAACAUCAUAGAAGAUGCAUAUGGACUCGAUUUUUUAUGAACUCGAGCUUGUCAUGAAGAUGACCAUAAGCUCUAAAACUCACAAAGAGAAACACCAAACAAGAACCAAGAAAUAUGAUGCAAGGAUGAAAAUGGUUUGAGCUCUCAAUGAACGAUACGAUCAAGCUACUCACUUGAGAACCCCCUUGACAGAACGACAAUCUAUCCUAAAAUAGAAAAACCUAUCAAGGGCAACCUAUACCUUGCACCGAGUCCUCUUGAGAUAGAUAAUGAUGAUCUUGGCUUCCUCAAGAUGAACCACCUUUCUUGAUUGUGUUGGUUUGAUGAAGACUAAUUGAUUGCUCCCCCGUACUCACUAUGGGUGAGCCACUCUCCAGCACAUCUUCACAAAUCCAUUGGCACCACAAUGGACGACAAGCUUCAAGCAAGAUAUCUUCGUGAUGCUCCACUUGAGCUUGCACACCACAAUCUUGAUGACGAUCACCACUUGAAGUCAUCCUCCAUGGGUUGUAUGAGAUCUUCCUCUUGACGCAAGCCCAUGGAAACACAACUAACCCCACAUAGAACUCAUAACAAGACUGUGGGUUAGUACACAAAAGUGUAAUGGACAAUGCUUGCCAUACCAUGGGAUUACUUGAUCCCUCUUAGUACAUCUUGUACGCUUUAUGUGCCGAUCGACUUGGUUUACUCUUUGUCUUUGCCUUGAUAAACUUUGUGUCUUUAUGACCAAUCUUUGGAUAAUACUUUCAAUACCACGUUGGUCAUCAUAUAAACUCCUUGAAACCAACAAAUGUACUUCAAGAAGUGCCUAUGGACAAAUCCUUCGAAUAUAACUCAAUGCAACCAUUAGUCCAUAGGGAUUGUCAUCAAUUACCAAAACCACAUACGGAGAACUAUGUUCUAACACAUGAAAAACCUGAGAAGAAAUCGUGAGAUAGGUUAGUACACAUGAGAAUAAAUCAACACUUCAUGUACUGCCAAGACAACUUCAUAAUAACUUUCAAACAUCAUGCACUUUAUACUAUCAUUUCCAUAAUUUAUAUCUACCAAUAUAAGCCAUGAAAACUCUAAGAUAAGUACGCCUUCUGUCCCAAAAUAAUUGUCUUAACUUUGUAAUAGCUCUAGUACUAAAUUGUACUAAGCUUGAGAAACUAAUUUUGGUACGGAGGGAGCAAAGAACAAAACUAUGUCAGAAAUCUGUCCAAAGAAAGCAGUCUGUAUCAAUUAAUUAAAAUAGUGUAUUUAUCUAACUCCAAAAAAUCUAAAACUUUAGGGAACGAUAAAUAAUUUGUAUGAAAGUACUGCAAUUUUUUCAUAAACUUUCCAUGUUUCAGUAAAAUAUAAUAAUUCAAAUACAACAACAAAAGUUUGUGUUUUUUGUACAACAAAUCUCACAUAUGCAAUUCAAGCAUUCUAAAGGCAAUUCUUGGAACUUUUUAUUGAAAAAUAAGAUUAGAAAUAAUAUAUAACAAGAUACGACAAAAUAAAAUGACGCUCCAAGUAAAACACAUACCACGUGGUCGAAGUAAGAUAUACCGAUAAAAAGAUAGCUCCAAGUAAGAUAUACCGAUAAUGGAGACCGCUAAAAAAAGAUUGAACAUGUGGUUCCGAGUUUCGAUAACUUCUUCUACUUUCAUUUCCUCCGCCUUCCAAAUCGCAGAGUUAAUUCAAAAGCCUAGGUGUUAUUACUGAGCUGCUGCUCUUUUUUCUCUAAUUCCCUUCUCAGAUCCUCCGACUACUCCUCCUUAUCCUACUCACUCGAAGUUUCGUUGGUCAUUUAUUGUUUUUUUAGCCUCUUUGACAAAGUUAGUAAGAAGAAAAACCUCGAUCUUUACUUCACACAAUCUCGAUUUGAAUUAUCAUUUGGUGAACCGGGCAUCUCGGACAAAGACAAUAACAAGAAGAGAUGGGAAGACCCUUCGCGGUCCUGCUCCCUGGUCUCUACCUUGCUUACCGCCCCUCGUAGGGGCCAGCGUACCCAUACCGAAAACGAUUUACUCUUUUUAUGGGCGCUUUCGACUAGGCUCUCGUUAAGGAAUCAGCCCAAACAAGAUCGAGAUUCCCGCGAGAAUUGCUACGCUGCCUGCAGUGAAAUUGCAAGAAUCACUUUAUACGCUAUUUCGAAAUCGAAUGAAUUGAGCAACUGUAUUUCCCCAGGUUUCCAUUGGAAAAGGGGUUUUUUUUGUAUGCAAGUGAUGAUCGAUUGGCGGAGAAGCCGCUCCCGUGUGGGGUGGCCGUGAGAAUGAUUCCGAGUCUUCCUGACCAGACCCAUGUGGAACUUGUAAAUAAAUAGGUUUGUAAGUGCCUAGCUGAGUAAUAAGAUAAGUACCUUUGCUAAUAAUCCAAAACCUUUCAUCUUCUCUUUCUAGAUAUAGCAGCCUACCCAUAUUGAUAGUGGAAUUAUUGAUCUCCUCUUUCGGAUAGCCCAUUUUGAAUAAGUGUUAUGGGUAAGGGCUUGACCUACCAGUUGAAUGGAAUCUACCGUUCUUUAUGCUCUCGCUAGCUUUGAACUUGUUUGUACCAGUAAUCAAACCCAGAAUCUCAUUUCCCAUUGCUUUCAUCGCAUAGAGCCAGAUGCCGCAUCCACAGGCCUAUUUAGUAAGUGGGGGUGUAUCCUUGGUGACACUUGAGAAAUAAUCCUAUACUUCCAAUAACCCACUACUUCCUCCACGGAUGGUACAUGGCAGGCAUCUGCCGGAACUAGAGGCGAGCACUUUUCAAUCAAUUACGAGAGGCAUUCUCUUCUCUGAUCUUUAAUAAGCGAAGCAACGAGCCUAGUAGGGGAAAUACCUUCCUCAGGAAUGUCAUCAAAGCCAGGUUCUCCAAUCGUAAAAGGGAAUAUUCCAUGGAACAAGGGUUGUUUUUAGGUGCUGUCCUCGGCAGACCACCACAAAAGGUCCGAAUCAGGCGAAACUUCUUUUGGUGCCAGCGAGAAGUAGUAACAAGAACUCCUCCUCUGUUCAAUAUCAGCCUGGUUUAGGUCUAGGUCAUAAUGAAUUUUCUGAUACCUUCCUUCGUCCAUAGAUCAGCGUUAUGCUUCUGUCCCGUGAUGAAGAAGGAUAGAAGAAUGGUAAGAUAGGAUCGUAUUAGUGAGCCGUGGGAAAAGAGUUUUUUCGUACCUUGAUUGGACCCACCCAAAAGCAACAGGAAUCCCUUUCUCCUCCUAUAAGGAAAUCUCGUCGUUUCACUCUUCUUCAAGUACCAUCGGAUUAGUCAACUCAAACGCUGAGAGAUUACUAUAGAACCAAGGCGGCUUUGAGGCUGGCUCCACUCUCCAAAUAGAGCAGUUACUUCGUUGACGACAAGAACCCCAUUUCCACUAGCCAAAGAGCAAUUCAUUUCUUCGACUCGAUGCCUCCUCAUUUGCUCCCAUUCCCAUAUUAAUAACAGAAUUAGGGAAAUGCGAGGGAAAAGAAUGCCAAAAGCAUUUAGAGAUUUUACUGGGAUUCGUUCUGGCUCAGAUGGCGAGGGAUUGCUAUAACUAUUUUUAGAAGCAUUAAUGAGAUCUCUUUUUUUCUUCAUAAGCUUGCAUCAUGAAUCCCACUUCCCACUUUACCUGCCUCUUUAGUAGUCUCACAUCUCGGUUUAAGAAAGUGCUCGCUAUAUUCCCAUACCUUCCUGUGCUUAAUACCUAGCUUCAAAGAGCCCACUCUUUUAUUUAAUAGCCGAGAGGCAUGAACGGUUGGGAAAAACCCUCUCCUGUGUGGGUCGUAAGAGUCGAUUAUCCAAGCGAGACCUUAGAGGGGAGGACACACCAUAGCACCCAUUGGUAGACUAGACUCCGGAGCUUCAAACAAACUUACAGUAAGCCUAAUCAAAGCAGGCGCCCUCACCUCCUUCUUCACCGCCGGCGUCUACGGUUUGGGUGAAGGUAUCAGCUCUGAUACCAUGUGUGAUAAAUUCUUCCCAUUUUCCUGUGAUAGUCAAUAAACACAACCCUUACGUAUCCGUAUUUUGUAAUCACCUUUCCCUUCCCGUCGCUUCCUUAUACUAGAAUUCUGAUGACGCGUGCAACCCCGGCUACUUCGCUACCCUACUAUUAACAAUUACGGAGUUUCGAUUGUUUAUCCAAUGCAGCUUAAUAUGGUUAUGCCAGCAAGGAGCAUGAACUGAAGCUAGUUAUUUACUUAGAAGAGGAAACGGCUAGUCAGCAGAGCAGCGCAGCGGAGUCAUCAUAUUAUCAUAUUCUUGAGUCUCUCCCCACGGGAUGACCGCUUCCACCAGACUCUAUUUCUAUUGGUUCACCUUAGAUUUCUUGGUUGUCUACAUCCGUCUAAUCCUUAUCUAUAAGAACAUAAUCGCUAAGCUAUGGAUGCUUCGGCCGCACUCUCUACUCAGCUAUCUGUUUCUACUGCGUUGCGUUUUGGAGGCCCGAUACAAAAGAAAGUGGCCUUCCUUAUUAGUAGUGAUGGAGACGUCAGGUCCGAGAAGGAAUAACCUAAAGCCAGUGAUAGAAUCUGUACAACCGGCAGGAGCGAUUGAUCAGAUAUCGCAUACAUGCUUAUAAGCUGCUAAUUCUCACACAAUUAGCAUAUAAGGAGAAUAACGUAAAGCUAGUCAAUGCGUUCAGCACUUUCACUUUCCGUACAUACCUUGAUGGGAAGGAAAACUCCACUUCGGAUGGGUUAAAGGUUUUCCAAUUAUGCCUUGCUUACGUUCUCAACUGGAUCACUUUAAUAUCGUUCGACUCAUUGUCAUCAGAGAAAGAUGUGCCGUAGGAGAAUUGACUUCGGAUCAGAGCAGGAAUCGAAACCAAGGAAAAGCUUCAUUCCCGUGCGGUUUCAUUAGUACUACAUCUAUAGGCCACUACUUCACCACUUCACUGGAAAGUGCAUUCUCAAUUGUAGCAAAGUUUCGUAACCACUAAAGCGCAUUCUCUCCUUUACUCUUAUUCCGGCAUGGAUCCCGCUGAAGCAUCUAGUUUUUGGUCAUUUCGCUUUUCGUGCCGGCCUGUAUUCGGAGUUUCUUGGAUUUGCGGUGCCUGAAUACCUUUCUCCUUCUUUUUGGUGACGUCGGAUGCCCGCCUUUGGCGCUCAGAAGUGGAUUCUCCUUCAAAGAGGGCUUUUCCCCUAAGAAAGGGACAUGGUUGUAUUGGAUUUCUAGUCCUAUAGUGGAAGAGCAGAUAGGAUCACACCUACACGUAAGUUCGUUCGUUGGGUUAGUGGCCACCCGCACUCCAACCUAUCUAUAUGGCAACAAAGCGAAUGACAAGGCCAAAGUAGCUGACUCUUAUCGCUAACUUAACUCGGUCUAAGGGCGAGCUUGAAUACAACUCACAGAACGACUCCUCCAGGGGCCUUCAGGCACUCAAACAGAUAGUGAGACAGACACCAUCUAUAGAACUUGAAUGACAAUACACCCAUAUAUUCUAGCUAACAAUCAGAAACUGUAUCCAAAUGGAGGGGACACUCUUCCUUCAGAAAGAUGCCUUCGAAAGAAAAGCUCUUCCCCUCAACGACACAGCACAUUUUCUCAAAUGUUCCACGUUUCUCACCAUAUCCUCAUAGGGCUGAAGCACAAGAAAGAGGAUUACUUGGUUACCUUGCUUCCCUCGCCUAGGACAGUAGAAGGAUCUGUGGCCGAAGGCGCCACAAACGAAGCGGGUCGCCUCUUUUCUGCAGAUCUCCUCAAGAUGACCCUUCUCCCCGCAACGAUAGCACAUAACGUUUUUCCCAUGCUUGCGCGGUGAGGAGGACGAGGCCUUGAGAAGCUUUUCCACCAUUUUUCCCCUUUGGCAUUUGGAUCCAUGUUUUCUUUAACGAUCUCCGUGAUAGUAAAGGUUUUUUUGGUAGCCUUUGCUUUUGACGGCGAUGAAAGAAAGAGAACCCCUCCUAUCUUUUGAUCGUGGUCAAAAUCCUAUCCAAGUCCCCUUUUUUAAGAUCUUUCUCCUGGUUUUGAUCAUCACCGUUCACCUACUUGUUACGGAGAUCCCGACCAAUGCACAAUCCAGAUUUUUUUAGCUUUUUUUCUCCCAUCCCAUCUUGGACGGGCCCAGAAGCUUUUCUCAUGUUUGAAUGGAGGUCUUCCGCAAAUGAAUUUCCAUAUAGAAAUUAUAUAAUGUGCCUGCAGAUAUUGAUUGAAAGCUUGUUUCAAUUGAACGAGGAUGUGAACGAGAAGGCAACAAAAGGGAGCUUGGAGCAAGAGGAGUCAUUUAGUAGUUCACGAAAAAAGGCAUAGUAGAGAAAGGCGGACCAGGCAAUCUCAGAGUGGAAAUCGACACCAUUCAUCCAUCUAUCUCUGCAUCCGGGCUCGCCUCCACUAUUGUUCCGGGUUGAUGAAAGAUCCAACUCCAGAAACCAUACCUACUUCCUGCUUUCGAAAGUGCUUGCUUGCUGACGGGCAUCCCGGUGGGAUGUCUUACCCUCCCUCGAGUCCGAUCUCGGGAGGGCGCUUGGGCUUUUUUUAUUCCCAGGUGUCCGUUUUAUAAAUGCGUAUCGUGAUCCUAGUAUCGGGCUAGGAUUGGCUCUGGUCUAAAACAAGCUUGACCUAAGAACCGCCCUUAAGCAAGGCAGGCAUACGCGCACCUAUAUGUCAAGAUACCUAUUAAGAUUGAAAAAAAGGAAAUCUUUAACAUGCGCAUAAGGAUAGAAGGCAGCUAUCUCUUCAGGGGCAUUGCAAAACAGCGUCUACUCCAAUUGAAGAAGUCCAUUCUAUGGUCAACCUUGUGGCUCCAAACUAGCACUGAUCCUCAGGAGUGAUGCCUCCUCUCGUCAAAAGUCGGUAUAUACAUGUUCUUGGAAGCAAAGAAAGAAUCUCAUGUAUCAGAGCGGAUACGAUAAUCAGUCGUGCAUAUUAUUAUCAUAUAUAAAUAAAACGAGAUGAGUGGGAUUGAGGAAGAAGGGGAGAGUAAUGGAAGCUGCUUUAGAGAAGGAAAUCCGAAGCAUUACGAGAUCAAAAGAGCUGAGAAUGAGUCGUCAAAUAAGCUCUACGUUAAGAGAAUGGUGGAAACCAGCGCGCAAACUUCAUUCUCUCCUAGGAUGCAUCAUGGGAAAAUCUCAAGACGAUAUAGUGAUGUCGCUUAUCCUACUACAAAGAUUAGGGCUAAUGGAGUAGGAUUCUUAAAAUAUCUACCAAAAAAAGAGAACUUAUAUAAAUAUAAGAAAAUGAGACAGUAAUGAGGUCCAUAUCGUCAUCGUAAUAAAAAGAAAGAUCUGCAAGCAUUCUUUAUGGGAGUCGGGGCUUUCUGAUUUGAAGUUGCUGGAAAAGGACCUGUGUGAUCGGUUGAUCAUUAGUCGUUUUUUUUUCAGGUAAGUAGGCAGGGGUGUCUUGAUCGAAACCGAACUUCAAUUCCACCCAGCUCAGAUUCUACGCAGCAGUGGGGAAGACCUGUUUAUACUUUUUUUGAGAAUUCCAUUCCUGAUGAGAAACUAUCAGAUAUUCCUCCUAUUCCGGAAGGUUUUCUAGCCACCUGCUUAGAGAUUUGACGGACUACCAAUCCAAAUAGCAGUCAAGAAAGAAUCCAAGUUGCAGUCAAGAUAGAUGGAAUGGACUAGGGCGCAAGGAAAGAGAUCCAAAACGAGAGCGAUCAUUCAUUCCCUCUUUCUCUGGCCAAGCUAUUCAACUGUCGACUAUUCUCACUCCCCUGCCUCUGCUAGACUCAACUCACACAUAUCGACUCCACUGGAGAACCUGGGACCGGCACACUCAGUUGAGAUGAAGUCUGUUGACUGCCGUUGAUUUUCUAUGUGCUCAGGUGCUUCAAGGGCGCGACUACCCGAAUAGAGAUUGUCUAAGGGCAAAGGUUCCGCCUCAGGCUUCGAUCACAUGGAGGAGGGUGUUUGUGCUGCAAGGUAAACUCUUUUGGCGGGUCUGAUCUGGCGCAUUGGAGAUGGUUUAAGCACAACAAGUUUGGGUGGACUACUGGAUCCCAAGGUUCGAAGAGAGAGAAAUUCCCUAAUCGGCCUAACUCGAUUGUGAGGGAUCUACGGAAAGCUGAUGGGAAGUCAUGGGAUGAGCAAGUAGUGCGGAAUGUGUGUCUUCGUUGUGAUGCCGACGAUAUCCUUAAGAUAGAUUCUUCUACCACGGGGGAAGCUCCAAGGACUUAAGUAAGCCAACUUCAUCCGGUAUUGAGGAGUCCGUCCCCCAAUUUCCCACGCCUCUUCGUUCUCCCCAUUUAGCUAAGUUAUGAGUUCGCAAAAAAGAAAUCCUCUUCUAGAUCGGGUUGGAGUCGAGUUGCCAACUAAAGGCCCAGUCAAAAUAACCUACUGGGUUGAAGCUACUGGUAUAAGACCCAGCCUGGCAUCUCUACUUGGACUAUCCUUUACGUUACCCGCUUUAAAGUGCCAGUCUUCUCAUCUCGAUAACCAAUCCAGGUAAGAUUAGAUCCAUGCUUAUACGAACUCAAGAAAGUAGCCCUUGCCCUGAACCAGAAUCAAAGCAAACUCAAUCCUCACAACUUAAAGGAGAAACUAGGAAAUAGAGCUAGAUAGGCUCUAUACACGCUCGAAAAAUCAUAGUAAAAUAUAGAAGUGAUGAAUGCUGUGAGUAUUCCUUUCUUCUCCGUAAAAUUAAGUCUAUCAAUCAGUCCUUUUCUGAACUGAUUUCUAUAGCCCUGCUUCCCUCCCGCAAUCAGAGUGAAACUACCAUAAAAGGUUUGUCUUGAAAAGAAAUAGUGCCACUGGCAGCCACUAUAUGAGUGAGAUAGACUUGAUUCUUUCUCUGGCUGUAGAAUUGACAUAGAACUAGUUUUUCUUCCCAAGGCCCAAUUCUUAAUGAUUGAGGAAAUGCACGCUCACAUAAUGGGAAAAUCACGUAUAAUCCUUACGAGAAAUCUCCUACUUUCCUCUCUACAGGGAAGUGCGCCAGUUCGAGAAAUAUUGUUGAUAGAAUGAAUGCUCUUACGCGCUAAUGAAUGAUGACUUAUUUAAAGAAUUUCUUGAUAUCUUGCAGAAUGGUUUUCAUGCUAAUCAGAAUGAAUUUCUACUUAUGCGCUAAGAGAGACUGUGGUGGAAUCAAACCAGUCUCUUGGGAAAAUCAAAUGGAUGGAUCUCUUUGUCAGCUUCUUGUUUGAGAAAAAGAGUAGUGACUCGCUGGAUUGAGAUUUCUAGGAAAAAGAGUUGCGAACGAAAUCCUACACUCCCUGUAGGUAGGGCUGGGCGAGAAAGGGUCCCCUCUGAAGCCUAUAAGUUAGUAAGCAGGCCAAAUAUUCCACCGGGGUCUUUCUUAGCAAACUCAUUGAUGGCAGUACCUAACUAAAGAAGAAUAGCGCUCUUUCUUUCUUUCAAUUACGUUUCUUGAAUGGUUCUGCACUUAGAUCAGUCAGUACACACGAAACCCUUUAAUCAAGUGAGUGCCACUUUAACUCAGCUCUUUCCUAGUGAUCUUGAUUGUCCCUAGAAGCAUCUCUUAUUUUCAUAUAGAAAUUAAAUGGUUUAGUGGAAAAGAGGGAGAUCCGGACUCACUUCUACCAAUCGAAGAUUUUCGUAUUGUAAUUAAACGGAAAUGAUAGUAAGAAAAAAUACUAAAAAUGCAGAAGUUAGGCUUCUUCCGGUUCUAGAGUAGUGGCUUCAAGCUCCAGUCUUAGUUUGACUACAGAAAAAAUAGAAAAAGGCUCCCCGUGGACUCUACGCGGGACUUUUUUUAUUAAACUUACAUAAUUAGAAUUUCUCUGACAUUCCAUGUUGUUAAUUAUGUCUCGUAUGGAACUUGUUUGUUCCAAAUUGUUUGGGAAGUUAUUUUUGGGUUUAAAUUUAAAUCAAAUUCAUCUGGAUAUCUUUUUCUUCCUCAUUCUUAUUUCGGUUUUCGUAUCAUGGAAGUUGGUUCGCGCUUUAUGUCCGCGUUGCCCGGUCUGGGCUGCGCACGUUUUUUACGGCUUUUGUUGUAGCGCGGUGCUGGGGUCUAACAUUACUCCUGCGGAAUGCUCGCCGGGUAACGACCCCGCGCAAAAUGAGGAUCCGUCGGGGUCAGGGGCGGGGGCUACACCACUGGAGGAUAGCUUCUGGGAUGCGCUUCUCCAGGGGGGUGCCAAUAGGCGUGAGAAACAAGUCGCGUCCACAAGUCAAACCCCCGGGGGCUUGACGGAAGGCGGGGAGCAAGCAAGGGCUCAAGCGUCUACUAAUCUGAUGCUUUUAGGCGAUGACGACCUGUCUCGCGCCGUAGCCCCGUAUCUCCCGCAGGGAGGUCAGGCUCCUGUAAAUCUGCCCGAAGGACGACCGCUUACAAUGGGGGAAGAAGAACGGCUAGCCCUAGUCCUUAAUUACCACCAGCACAUCGGCGCUCUUUUAAGAGACCUCGAUGCUACCUCGGUCUUGAGCUACCACUUCGCGGAGGAAAGCGCCGAGGAUCUCGCUGCCUCGGCCCUCCAGCACAAGGAAGAGGAGCUCAAUGACCCAGAGAAGCUUUGGGUCGUGUAUGAAAGUCUUAAGCAUCAUGGAAACAGUUCCCGCUACUAUUUUCGAGCGGUAAACUGGGUCAGGGCAGAGAGACAGGUGCGUAAUGGGGACUUAUCUGUAAGGUUCAUCAUCGAGGACGACGGGGAGGGAUAAUGAAACAAACUACUAGCAACCCGCAGAAAUAACGCUCAUAUCUAGUACUAGUUCUAGUUAGAUGAUCAAUUCUGGCACAAUGAAUUUACGAGUUAUUUUACACAAUGAAUUUACAAGCAAAUGAGUUUGCAACGGUAGACCUAUCUCCCGAAAAGAGUUCAGUAAACAAGGGAACGAAGCGGCUUUCUUUAUCUUUCUCAAUAAGAAUGGCUACCACCUCCUGCUGGAUCUACUUCUGGUAUCCGUACCCCUGCGACUUGGGAAAGAGACCAGCGCACUUGACCACAGCGAUCGAUCCGAUAAACUAAAGCAUCCUGGCCUCUGGCCAACCAUUGAGAAUGGAACAAAUGAUAUGAUAUAUAAUAAAGAAUAGCAAGGCGCGCAGCGAUGGAUAAGAGAUAAGAAGCAAAGAAGGAUAUCUAUCAGGCAACUCACUAUUGAACGGAGAGAAAAGUAGUCCGUGACGUACAAGUAAAGCUCUUGCCCAUAUAAUGUCAUCGUUUACUGCAGGGAUUCCCUAAAUUCUAUUCGUAGGGAGCCCCAAGCAGGAUAUUUGGUAGGGCACCUCAUUCUCUGUUUAAGCACAUUCGUACAGGUAGGUCAGCAAUGCAGGAUAGGCGGGUAGGUAAGCUUUACAUUCACUAUGCUGUAACUCCCCUAGUUCCUUAUUUUCACUAUGUCCAUAUGUACCAAUUCACUCUUUGUUGAUCUCCUACACAUGAUGGCUUUUCCUACCUCACAAGACAGAAUACCAAACUUACUGAAAGGAGAGGAAGGCAGGGGUAUUCAAAGUGAAACUUGGCUUGCGUGUGCGCGCACACAAAGGAGACUGAGUUGGAUUGCAAAGUCUCUCAGACGGAAGGAACCUGUUUUAAAAACCCCUUUCUACAAUCUUGAGAAAUCUCAUGCAAGCAACUACACGCCGCAAGUCUUCGGUAUUGUUCGCAAGGAAUUUGAAAAGAUUGACUCCGCUUUUUUUCUUUUCGAGCAUGCCAAGCCUCCAGUAGAGCGGAGUUCUGUGCAUGAAGUAGGCGCAGUUUACAAACUAGUGAAUGGUCAAAUGAAUAGGCUCGUUUCAUCAGGGGUAACCAAGGAGUAAGAAUGAUUUGAUAAAGUAAACAUUACCUUUGAGUGCGGUUCCUUCAGAACAAGCUCUUCCCUUUUUAGAUUGCUUCUUUGGGCCACUUGAGCAUCGACUGGGCAAGGUUGGAUUCCCUCUACCUCGGGUGGCUACUAUUUCUCAACAAUGUUUUUUCAUUUGAUCCAAUAGCCCUCCGUUAGAUAGGAACAGCUUUGCUAAAUACUGAUAACUCUCGAAUAGAAUAUGAGAAGGGAAAGAUCCUUUACAUAAGGAACUAUUGAUCAUAGGCGUACACUCUGAAAAGAAUUGAAUGAAACUCUCUUGUUUCGUCAACUUUGAUAUCAUUAGCUGUCUCUGUAGCUGGCUCUCAUGUCUGGUGUUCCAAGUAAAAACUUUUCAACUAGCUGGGUCACCGCUGUUUUAAACCCUGACUUGGAAUCAGAGCCAUAAACGGGUGAUUCGGUCGGACGGACGAUUGAGUUCUUAAAGCUUGGAUCGGCACUUCUUGUGUUGAAACAAACACGCUGUUGCUAGCGCCCUCAACGCUCUCUUCGAUCCUUCGCAAACAUAGCUCCUUCUACGGGAGAUAACUUUCGAUCACUUUCAUCUCAAUUCGUUUCAUUGGCUGGUCGAGUGGAUGAUUAGACACAGGCGGAGUAUUCAAGUUGUCCCUACUUCAAGUUGUCCCUACUAACUAACGGGUCUAAUUAUCGCUGGCUCACAGGCUCCUUCGAAGCAAACAUUCGCUGCGCCCCUCGCAUUCAAGCUCUUGCUUUGUCCUGCGGCCUGCCCUCUAAGCAAAAGCAAGAUCUAGACAAGAGUGAAAAGCAGUCAGAAUAUUAAUAAUCUAAAAAGGCCUUCCUUGGUUGUGUAGCUAAUCCCCCUCCUUGACAAGAACAGAAUUUUUGCAUCCUCAAACUGGUUAUGGGUGAUACCCUCAUUCCCCAUUAACUCACUAGAAAGCCCUUUGAAUAAGCCUCAGGAACACCCAUUCCUUUCGGAUCAGGGGGUGGUUGUUUUAACUACUCGUUCGGGGAACAUUAGACAAAGUUACUUAUUUGAGAAAGUAAAUGAACCUGAAAUAGGACCUAUGUGAUAGUUUGCAGCAUGAGCAUGUAGAUGCUGGUUAUGGUAUCAGAUCUCAGGACCAAGAAUUUCAAAAGGAUAGUAUUAGACUCAAUAAGAAGCUUUCAAAACAUCACUUCUCAUAUUUGGUCUGUGGGCUACCACGCUUAAGCUUUCUUAUCUUACUCUUUCCACUAACGUUAGGACUUAGGCGAGCUGCUGAAUACGAGACACUUCUUUCUCGGCCGUGCGUGGUCUUCCCUCGGGGAUGGGAGAAUAUAGAAGGUGGGUGGGUGGAUCUCUAUUCUCCAUCAGGAUAGGGUUGAUUUGAUUGGCAUUCACGCCUUUUAGAAAGAGCCACUCAAUGCAAUUCUCUUUUAGGCGAAGAGAGUAUGCCCAACUGGAGUGGUUUCCGCCUAUAUUCCAACUAAUGUCAUCUCCAAGAUGGACAAAUCUUCUUAUCUGCGGAUCUAUUCCAUGCCGGAAUUCGACCUGCUAUUCAUGUGGGUAUUUCACUUUCCAGAGUAGGAUCAGCGGCUCAAAUGUGCCGCAAUGAAACAAGUAGCUGGCAAAUCAAAAUAGGAACUAGCUCAAUUCGCAGAGUGACAAGCCUAUUAUUCGCCUCUGCUCUCGAUAAAACUAGCCAGAAUCCAUUGUUUUUAUGACGGGAAUUGCUUAAACAAUCCCAAUCAAACCUUCUCCCAGUGGAAGAACAGAUAGCUACUAUAGCUACCGGAACGAUAGGAUAUCUUGAUUCGUUCGAAAUUGGACAGGUCAAGCUAUUUCUGGACUGGAUGAGUUACGUAAACACCUAAAAGAUACUCAUUCCAAGAAAUUCGAUCUUCUAGCCAGCUUCUAGCCAGGUGGAUAAGGAUGGAAUCUGGUAUCCAAGAAGAGGAUGUUGGACAUUCUUCAUCCCGGAGGGCCGGGGAGAGGAGAGAUAGCAUCACUCUGACUUUGCCGGAAGGAGGAAAAUCCAGAGUUGGCUUUGGGAGAAGAGAAGGAAGCUCUCAGGUUUAGUGAUUCAUACCUGUCCUGUCUUUUGUUUCCAGGGUUUCGAUUUCCGGUCCAGAGCUAGUCUACUUAUUUAUUUUAUACGGAAACGGAAUUUUGCAUAUUAUACGGAAUUUGUCAUACCAGGUUUUCCUAGAGUUGAGGAAUUCUAUCCAUUCCAGGAAAAGCACUGGUUUGAGAAACUACACUACAGGAAAGUACUAAGGAAUAGGAAGCUGCUACUUAUACUUAUGAUUCUUGUCCAAAGAUGCCAGGCCGAGACAGAAACCCAACUAGUGAAAUAGAACGGAUCUCUCUAAUAAACUGGGGUUCUUCUCUUCGGGUUGCUGGUAUCCUUAUAUGGAUCCGUCUUGUCUCCUCGGCUCGAUAAGCUAGCAAAGUCAGUUCGUUGGAUUGGUCUGUCCGGUCUGUCAGUCAGGAAAGCACGUCAAGUCGGUUAAUAGCUCUGGUCCGGUUUCUAACUCGGUGAAUUGGUAUGGUCUGGAGGCCCGGCAAUAACAAUAGCAGACAGGUCAGUUGUUCAAGUCCGUCUGGUUGAUAGGUCAGCUCGGUAUAGAAUCUUGUCUGGUUUCUGAAGUCGGUAAAGUCCAAUCAGUAGAGUGCCAGUUAAGUUCCUCAAGUAAGGAUCUUUGAUUCCUCCAAUUCGGUAGGUAAUCAUAAUAGUCUCGGCUCGGAAUGCGAAGAUGCUUCUAAUCUGUUAAAGGGAUCUAGAUCGCAUUUAUUUGAUAUGCGUCCCUUCUUCAACCCCGGAUGUGUACCUGACGCCAGGGAAUAACGUAGUUCUAAAGUAGUGACUCGUGUCUUGGAGGUCGUCCAUCCAAAUGUUCCUCUUUGCCAUUGCCCGCGUCUACUCCUAUAACCGAAUCGAUGGCCUAUAGCGCCAUGCCAUAAUGAAAUUCUUGAUCAUUUCUUUGUUCGUAACAUGGCGUAGUGUAUCACUGGGUGCCACAAUCCCAUUCAAUUCUUGUCCAUUCAAUACCAUGGAUAUAUCGAUUUCUAUUUUCAGAAAGCUCCUAUUUCGAUUGAUAUCUCUAGCAAAUAUAUGCGUAGCGUAUGUCAAGAUAAAGUAAAUCAAUCCGUAUGACGGCAGGGAGCGGAGGCAGCUUCAACUCAAGUGAGGAGCAAGCUUACCUCGGGCGGGUAGAUUGAUCGGCUCCUUCAUAUCUCAGGAUUUCGCUUAGGCCACCCAGGCCAUACCAUAGAAAAAAGAUCUGGUUUCCUUUCCCUCAUCAACCUGCCGCUGCCGUUCUUUUAUUUCACGAAAGAAUCUUUCCGUCCGUAUUGAGCAACUCAAAUUCCUAGAAAGCCGUUGGUGCACCCACCCAGUGAGUAACUACUAAUGCAGUGAGUAACUACUAAUGUUACGAACAAAGAAACUUUCCAAAAGUGGACCCAACAAGCAAAGCAACGGAUUGAGCUGCACUGCCUUUCGGCGUUUUAGUUAGGCGCAUCCUCUUGCGGGAUGAAAAUCUGCCAUAGCACGCUCCGCGCCUUUGAAGGAACAUUUGCUCGAUGAUGGUCCUAUCCUACGCGGGCUUACUAACGAUGGCCAAGCACGCAGUCAUUCCCGUUCUAUUUGAUAGGGGAAGCAAGCUAGUCAAAGAAGAAGGAAGCAUGGGUAUAGGUAAGUCUAGACAUAUUGACACGGGCGUAUACUGAAAUAGGCAUAAGGCCGCUAACGCUAAGGAGACAGCACCGCUUCUUUGUUCGUAACUAGGACAUGUAUUGAUGCUAGAGGCAGACUCCUGGCACUUAUCACUCCUUAGAUGAAGCAAGACAAGAGUGAGUCCGCUAAGGGACAAGUAUGACUAAAAAAAUGAUGGCAGAUUUUUAUGGAAACGAUUAUAUUUGAGUAUAUUGUCUCAUUGGGUUUGUCAUUGUCGAUAGCUAUUCUUGUCGCCGUUAGGGCGAUGAUCCAUCACAUAAAUGCUAUUAAUGUUGAAACACAAGUAACUGAUAUAUCCAAAGAUGUUCUUAAAGAACAAAUCAUUUCUCAAUUGGAAAUACUCUAUAAAGUCUAUAGAGAUACUACUGAGGGUGUGCACUUACCGGCAGGAGUCAAUCUCCAAGAAGUAAGCACACAUCUAUUUUUUGUAGACGAGAGAGUGAACCUUCUAAACAGUAUCUACUGUGAUCUUAUUGCAAAGGGAACUGGAAGUGAAUACUUUGGCCAAGUUAUACAAUUUCUUCUGGGAUAGCUUGUUGUGGGGCUUUCCGAAGGGUCGUUCUGAGAGUGGUCUCUUUUCUUUAAGGUUGCAUAUAUUGUAGGAGAAGGGAGGGAUCCAGGCCAGGUCUAAAAGUGCCUAGUUGGGUUUGGGACAAGAUCAGGAAAUAGUGCAUCUUAUAUAGUGGGUGCCAACUUGAUUGCUGCUGGGAUUGCUUGAUAGGAAACUUUGAUUGAUACGAGCAGAUGUGAAUGAAUUGAAAUAGUCAAUAGUGGUGAUAUGAUCCCGGUAUCUACACUCGGAUCUACUUCUGCUACCGAGACUGCUGCUACUGUAAAAGCAUCAGGAACGUGUCAAUUCACUGAAUAAAGUGCUCUUUCCAUUGAUUUAUGGAUGAAAUCACGAAAAAGAGAAGGAACCACCGAUUCUGCAUCAAAAACAGGGGUUCUGGAGCCAGUUUCUCAAAUCGUAAGUAGAUCCAAUCCAGGGCAGUUGAUAAGUGAGGUUCUCCGGUCGAAUGCAAAUAAGCCAGAGCGUAUCUCUUGUUUCGAGGAAGAAACAAACAUCCUGGUCUCAAUAGAUCUUGAUUCUAUGCAUGCGUCAGACACAUCACGAGCCGGAACAAACGAGUGCUUUCAACUCACGAGCCGGAACAAACGAGUGCUUUCAACAAUAAGCAAUACCCGAGCUUCCUUCUACCAACCAGGAUUCCGAUACCAAUUCCAAUCUGGCACAGCACAAGGAAGUAGCGCACCAGAAGAACCAAUACGAGAACCCUUCCUUCCAGCCAGAAUCUGUCUUUCUUGUCCUUUGCAUUCGAGGAAUGGGAUCUGCCUUGUGGAAACAAAAGCUAUUUGUUCGAGUCAAGCAAGCGGACAGUCAGCUAAGAAUACUGGAAGAGAACUCUCUAGCCCUGCACUUAAACUAGACUACAAAUCCGAAAAAACACUAGUUUUGGCCCAUAGCGAAAUAGAGUUUUUCUUCUCCGCGGACUCCCCAUGCUUGGCGCCAUAGGCUUUAGGACUUUUGGCACUAGGGAAUCAUACUUUGAUCAGAUCCGUGGACAGGCUCCCGAGGUCAAAUCGGAUUAUGGACUUUUCCAGCUAAGUGAAAACGCACUUCACUACUAGCAAAGAAGUCAGCUCAGGGCAGGGCCGGUGGUAAUCUCAGAUAGGAACUUGCCGGGAUCCUUCCAUACCUGCCAUCCACCACUACUACUGAUCGUUUCCCAGAACGAGCCAUACCUUUUCCCAGAAUGAGAAUACGGCUGAGGACGAAUAGCGGCGCCUAGCUUUAGUUUCCACACGACACGAUGGAUCUAUCACUCUCUUUAGCCAGGCCAUUCUCUAGAGGAGAGUUCCGAGAAUGAAUUCCAAUCUGGUACCAAUCGUAGAAAUCGUAUUGUAGAGUUCUUCUCACGCCUAGCACAGCUACAAGCAUUCCUCGAAUGCAGAGACAAGACGGAGGAUAUCUGAUCCCGCGGAACAUCUGCUACCAACUACGGAUUACCUUGUUUCCAUGAAAUCCAUGUUUCUGGCACCUUGGCCCCCUCUACCUACGAAAUUCUGAUUCCUAUGGUUGAAGAAAGUACAGCGUUGUCAAUUCAACCUGAAAAAAGGGGAAUAAGUUGACAAAGUCAGCUUGAAUAUUACGGUAUGGAUCAAAGGAAGCUAUACCCGCCUUGAUUUCUAUCAAAAUUAUUAGAUAGUAAAGCAGACAAGUCUGAAAUGGAAUGUUUGAUCGGUAUAUGUAGGGCUCUCAAAAGAGAAUCUAUUUCAGCAUAGUUGAUUUUCAGAAGCCAACUAGAACUUCGCAGCUGCCGUAUAGUUGAUUGUUCCCACCAGUUUCGUUCUCAUCUGGUCAGUUUCACGAAUGCAAGGAUUUACUACGACUCUCAGGUGUAAACCUUGGUCGUAUACAGCGGUGAACUAGCUAAAUAUAGCUAGAGGAGUAAUAUAGCUAAAUAUAGCUAUAGGGCAUUCCACAGAGGUGAAAUUCUCUCGGCAAAGCAGAACAAGAAGCAGCAGAAAGCAAAACAAUAUAAGGGUCGUUCGGAGUUCCAGGCACAAAACAAUUCUACAGAACUGGGUAUACCAAACAGUUGAUCAACAAGACAUAUUCACUUUGACCACAGCCACCCGCACUUGCCUACCCGACUGGCUAUUUUAGCUAUUCUCUCUUCAACCUUCCUCUAUCCUAAAAUAGUCGUACCGCUCCCCCUUUAGAGAUAGAUUUAUUUAUUCUCUAAGCUAGCUAAACGCCCGAAACAUAAUAAGCUAAGCCUCCGUCGAUUUAGCCAAAGCAGGCCUGGAGAAAAUAAUGGGAGUCAGUGUCCCUUAAACGCCUUGUUUCCUCUUCUUUACGGUGGCUUCUUCUUAAAUGAAAGAAGAUCUCUGCUGCGCUUAUGCCUUAAAACCCUAAAACUGUGGUUAUUAUGACACCAGGUGAAAUAGCUGCUUUUUCUUCUCUUCCUCCCCUCGACCUAUUGAAGUUGCGCUCACCCGCAGCCCUAAGCCCUACAGUUCCUUCGCUUACCGCCUAAUCUUAAUCUAUUGCCCUGCCUCCAAGAGAAGAAAUGGCACCAACCGAUACAAUGGCAGCUAGUUCCAGGGAAGCUGCUAUCAGGAACGGGCCCCAUCCUAGUUUGGCAACAUCAUGCUCUCCUCUGCCGCACUCCUCAUGCCAAUGACCAAGCGCAUGCACCGCAAAACGUCGGGAUCUUCUUGUAUUUCAGCGGAUCCCCGGCAAGUCAUUUACCGGUACUUUCUAUUUCAACUAUUGCUUAAACGCCUCACAUCCCGGAGUUGCUUGUCGGAUCAAUCUCUCGUAGACUAGGCCCCUAUGGUUAUGGCUUUGAGCUGUGAAUAAGUGUUAAGGAUUUCGCUUGACUGCAGCAUUUCGCUUCCUCCGUUCAUAAGAUGUGAGCCUGGCCCUUCCAUUCCUCCGCCUACCAAAUCUAUUCUGUCUCUCUCUUUUCUGUUCGCAACAAAGAUUUCUAAUAUCGUACCCCUGGGAAAGAAGUAUUUAUCGGCCCAAUAGAUUAGGCAUAUCUUACCCGCCUCAUGCCCAAGGGCUGUUGCUCAGUUCCUUCAUGUGCCGAAGUAGGCUUUGGCUAGUAGUAUUUUGUUCUGUCUUACGAUGGAAUGAAUCUUGUUUAUCUAUCUUUCAUGAAUAAAAGGCAGUCUUCAGCGUCUCUUCCUUUACAUGUACAGUCUGGCACUGGCUAGUACCUUGGUUCGUGGAUGGAGAUGAGAUACGACCACCACCUGAAGCUACUCGCCUGGAACUAUUCAUUCGUGAGCCACCUCUAGCUGGUUGUUAGAGUAUUGGCAGUUUAGUCUUGUGUAUGUUGAGCUCUGGUGCUGAAUGGGAUUCAUGGACUCCUACCGUGAUGGAGUACUUCUUUUGUGAGUUCAUGGCUGUUGCUGUAGUUCAGUAAAAUUACUACUCAAGUUACCCUCACGGAUGACACGAGUUGCAACAAUUGUCUAAUUGUUGGAGUCAGGUUAGCAGCAAUGAGCAAAGGCAAUUUAAGCAUUGCAUGGUCUGUAUUGAUGUCAACUCAGCUAUUCUGGAGUUUGUCUUUGAGCUCCCAUUUCGUUAUGCUGAUUUGGGUAAUCUUAAUCCCCGCUUGAGGGCACCGAAUGCAUACAGCUUCCCGAAUGCACCAGCGUGGGGACCCGCUGGCUCUCCAGGGGGGAAUAAUGUUGCACCUGAUGUUGCAAAUAAGGCCUACACCUCCCACUGUAGUAAGAGAGAUCCGGUUUCACAUUAUUUAUCUUGUGUCUGCCACUUCAACAAAAAAAGCUUUAUAGCUCAGUUGGUUUGCGAAGGAUUGGAUUGAUAACUGGUUGCAACAAUGCUAAAAUCUCUCUCUUACGACGGCAGGUUGGCCGGUUUCAACGACGUUACUAAGUAGUCAUGUUCACGUGGUCUCGCCCAAUGGCUCUGCUAUGUUAUCGAAAGAGAAUCUGUCAUUGCAUCAAAAGUAAAGAACAUUAUAUAAGCUAAUUUAAGAUCGAGAUUUCUAAUCAUGAAUCAAGUAUUUGAGUUAGACUAUAUACAACUUAAUUCGAUUGCUUUUUCAAGACUCUAAAAUCGGUUAAUUGGGUCAACUUAACUUACUCAAUUUCGAGCUCUUUCGUGCAAGCUGUUUUCUCGCAGCAAUCCAUACCUUUCUUUUCUUCAUUUUUUACGCGCAUACGUGAGGACACACGCGUAUUCUCUUUCUAAAAGGGGAAGCCAGUCUUUUUGGAAUUCCCCCGGUGUGCAUCACAGCUGCACACUCGUUUUAUCUUCAAAAGUGUGUCCUGCUGCAUUCGUUUUUUGAUUGAUCGGAAUUUUCGAUUCAUAAGGCAAUCCCUUUGGGCACCAUAGGGAAUGGAUACUGAAAACAUGAUGAAUGCAUCCGAAACCAGAUGAAUGCAUCGGUAAAGUGGAAUAAUUUCAAUGGAUUGUGCAUCUGAAUAGAAGGCGAAGCCGAUCAUUCCUUAUAUUUUGGAUCUGUUUAGUUUCUUUUUGAGUGCAUUCCUCAGAUUUCUUGUGCAUCUUUUCCUUAUAUUCCAUGAGGCGAAUCUCUCUAUUCCAGUGGUUUAGCUGCUUCUUUCUUCUUUUAACAAGUGGAUUCCUCCUCUUCUUAGAGGGUCAUAUCACUCUUUUGUGUUUAUGGUUUAUCACGCGCGUACGUGGGGACGCACGCGUAUUCUGAAUAGGGGGUCCGUCCAACCAGACAUCGCCGAAACCUCCAACUUUUACUUAAGCUGAGUCCACAGAAGAGGUUCCAUUGCAAAGCGAGAUCCAAGGGUUCGGGUACUAUGAGCAUCACAGCCUCAGGAUUCGCUCGGUGGAUCACCUGCGAGAUGUUAUUUUGUUGGAUUGGGCCACUACGGAGAUGAACUUGUCUGAAAAUCAAGCUCGACAAUGCCUAUUUCCCAAGAGCGAAUGUGAUUCUGCAGGAUUUUUAUAUAGGCGAAAAGGAAUGACAUUCAUUAUGAGGGACCAGGUUAUAGAGCUUUUUAGUAAGGGCAUGAGAACCUGUGAAUAGAGGAACACGAUACGGAUACGCAAUGGUGACUGCAGAAGCUCUUUCGACUGAAAUCCACCCUCACCAGUCGUCUCCUCCCCUUCAUAUGUGCUCGUGCUCCCUAGAAUAAUGGCUUGCAAGCUCCAAACGGGAAGUCAAUGAGGUAAUAGGGAAAAGGAACCGCCUACUUGCCACGAAUAAUGCAUCUCUUUUUGCCACUCUUGAUAGAUCUUAUACAAGAUGCCGACUCAUCCCCUUGCUUAGACAUGUCGAAGCCACUCCUCAUACCGGUAGUUCAGCUCUUGUUAUUCUUUCUAGAUCCGUGCAAGCGAAGCGGUUUGAUCAAUGAAAAGAAAACAUCGUGAUAUUGUGAUGCUUGGGUCCCCUCCCCACUAUAGGCACUGUCCCCGCCCUUGUUGCGUCUCAGGAUCCGCUAUCAGCAGAACUUGUCAAUCCGAUGCUGAAUGCACCCAUAUUCCAGAGGGUCAGUAGCUUGCUAUUGUCCGCCACUGAAACCCAUUAUUAUUCAAAGAUGAAUCAAUUGAUGGUGUGCCCGGAAUCGACAACAGAUAGACGGAGGAAGGCGCUUGCGACAUAGGUGGUAGUGAGUGGGAAGUGCUGCUAUGUUCAGCCAUGCUUUCCCCUCUUGACCCAGAGCCUCCAUGUGUAACCUCCGAUCGAAAUGAAAUCACAAUAGUUCUUCAACAUUAAGACAAUGAUAUAGCUAGUGGCAAAGUAAAGGAAAAUCGCAUUGCUUAGGGCUCGAGAUGGAUAAGAUAGGCAGUCGCACCGUUACUCAUACAAGGCUAUGGCUCCACUCAUGUUUGUUGAUCCAGUUGCCCAUUUCACCCAGAAAACUUCCAUAUUCCACUUUAUUUUUAGAUAGAAAAGAAUUCGAACCAAUGAAUUCAUUCCAGAGAAGCAUUCCUGUAAGUUUAGUGCUCCUCCCCAGCACCAGUAUCCCAUCGAUUGGAUACCCUGAGAGCACUCUGCACUGAUUGAGAGUAUGAGUAUAGGUGUUUUGAAAGUCGAGAGGAAACUGUCAAGAACCUGACAGUAGCGCUUGCUAAUCACAGUUCUGGAUCCGGGGCAAGCAUGGGAUUGUCUGAAACAUAGGCAGAAUUGUCUGUUUUUCUCCAAUUUUAAGCAACUGCUACGCUAAAAAUAAUAAGAUGGUUCUAGGGGCAGCCUCGCCUAAUAACUCGUAAUAUAAAUGCGCUUAUGUCUGCGUCAAGGCCAUAGAAGCAGCAGUAUCGAAGUCGUCUGGUCUCUGAAUUAAAACAACAGCUCGAAUUUGCCUACUAAGUAAGACCUUCACCUCAAUAAAUAUAGUAGUUAAGGUAGUGAAGAAUGUAGGACCCAAAUCUGGCCUAUAAGCUAACAUGUGGUGCAUUGCAGCUUCCUCCACAAACGUUGGAUUACUUAAUGCACAAUGGCAAAACGGGAUGAAGAAUGUGCAAAUCUGGGGGACAUAAUAGGGGCUUUGUUUCAUCAUAGGGGUGAUCCAGAGAGCACCAGUCUAAGCCUACUGUUCUAAAUAAAUCUAUCUUGCAACGUUCAUUCAAUUUUGGAUCAUGUCAACGAGCAUUCGCCUCAGCUAUGGUACCAAAUCUGCUAUCGUUUCUGAGAAGUUUCAUUCCAGUCCCCGAUCGAAUCCAAUUGAGUGACUCCUGAAGCCAACCAACUCUUUUUCGAUAUUGUGAAUUCCUUAACUUUUUACUGGCUUGCUUGUUUGUAAGCUCCACGGGCGUGCCAAUUCCUUAGUGGGAUCCAACCACCAUUUACUUUCAUUCGAUCCAGCGGAGAAGAUGCGAUUAUGUAUCAUUUCGCCUAAGGCCAGACAGACUAAAAGGGGCUUUUGGAUACGAAGAAGGUUUUCACGUCUUGCUUUGGGUGGUAUGCUUCCUCACUGUUGCUAUUCUGCCCUUUCCCGGUAGUCAACCACCAACGAACGUAGGCUAGGACCUGCAUGUAAUGUUACAGCCUUGCCAAUACUCUACAGUCGUUACAUCAACAUGGGAUUGCAAAAGGGAGGGAAUUGAAAAAGGUGACUCCUCCUUAGUAGGAAUAGUAGCUGAGGCUGCUUCAACUCAUAACGAAGCUAUUCCAGCACAUAAGUCCGGGAUGAUCUGAGGUCGCUGGUCUCACAUGGAAGAGAUACGAACCUCCGCUGGAUAAACACCUCUUCUGGUAUCGGCUUCUUUUGUUCGUAACGAACAAGCAACGGAUUGGGGAUUGCCAAUAGAAAAAGAUACAACCAACCUUGUCUUUUGGAAACCUGGAUCACCCCCAUUGUAAAGAGAACACGGCACCCCUUUCCAUAGGGGCUCGCAAAGGUAUUAUACUGGAUGUGUGCAGAGAGCUAAUGAAACUCCAUUCCUUUUUCUCUAUACUCAACGAUCUACUAUAGCUUGCUUUUCCAUAGCCAACGUAUUGACCUGAUUCCCCAGGAAAGAGUUGAUGGCAUCUCAACGCAAGAAGGUAGAGAAGAAUCCCUAGCGCAGAUGUGCCGAGAGCGGGAAAGCCUGUCUUCCCCGAGAAGACAGUCUUCCUCUUAUUUCUUAUAUGAAUAACUGAAAUCAAUCCUCACUUGUAUUAACUUCAUGAGUGAAGAGAUAGAGAAACCCUCAAUACCGGCACUACUCCUAUCAAAAUCAAAUAAUUGGAUUUGUUUUCCCACUUCCUCCACGGGAUUCGUACAUCGGAUGAGGAUUCCUACAACGGUACAACGGAUCAAUCCAUUCAAAUCAAUGAAACCAUUAGGUACGCCCCGGGAUCUACUCUAUUUUGAGAUUUGCUAAUGCCGAGAGACUAUCGAAAGCAAAGCGAAGGUUCUUAUUCCAUAGUUGUUGCUGGUAAAGGAACAACUGAACGGGUAUCUUUUGCAAAGCAAAGGCUUUGGUUGAAUCGUAUUGAGUUCCGGGUAGUAGAGUCCUCGGCUUCGAUUCUUUCCAACAACGGUACGGUUGACUUUCGAACAACGGCCACGGUGUAGGUUCGUACUCGAUUGAUCGGCUUCCUUCCUAUUAGCUUGCCAUGUUUCCCCAAUCUGUUUGCUUUCACCAAUUUAGGUGCCACAAAUGUUUCCUUUUCCAGACAGUUUGCUUUAAGCAGGAAAGCUGGCCUGUGACUUGCCUUGCUUCCGACUCUAAACCGUUCUAAACAGAUUCUUUCUGCAUACUGAUGUUGGCAGUUAUGCCUAGGUGAUAGAUGUAUGUUGCUGGAUUGGAAAGCUAUACGAUCCCUUUUAUUCAAUUAUGACAGCUGAGAGGAAUUGGGGAUGGCCCCGCUAGAGUUUCCAAAAUGAAUCGAAUUUAACCCUAUUGUUUUUUCACUAAAAAUUCCAUAGUAUCAAUACAAUAACCUUUGAGAAAUUGUGAGAACGGGAAGAUGCAAUCAUCUAGAGGGUGAAAAUAGCCGAGAGUUGAGCAACCCCUAAAAGCACUCACAAUGAAUGGUACCAGCGGAUACCAACCAGAUAGAAACAUGCUGAGAAAUCUCUGUUAUAGCUGAAACUAAUAUACCAAUCCUAUCCGUGACCCUUUCCACAUUCUUUUCUUAGUCACCUAACCUAUGACUGCUUUUUCUUUUAAGCUUUAAUAACCUUAACAUUCGAAUCUGCAUCUGCUAUUUCAGCUCUAUCUAAAGAUACUAUACUAUUCUUUGAUCACUUGAAACAUAGUAGAAAGCAUCUAAAACAGAUAUUUUUGUGGAUUCCCUCUCCUUGUGGGCUGGACUCCUUUUUACAUGGACAGACAGGAAAGUGGAAUCUGAGGAAUUAGCUGGAACAGACUCACCUUAGCUUUGAACGACUAUAUCCCCUCUUCUAUCUACAUAUGGAUAUAUAUGGUCUUUAAUAAAGGAAGAUGAUUUUAGCCGAGGACUAACACAGCUUCCAUUUUGCAGCACAUCUCUCAGUGGGAAUAGCAUCAUCCAUGACUUCAGGCACAGCUAGCUACGGGUAAGCACAAAAGGUAAUGACGAGAGGGCCGUCCUAUGUACCCUGAAAGAUAAACUAUGUGAUAGAAGCCCGCUUUCCCACUCUUCUAUCCCACCUAUCCACAUAGGGUAUCAGUGGCCUCGUGAUCUCCAUGAACAGAGAUCACUACACAAAAACUGCUUAUGUUUCCAAAGUGAAGGGAUUAGGCUUAGAAAGAAGCCCCGCUUUAGUUGAAAAAACAGCUAAAGCAAUUGUUGUCCCCGUCCCCACACCUAUCUCUAUGAAACUUCCUUCAUAGUUAGGAGAGGUUUUUUGUCUCUUUUACCGCAGGAAGUUCUCCAAAAGUAUGAAAGGCGGGAGGGCUUUGUACCAACCAUUCUAGUGUGGUUGGAUUCUGUUCAACAGCCCAAGGACUUUCCGCACAUUUUUUGUUCUUUCCACUGCUUGAAGUGAUUGCGACAACUACGAAGAAACGACGAAUCCCAACUACGGAUAUAUAAGAACCGAAACUGCUCAGAGCAUUCCAUCCGGCGUAAGCAUCUGGAUAAUCUGGAAUACGACGCGGCAUACCCGAAAGCCCUAAGAAAUGCAUGGGAAAGAAGGUCAGAUUAACCCCGAAAAAAGUGAUCCAAAAAUGGAUUUGGCCUAAAGUUUCAGGAUAUGUCCGACCAAAGAUUUUACCCACCCAAUAGUAAAAUCCAGCAAAUAAAGCAAAAACGGCUCCCAUAGAAAGUACAUAAUGGAAAUGUGCAACCACAUAAUAAGUAUCAUGUAGAGCAAUGUCUAGCCCAGAGUUUGCUAGAACUAUUCCAGUGAGCCCUCCUAUGGUGAACAAAAAGAUGAACCCUACAGCAAAUAACAUGGGUGUUUUGUAUUGUAUCGAACCUCCCCACAUGGUAGCGAUCCAACUAAAGAUUUUGAUUCCUGUGGGCACAGCUAUGAUCAUGGUAGCUGCGGUGAAGUAGGCACGCGUAUCAACGUCUAAGCCCACAGUAAACAUAUGAUGAGCCCAAACUAGAAAUCCAAGAACACCUAUACUUAUCAUGGCAUAAACCAUGCCUAGAUACCCGAAGACCGGUUUUCUUGAAAAGGUCGAUACGAUAUGACUAAUAAUACCAAAUCCAGGCAGAAUGAGAAUAUACACCUCUGGAUGACCGAAGAACCAAAAGAGAUGCUGGUAUAAUAUUGGGUCUCCCCCUCCUGCAGGAUCAAAAAAGGUUGUAUUAAAGUUUCGAUCGGUUAAUAACAUUGUAAUUGCCCCCGCCAGUACCGGAAGUGAUAAUAAAAGUAGGAAUGCUGUCACUAGAACGGACCACACAAAAAGUGGUAAUCUAUGCAUAGUCAUUCCAGGUCCACGCAUGUUGAAGAUAGUUGUUAUAAAAUUGAUAGAACCUAAAAUUGAUGAAAUACCUGAUAGAUGAAGACUAAAAAUUGCUAAAUCAACUGCUCCUCCAGAAUGGCUGGUAAUACCACUUAAGGGCGGAUAGACUGUCCACCCAGUGCCGCUGCCCACUUCUACUAAGGCUGAGCUUAAUAGGAGCAAGAGACUUGGUGGCAACAACCAGAAUGAUAUAUUAUUUAAUCGUGGAAAUGCCAUGUCAGGUGCACCUAUCAGAAUCGGAACAAACCAAUUACCAAAUCCACCUAUCAUCGCCGGCAUAACCAUAAAAAAGAUCAUUAAAAAAGCGUGAGCCGUUAUUAAAACAUUAUAAAGUUGAUGAUUCCCACCAAAAUUUGAUCGCCGGGUCGGGCUAAUUCCAUACGAAUCAGUACGGAGAAGCAUGUGCCCAUCACUCCUGCAAUGGCACCGAAGAUGAAAUAGAGAGUCCCAAUAUCCUUGUGGUUAGUAGAGAAGAGCCAUCGAACCAGAUUUGUCAUUUGCUGUUUUUUAGAAAUGAAAACUUUCCUUAUCAAAGAGGGGCCGGGGGGCUGGAAGAGAAGAAAGAGAAUAGUAAACGCUGGAAGAGAAAAGAAUCAGAAUUACUGAGCUACCCCGCUUUUUUUUUUCUAAUUCCCUUCUAAGAUCCUCCGACUUAAACAAGUCGAGAGCAUGCUCGUGCUCCGCCUUUUCGAGACUUGCCUUGCUCUUGGGGAUUUCUUCCCACCGGAUCCUCUGUUCCACUUCCAGGCACCUCCUUGCGGAGCUUUCCGCCUCAAGGAAAUCCCGGUUGUGGGAAACAGCAUUUUCAAAGAAAACUGAUCCUCCCUCAUUCUCCCGCAGAUCUUGAUAAGACGCUUGGAGAACAGUGAAAGAAUCAGUUGCGUGAAUAUGGAAAAGAUAGGAACGAAGCGCUUCAUCGACCAAGUAGGGCUCGAUCGGUAGAUAAGGCCCUACUCUUUGAUAAAGCGCCACAAAUUCCUGAAUGACAUCUUGUCGCAUAGAAGAGAGCUUUUCUUCCAUUAGGAAGAGCUUAAGCCGCCCAGGUAUGUCUUCCAGGGGGGUAUUGUGAAACAGCUCGUUCUGAAUGAACGUAACCCAUCCCGGAUCCUGCUCGUAAAGACUCAGAUAGAAGUUUAGCCCUGCUAAAUGAGCUAGAGCCUGGGGGUCUUGAAUCUACGGCGGGAGAGUGAUCAGAAAGGAGGAGCCGACGAAGCACGAACAAAAAAGAUUGAAAACGGCUAUUACUAUUAAUAUAAAACGCCAAAGGAAUAAAAAUAUACAAAUCGAAAGUAAUAUAAAAUUAUAUAUUAAGGGAAACUUAAUACAUAAGAAAAAAUAGAAAGUAGUAAAGCGAGUAGUGGAGAAGAGCCAUCGAACAAGAUUUGUCAUUUUCUUUUCGUUUUGAAAACUUUCCUUAUUAGAGAGGGGCCAGGGGGCUGGAAGAGAAGAACUUGAAUAGUAAACGCUGGAAGAGAAGAACCUUAAUACUAAACCAAGUUUCGGGAACUUCUUGGUGACUUGAUUGGUUCCCUUCCCCCAAUUUGCAAAGGAUGAUUCCCGUGAAGGUGAUCUCGAUCACCAUUCUAUGAUAUUUCAGGAUGCUUUUGAGAAGCUUUUCUUUUUACCUAAUGCCGGCUACCGACAACUUACUUCAUGCUAUUACUAACACUUAUGACUGAGCCGCACUUGCUUUCCAAAAGAAAUUGAAACUAUCAUGCCUGAGACUAGCCAAUAGAAGAAAGAGCCACAAGCAAGCCAUAGCAGCAUCCUUUUUCUUCGCUUUCUUCAACAAUGCGAAUCUACCUCACUCCUCAUCAUAACUCAAAUACAAAUUCGAGUUCCAAAUUGAUAUUUCCUCACGUAAGCAAUAAAAUGUGAAACCAAUAUUCAUCAUGAAACUUCAGACACUGAUGAUUGUGAGGUUCUGGAAGAGAGACGACGUAGGCUGAUUCAAAGUAAACAGAAAACCACCCCUUAAACUCAUUUGCUCAACAUUCUUUCCACAGCAACUAGAAAAGUGGAGAAAAUCCAAUAAGGGGAGGUCCCGGUGAAUACAAAUCAAUUGGAAACCGAACCCCGCAUUCAUGUCUCUAACAAGGCUGUCUAAGCUAAGCGGCCAUGGACCCAUGGACCCGGGGAAUCUGAACCAUUAGGUAGAGUUUCAGCUGAAAGAAAACUAGGUCAAUCUUCCGAUCGCGAUUCUUUACAAGCUUGAAACAACUUAAGCACAGGCGGGAGUCGCCCCUUUUAAAGUCAGUAUUUAUGCGGCGCUGAACUAACGAGCGGAUACCUAACCUUCGAAGGAGAAGAAAAGACGGAUGUAUCUUUCAUUCAUAUCGAUCAGAUGUGCUUUGCUCAGGACUCCCAUUUUACCAUUGCUUAAGCCAUAUUACAUAAAGCAUAGUGAGUGAUACGCAAUGCUGGUACCACCAUGUUUUUUUCCUCACUCUGUGUAGCCACACUCGUUUGUCCAUUUCUACUUAUUAUUUCUGUUAAAUAGUAUCCGUUGGUUGUAGAAGCACUGGCGUUCAGGGAUUGCAAAAUCCAUAAUAUCAAGAAGCGGUAGGAACCUGGCUAACUUCGAUGCGGAUAACGCGCUGUAGAAGAAAGUGGAUCAACCAAAGUAGACCUUGAUCGAAAGGCACCACAAGGCGAACCAAUAGAGUGUGGUGUAAGCGGUGAAGCAGAAUAGGAAUUGGAACUGCUUGAACUAGAAAGGGCUUCCGCUACCGCGCUACCUCGGGAGCUCCGGAAACGGUAUACUCGCUUCACUCAUCUGUAAUGGUAUCCUCGAAAGCUAGCUAAAGUGGGUUCUAGACAAAGUUCUCCUAAGCAGGGCGGAAGGAAAAACAAGAGCAGUAUAGCUCUACAUUACGCUUCGGGGGCCUCGUCUUACUCACUCACCUUCUACUAAUCGGACCGUGACAAAACAACCAGCCCAGCAAUAGGCAAGGACUGGCUGAAAUCCCUUUCUGGAUCCAGUCUAUCCGUAUCUGCUGUCCCUUCCGCUUUCUGUGUUGAUGGAGCUCGGUCAGAUAGUUCCGGUAUUGCGAAGGAGGGCAACGCAUUGGGAUCGUCCAAUCCCUUCUGAUCGGUUGUCAUAUUGAAUUGAAAAUUCUCGUAUAGUAAGAGUUCCUUCGGUUUCCUACCUAGCACAUUCUCUGUUGUCUACGCCAAUAUUUGACCUGCGAGUAGAGUGUGGCUGGCUACAUACGGGGGAACUCAACCUACCUUUCGAAGGGUAGACCUUUACAGAUGAGUGAAACGAGGAUUUAGGUAUAUAAGGAGACGACCCGCCAAGCGAGCCAGCCUGAUACCGACUUUCAUUGAUAGGCCAUGAAACAUAGAGAAUGGGAACUUGUUCGCACGUACCUCGACCGCAGGUCUGAGAAUGACGAGUGUGCUUUCGCCCACAGCUUCUGUUGCUUAACCGGCUCGUGGUGUUUAUGGUCCUGACCCAGUACAGCCGCUAAGCUCAUUUUUCAUUUCCAAGUGUUGUUACUAGCCUCGAGAGAGAUGUUUCACAGGAUUCACCUGCAACUGAUAAACCAGGGGGAUAAUACCGAAACAGUCCUUUUUUUUAUCAUAGAGGAGCCGUAUGAAGCUAAGGUUUCAUGUACGGUUUUGCAAUAGCGGUGGGAGCUGUGAUGUUAUUAUCGACUAUGAUUAUCUAACAGUUCAAGUACAGUUGAUAUAGUAGAAGCACAGCCAAAAUAUGGUUUUUUUGAUGGAAUCUUUGGCGUCAGCCUAUAGGCUUUCUAGUUUUUAGAAUUUCUUCUUUGGCCGAAUGUGAAAGAUUACCCAGAGGGGGAAUUAGUUGCAGGUUAUCGAACCGAAUAUUCCGGUAUCAAAUAUGGUUUCUUUUUUCUUGUUUCUUACUUAUCCUUAUUAGUUUCCUCUUUAUUUGUAACAGUUCUUUACUUAGGCGGGUGGAAUUUCUCUAUUCCCUACAUAUCCACGAUUCUCCCAGUGUAGGAAUCACACUAGUUAUCUUGACCUUGAUUCGGUCAAGCAGUUUUUCCUUACUAUACUCCAGUACGAACAGGAAAAGAAUCUGUGUACUCAACGGUGCAUUAGUAAUUAUCUGGGAUUUCUUUUGCUCUUUAAAGCAAAACGGUGUCUUGACUCUCAAGAAUAGUGCGUGUUAAUAUCCAUGUAGAUAAAGAUAGAGAUAGCAACGAACUGGAUGCAUAGUAAAACUCAAAACUUGUGACUUGUUCUCGUAGGCUAACUAACCAAAUCAUAGGAUCUAACACGAGACCGGAUAAAUACCGCGCCCCCGCCGCGUCUAUCUAUAUAAGCUAAUCCCUCGACCUCAACCGACUCCCAAAUCUCAAUUGCUUUGGCUCUCUCUCUCCCUCCCUUUCGCCGCGUGCGCCGUCCAAUCCAAACCAAUCCCAAGUCCCCACCCGCUCGCGGCGAGCAAAGCAAGAUGAUUUCCCCGGACGCGGCCCGCAACGUCGUCGGCAAUGUCAUCUCCUUCGGCCUCUUCCUCUCCCCUGUGUAAGCUGCCGCCGCCAUCCCCCUCGUCCGCUUGUCUAGUCUACUCUCUAUGGAAGGUGGUUGGUAAUUAGGGUUUGAUUCUGAUGAGGGGGCGCUUGCUUUUUGCUUGUACAUGUGCAGGCCGACGUUCUGGCGGAUCAUCAAGAACAAGGACGUGGAGGAGUUCAAGUCGGACCCGUACCUAGCGACGCUGCUCAACUGCAUGCUCUGGGUGUUCUACGGCAUCCUCUGCGUCAUAUUCGGCUCGGCAAUGUACGCCUCCCCGCUCACCAUCAUGGUACGUACCCAUCGAUCCCGCUCUUGAUCCACGUGCAUAGAUGUCUUUUUAGAUCUAUAUUGGUAGAUGUUAGUGAUAUUGUUGGGGAAUAGGCGUGCGUUCCCCUUCGGUUGGUGGCGGCGGUGAUGUUGUUGGUGUUGUGUGGAUGAGGGUUUCAUAGGUUAAGUUGUCGUGCAUGGUCACUUACUGCUGGGUCAGUCAAGGAUUUUUUGGACCCAGCUGUCAGUGACAUGUUGCCUUUGCAGUUCAGAAUGGAUUGGUGAUUCAGGGGUUCUACUGUUUAAGAUUUAAAAAGCCGAUAUUAAUUCUUCUGGAACUUCUAUUUAAAAACAGAUUAGCCAUAUUCAUCUUCUCCAGUCUCGAGGUUCUUUUCUGAUUACUGAUUAAUGAUGGGUUGCCAUCAUCUUUCAAAUCUGUUGCAUGAUCUAGACACAGUGAUCUGUGAAGGAUCUUGCAGCUUACUCAGGGCAAGUGACUCAUUAGGUUAUAGUUGAGGCAUUCAUUAUGUACCACUAUUAGCAUACCUUAGUUGCUGUUUGUUCUGGAAGCAUGGAUGCGGAAGCCAAUUUUGGAACCAAAUCCAUCUCUAAAAGAUGCAUCAAUGGUCCUGUUUUAACCAUCGUGUCAAAUCUCUUCUUUCCCCCUUUUUACCAGUAAAAACCAACGUGCUACCUUUUGGGCUAAACUGUCAUGGUGUUCGUGUGGCACAUCCCAAGAACAUGUUGCUCUAUGUUCCGUCAAAAGGCCUAUUGUUCGUUUCUACCUAAAAAGAUACCGUAGCCCCUACGUGUCCUCUGAUUAUCGAUGCGGUAUCCUUGGUUACUUGCAGUUGCAUUCAAUACAGGCAGUUCUGUUGUACAAUUGAUUAGCCAACCAAACUUGUUCUGUUGUUCUCGCCAAACUCGUUGGCUGUUGAGUGACGGGUCUGGAACGGGAGGAAUAUUUCAUCUAAUGAAAUCUGCCAUGUUCAGCUUCAUCAUAAACAUAUGUGUUCACCUAGGGGAUGCAAGUUUCAGGUGUGCCAGAUUUCGAAUCAUGUGUUCUUGGAUGGAGAUAGUACAUGUGUCCCUGUACCAGUCUGUGCUUUUUGUGAUCUUCCCUUGCCAACUCUGUGAGAUGAUCACGUUGAAACGGAAAAGGGACACUGUAUGUCGGUUUCUUCUCGUGGGUCAUGUGGUCCAGGUGUAGAGUUCACCAAUAUUACCUGUGGAAUUUAUUUACAUUUUACAUAGAACAUAGAAUCAAUCUUGUUAAUUACCUAUGUCUGUGUAAUAUAUAUAUAUUUUUUUUGAACGCUCGAGCUGUUGCAUCCUGUGCUUGGAAUUAAUGAAUAUAUAUUUUUGCGGGGAGGAAUUAAUGUGUAUUGUGGGUUGCGUGCAGGGUAAAGUGAUCAAGACCAAGAGCGUCGAGUACAUGCCCUUCUUCCUGUCGCUGGUGAGCUUCCUCAACGGCGUCUGCUGGACGUCCUACGCUCUCAUCAAAUUCGACCUCUACGUCACGGUCAGUAAUAUCUCCAUCUUCAGGUUCCAACCAAAUCUUAUAUAACUUGAGAGUGUCUCUCUAACCGUGCCGGCUCUUGUCUUCGUUCGUGCACUGCAGAUCCCCAAUGGCCUCGGUGCGCUGUUCGGCCUCGUCCUGUACGCCUGCUACUACAAGUCGACCCCCAAGAAGGAGAAGAACGUCAAGCUAAAAUGUGAUUGAAGGCCCGCCCGCUUCCUGGCUCCUUGACUGCAAUAACAAGUGCUAGCUACAGUAAGAACAAGGGAAUCUAGAGACCGAGACUGAAAGAAAAGGCUAGGCUACUUCUAUUCGUUAUUCGUUUCCCAUAUGAUUUUCCAUAUUUUACCAUAAAAAAUAGGAUGUUUUUAGCCAUUUAUUGUUAGUACUGAAAUCAGGCAUAAAGGAUUUUACGGGGGGUAAAGAAGUUAUUUCAACAACGUUCCUGUCAUCAAAUCCUGAUUCAACAAAGCCAUGCCAGCUGUGUUGGUCGUUCCUCCGAUUCAAAGUUCUCUUGGAUUCCAAAAAGCAUCGCUACCCGCAUACUGAAGUUGCUUAAAUCUAUUGAAUUCCACCUCUGCACCUCUUUCUUGGGGCAUAGGUGAACCUAUAAUUGAUAGUAGAGCGUAUGCUAAAUCCCCAACCCUCAUGAUGCACUUCGUUUGAUUCAUUCCGCUUAUCGUACCACUUAGAGCUUUCAAACCCUUUUCUUAGCGCUGCGGUAAUAUGUUGUUAUUUAGAAAUAGGAAUGGUAUGUUUAAUAGCUCGCAUAUGUGUGUUUCAGAUUCUAUAGUACUCGGUUCUUCUGUUCGACGAGUUCUGAUUUUCCUAGGUCUAAUAAUAUGUUUACUGGUUCGUUUUCACCGGAGGAGGCAGCUAGAAAUCCUGUUUUGUCAGUAGGUUGGCGUACAAGGAGGAUAAAGGAAAGCCCGUUUGUAGUUCAAUUCGUUAGAACCAAAUGGCACGUUGAGAAACGAGAACUUCCACAUGCCGAGCAUCAUUACCGUACUGGUGACUUCACCACCUGUUCAACUAUUAGCUUUCUUGCCUUAUCACAAUCGAAUGAAUUGAGACAACCAGAGCAACUGGAACUACUACAUCUGAGAGAGAUGAGGAACCUAACCUACGGUGAAAGCCGAAAGCCUUACGCAUUGCUUUAAGAAUGGGUCUAGCGGGCGUAUGGAAUCCGUGACCCCUAUCUCUUCACUUUCUUAAUUAUGACAGUCAAGUUGAAUCGAUUUUACGGGGUUUCUUACCCGUUUUUCCAGUCUCAGUAAAGUGCCAUCAAUUGGAUGAAAGAAUCCCGCCCUCUAGUCGAGUGUGAAGGGAGGAGAAGAGGGAAGAUGGUUAUUCUUUUUCUUCUAGGCAAGGAAUGGGUAAACGCAGCCCUGUAAGGAGUAGGUAGCUCUCAGCCCUUCCCGGUAUGUAUUCAUUGGUUGCUGUAAGCCCUACUUUCGAUCAAUAAGUAAUACGCGAAGUCGCUAGCUCCACGUGCCAUGCGCAUCCUUCUCUUAACCUUUCAAUCGAGAGUCAUCAACGCUUGCCUUGCUUUGCUUGCCCAGUCUAUUAGUAUGGCAUCCCUUCUCCUUAGUCCUCUUUGGCCCGUGUGCCGGCGCGCAUCCAGCUUUAGCAGGAGAUAGGAGUGUUUGUUCCGCUAAGGAAAGGAAGGUAUUCGUCGUAGGCGCAGAAGGUAUUCGUCGUAGGAUUGAGCUGAGCCAGGUAUGUCACAUCACAUAGCUUGCAAGCCCAGGUGAUUUCUGCAUUACCAAUCGAGCCGAGGAACCAACUUAGUAAAGAAUAACCUACUUUACUUGUUUCGUUAUGCUAUAGCCACCUAAUAAAGGGAAGAUUCCUAUCAGAAGAAGAAGAAGUUGGCAAUCUACUAAUCAAGAUCGACCAAAAUGGAUAGUUCCAUUAACUAUAUGGCAUUUCUAGCCCGAAAAGUAUGAGGUACACAUAGGUAGGGAGCAUCAUCGUACUCAAUCCUGCUUAGGUAGAGCAAGACACACGGAUCUAUCAUUCCGCAAGAAGUGACUCGUUUCCUUUUCUGGGUAAGAAGAGGGGAGGUCCCGUCGACCAAGAAGAAUACCUUCUCCAAGCAAUCGAACUCUUCCUUUCUUUCUAUAGCCACUGUACUCCAUCGAGGAUAAGACGGAUACGCGAUUUCUGCACUUCCUCCGCUUGCCCCUCAGUGGAUAGCACUUUCUUUCGAGAAAUUGGCAGGGACUGCGUACCAUUAAAGGGAGUCAGUGGGCACCGUAAGUAGUAAUCGAGAACUUGAUGAACAUACCAACCAGUAUGUGAAUCCGUAAAACAAGUGGAGGUUUUUCUUCCUUCCCCGAUAUCCCUCGCUCUACCCAACUAUCUAUAAUGGGGCAGAGAAGGAUAAGCAAAGUAGGCGCACGAAUAUUUAUUAAUUAAGAGUUUUCGAGACUUCAUUCUCUUUUUAGUUUUGACUCUGGGUCCGGUACAGGUUGACGCGGAGGAUAGGGAUGGGAAAAGAAGCCCUAGCUUUGGGAAAGACCGGAUCAUAACAUGAAUUUCAGGGCAUACUUAGUAGAUGCAGAUCUAGGUACUCUUUCUUCCCCAGAUGGGGAAUGGGCCAAGCCGAUCCGUUGUUGGCUCUGAAAGUGCAUUUGCUAGUUCGAAAGAAGCUGAAUCCGGGUGCAAAUGGGAUUCCAAAUGAUUCUUAUGUUUCGUAGCAUGCUGCGCAGACUCACUUGGUAAAUAGCCUUCCCUAAAAGAGGCAAGGUGCUCACACAUGAAAUUCCCUUUUGAAGGAUAUCCUAUUUUACUUUUAUGCCAUACUUGGGCAAAGCCAUCGAGACUAUAUCCAUCACCAGGAAGAAGAGAAGCGAAGCCAUAAUUUCUUUAGGAUAAGCCUGAGAUAUCUAGUACAGUAACAGUGGUCGAAUUGCUGCAUAGCCCCCCCUAAUACGAAUUUGGCAAAUCCUCGUUCUAAAGUUAGCGCACCAUUGAGGUAAGUAAAUAUUAGUAGGCACACAGGCAGCCCGUUGCAAGGAAGGAAAGAGCAAGAGCUAAGGCUAAGUGCUCGAGUUACGGUUGUUGACUCGGAAUUGUAAGCCGAAGAAGCAUUCCUGUGACCUGGCCGUAUGAAUGGUUUCUUUCUCAAUACCAGAGCUAAAUAAUUAGGCAUCAAAAUUCAAAGAAGGUUUGCCUUCACUUCAACCUUAACCAUUGACGGAAGAUUCAUACCUAUGAAUAUUCCCCUCCUCAUUUGCUGAAAGCACUUCCUAUAGCGAACCAGGCAAGGAACAUAUCGAGUAGGCUAGUACCAAUUCCUCCACAUCAACAGCAAAAUAGGCAUAUGAAUCUUAAGUAGGAAAUUCCUUCAUCUCAGAUGAGGUAGGUAAUCUACCAGAAUUUAUUUCCAUUUCCAGGUAAGAUGAGCGGAGACGAGUUUAUCAGCACCGAUACCCCCACGCAUCGUGGCCGGUUCCCUCGGGGGUAGAAACUUAGCUUGGAGAAAGAUCCCGUUGAUCUUCGGGCUGGCCCUUGCCUAUUGAAAGUAUGGUGUCUCAUAAAUGCUUUGUUAAUGCCUCUUAUUCGUAGGAUCGGUCCAAAGCGCGGCUGAGUUGACGUUGAUAGACUUGUGCGUGCUCUGCCGCUCGUAACCUUUUUUUUCUCCCAUCGAUCGAAUCGAGGAGGUCAAGUUUCGAGAGCCUCUCGCUUCUGAUUAUCAGUCAUAUCGUCGUCGAGCAGAACGCGCAGGGAAGGAAUCGUCGAGUUCACUGGGAAGAAUGGCGUCCAUGCCAACGACUAAGGAGAAGGGGACCAGUGGCUAUACAGAUUGACGUCCGAUAAGCCCAGAGAGCCUCAAGAAGGCGAUCUGGCCAGUCUCCUCCGACUCAAAAGUGUUUGUAGCUAUGGUAUGGGUCUGGUCUGAAGACCAAUGGGUCAAAAAAGGGGAUAUCCUCUUCUUUGGCUACACCAACUAAUGUAGUAGAUUGCGUUCCCGGAGGACACUUUCUCCAUUUCGUCGGUACUGGUAACAACGGAUCUUGACCUCGUUUCUUUUUCUUGUUAUUUGACUUCUUGGAAUGGAAUUCUUCUCAUGAUAGUCACACAAGCGAAGGAGAAGAGGAUGGGUCCCGAGGGAACUCUUUUUCUUCUAUUCUAAGUUUUGAUUGCACGAGCAGCAUAACAACAUAACAGUUUUGUGUAAGGAAGUAAGGAAAGACUCCUUUCUUAAAUUUAAGGACUUAAUUAGCCUGUCGUAUAUAACAGAUAAUGAGUCUCAAAGAGAGUUUCCAAUGGGUUACAUCAAGUUCCAUUCCCAGUAUGCGAAAUCAGUAAACACGAAUAUCUGUAUAUAAGAAACUUCUAUUCCAAUCCACAAUCGGUCCAACAAGGCAACUGUCGUCAACUAGAUCAAUCAGGAAUAAGCAAUAUGUCGUACCCUAUCUGUCAUAUUUGCUUUUCGGUAAAGGGUACACACUACUUUAUUUUUACUUAUUCAAUUCUCUGUCUUGCUAAACACAAAUCCUUCUUUUCUUGUAUAGACGAAAUAAAAAUGAGAACUAAGUAGGUUUCGACCCAUUAAAGGAGUCAAUGGCACGCACACAAAGCAGGAGGAAAUCGGUACCCCGCGAGGCUGGCGAAGUCGGCACAAGAAGUAGGCGGAGUAGAGGCAGCAGUUGCGGGCUCAGGUGCGGCUAAAUCGCAAUCAAUAUUCCCGUCUGGGGUUGGCGGAGUUGGUAGAAAGCACGGUUGGCAAUAAGCUGGUACUAGUUUCAUUCUUUCUAUUCCAAAAUCCAAUACCCGGAACCGGUAAAUCAAACAAUGUAGGCACACGUUGGCACAGUUCUGUAAAUAAGAGAUGUCUCAUCCGGUUGAGCUGUCGCAAUCAGUCUUUCUCUUCCUUUCUUAGUAGCAGAUCCAACAUGACUGUAUUAAACCUUAAGCAAUCAGGGUUAAGCUAGCUCAUUGCCUGAAAGUGGUGCUCGUAUUAUACACCUUGACCCCCACCUUUUUUGAAUCCUUCCUCCAUAUAUAUUGUUAUAUAAGAAAAGUCCCAUAACUGCCUCAUUCAGAUCGAUUCCAGUCGCCGCUACGGUCACAUCAAUCCGUUAUGGCUCGGACCCUCUUAGCAGCUGGAUCCUUCGGGAAGCCAUAGUAGGGAUUACGUCAGUACAUUCUUAGGCGAGCAGUGGGUUAUAUCACCCCUAUUUUGUUUUGGACCUUAUUUCUUUUUUAGGCAUGGGACCAAACCAAGGUUGAUCGAAGUUGAACAUUCCUAUGGAACUCCCCUUCAGACGACUUAUCUGCGCUUGCCCAGCACCUUUCGUUUUAUGGACCAGGACCAAUUUCACCUCAGACCAUGGUCAAGUCAUAACUGACUGGAUAACGUUCUCUCAAGGACCUGCAAAACUCUCUAAUGCGGAUGAUCAAACGUUGCUUCAGAUGUGUAUGAGAAGGAAGCGUCUCACAGGACUCUUAGAUAGAAACCAGCAUAGUCUAUGAAUUAGCAUGAACAGUUUAUUGAACUUGGUUGCACUCGUAAAGCGAGCGUGAAGAGAGCAGCGAAAGAAGCCCACGGAACGGAGCGGUUAUUUUUCCUGACUAGCAAGUGGACAGGCUCAGAUGGCGUAGCUGAUGUGUCAUGCUAGGUAUCUUUUAUUGGCCAUUUUUUGAUUUCUCUCAAGGGAUUGAAGACUUUCCUCUAUACUGACAGAAGCAGAGAGGCUGGUAAAAAAGAAGGAAGCAGGCCUGGGUACACAUGGUAAUAGAACCCACUGGAGAUCAUUCAAUCGGACGUCUUCCACAAAGUAAAACUAGAGUAAGUGGCGUAAGAUAAGAUAAGAUAGAUGUUCACUUUCAUCGACCAAUGUACCUGAAAUUCCUAUACGUAAAGUCGAGAGCUAGAGAGAGUAAAUGAGACGUUCAAAGGGUGAAGCUAACGCUUCCCUGGCCACUAGGGAGUCAUCAAAGUCUGAGUCCAUACACUUGCUAGCUAAUACUGGAUCGUCAAAGAUCUGAUUCUAUUUCAUAAUACCUUCUGUCUCUCUCCUAAGGGAUCCAAUCAGAAGGAAUUCCCUCGCUUCGCUCAUGAUAGUCGGUCGAGUUCCCUUUUCCUUUUUUGUUGAGUUUCGCCUCUCCUCCUUUCCUUGUCUCCAUUCUGAUUGAUUCGCUUCUUCGUGCAAGCACUUGGUUCGCCCCUUACUAUAACCAUCCCACUCAAUCUUUUACACCGAUGUUUCGUACUCUCUCGACCAGGUCAUCAUAAGAAAAUACUGCCAAAUCUUUCCGAAAUGAGAGAAGGAGGGAAGGCGCGCUACAACUAACUGCUGAAAAACGCAAGAUUAGCGCUAAGAAGCAACCCUAGUUUAAGUACUAGCGUCCCACCCCAACGUUCUUGUACUUCAAAAUACUCUCCCCCGCUUGCUGCUCGCCUCAGCCAGACGUGGCUUAUGUAGCGGUCGGCAUUCCUACGUGCUCCGACUGAUCCCCACUGGAGAUUAUAUGAGGGGUCUUGGAAACUAUCGUGACGCUUUGGUGACGAAGGUCACCGGGGUGACUAUGGAAGGAUUCCGUGGUAGUCUCUGACUCCCUCCAACUCAAUCAAUAUCAAGAACAUGUCGUGAGCAUGGGGUUUGGUUAGGCUUGGUUGAGUUUGUAAGAAAAGAUAGUAGGUUGAGGGGCUUCAUUGAUUAGUAAACCUACGGUGCUGGUAAGGUCGGCACCGUGGUCGUCCGUCUCUGCUUUGCCGGCCGAUAAGAUCACUGAGAUUGACCAGCCAGCUGGGUAGGUUUGGCUAUUCCUUUCUAUUGAAAAGGAGUCAGCUGUCUGCGCGAGUCACCUUCCUUAGGCUCCGAGUCACCUUCUUCUAAGCUCCGCUGGACGACACG